AACCACCAAGUUGAGUUAUAUUCACUUAAAAGCGAUUCAUGGAAAGAGAUUUCAGUUCCCGGGGUUCAACCUUAUGGAUCUCCUUUGUUUAAUAAUUACGUAAAUGGGUUUUAUUAUUGGCAGGCAAUUGGGGACUCUGAUUACCUUAUUCUCUCAUUUGAUAUGGUCAAUGAAAAGUUUUCUGCUUUACCAUUGCCUGAAUUUGGUGGGUCUUUAGCUGAAUACUAUUUGGAACUUUUGGAUUUCAAUGGACUGCUUGGUGCUAUUAUUUACCCAAGGGAAGGGACUGACAAAUCUUUUGAUUUAUGGGUUAUGAAUGGAUCGUGGACUAAACAAUUCAGUAUUGAAUCUCUUCCUAGGGUUGAGAGGCCUUUGGGGUUUUGGAAAAAUGGUGAAUUGUUUCUUGAGAGCUCGGAUCAUGAACUUGUGUUGUUUGACCCCUCCACACGAGAGCUUAAAAGUCUUGGUAUCCAUGCUUAUCAGGAAACGAUGCAGAUUAUUACUUAUGUUGAGAGCUUGGUUCCAAUCAAUGGAAGAUCAGAGCGCGAGGAACUUAUAAUACGUCGGCCGGCUGGAGACGCAUCGAAUUGAUAUUGAAUAUGAAAAUGGAUGGGGACUACAACAAAAGAGGUAAGAUUUCAUGGGAUUUGCUGUCUUGAUAUGCAGUUUAUGUCGAAUAUAUUAUAUUGUCUUUCUCCAAAAAUGCUGUUAUUGUUCGUUCUAUACGCAAGCCAAAGAUGUUAGCCUCUGCCUUGUCUGUAUUUUUUUUUUUGGUUGUUUCAGUGAAUUUGCUAGAUUUCUGCCCAGAGAAUCAAUUAGUUGUUAAGUCUUAUCUGCAGGUCUAAUAACCUGCAUAUACGAUCUGCAGGUGCAUAUACAUGCUGGAUAUGGUGUGCUUUUCAUACAUGAAUCGUUGUUUAGAGAGCUAGAUGUCUUGAAUUGAUGAAUGUAAUUUGAUGUUGAACAAUUGGAACUAUUAUGAUGAUGAUCAUGACUUAUUGUCUGUACUUUUAGAUCCAAAUGAAACAGUGUAAUUAGCUCAAAUAAUUUUGUUUUCUAGGAAUCCACUGAAUACAGAUUGCUUGUCUGUGUGUUUGCUCCCACUUUUAUUACAAUUUCCAUUCCCAGUUGCUUGCCUAUGCAACUUGGGGCAGCUUAUACUAUCAUGAAUCGUUAUCAGCUAGUUUCUCAUUUUUGCAGUGGUGUUGAUGUAUGUUUUUUGGAUUUGAGUGUGUUGAGUACAGGUAUGAUCAAUGGUUUUUAAUGUAUUUGGAGGAUCAGAUUCUCAUACCCAUAUCUGGAAAUCUAACACGAAUACUAGAUAUGGGUGCUUAAAGAAAACUAAGAUGUUGGAGCAAAAUUGGCAGUGAUAUGAUGAUAGUCCUCAUGGCACCACUGUUGACUUAUUACCUAGAUUGAUGAUCGUCCGUAUCUAAAAUGGUGCCUAACACUAGUUACGGAUGCUUCAAGAAAACUGAAAAGUACAGAAAGAAUCUUAUGAGCUAGGUUGCUCUACUGUUCAUUUAUUUCGCGUAGUCCAUAUUUUUAUUCAACAUAAAUUCGAACAUGAAUACACGACUAUGACCUUUCAAGGAUGAAACUUCCUAAUAUUUGAAAAACUUCAAACUUAAAUCUAUCUGUAUCAAAGUACUUAAUUACUCAAAUAUGAAAGCAUAUGAUAUAACGGGGAAGAGAUUGGAUAAAGCAGAUAGUUAAGGUGAGGGCUUAAAUUCCAGGUUUUCUAUAUAUACAGGGAAGCCGGGGUUCUUCAUGAUUCUUGCUUGUCAUUGAUUCAAGGAUUAUGUGUUUAUUUUAUUAUAAUUAUCAUGAUCCAAUGUUGAUAUAUUAACCAAUUAGUCCUGCUCAUGAGUCGGGCUACUCAGCUCAGCUCGAAGGCUCGUUUGAAAAUUGAGAGGGUUUGAAUAAAAAUAUAAGGCUCGUUUGAAAAUUGAGAGGGUUUGAAUAAAAUAGACCUGACAAAUGGGUUUGGGUAAAAAAAGAUAUUUUUGGCCCGAGCCUGGCUCGAAUUCACAAAAGGACAAAAAAAUUGAUAUUUUUUGUUGUUUUAAUGCUAUUUUUUUCUUGUUUUCCCUCUAUUUUGCUACUAUUUUCACUAUUAUAUUACUAUUAUUUUGUUGUUAUUAUUUUGAUAUUGUAUAACUCUUGUUUUAUUGUUAAUUUUGUUAUUAUUUUAGAGGCAUUUGCUUGUUAAGUUGCAUCUACCUUAGUGUUAUUUAAAUAUACAUAUUUUUUAAAUUUUAUUUUCAAUUUGUUGGAAAAUAUUUAUUUUAAUGUUUUUAGUAUUUUUUAUGUAUUAUAUAUAUAUAUUUAAAAAGUAUAUAAAAAAUAAUAUAAAAAUUUAAUACAGGUCUAGCUGGGUAUGAGUUUUAACAUUUUUAUCCGGGUAGAGUUUAGACAAAAAUUUUAAGCUUAUUUUUAGACUGAACACGGGCCUAGCAAACGGGCUUAAAUUUUUUGUUGAGCCCAAUCUGACCCGGCCCAUGAACACCUUUAUAACCAAUCCUCCGCGCCUCCUUUUUUUCAUUUGCAUGAAAUUCUCCUAUGAUUCAUUCUUGCAUUUCCACUUCUGGUAAUCGGUGAUCAUAACUUUUUUCUUCAUUUGCUCUUCUUUUUCCUUUACAUUUUUUUUACAUUCACUUUUAGCCAAAUUGCAUCAUCGAUCUAUUCAAGACUCUUUAGUUUCUUUAAUUUUAACUAUAGAUCCUUAUCUUCUUCAAUUAGUCUUUAAGUUAACCUAUCCCUACCUUUUUCAUUAAUUUUGGAACAAUUAUUUCUAUUUGCAUUCUCUAAGGGCACGUUUGGUUCGCUGUAAUGGAAUAGAGCUGUAAUUGAAUAGAGCUAUAAUGGAACAGAGGUGUAAUGGAAUAGAACUGUAAUAGUAAUUCAAUUGUUUGAUUGAAUAGAAUGGAAUAGAACUGUAAUAGUAUUCUUGUGUUUGGUUGAAUAGAAUGAUGUUGUAAUAGCAUAAGAAAAAAAAUUAAAAUAACUAGAAUACCCUUAACAUAAUUUUUUUUAGGUAGAUGGUUAUUGUUAUUGUUAUUAAAUUUUAAUAAUAUUAUUAAUAUAAAUAAUAAAUAAUUUAAUCAUAUUUGAACAUAAUUAUUAUUAAAUAUAAUUUAAUAAAAAUAUAUAAUUUAAUAAAAUUCUUAAUAUAAUUAUUCUUAUAUGAAUUUACUAAAAUCAUAAUAUAUAAUACUAUAAAAAUAAUAUAUAAUCUAUUUUAUUAUUUUUAAACCGCAAUACAUAUUUAAUGUGUUAAAAUAUCAUUAGUGAAACAAAUAAUUUAAUUAUUCUACAAUAAAAAACAAAAAUAUUAAAAGUAAUAAAUAACUUAAGAAUUAUAUUUUACAUCCAAACAUAAUAUUCAUAUAUUAACAAAAAGUUACAUAAUUUCAUUAGUUUAUAUGUCAUAAUAUCCAAACAUAAUAUUCAUAUAUUCAUAUAUUAACAAACAGAAUAUUCAUAUAUUAAUAAAAAGACUAAUUUACUUUUUGAUUUAAUGUAUAAUGAGUAAUUUACUCAUUUUUCCAGUGGAGAGGGCAAAAUACAAUGCAACUCCUAAUAUAAUGGCUUCUAUAGUACUUUUACCGUUUUGUUUGUUUUUCAAGUAUUCUGAAGGAAUUGGAUUGCUUUUAGCAUGGAGCAGAGACCCAUUACUAUGCAACUUAUCAAAUGGGGAAUUGGAAGGUUGUUUUUUUGUUAACUUUGAUGUGCAACAUUUGGAUUAUAAUUUCUUUUGCAGAAAUGAUCAUAUGAACGAAUUUCUUCUUCUAUUUUUUUGUUCAUUAUAACUUGAGAGAGAUUUCCCACAGACAGGAUGGCUGUUAGAAUAAAGCCUCAUGGUGAAUUCUAUAUUAUAUAUUGGGAUGCCUGCACAUAGAUCGGCCAAGUGCUAAGAAAAGCCAAGUAAACCGCAAGGAGAGUUAAACUAUACUUCAUUUUUUGUCAAAUUAAGACCAUCUCAAAUAUGCACAAGGACUUUGACAAAUGUUGGUGAGGCAAAUUCAUCUUUUGCACAAGGUAACUUAAUGAAAUUUACGCGAGCAGAAUCAGAAUAUAAAAUUGGUGAAUUCACUCAAGGGUAUGUCAAGUACAUACUUAUAUCUAACGCUCAUCAAUUACAUCCAGUUAUAGAUGUGGAGUAUCUUUGCUUUUCUAAACUCAAAAUUAAUACUUGAUAAUGAAGUUGCUUAAAAAAUGUAAAUAGUAAUAAUGUCUAUCAGAAGAUCAACAACAACAAUAAGUAGAAAGGUUUGAGAGAAAAAUCCAUGAAAAGAAUUAAUAUGGUCAUUUCAUGUGCCAAAGAAGUUCUACAAAGUGCAUUUAUAUGAAAUAGAAACAUUGGAAAAUCAGUCUGUUUGUUGCUAGAAUUAAGGUAAAUUUCUCCAAAAAGGGGAGAUACAGAGUUGAUACAAAGUUUAGAAAGUUGUUCAAAUAAGAGGUACAUACAGUUUUAAUUUUCACAUCCCUACCUUGUGCAUUUUCAAAAGCUCCAAUAAACCAAUUAUUAGUAACAAUCAAAUAAAGCAACAAAGAUUAAGAACUAGUGAAAUCUAGCAGAUGACAAUAAGAAUGGUUAUUUUUGUAAAACAACCUCUUACAGUAUUAGUAACCCCUUGCUGAUUCUUAAGAAUGCUAGCAUAGAAAAAAUUAUCAAAAAGGAAUAUGGAACCAGGUUAUUACAAUUAGCAGAUAAAAGGCUCCCUCCCCGAUUGAAAACAGAAAGGAAAGGCCAUUAGAGCAGAGAAAGAGGUAUACCGUCUCAGUGUUUCACGACUGAUCCAUUUAUAGUGCAACAUUUACAUCACGAUGGCUGUGGGAAACAACUUGCAAGUUUACUCUCAUUAUUAUUUCUGUGGGAAACAACUGUUUUUGUAAUUUCAGUUCUCGUGCUACCUUCCGAUCUUAUUAUUUCCCAGAGACUAUCUGAAAUCUGGCCAAUCACUUUGUUCCUAAUCAUUAUAAAAAAUUAAAGUGUCACAUUAUCAUCAACAUUAUUGACUACAUGGAAACAACCAACAAGAACUUAUAGCUAGUGAAGCAUAUGUGAAGAUUAAGUGAAAAAUCUAACAUACUCUUGAAUAGCUAACGGAACUCUGAGUUUAUAUUCUUCUCACAAACUGCUCCCAAUUUAUACUUAUAUCCAUAUAUUAUUAUUCCCAAUGCUGAAACUUUUAAUAACCAGAUUUCGCAUAAAUAAAACACAACAUAAAGAAAUAUGCAAGCAUUUUAUUCGGGAACACGCAUUAUUUCAACUAAGAAAUCCAAUAUAGAUUCUUAAUUUUCACUCUUAUAUGCAUAUAUACACAUAUAAAUGAAGUUCUUAAGUUUAAAGUCAUAAAUAACUUUGACAACAAGGUCCACUUACCUAAUCUCAUCAUGUAUGGCAUCUGAUAGUUGCCUUACUUUCAUGUUUUCAGAACCAAGAUGGUUAAGUGCUACCGACUGCUUCACAGCUGAAAUGAUGUUGUUGCGUAAUUUGAAGUUAAAUUUAUUGCUUUAUUCAGAACAUAUUAUAAAGGGACAUUAUAAGAAUGUCGCUAUUUACUUCAUAUUCAUUAAAUAUACGAAGGUUGUAUUCGGCGUGUUCUUGAGUUGACAGAGUCAUUCUUUGAAUCCAUUAGGAAAAAAAGCAAGUAUAAAAUACAUAGCUCGAGCUUAACAACUGCUUUUAUCUAAACAAGUUGAAUCAAGCUAUUUGGCUUGUUUACGAAAAGCAUAGGUUGAUAAUCGAUAUACAAUAAUCACAUUUGUUAACAAUCUAUAGCAGCAAAGCAGCUUAAUCAAACAUGGCCUUGAAUUUGAAAUUAAUAAAUUAUUCCCAGAUAUAAUAAUCAAAUUAAAUUCCAUGAAAAUACCUAAAACUCAAAAUCAAGACAAAACCCAUUCAAGCAAACAAUCACAGACAACAAGCAUCCAUGAUUUCCAGGUUACCCAAAAGUUCAGCAUUCUAAAACUUUUACCUUAAUCUUAGAAAAAUAUAUAAAAGCUAAAAAAGUAGAUAAUAUUGGUGAUUAAAAAAAGAAGAAGAAAGAAUGUACUUUGUCCUUGAGCUUGCGAAUGAUUUUGAGACAGAGCUUGUCGAAGUCACCAUCGUCCUUGAGCUUUGCAAUUACCUCCUCUUUCCUAAUCUUCUUGUUUUCUUCUCCCAUCGGUUGCUUUGCAUUCAAUCUGUUGGAAAAAAAUACCUUUCUCUUUUAUGUUUCUAUUAACAGGGAAAGGGGAAGAACGUAAGAAUGAAAAAUCAUAAAGUUUCUUUUAUGUUUCAUUUUCGUUCCUGAUAAAAUGAAGAAAAGAAAUGAAGGAAAAGAUGAAGCUGAGGGCAGAAAAGUUUGAUGAAGCUGAGGGCAGAAAAGUUUCUAACUACCCAAACGUACGAAGGAAAAAUCAUAAAGAAGGAAAAAAAAUUACCUCUGCAAUUUGGAAAAGAAGGAAACGUAGGAGAAGAUGAAGCUAAGGGCAGAAAAUGAAAAAUAGGAAAGAAAUGGCGGAUGGAAUUGCUAUUCAGCGUUGAAGGGAAUGAAUGGCUAUUACAGCCGAUGGGUGUAAUAGGGCCUAAAUGGAAUCAGGCUGUAAUGAUAUUACAGCCAACCAAACUAACGUUUGGUGGUGGGCAAUUGAAUAGGCAAGGAAUGGAAUGGCUAUUCAUGCCAAGCAAACAUGCUGUAAGGGUUCACUCAUUACCUCAUAUGCUGCAUUGGGUUUUACAUAAUUUGGGUUGCAUUAAUUAAAGAAGUCCAUGAAUUACUACCAUCUAGUAUUGGUGGACUAAAAUCUUCUCAUCUUUAUUGAUCGUUUCACUUAUUAUUGUUUCUUAAAAGCUGCCUUCACACGAGUAUUAACAUCUACACCUUUAUUAAUGUAUACCUUUUCACAGUCUACAUGCUUAUUCUUUAGUUAUUAUAUUCGACAUUUAAAAUUCCUAAGGUUAGCUACCAAAUAUGCCCCAUUUUCUCUUUCAUUAUCUCCACCUCUAACAUGAACUUGUUGUUUAACCUUUUCCAACUUCUUUCUCUCAUCAAUAGACACUUGAUUUAGUGUUCGAUGAAUUGAAGAAAUGGAUUAGUUAAAAUCAAUUUUAUAUAAAAAUAGUCAACAACCAAGACAUCUCUGCAUCCUAAAACUCUAAUCAAGAAUUGAAAUUGAUUAAUUAGUUAAAACCUUCGUAGUCAUUUUAAAGUAAUUGUAACCUUCCAUGAGUUCUUUUCAUUGAAACUCUCUCAUGGAUCAAUAAUAUUUUGAAAAGUGAUCAUAUUCAAAGGGUGAAAAGGGGCACUCAUCAAAAUUAUUUGGUAAACCUAAAAUUCAUAUGGUAGAAAUGUGUUCAUGUUUUAACCUCUUAAAACCAACUUGAUAACCUAACUUAUCUCUACUUAAGAAAUAUUUCUUCCAUCCCAUCCAGUCAAAACUAAAGAAGAAAUCACUUGCCUAAGAUUCACUAUAUAUUGAUGCCUCCAUUUUGAACUUAUCAUUGUUAACUUCAGAAAAUUUUAUUGUAUUGCUAAUUAAACGUUUUUGUAGUCUAUGCAUAACUUCACAAUCAAUAGAACCAAUUUCCAACUUCUUAGACACCAAUAUUAGAUUAUCUUUAAUAUAUCUAUCACAUUCCAUGAGUGUAAAUUUGCUAGUCAUGUUGUCUCUACCAUAUUCUUAAGGAUGUUUCCAACCAUGUUAGAUCAUGUUAAAGUCUUCUUAUAAGUUUUCUUGACUUCGCUUCCAAAAAUGGUGUAUUACUAUCUUUGAAUUUUGAUAUCACUAUGUUCACGUUGGUUUCAUGUUUCAUUUUAUCUCUUUCAAUAUAAGAAAUAAAGCCAAAAACCAUUCAAUUUCUUGCCUCCUUCAUGUUAGAGAAUCCAACAAUGUUAGAUUUACAACUUUUAGAAAUCUUUCUCUUCAUGAAAAUUGAUUACUUACCAUAUCUUUCACAAUCAUAUAUGUUCACUACAAAAAAACAUGUCAAAGAUGAUGAUGACUUGAGACACUUCGGGAUUGCGUCUUCUUAAAUUGACUGACAUCAAUAUGUAGGGAUGCACAUAAGUAGUGUCUCCUUAGGUAGGUACUGAAGAGAUAUCACUGUGGCGUGUCUUUCUUAGGCCUAACUUAAGGAGACGCUUCUGUCACAUCUCCUUGGAACUAACCAAUGGAGACACUAGGCAACAUCUCUCUAGAUUACCUAUGGAGACGCUUUCUCGCGUCUACUAAGCUGUCGAUUGUAGAGACGUCAGUCAUCAUCUCCGUAGGUCUCUAAAUUGUUUUGCACAACUUAAACACCGAGAUGUUCUGUUCUUGGUUUCUUUGUAGGUCUCUUGAAUCUUGCUUUACCGAGAUGUUCUGUUCUUGGUUUCUUUGUAGGUCUUUUGAAUCUCGCUUUCUUUCUUCCAACUCCAUUAUUUCAUUCUCCCUAAUUUUUGUUUCCUUAUGAAUUCACGAUCUUGGAGUAGAGAAAAUGGUAUGUCCAUAUUUACUACCUUGAAAUUUUAUCCAUUCGUAUGGUUUCAAAUUCACUUAUAUAAUGUUUAAUGGGGCUUUUUGUUUACUUUAUGUAUAUUAUCCCAAAUAUCCAUUGCAUGAAUAAAUUUGUGAUAUAAGUAUUUCAUUUGUACGUAUGCAAAUAAUGAAUAAGUUUGUUACUGAAUUUGUUGUUUUAAAUCGAUUCUUUUAUUCUUUGAAUCAAUUGUUUGUUGUUUUAAAUUGAUUCUUUGCUUUUUUGAAGCGAUUCAUGAUUUUUGUUUUAAAUUGAUCCAUGAUUGUUGUUUUAAAUCGAUUAUUUGCUUCUUUAAAUUGAUUUUUUUGUUGUUUUAAAUCGAUUCAUUAUUAUUUGAAUCGAUUCUUUGUUGUUUAGCUUGAUUCAUGUUCCAACAUAAAUUCACUGCUGAUAUUCAUUUGGUCCCUUAUCAAGAGUUGCACAACAUCUGUCCAUUAUCAAGAUUAACUUACAUCGGUGUAAAUAAGUUCUUUUUCCCUCAAACCUCUUGUUGGAUGUGUCAAGCAAAGGGAGGUUCCCUCAAUAUUCUAUUAAGAGAAAAUACAUAAAUACACCGGAUGUGUCUCAUGUGGCUAACUAAAAAUACGAUAAAUGCAAGUGCACCUAUCAAUAAAUAGUAUAGCUAUGGUGAGUAGAGAUAUCGUAUCCACAAGGACUAAAAGUAUUAGUAAUUAUUUUUCUAUUAUUUAGCCGACAAUUUGGAGUUAUGAGUUUUAAACUAAAAUUACUAAACUAAUUUAACUAAAAACUCAACAGAGAAAAAAUCAAGAAAAUAAUUGAAUAAUAACCAAUGAGAGAGACAAUACUCAGGAAAGAAUCCACCUAGACUUCAUCUAUUAUUAUGAAUCUGAAUUAAAUGAUUUAUUCACUUGGUAACUUGAUCUAUAAAAAUCCCUAAAUUAUGCUAAUAUCUCUUUUGAGAGUAAGAGCAACUGACUCUAGGUUGAUUAAUAGAAAUUUCUUUAUAAUUAAAACCCUAUUAUCGCAUUAACUGAUCUAUGGAUUCCCUUAUUAGAUUUGACUCUAAUCCGGUAGAUUUAUAUCGUCCUAUUUCUAGGAUUGCAUACAACUCCACUAAAUUGUGCUAGAUCUACUCUUCAAUAUAAACUUUUGCUCCUCUGACUUAAGCACAUUAAACAUGAAUUAAUAUUCCAAAAAUAUUAAAACAAGAAAUCAGCACACAUAACUAAGAACAAGAAUCAAGUAUUUAUCGCGUAAACAAAAAUUAAAUAAUAGAAUUCAUCAUGGUUUUCAUCUUUACUAGGUAUCUAGGGAAUUAGUUCAUAAUUCUGAAUAAAAACAUCUCAAAGUCAGAAAAACCACAAGAAACAAAGAAAUUUAUAAAAACUUCAAAAGAAAUUAGAAGAGGUUUUCGAUCUUGAUGGAAAUCUGCUUCAGAGUUGGCUCCAAUGGUGUUCUUUGAUUUGUUUUCUUUAAUAUUCUUUGAUCCUUUUAUAUUUCUUCUAUUUAGUAUUUAUAGACUUCAGAAUACUCAAAAAACCUAAAAAUUGCAUUUUUUCGCAUGUUUGGGAAGCAGGUUGCGAAAUCAACAUGGGCUGGCACAUGGUCGUGUGUCUAGUUCAUUUGGCUCACACGACCGUAUGUCCAGCCCGUGUGGGAAGGCCCAACCCAUGUGGCUUCUGAAAUAUGCUCUUUUUGAUUGAUUUUCGCUCCUUUAGCUUCUAAAUGCUCACCUAAGUAUAGGAACAUGAAUUCAAAGGAUUAGGAGCAUCAAAUUCACCAAUUUGCAUAAAUAUUCAUCCAAAAACGCAUUAAGAAUGUGAUUAAAAUAUGUUAGUUUUGUCGUUUAUCAACACAAGUGUAAGUAAUUCUUUGAAUCGAUUGUUUGUUGUGAAAUAUGUAACCAUUUUCCUUUUAUUCUUUGGAACUAACAAAUAGAGAUACUAGGUUGCAUAUCUCUGGAUUACCUAUGGAGAUGCUUUCUCGCGUCUCCUAAGUUGUUGAUUGUAGAGAUGUUACUCAUCAUCUCCGUAAGUCUCUUUCCAAUAAAUUCUUUUAUAAAAACUCACUAACCCUCCUCUCCUAUAACACUCCAAACUCGACCUAGACGUUACAAUCAAAUUAUAAAGGUUACAUUGAUAUAUAAAAUAUUGUCCGUUUAUUUUUGUGAAAACUUAAGUUUAAAUCGAAAGUAAUUAAAUUUAUUUAAUUUAACAAAAAAUAAGUGCCCAGAAAUUCGUGUGAGAGCACGUUUUGAAAAAAACUUGUUUUUUCGAUUAUUUUUAAACAAACCCAUUGCUUAAACUACAAAAUAAUUGCAAAACAACAUUUUUACUUGAUCUCAAAACAUUUGCAAUGGAAAAAUACUUUGGAGUUCUUAAUUUUGAAAAUCUUAAUGUUUCAACAGUUAUGUUGUCUUUGUUAAAAAUACCAUUUAAAAAUAUUAUGCUUGGAAAUAAAAAGAAAUACAAAAAUAAAUGUCUCAAAAACAUUUUAAAAUGUUUGAAAGUCCGUAAAGCCCAAAUCAAAUCCAAAACAUACUUCAAAUCAAAAUGUCAGAAUCGAACUUUGGAAUCUCCGCCAAAUCCUAAGUCUAAGGAUCACCUGAAAUGAAUCAAAUAGACAAGCGAGCUGGAUGCCCAGUGUGUGACUUGAUCCACAAACUUAGUUUUACUUAUAACAUACACAUAUGCAAAUUUCAUAACAGGAUUUCAUAUUUUUAGAAUCAUACAUCAUAUAAGAACAAAACCUACCCCUAUUCGCUACACACCAACUCCGUCCAACCAAUCACACCAACUAGGACUACAAUAGUCUAUCCAUCCAAUCACAUCGAUACGUGGUGUUAUACCACUAGAAAGGGUGUAGUUGAGCUGCCAGACAGAUAUUGCGGUUUAACCGCCAAAAUUACAGUAAAACUACAAAAAUACACUUCAUCCAUCACAUAUCAGAACCCACCUCGAUGAACAUGCAUGAACAAACUAACUUAUAAUCAUAUCACAUAAAAUGUAUGACAUUCAUACCUAAACAUCGUUUCACAGAUCAUAUCAUAUCAUAUCAUAUUUGUCACAUAGAAUUAAUCCUACUAAUCAUACUUUCUAAGCAUACUAACACAUAACAUACCGAAUUUAUGCUUUUAUAAGCCUAUAAGAUAACCACGAAUCCGAUUCUAGAGUCUCCUAUUUGGCCCCAAAUCAGGCCUUCAAAUUGACCAAAAAGCGCCCACAUGCUCGUAUAGCCCACACGGCCCAGCAAGCUAUCUCGUGUGGCCCACACGACUUACCUGUUCAGCCUGUGUAAUCACACACGCCCUUGUGCCUCACACGGCUGACCACACACCCGUGUGGUGCACAUGAUCGACCACACGCUCAUGUAGUGAACAUGACAAACUACAUGCCUGUGUGGUGCACAUGACCGACCACACGCCUGUGUGGUGCACAUGACCGACCACAUGCCCGUGUGACGCAGUGUAGUUUUGAAACAACCACUGUUUUCCAAGUUUUUUUGAGUUCCAAUCAAGUUUUUGGGUUAGAAUCACACACUUGAUGAUAGUUCUAAUAAACCACACAACAACGUAUUCUGAAUCCUGUAUAUGGCACCAAAUCGCAACGAUUAACAAACACGAAUUAACCCAAAAUUCCACUAGAUUACACUCAUUUUUAAAAGAAAAAAAUCCCUAAAAUCAACAGAAGAGCACUUACUUCACAGAAUAACAGCGUCGAAACAGUGACUACUCUAUCGAAAGAUUGUGAUUCUCUCACCCUUUGCCUAAUCAAAAGCCAAGAGAAAUGCUUAACACAAAGAAGAACAAGAAAUAAACACUAACAUCUCAAACCUUGCUCAACAAACGACUUAAACAUCUCAAACCUUGCUUAACGAACGAGAAAUAAAUGACAUUACUUAUACUAUUCUUGGAUUACAGUAAAAAAACAUAUAGUAGAAAAGAUAGUCCCAUAAUGACUUAAUGGCUGCAAAACAAAAGUAAAACGAAAAGAAGGAAAGAAUGAAAACUCAAUAGGAAAGAAAAGAAAGAAGGGGAAAAACAAAAGAAAUGUGACAAGUGAGAUGAGAGUGGACGAUUUUAGGGAGGAGAAAAACUAGGAGAAAUUGAUAAAAAUAAAAAUAAACAAGAUGUUCUCAAAAUAUUCUAACCCACCAGACUUCUUUAGAAUUCAAAUUGACCAUAACUUCUAACACAUAACAAGAAACAAAAAGUUUUCCUCAUUUGUGCACAACGAGAUUUGAACAGAAGACCUAAGGGUAAGCUAAAGCCUUACCACUAACUGAACCGGUAGGAUCAUCCUUGAAAGUAACUCACAAAAACAAAAGAUAAGCCCUAAGACUCAACUCUUACAUAAUACCAAAAUUAGUGGAAAAUUUUCAAAAUAAAGGAAUCAAACUUAGGACCUAAAGUAAACAUUCAAAGCACUUGACCAACAUACCAAAUCAAAUUAUUUGACAUAUUUAAACAAUCCAAACUUAAGAAAGUUGGGGCAUUACAACUCUCCCCUCUUUAAAGAAAUUUCAGCCUCGAAAUUUACCUGACUAAAAAAGAUAAGGAUACUGCUGAGGGAUCGAGUCCUCAGGCUCUUAAGUGGCGUAUUCUGAACCAUGAUUCUGCCAUAGAACCUUAACUAAUGGAAUGGUCUUUCUCCUUAAGACCUUAACUUUAUAAUCCAUAAUCUGUACCAACUCUUCCUCAAAGGAAAAAUCUGGCCUUAAUUCAAUCUCCUCCACAUGAAUAACAUGGGAAGGACAACAUGGACAUGUGAAAGACGUCAUGAAUAUUGUCAAACUUUGAAAGUAGCUCUAACUGAUAAGUAAUCGGCUCAACAUGCCUCAAAACACGAUACGGCUUGAUGAACCUAGGGCUUAACUUGCCCUUACGACCAAAUUUGAGAACCUUUUUCCAUAGAGAAACCUUAAGGAAUACACGAUCCCCCACCUUGAACUCAAUAUCCUUCCUCUUAAGAACCGCAUAAGACUUUUGUCUAUUAGAAGCGACCUUAAGUCAAUCUCGAAUCAAAUAAACCUUAUCCUUAGUCUUGACAACUAAGUCAGGACCCAACACCUUCCUUUCACCCAAUUCGGUCCAAUAAAAUGGAGUGCGACACUUACGAUCAUAUAAGGCUUCAUAAGGAGCCAUAUGAAUGUUAGACUGAAAACUAUUAUUAUAAGCGAAUUCAGCUAGCUACAGAAACUCUCCCGAACUAUCCCGUAAGUCAAUAACAGAGCUCUGGAGCAUAUUCUCUAAAAUCUAAAUUACCCUCUUAGACUGACCAUCAGUUUGCAGAUGAAACAUUGUCCUAAAGUCCAAUCGAGUACCUAGAGCCUUAUGUGAUUUCUUCUAAAGUUAAGAAGUAAAUCGAGAAUCUUGAUAUGAAAUAAUCGAUACUGGAACCUUAUGAAGCCUAACUAUAUCUAAAAUGUAAGCUUCGCCAACUUCUGCAAAGAAUAAUUGGUCCUGAUCGGAAUAAAGUGAGGGGACUUAGUCGAUCGAUCCAUAAUAACUCAAACAUAAUCCUUCUUAGUAGGUGUCAAAUGUAACAAACUAACGAAGUCCAUAGUUACUCGUUCCCACUUCCAUAAUGGAAUCUUAACGAGUUGUAGCAAACCAGAAGGAAGCUGGUGCUCAGCCUUAAUCUUCUGGCGCGUUAGAUAACAAGACACAAAUUUAGUUACCUCAUGUUUCAACUUAGGCCACCAAUAUAACUCUCGGAGGUCACAGUACAUCUUAUUACCACUAGGAUGCAUAGCAUAGGGGCUACUAUGUGCUUCCUGCAGAAUGGAUUGCCUCGAAUCUAUAUCACUCGGCACACAAAUUCGACCUCGAAAACACAGAAUACCAUUGCUAUUAAACCCAAAAUUCAAAAUCUUACCCUUAUUAAUCUGCUAAACCUGACUGAUUAGAGACUCAUUCAAAAGCUGCUUAUUUUUAAUCUCAUUCAGCCAAGUUGGCUUAACUUGCAACUCAGCCAGAAUCCCACCAUCAUAAAAAAAAAUAAGACGAGAAAACAUCGCCAUCAACUCAGACAUAGAUCUUUGAAUAAGAGCAUCGACCACCACAUUAGCCUUGCUAAGAUUAUAGUUUAUCAUGCAAUCAUAGUCCUUAAGUAACUCGAUCCAAUGAUGCUACCUAAGAUUCAACUCCUUCUGAGUGAGGAGGUACUUGAGGCUCUUAUGAUCAGUGUAAAUGCUACACCUCUCACCAUACAGAUAAUGCCUCCAAAUCUAAAGAGCAAAGACAACCGUAGUAAGCUUGAGAUCAUACGUCGAAUAAUUACCCUCAUGCUGUCUCAACUGUCUCGAUGCAUAAGCCACUACCUUUCCCUCUUACAUUAGAACACAACCCAAACUAGUUUGGGGUGCACCACUAUACACUACAAACUCUUUCCUAGGUUUAGGCUGAAUCAGAACGGCUGUCUGUGUCAAAACAGAUUUGAGCUCCUCAAAGCUCGAUUGUGGCUCAUUGACCCACACAAACGGAGUGUUCUUACAUAACUUAGUCAAGGGAGCUACUAUAAGUGAGAACCUUCGACAAACGUCCGAUAAUAUCCCACCAAACCAAGAAAACUCUGAAGCUCAGUCACAUUUCUAGGCUGCUUCCAAUCCAGAAUAGCCUCUAUCUUUUUAGGGUACCCUCAGUAGAAACCACAUGCCCCAGAAACAUGAUCUCACUCAACCAAAAUUCAUAGUUACUUAACUUAGCAUAGAGUUCUUUCUCACGAAGAGUCUCAAAAACCACUCUAAAGUGUUCAUUAUGCUGAUCAUCAAUCUUAGAAUAUACCAAGAUAUCAUUGAUAGACAUUAUGGCAAACUGAUCCAGAUACGACUAAAAAACCUGGUUCUUGAGAUCCAUGAAAGCAGUCAGAGCAUUAGUCAAACUGAAUGGCAUGACAAGGAACUCGUAAUACCCAUAACGAGUCCUAAAGGCAGUCUUAUGCACAUUAGCCUCAUUUACUUUCAAUUGAUGAUAUCUAGAAUGAAGACCAAUCUUCGAGAACACUAACGCCUCACGAAACUGAUCAAACAUAUUAUCAAUCCUCGGAAGUGGGUACCUAUUCUUUACUAUCAUUUGUUCAACUGGCGGCAAUCUGCACACAUCCUUAUUGAACUAUCAUUCUUUUUGACAAAAAGAACUAGUGUUCCCCAUAGAGACACACUAGGUCAAAUAAACCCUUAUCCAGAAGUUCCUGAAGUUGAAACUUUAUCUCCUUCAACUCCUUUGGUGCCAUAAGGUAAUAAGCGAUGGACAUUGAAGCUAUUCUAGGAAAAACCUCAAUUCUGAACUCAACCUCCAUAUCUGAUGUUAACCUCGACAAUUCCUCGGAAAAGACAUUUGAAAAAUCCCUUACAGUUUGAAUCCCUUCCACAGGUGAUACCACAUUACUGUUGUCAUGCACAUAAGCCAAAUAUACAUCACCCCCUUUCGAACCAACUUUUCGGCUACCAUAGCAGAGAUUACAUUAGAGAGGCAAUCUUGAUGCUCGCCGACCAUCACUACUUCCUCACCAUCUCCAACCUUAAGAGUCACCCUAUUAGAAUCACAAUCUAAUCCAACCCGAUGCUCCAAUAACCAAUCCAUACUCAAUAUCAAAUUAAACUCUUUGAAUGACAACCCUAUCAAAUCAGUUCGAAAUACAAAUCCCUUAACCUCAAACAGACACCUCCUAAAUAGUUUACUAACUCAAACUAAUUGCCUUAACGGACUAAUCAUAGAAACUACACUACUAGCAUCCUUAACCAAAAUCCCCAGAUUACCCAAUACACUACUAGAAAUAUAAGAAUGCGUAGAACCAUAGUCAAUCAAAGCAAGAUAAGGAUGCGAAUACAUAGUAAACGUAUUGGCUAUCACAUCGGCCACAUCUCUAUCCUCACGGUGCCUCACCACGUAAACUAAAGCUAGUUGUCUCACCUCAGUCUGAAUUGCACCUCUGCCCGGUGCCCUUUGACCACGACCAUCUUUAUUACCUCGCCUAAACUGACCAUGACCCCUAGUGGAUUACUGAAUAGGCAUCUAAGGCUGAAUAUGAUCCUAAACCAGUGCUCAUACCGGCUUAACCAUACAAGGACACUCACUGAUCCUAUGCUCAAUAGCCCACAUUUGAAGCAUGCCCCAAUCCUUCUCCAAUACUCACCCAAAUGGUGUCUAUUACAGUACUCACAAACUAGAACUUAUUCAACCCUAACAGUUGACUACCUUCAGACAUACUAACAUUUAGAGUGUGAAUACCACAACUAAUAUGUGUAAUUGAGGUGGUGCCCUCAAGUAUAUGUAAAAUUAAAAUUAUAUAAGGAUUUUCUAUAUAUUUUUACCAUAUUUUUUACUUAAUAAAUAUGUUAAUCUCGAGUAAUUGUUAUUAAAAUAAGUGAAUUUUACUUAAUUAGUAAUAUUGUUAUUAAAAUUAUGCUUAAUUAUAUGGUUUUUGUACAUAUUUUAUAUUACUUCAUGUUAAUUUAUUAAUAUGUGAUUUUUCAAUAUGUAAGAGGACCAUUGAAGAUGUGAUUAAUGUGAAUGAACAUGGACAUGUACAAAUAAAUUCAUGUGGAAGGCAAGACCAUGCAAUUUGGGUCAUAAGGUUGAUAAUUUAAUCUAGUAAAAAAGGUGCUAAAAGAUGGACAUGUCUGCUAAGUUAUUGGACUGAGAAACUGUCCAACAAAGGGGAACUGGAGCCCAAUUUUGGCACAACUAGAUGGCAGUCCAAAAGCAAGCUUUGAAGUAUUUAAUUGAAAGUCCUUACAGUUGGAAAAUAAUCAGAAAUCAACCCAACUACUUUGUUGUUGAAACCGUCCACCCUAUGGCUAUUAAUAGCCUUGGUUUGAAUUCAAAUUGAGGAGACUAAGUCAUCCGCUUCUCCUUGAAAUAUUGCUGGUCAUGUAUGGUAGAAAAAGAAGGAAUUUUGAAUGUAUUUUUAGCUAACUCUACCCCUAACCUUUACCUAUAAAUACCAUGCACCUAUCACUUCUCAAAACAUCCCUCACAACUCAUUCCUCUUCUCUCAUUAGCAUUUCUCCACAUUUUAUUUCCCUUUUCAUUCCCUUGCAUAGCCACCAAUCUCUUUUCCAUCCUUUAGCCAAAAAAGCUGUGUCAAAAGCAUACUUUGGUCGGCCACCUUAAGAACUCCUUAGAAAAAGAUGCAUCGAGCAAAACGGAGGAGCACAUCAGUCAAAAUAGAUCCGAAAGGUUGCUGAACUAAAUUGGUCAUAAUAGAUUUGAAAGGUUGCUGAAUUGAAUAGAGUUUACUGUUUCCACUUGUUAUAUAUUUUAAUUAUGUUUGUUUUGAGUUUAUUAUUUUUUACAUCAAAAAUGAUAUUUUAAAUCCUAUUUGCUAGUAUGAUUACAUUAAUUCUAUAAGAUCUAUUUUAUUCAUGUUUAACAUGUUUAGGCCUCAGUUGAUCAUGUUUCCAAUUAAUAUCAUGAUACAUUUCAUUCAUACGUGAUUGGGUAUACUCAGAUUAGUUAAGCGAUCCUAACCAGACGAUGGCUAGUAGACACAUAACUGAAAAGUGCAAUGCUCAAUUUAGAUCCUUAAACCUGACUAAGUUGAGGUUCGUAAUAUCUUUAGUUAGCUCUAUUGCCUUGCAUAGUUUUUAAGUUUGUGUAAUUAAAAUUUUACAAAUGUAAAUGUCCCUGUGACCUUACAUAAAUGCUAAGAAACCCUUAGUUAAUAUGAUCGGUAAAAUGCAUAUAUAACUAAGUAAAAGACUCCGUAAGGAUUCAAUUUUGUUUCCAAACUCAUGAAAGUUCGAGUUGUUGUGGAAGUAAUUUCGAACAUUGUUAAGCAUGAUAAAGUAAAUUGAGUUAAUUAAUAUAACUAUCCUAACCCAUUUAUUGUUGAUUGUUUUUGUUGCUAAAGCUAUUCAUUCAUACAUUUAGGUAAAUUGCAUCUAGAUUAGAAUUGCAUAGGGAUCAAUCUUUGCAUCUAAUUAAAUUUACUUAGUUUAAUCAUCAUUAUCAUCAAAAUUAUUGAGUUUUUACAUCAAAUUGUUAAUUAUAAUUUUUCAAUUAAUUAGUUAAGCUUAUAUAGUCCUUGUGGAGACGAUAACUCAUUUGACUUAAUUAUUACUUGAACGAGUGUGUACACUUGCACAAAUCCUGUUACAGUAUACGAGUCAAAUUAUAAUAUAGUUACAACGAAGUAGGUUAGUACUCUGAGGAUAGUACCCAAGGGAGGCAAGUACUAGAUUAAAAUUAUCCUAAACGCAAAUACAAUUAAUUAGUAAUCUAGAUAAAUCAUAUUACGAUAAAACGUAAAAAAGAUAUUUUUGGGUUUUUAUGAAUGGAAGAAUAAGAAUUGCAUAAAUAAAGUGAACUUCGAAUAACUAAAUUAUAAACUUAAUCAAAUCUAAACAUGAGUGAUUAGCUUGCUUCGGCAGUCAUAAUCAACUAUCGUCUCAAGCUUUCUUGUUCAAUCAACUAGUUAAUACCUCAGCAGGAUCUUUCGAUUCGUCCACUAACAUAUUGAGUCGACAAGAACUACUUAUCUUUUGACCUCACAGUCCAGACUAGUUCAUGGUUAAGGUGUUCAUGAAUAGGCCAUACCAAAUUUAGGUUAAUUUCCACCUAGAUGACUUCCUAGGGUUGUUAGGACUAGGGUUUAGAUUCUUCAUUUCCUAAAAAACUGAUCUGUUAAGAAAUCCCUACAAAAAAAUUAAUUAUUCAUACCUUCACUCCCUAAUCCCCCAUAAGAGGAUUAGUUCCUCAUGGAAUCCAUAAACACGAUAAAAUCAUGAUUGUAUUUGAUUGAUGAAUGCAUAGAAAUCCACAAUAGUUUGAUUGUGUUUGCAAAUCAAGUUCUCUGAAGAACAUGAAUGAAAAGAACUGAAAAGAAAUCUAAACCCUAAGAGUAAGAAAAGAAAUAAAAACUAAAUUAUAAAGAAAAACUUAGAAUAUUAAAAGUUUUCCUUUAACAAGUGUUUAAGAGCCCAUUUAUAGAGUUAGGGUUGUCGUCGUUAUUAACCCUAGGUCAACCGACACUAUCGUAUUUCACUUUUGAUUGUCUGGACCAAAAUACCCUUGACUUGUAAGUGUUUCUCGUACAGGAUCGAUGUUGCGAUACAGGCACUAGGAUGUCGCAACAUCGAAGGCAAUAUGCUCAGGUUCAGGGUAACUUUAAGGGUGUGUCGCGUCACUGAAGGCAAUCUCAAGAUUCUUGCAUUCUGCUCCCUCUGUUGUGGCAUCAAACUUCCCGUGUUGCAACACAACGACCAAUAUUAAGUUUGUACACCCUCUAAUGGUCUCCUGCACACUCACUAAGUACAUUAGCUCACCUUUAGGCCUCAUUCGACUCGUAAGGUCAAUAAAAGACUCAAAAUAUAGUUUUUAUUAGAUUUAAACUAAACUAUAAAAACUUAACUAAAACAUAAUGAAAAUGCUUAUAUUCAAGCUCCUUAAGUGCGAAAACUAGUUUAAUCAGCUACACCGAAUUACGACAGAUCAACAGUCAACUCAACUUGUAGAGGUCUCUCAACCCUGGCUCGUUUCAUAGGUCGCUGAGAAAAACUAGAAGGACCUGAAUCCCUCUUAUUCUUUUUCUGGUUAUUUUCCUUAUCUCUUUUCUCGUACUCCUCACGCUUAAUCUCCUCAGUGAUUUUAGCCUUCUCCACUAAUGUUUUGGAGACUCACUCCCACUAAGGGGCUACUAAUACCUUAAUUUCAUACCUUAGCUCCUCCUAAAAUUGGAUACUCUUAUCAUAAUCAGUCUAAACCAAACUUUGAGCAUACUUGUUCUGCACUUGAGAUCCACGUGCAUCUAUCUACAAUUAAUUAAUUUAGGUUUUAAAAAUCUUAAAUCUAAAGUUUUAUCAAAAGUGCUUAUCAGAGUUUAGAGAAUGCUUGAAUCUACUACAAUCUUUAGAGGCAAACAAUUGUACCAAAGUAGCAAAUAUAAAAGCAUCUAAAGUAUAUAUAAAGUUUCAACAUUUCUUACUUGGAUCGGCGACAGAGUUUUGGUUUCACUUUUUGAAAGUCAAAAGGUAAAAUUUAAUAAAAAUUCCAAAUAAUGUAGACUAUAUUUUUUAUUUAAAAAAAAAUUGAACCCAAAAUGCACAACCCGAGUUUUGCAACCUGGCUUUGAUACUAUCAAAUGUAACACCCCAAACUCGGUCUAGACAUUUAUGAAGGUUACAUCGAGACAUAAAAUAUUGUCUGUUUAUUUUCGUGAAUACUUAAGUUUAAAUCGAAAGUAAUUAAAUUUAUUUAAUUUAAUGAAAAACAUAAGUGUCCAAAAAUUUGUGUGAGAGCAUGUUUUGAAGAAAACUUGUGUUGUCGAUUAUUUUUAAACAAACCCAUUUGCUUAAAUUAUCCAACAUUGCAAAACAACAUUUUUACUUGAUUUAAAAACAUUUGCAGCAAAAAAUACUUUAGAGUUUUUAAUUUUGAAAAUCGUAAUGUUUCAAUAGUUAUGUUGUCUUUGUUUAAAAUACCAUUUAAAAAUAUUAUACUUGCAAAUAAAAACAAAUACAAAAAUAAAUGUCCCAAAAACAUUUUAAAAUGUCCGAUAGCCUGUAAAGCCCAAAUAAAAUCCAAAACAUAAUUAAAAUUAAAAUGUCAGAAUCGAACUCCGGAAUUGCUGCCAAAUCCUAAGUUUGAGGAUCACUUGAAAUGAAUCAAACAGACCAGUGAGUUGGAAGCCCAAUGUGUGACUUGAUCCAUGUACACAAAUUUACUUAUAACAUACACAUAUGCAGAUAUCAUAAUAGGAUUUCAUAUUUUCAGAAACAUAUAUCAUAUUAGAAUAAAUCCUACCCCCAUUCGCUACACACCAAAUCCGUCUUACCAACUACACAAAACAGGACCAGAGGAGUCCAUCCAUCCAAUCACACCGAUACAUGGUGGUAUACCACUGAAAAAGGUGCAGUUGAGCUGCCAGACAGAUAUUACGAUUUAACCGCCAAAAUUGCAGUAAAACUGCCAGAAUACACUUCCUUUGUCACAUAUCAAAACCAACCCAAUGCAUAUGCAUGAACAAACUAACAUCUAAUCAUACCAUAUAAAAUGUAUGGCAUGCAUACCUAAACAUCUUUUCAUAGAUCAUAUCAUAUUAUUCACAUAGAAUUAAUCCUACUAAUCAUGCUUCCUAAGCAUAUUAAAACAUAACAUAUCGAAUUUAUGCUUUUAUAAGCCUCUAAAAUAACCAUGGAUCCAAUCCAAGAGUCUUUUAAUCGGCCGCAAAUUAGGCCUUUAAAUUGACCAAAAAGGGCUCUCAAGCUAGUGUGGCCCACACGGCCUACCUGUUCAACCUGUGUAAUCACACACGCCUGCAUGCCCUAUAUGACCCACCAAACACUCAUGUGGUGUACACAGCCUGUCACACGCCUAACCACACGGCCGUGUGAUGCACUGUAAUUUUGAAACAACCACUAUUUUUUAGGUUUUUUCGAGUUCCAAUUGAGUUUUUGGGUUAGAUUCACACACCUGAUGAUAGUUCUGAUAAAACACACAACAACACACUCCAAAUCCUACAUACAGUAGCAAAUCGCAAUGAUUAACAAACACAAAUUAACUUAAAAUUCCACUAGAUUACACCAUUUUUAAAAGAAAAUAGUCCUUAAAAUAAACAUAUGAGCACUUACUUCACAAGAUAACAACGUCAUAAUAAAGACUACUCCACCAGAGGAUUCCGAUUCUCGCACCCUUCUAAUAAAAAACCACGAAAAAUGCUUAACACAAUGAUGAACGAGAAAUAAACACUAACAUCUUAAAUCUUGCUCAACGAAUGAGUUAAAACUUAAUGGCAAAAAAUAAAACAAUGUUACUUACACUAUUCUUGGAUUACGAUAAAAAAUGGAGAGUAAAAAAGAUAGACCCACAAAGACUUAAUAGCUACAAAAUAAAAGUAAAACAAAGAGAAUGAAAGAAUGAAAAAUUAAAAGGAAAGAAAAGAAAGAAGGGGAAAAACAAAAGAAACCUAACAAGUGAGAGGGGAGUGGACGGUUUUGUGAAGGAGAAAAACUAGUGGAAAUUGAUAAAAAUAAAAUAAAAUAAAAAUAAACAAGAUAUUCUCAAAAUAUCCUAACCCAUCAAAUUUCUGUAAAAUUCAAAUUGACCACAACUUCUAACACAUAGCAGGAAACAAAAAGUUUUCAUAUUUGCGCAUAACAAGAUUCAAACACAAGACCUACUGAAACCUUACUAUUGAACCAAUAAGCUCAUCCUUAACAACAACUCACAAAAACAAAAAGAUAAGCCCUAAGACUCAAGUUUUACAUAAUACCAAAAUUAAUGGAAAAAUUCUGAAAUUAGGGAAUCAAACUCAAGACCUAAAACAAACAUUCAAAACACUUAAUCACCCUACCAAAUCAAAUUAUUUAACAUACUUAAACAAUCCAAAAUUAAGAAAUUUGGGCCGUUACAUCUUUUAUUCAUCAAAUUGCCACCUCCAAAGAUUUUUCCCUUCUCUAUUCUCUUUAACUUUCCCUUCUUUCAAUUCUUGAUUCAAUAUAAUUUUUGUAUAUCAAAUCAAAUUAAAAACUCAAAUUCUUUUUAGGGUUUUUUUAUCUCCUUUUUUGCAUUACAUCUAUUUAUCCUCUUCUCUUCUCAGCAAAAAUAUCAAAUGAUUUUACUAAUGAAAGAUAUACAACAGAUGCAGAUAAAAGGGGGGUAAGCUUACUUGCCUAUUGCAUUCUCUUUCUUUGCCUUGGUUGCAAAUGGACUUACCUACAAUUUUUUCCAUUUUUUGUUUAUUUUUUUAAAUUGUUAGUAUUUUUAUUUUUGGAGUUUAUUGGAUGGCAAGGGAUGGAUAUUUAUCUUAUCAUACACUCUGAUUAAACCGUGUAGAUUCAAAUAUUCGCUUAUUGAUAUUCUGAUGCCAUUUUUUGGUUUUAAAAUUAAAACCAUAUUGAAACCAAAUAUUUUUUAGAGUUGGUUAUGAUUUUAAGGGUAUUUUUUUAUGAAGAGAAGCAGACGGGUAGUUUGAAUAUGUUGCCAUGUUGUAUGUAUGCAUUUUUCACUAUUUGUGAAAUUUCUCUAAUUUUUAAGUAAAUUUUUUUUAUUUUUUUUACUUUAUUUUACUAAUAAAAACUUAAUUUCAAUAUUAUCUAUUUAUCUUAAGAAAGAAAAAUGAUGAAAAUUGUAUGUUUGUCCAAAUGCAACACUGUCAUUGGUGCAAUGAGUGGCACUUUCUAUAUGAGAUUUCUGAUUUUAUUUUCUCUUCAAAAUAUGGUAUGUUUUAAAUCUAAAAUUAUCAGAAAAUAAGUUCUAAAAGGUGUUUAUGAAGAUCAACAAAAUGCUUAGUUGAGAAGCUGAGGGGUUGGCGACAUGAUGUAAGUAAUUAAAUGAUUAAGAUUAUUUGUUGAGAUGUUCACUACCUAUUUGUAUAUUAAAUGAGAAUGACUGGUAAGUAUAGGCUGAAGACAAUGAUUAAAUUUCUGGUUGAAUAUUUGGUAAUGAUUUGCAAGUAUAGUUUGAAUGUGAGAGAGAUUAAAUGACAUAGAUUAAGGAUAGACUGAAUGUUGAUCUGCUAAAUUUUGUUGAGAUGUUCACUACCUGGUUAGUGACAUGUUUGUACAUUAAAUGCAUAUUUGUGUACUUAAGCAUAUAUGCAUACAUAUAUAUUAUUUCCUCCUUUGAAUGUUGACAGAGAUUGUUGAAGAUUGGAGCAUCAUCACGUGCCCAUCUGAAAUUUGUUCAUACCACAAGGCUAGUGACUUUUGCAGAACGAAACGUAAUAUGUGUAAGUCUUUCUUACUUCUUAAUCAGUAAUUCUCUAUUUCUUUAUGAUAAACUUCUAUUUAUACAUUAUGUUUUUGGUAAUAAUUUGCUAGGAGGAGGAAGAGAAGUAUAGAGGACUUUCUUGACUUGAACACUUUCACUAUCAACACUGCAAGGAUGAUAGCACAUUCAUAAAUGAGCAUGCCAAGAAACUCUAUGUAUGUAUAAGUGAACAAGACACAUUGGAUUGUGAUUAUUGCUAUUUGAUCACAGAUUUUCUCUCAUCUAAUGAUCCUUUGAUGCAAUGCUCGGAUGAUAUUGGAACAGAUCGUGGAGAUAAGAUGUGACACUUGACGACUACUAUAUGUUGGUGAAGACAACAUAAACUUCCUAGUGCUUUUGGGUAUGCUUGAGUUGGAAUGGAGCUAAAAAAACAAUCGCCUACUUUUUUUUUGUUCCUUUUGUUGCUAUGAUUGACAUUUUGUGAACAUGUAAUGUUAGAUUUUGGUGCUCGACUUGUAAGCAAGCUACAUUUGGAAACUUGAUAUAUCAACUUAGUUUAGUUAUUUGGUUCUUAUAUUUUUUUAGCCAUUUAUUUGCAUUAUUAAAAAUUUAUUAGUAACAUGGACUCGAGCCCCACCAAACAUUGUAUUAGAGGCAAUAGAAAUGCAAACCAUGUCUCUUUGCAGACUGAAUUAUAGACUGAAUUAUAGAGAUGCACAUCUGCGUCUCUGCUGACUAGAAGUAGAGACACGAAUAAUAUCUCUCCUUUGACAAUGCUAUAGUGUCGCGCACAUACGUCUCCACUAACUACAGGUAGAGACACAAUAGAUGCAUCUCCACUGACACGCUUAUGGAGAUGCAUGCCUCGUUGCUCCAUAGAUUGAGCUAUAGCAUCGCGCACAUGCGUCUCCACUAACUAGAGGUAGAGACACAAUGGAUGCAUCUCCAUUAAUUGAGCUAUGGAGACAUGUGAGUUUUUGCAUCACCAACCCUAAGAAGACAUACUCAGUAGUGAUACUUGCGAAUGUGUCGCCACUCACGUCGCCAAACUCCAUAACAACACACGUCUCCUUAGAGUUCUUGGCACGUCACUAUUGACCUGUUUUGUUGUAGUGGUUGUUGAUAAUUUUUAAUUAACUAUUAUAUUAUAUUUUUUAUUAAAAUCAUAAUUCUUUAGCCGACUAUUUUUAUUAAAUUGAAUAUGGACUAUUUUUUAUUUAAAAGUAAAUAAUUUAAUUUUUUAAAUUUAAAUAUUGACUAAAUUUGUGAAUAACAUAUAUAACCUUUUGGUAAUUUCUAAAAUCAAUUGCUUAUUUAAGUGUUUAUUAAAGUAAACUUCUUUAAUUGGUUAUUUUUAUUACAUUAAAUAUUGACUACUUUUGUCUAUUUUAUGACAUUAAAUAUUGACAAAUUUUUCCAUCAUUUUUUUAUUUAAAUUAAUAUAUAUUUUUAGUUAGUUCACCUGUAAUGGGAGUUAAGAACUUAAUAAGAACUAAAAUAUUUAAUUGAAUGUUUAUAAUUAUUAUUAAAAAUAUUUUAUUGAUAAAGAAGUUAAGUGUAAUAAAAAAUUAAUAAAAAAAUUUAAUAUUCAAUUUAAUAAAAAUAUUAAUUAAUGGAAUCAUAGUUUAAUAACAACUAUGAGAAAAUAAGGAAAGUAAUAAAUUAUUUGAUAAUUAAUUAAUUAAUUUAACAAAAGAUAAUUGAUUAAGAAUUUAAAACGGUUUACUUGAAUCACGGAAAUAUUUUUUUUAAAAUAGCCAAUAUUUAAUUUAAAAAAUUAAGAAUUUUAAUUUAAAAUAGAAAAUAUUUGUUGGCACUCAAUUAAGUAAAAAUAUGCAAAUAAAGUAUUUUUUAUAUGAAUGCUAUCAAGUGGAUGUUCAUUAUAAUCAACCUUUCACCUUUUAUGUUCAUCAACUCUUCACCUUUCAUCUUCUUGCAACUUAUUUCCUAUUUAUGUAUUAGAAAAUGAGAAGUCUAAUCUCCAUAUAUAUAUAUAGGAGUAUACUACUUGUAAUGAUGAUAAAAAAAAGAUAAGAGAAAUGCAAUAGAAAUCUCUAUUUAUUCACAUCUAUUUUUCUUGUGUUCUUUGCAUUAUUAUUAUUUUAUAACAUGUUAUAAGCACAAGCUUACUUGAUAGUAUUCAAUAUUUUAUUGGAGAGCAAAUAAUCUAGACAUACAACGUCCUUGUUGAAGCAACACUUCUAAGGUAUGUGAUUUUCUAUGUGUGCUUGAAAGAUUUUGAGAUUUCAAUAUUCUUAAUGAAAAAAAAGUUAAAAAUGUUGCUAAUUUUUUUCGUAUUUAAGUAUGAAUUUAUGUUUUAUAUAUUUCAUGGUAUGCUUGUUUAUAUUCUAAGACUUUGAAUAAGAUUGAAGUAUCAACAACUUGAAUAUUUUUACUUAAAUAUGUAUAUCUUUCAUAACAUAUGUCAUUGAUACGAUUAAAAAAACAGUAAUAAUUUUCAAAAAUUUUAUUUUAUUUGGUGACCUUUACCAAAUGUACUACGUUGCCUAUUAGAUUAUUAGAUUAUUGUUUUUGACACUAGAGGCUAAUGUUCAAUAUUUGGAUAUGUCGUAUGCAAAACUUAGAAAAAUUUAAAUAUACUUGUAUCGAAUAUAUAUCCAAAUGCAUAUGACAUAGUUGAUGGCUAUUUGUUUCUAUGGAAACCUUGAUUAUAGUAAAUAGGAUAAUGCGAUGUCUAUAGAUAAUGUUCCAUAAAACAUUUUUGGGGUAUUUUAAUAGCAUUAUUUUUAUUCCUUGAGUUUUAAUAGAUUUAGAGGAUCAUAUUUCUAUACUUAAGUUUGAAUAGACAUGAGUAAUAGUGCUUUCUUGUUUUAGUUGUUAGCUCAAAAUAUAUAAAUUGACAGAAAUAAUUAUGAGGAAGUUACCAUUGUGGAAGUUCAAUGAUUAUCAUCUACAUGAAGGAUUAAAAUUGGAUUAUCUAAUUGUAAAAGAUCCUCUUGACUCUUGAAUUGCGUAAUAAUUUGAAAAAUUGAUUUGACCAUUAGAAAACGAUAAUACUCUCUAAAGCUUGUAUAAUUGAAAUAUCUUAUGUGCUCCUACAAUAUCAAUAUUGUGAAAAAGGCUUUAAAAAGUUUUUUGAAAUGAUCUCAUGCCUUCUAGUGAAAAAGACUCCAUACCCUGAAGUGAAUGUAACAAUAUAUAACAAUUAUGAAAAAUCAAAAUAUAGAUAUCGUGGUUGUCGUUGUUAUUGAGGAUGUGGUUAGAGAUGUACUAAUAAUCGUUGUCAUGGUGGUUAUAACAGUGGUACUUCUAACCACUAGAAAAAGAAUAAAAAGGAAAAACAAGAAAAUUAUGGAUAAAAUAUUCAAAGGUUAUUGAAAAAUCAUGCUACCAAUGUGGUAUGAAAAUGCAUUGGUCACAUACCUGUCGUAUGUUUAAGCAUUUAGUAAAACUUUAUCAAAGCAUCCACUAAAACAAAAGGGAAACAAUAUUGAGAUAAAUUUCGUUAUCCCAAAAUGGGGUAUGAAAAUGCAUUGGUCACGUACCUAUCGUAUGUUUAAGCAUUUAGUAAAAAUUUAUCAAAGCAUCCAUUAAAACAAAAGGAAAACAGUAUUGAGACAAAUUUCGUUAUCCCAAAAUAAUGAAAUAGAGUAUAAUUUUUCGGAAAAAGAUGAAAGUUUUCAAUAUGAUGGUAAAGAUAACCAUGUUAGAACUGUAAAUAAUAGCUAAUAUAAAAUUAGAAUUGUAAACCAGGAUCUAUCAUGUCAAAUCAUCAAAAAUAAAUCAAGAGCAAAAGAUGCGGAAGCGUACCUGGAUUCAUUGAUUUCUUGAAAUCUAUGGAUCUUGGGGUUUUCAUCUUCCAAAUUAGCACACAAGUAAUCUAGAAAAGUUGGAUCUCUCUUUUCUAAAAAUGGGAUAUUAGAAAAGUUACCUUAUCGUGUAAUUUGGGGACCAUAACCCUAAUAUAUAUAACUUUGACACAUUAGCCCUAAUUUCUAAUCAACCCAUCAUCAAUAAGAAAUUAGUUACUAGAGUAUCUACACGUAUUCGACCCAUACUUUAUUUAAUAAUUAAAGCCCAAUAAAUUUUAACCAAAUUAGAUCAAUUUUAAUUUUGGGCUAACCUAUUAUGAUAGUAAAUAAUAACAUGUAAUUGUCCUUAUUAUAUAUAUGAUGUCCAUAUUUUCCAACAAUCUCCCACUUGGACCACAUAUAUAUACUAACUACUCUAUAAUUUCAUGUCAUUAUAAAACCUUAUGAGCUCAAAACUUUACUAUCAUAUCCAAAAGGUAUUCCGAACAAUCUCGUCCAUUAAUUAUGUUAACAUAGGACUUUCGUUACAUAUAUCGUAACUAAAUCCAUCCCUGAUGAAACCUUGGCCUAAGUAAUCUCUUCAGAUCCUGUGCCCCUAAAGGCUUUUGGAAUGUUGUGCUUCAUGAUAAUUAGACUCAUGCAAUUUGAACGAUCCCACCUCUCAAAAUCCCUUUUAACAUAAGGGGUACUUUUUGUAGUGAGAGGUGCGGGUUGUUCUUCCCUUAGUGCAAGGUUUGUAAUGACUCGAUAGUCACGGGUGUCAAAAAGUGCAUUCCCGAGACUCCAUUCCCGUAAAUUAGACUCUUAAAUAUUUAUGAAGCUAGUUAUGUAGUUAAUUAGGUUUUGGUUAAGUGAAUUUGCAUGAAUUAAGAGUAAUUAGGUUUAAGGACUAAAUUUCAUAUAGGGUGAAAGCUGGAUUGUAGAUUAAACAAUAAUUAAAGGGCCUAAAGAAGCAAUAAUAACAUUGCUUCUUUAGUAGGAUGGCAUUAGGUAACCUAGGUGUAAAUUUAUUAUAUAUAUGAUAAUAACUAAAUUUAAAAUAUAUAUUAUAAUAUGUUUACUUAAUAUUUAAGUAAAUAUAUAUUAUAUAAUAAAAAAUAAGUAAUAAAAGAAAUAAAGAAAGACAAAAGCUAAACAAAUUAAAAGGAAAAGAAAGAAAGAAAAAGAGAAAGAAGAAAAAGAAAGAGAACCCACAGCUAAGGGUUUCAAAAGUUUCCAAGUUCAAUUGGUUAGUCAAUUUAGUCAUUUUUCUUGUACUUUCUAUGUUUUUAGAAUCCCGAUGUUAAGUUAUUACCUGACCCAUGUUGAAAUUUUAGCAUUGAUUGAGUUUUUAAAUGUUGUUAAUGUUGAAUAAUUUUAGUAUUAGGGAUUAAAGUGAUAGAUUUUUAAGUUAGAAGUGAAAAAUGAUUAAAUUGUAGAAUAAAUUGUAAAUUUUGAGUAAUAGGGACUAAAUUGUGAAAAUUUUAAAAUUUAGGGAUUUAAGUGAAAAUAGGGAGUUAAUUUUAGUUUAAAGUGAAAUUUGUGGAAAAGUAUACAAUUAAUUCUGAAGAAUAAAAAUUAAUCUCGAUUUAGGGACUAAAUUGAAAUUUAGGCAAAUAUUGAGUUAAAAUUUAAAAUAUUCAAUAUGAAAUUGAAUUGUGUUAUAUUGAUGAAUUUUAAUUGUUUUAAUUCCGUAGCUAACGUCAUACCGAAAUCUUCGACUAAAAAGGGGAAAGAUAAAAUUGACGUCGAAUAGCUUAGAAUUCCUAGUUUGUAUUUCUAUAAUUCGAACUUAGUUGUUAAUUGUUAUAAUUCAAUUUAAUGCAUAUGGUAAGUGUUGAGGUGAGUAAUUGACAUUUGAUAAUUGAUUGAAAUGGAUUGAAUUGGUAGAUACAUAUUGAAUGUAUUGACUAUUGAAUUGAAAUGAAUAUAUGUGUUAAUAUGAAAAUUGGAUAUUGGUUAUAUUGAAUGUAUUGACUAUUGAAUUGAAAUGAAUAUAUGUGUUAAUAUGAAAAUUGGAUAUUGGUUAUGUCUGAAAUGUGAAAUUAAACCAGAUUAACUGUAUUGGGCUGAUUCAGAUAUAGAUGGAAUGCCAUAGGAUAGGAAGAGUUCAGGGACUUCUUCGGCUUCGAGUCGAUGAGGCAUUGGGUGCCAUUUUACUUUGGUUUAACCGAUGAGACACUGGGUGUCAAAUGUAUAUGCGCUGGGCGCAGAUACUACUUCGGAUUUAACCGAUGAGGCAUUGGGUGCCAAAUUGGUGUGUUGGCUGGAUCUGUGUAUCCAUCCAAGUCUGAGUCGUGUUAAUAGGGGUAAUGAAAUAAAACAGUGCUAUGAUUGAUAUUGAAUGAUAUUGUAUGUGAAUUGAAAAUGAGAGAGUGAAUUGAAACAUGAAAAUGAGAUACAUGAAUUAUGUAUUCAUAAUUGGAUAUGGAAUGGAUAAUGUUAUUGUUUAAAUGAUAUGUGGAUCAAAUUGUGAAAAACUAUUAUAUAGCAAGUGAUGGGAAUUGAGUAUGGUAUAAAAUGAUGUAUUUAUGAUUUGAGUAUUGAAUGACUAAUGCCAUUGUAUGAAUAAAUGUGGUUUUAAAUAUUCAAUUGUGCUUAUAAUUAAUAUGUGCAUAUUAUAUUAUCUUGUCUUUAAUAUUCGGAUUAUAGAAAUACUACUAAGUUUAACUCAGCUUACGGUUUUGUUUUUUGUUCCCAGGUUAGGUAUUUAACUUUUGAUCGCCGAUUCAGCAUCUAACAACGAUCCUGAACUCAAAUGUGGUGGUGUUUAUCUUUUGUGCCGGCAUGUACCUAGGGUGUCUAAGUAAUAGUUAUUUUGUGGAUUGAUUGUAAAUGAGGUUAUAAGUUUAAUAUUGGUUUGGUAUAUAUAUAAACAUGUGUUUGUGUUUGAAGCCAUAUUAUGGCAUGAUAAGUUGAAUCAAAUCUAUGUAUGUGCAUGUGAAUUUAAAUUGGUGUUUAAGUGCUUAUGAACUAGGCAAAAUGGAUUGAAAUUGGUAUGUUUAUAAUUUGGAUUUGAAUGAUGUUUUAAUGAUAUAAAUGUGGUACUAAUAAGGGUACAUUGGUUAGGCACCUAGGAUGAUUGUAUUGGCAUGUUUUGAAUGUAUUUGAUCGUGUUUUGAACUGGUGAUACGAAUGGUUUUUGAGUUGUUUAAUGCCCGAGCAUGUAGGAAAUGAUAAAUUGUUGUUUAAAGUACAUUUUAGGUCCACACGGCUAGGCGUCCGAGGCCAUUUCGAAAGGGUACACGACUUGGCACAUGGGCGUAUGACUUGGCCGUGUGACCCAAGUUAGAGAGUUACAUAGGCAUAGACACGGGCUGGGACACGGCCGUGUGUCCCUAUUUCGAAUGCCCACACGGCCUAAGACUCGGGCGUGUCUCUUGGCCAUGUGAGUCACACAGCUUGGCCACAUGGGCGUGUGACCCCUGUAGCUUUGAAAAUUUUUAAUGUAUUUCAAAAAAUUCUCUGAGUUUCCAAAUUAGUCCCGACUUAUUUCAAACACUUAUUUUUGGCCUCGAGGGCUCGAAUAAGGGACAGUAUAUAUGAGUUUGAUUGGUUUUUGACCUGAAUAUUAUAUGAUAUGAAAUGUUUGAAAUUUCUGUCUGUUUGAUCUGUAAACUCCGGUAAUUCUUCGUAAGUCGGUUUCGGUGGUGGAUACAGGUUAAGGGUGUUACAAGAUCUAUGUCCAUACAACCAAGCAUUAUAAAUGUCUUUUCCAUUCCUUAAAAUUAGUCUCAUUAAACAUGGGUAUAAAAUUUAUAUUAGCAGAUAUUGUGGCAAUAGAAGAUGAACUAGCUGAAUAUAGAAAAAAAAAACAAGCUCACAUCAAUAUUCAUAAGUAAGCAAUAAAUUCAAGAUAAUGACUAAUCCCAUCUCAAGAUACCAAACACAAUAUUAUUAUUAAGUCUUUGGACAAUAAUAUUAACAGUAAACGAUACUCUUGUUGUAGCAAUCAAACAUUGACAACAAAUUAUGUCAAACAAUAAAUUAAUCUUUAGACUAACUUAUUGUAGCAGCCCACUUUUGGGUCAAAUCAGAACAGUAGUUUCAGGACCACAAAUCUGAAGUUAAAAUAUUAAUUUUAUUAUUAUAUUAAAGUUUACAGCAUGAUAGAAUUAUUAACUGAAAGUUUCGUAAAGAAAUUUUACUGUUUGGAUGCUUAAUUCGGUAAAAAGAACUAAAUCGCGUAAAGCAUAAAAGUUGAGUUCUAAUAGCUAAAGGUAUUAAAUAGCUAUAAGGUUUUAAAGUGGAAGUCCUUAUGUGGUAAUUCUUCCACAAAUGAUUUAGUGGAAGAUAUUGGCUUGGCAAUUUUAAAAUUUGGUUUAAUUUCAAAGGUUAAUUAGGUAAUUAAGUAAUUAAAGUUAUAAUAAAUAAAACCAAACAAAUUGUCAUCUUCUUCCGUUCUUUUUAAACCGAAUAUCAAAGAAAGAAAAGCCAUUUUUGGAAGCUAGGGUUCGGAAACUUUGAAUGCUUAAUUGAUCAAGAAAGAAAGAAAUCGGACUUAGAUCGGGGGAAAUCAAAAGUUGACGAGUAGUCGAUCCGAUCCGUUCGUUCUGUAUCUGAGGUAAGUUCAUAUGCAAAUAAUGCGUUUAAAUUGUGUUAAUUAUAUCAUUGUAUUGCAUAAAAUGUUGAAAAGAUGAAAACAAGCCAGAAUUGAUAGAGCUAAGAUGUCCGAAAGUCUUGGACGAACCAUAGGAAUAAUAUAGGAUACAAAUGUCAUGACAUAGAACCUUUACCAGUGGAAUGGAUUUCCUUCUCAGAACAUUAACGUUGCGAUCCAGAAUCUAAACUGGCUCUUCCUCAAAGGUCAAAUCUGGCUUAACCCCGAUCUCUUCAACAGGGACAAUAUGAGUAGGAUCAGAGUGGUAGCGCUUCAACAUGUCCUCCAGUAUUUGAAUCACCCUCUCAGGCUGACCAUCGGUCUGAGGAUGGAAUGCAGUACUGAAGUCCAACCUUGAACCCAGAGCCUCAUGUAACUUUCUUCAAAACUGAGACGCAAAAUAAGGAUCCUUAUCAGAGGUGAUCGAAACCGAUACUCCAUGCAGUCUCACUAUCUCAGAAAUAUAAAGCUUCGCCAGCUUCUGCAGAGAAUAAUCAGUACGAACCGGUAUGAAGUGGGCGGACUUGGAAUCAAUCCAUGAUGACCCAUAUUGAAUCCUUCUUAGUGAGUGUUAGAGGCAACCCAUUAACGAAAUCCAUAGUUACGCGCUCCCAUUUCGAAAGAGGAAUCUUAACUGGCUGCAGCAAACCCGAAGGUAACUGAUGCUCAGCUUUAACCUGCUGGCAAGUCAGACAUCUGCCCACAAAAUCAGUAACCUCACCUUUCAACCCUGGCCACCAGUAUAACUCACGGAGGUCUCAGUACAUCUUAUUUCUGCAAGAAUGCAUAGCAUAAGGGCUACUAUGCGCCUCUCUUAGUAUGGCCUGUCUCAAAUUAGUAUUAUUCAGAACACAGAUUCUCCCACGAAAAUAAAGUACAUCAUUGUUCAGUCCAAAAUCCGUAGUACUACCACCCUUAAUUUGCCGGAAUUGAAGACCCAACGACUCAUCCUCCAACUGCUUACCCUUAAUCUGCUCAAUCCAUGAGAGCUUAACCUGAAGCUCGGCUAAUAAACUACCAUCAUCAAAUAAACUUAGGCGAGCAAAUAUCGCCCUUAAAUCAGUCAUAGCCCUACGGCUCAGUGCAUCAGCCACCACAUUAGCCUUACCAGGGUGGUACACAAUGAUGCAGUCAUAGUCUUUGAAUAGCUCAAUCCAUCUGUGCUGCCUAAAAUUAAGUUUCUUCUGAGUGAGGAGAUACUUGAGGCUUUUAUGAUCAGUGUAGAUGAUACACUUCUCACCAUACAAAUAAUGCCUUUAAAUUUUUAGUACGAAUACCACAACGGCUAACUCUAAAUUAUGCGUUGGAUAAUUCACCUCAUGGGUCUUAAGUUGACGAGAUGCAUAGGCUACCACAUUACCAUCCUGCAUCAACACACAUCCCAAAUCGAUAUGUGAUGCAUCACUAUAAAUAGUAAACUCCUUUCCAGGCUCCGACUGUAUCAGAACAGGGGCCACAGUCAGUACAGUCUUAAGUUUCUCAAAGCUCUCUUGCUGCGCAUCAGUCCAGUUAAAUGGCACACCCUUACGUAGCAGCUUAGUCAAGGGUGCUGCAAUCAAUGAAAAACCCUAUACAAAUUAUCGACAAUAUCCCGCUAGUCCCAGAAAAUUACGGAUCCCAGACACGUUCCUAGGCUGCUUCCACUCCAACAUAGCCUCAAUCUUUCGAGGAUCAAAUUGAAUCCCCUUAACUAAAACUAGAUGACCAAGAAAUAUCUCCUCAUGCAGCCAGAACUCACACUUACUAAACUUAGCAUAGUGUUGUUUUUCCCUCAAAGUUUGAAGAACGACUCGAAGGUGCUCAUCAGGCUCAUCCUCACUCUUCGAGUAAACCAAUAUAUCGUCGAUGAAUACCACUACAAACCAAUCCAAAUAAGGCUGGAACACUCGAUUCAUUAAAUCUAUGAAAGCUGUCGGUGCAUUAGUUAAUCCGAAUGGUAUCACUAGGAACUCGUAGUGACCAUGACAGAGUCCUAAACGCCAUCUUAUGAACACCAGUCUCCUUAACCCUUAAUUGAUGAUAUCUAGAUCAGAGGUUAAUCUUGGAGAAACUCGAAGCUCCUCAAAACUGGUCAAACAGAUCAUCUAUCCUCGGUAGGGGGUAUUUAUUCUUAAUGGUCAUCUUGUUCAGUUGUCGGUAGUCAAUGCACAUCCGCAUGGAUCCAUCCUUCUUCUUUACAAACAGUACCGGUGCUCCCCACGGAGACAUACUAGAUAGGAUCAACCCAAUAUCUAAUAACUCCUAAAUCUAAGCCUUAAGCUCCGUAAGCUCCUUUGGUGCCAUUCAGUAGGCGGCGAUAGACACCAGAGCUGUACCAGAAAAGAGCUCUAUCCCAAACUCCACUUCACGAUUCGAAGGUAAAACUGGUAGCUCCCUAGGAAAGACAUCUGGAACAUCCUUUACCGUUCUGAUAUCCUUAACUGUAGAGUCUCUAGAAUCUGAAAAAUUUACAUAGGGCAAGAAUGCCUCACAUCCCAUACAAACCAACUUCUCUGCCACCAGUGCAGAGAUCACAUUAGAUAAGUAGUUCCGACGUUCUCCAAUCAUGACUACCUUCAUAUCCUCCUCAAUGAUUUUCGCCUUCUCGACCAGGGCAGAAAGAUCUCACUCCCUCUACAGGGCUAUUAGAUGUCUCAAAUUAUCUCUGAGGCCAUCCUCAAAACGGACACAUCGCUCAUACUCAGAUGCCACCAUACCUCGCGCAUAGUGGCUUAGUCUAAGAAACUCGGCCUCAUACUUGGCCACUGAUCGAUCGCCCUGUGUAAGAUUCAGAAACUCCCUCCUACCUGUAUCCACAUAACUAGCUCCGACAUAUUUCCCCUGGAAGGCAGUCUUAAAGAACUCCUAGGUCAGAAGUUCGAGCUGAGUGCCCUCCUUAACGGUCAACCACCACUGAUAAGCCUCGUCCCACAGCAGCGAGACUGCACCCUUUAAUUUUUGCUUAGGGGUGCAAUCUAGAUCAUCCAUGAUCCUCUCCGUGGCCUCAAUCCAGUACUCGGCUACAUUAGGUGCGACCCCAGUGACACCCCUGAAGAGCUCAACUCCAUUGGAGCGGAGUCAUUUCGUAACAUACCUUCAGCCCUUAAAUCCAGUAUUGGGCCCAACGACCCUCUCCAAAAUCCUUAGCAUAGCCUGAGACAGUGCAUCGUCCCCAACCAUACAAUCUUGAGACCCAGUCUUAGUAGCGGGCACCACUAGCGUCUCAAUUGUAUCCAAAUUUGGCAGGCUGCCUGAUGAUGGGGACUCAGUUCGACCCCUCUACGGCUUUUACCUUGGCCUCUAGUACCCCAUCCGCGGAUACCUCAUGUGCUCAUAUCUAAUUGAAUUUAUCUGGUGUUAUAAGUUUUAUGAAUCAGUUACAGUUCCAGUGUUUAUUAACAAAUAUUUUAUGUAAAAUAAUAUCAGUUAUUCAAAGUUCAUUUUUGUAAAUCGCAGUCUCACUAUAAUUUCCAGUUUCUUUACAAUUUUCAGUAUACACUAACUACAGUGUUUUUAGUAUAGUUUACUACCUAUAGUAGUUUUAGAAUAUACUAUUCAUAACAGUUUCAGUUUAAAACAAAUCACAGUUCAAAAUACUUACAGGAUCCGCGCCGGAGACUCAGUGUACCACUUACUUAGUAAAAACAAUUCAAAUCAUUUGGAAAUAAAUCAAUUUUUGAAAGCCCAAUUUUUAUAAAACCCAUAAUCCACAGUCGUGUUUUGUAACCUCGCUCUGAUACCACUAAAUGUAAUACCCCAAACCAGAUCCAGACAUUAUGGCUGGAUCUAGCGAUGUCACAUUAUAGGGUGUUUGAAAACCGUGCCAUCGCAUUAAAACCAUUUCCAUUGAAUUCCUUAUCUUAAUAUCUUAUUAGUUCCAAAAUUGUGUUACUCAUUUAAUCGAUAGUUUUAAAAUGUUAUUCGUUUGCGAAAGCUUUUAAAACAGAUUAAACAAUCGUGUAUUUAGGAAAAACAUUUGUUUCUUUUGAAAACUAAGGUUUUCUACUAUUAGCAGUUGUAAUCCAUAAGGUAAAGAUAAUUAAAACCCAAAACCAAAGUCCGAUAGUCCAAUUACAACCCAAAAACUUAACCAGUAAAAAUAGAAUAGAAAUAAAAUCAAUUAUCGUAAAUAUGGGUUAAAAACCAUGAAAGUCGAAAAUCGUGGUCGCUGUCGAGUCCUCCGCCGCACCGAUCCGUCUAGAUCUGGGGAUUACCUGUGCCCAUUUAAACAAAAUGGGUGAGUUUUUGAAAACUUAGUGUGUAAUUCCACAGAAAAUAGACAAUAGCAAAUCACAGUGCAUAGUUAAAGCAAUUCUGGGCCUAAGCCCUUUUUUAGUAUCAGUAAUAGUUUGGGCCUUAGCCUAUCAUAGUAUCAAUAGUAGUCAUGUAUUAUUUAGUAAGAAAGUCCUACCCAACCAGCCUUUAUACACCAUCUCCGUCCAACCCUACACUCCAUGUGGGGAUCAAAUCAACCCACCCAUCCCUACACUCCAAGUAGUACCAAAUGCGGCACAAAAAAGUAAUUUGCAGCUGAGCUACCAGUAUGUUAGGCUUAAGAGCCUCUCAAUACACUUCUUCCUAAUAUAAUUAACCCAACCCCAUGCAAUGCAACAUACAAGUCAUGACAUGCUAUCUCAGGACAUCAGUACAUAUAACCAGUUCAGUAUACAAGCAUACUAUCAUCAUGCUCAACACAUAUAUAAAUCAAACAGUCAGUUCAUACAAUUAUGGGUCUAAGUGAUACUUACCGACCCUACAGUAGGUUCACAGUCGACUUGGGUGACCCGUGCAACCUUAGCAAUCAAUUCAGUGAAAAUGUGCUCACACGCCCAUGUGGUCUGCCCGUGUGACCCACUCAGCCCAAAUUGGUCUUGGCCGCAUGAUCCAUUUUUAAUGUAACCCGUGCUAGCUAAAUAUUCAUAUAUGUUUUCUCUAUUUACUUAUAUGUUCCUUCAAAGCUGUCUACUUGAGUCACUAUUACUAAAUUAUUUAUAUUUUGAGCUUCAGAAUUCUAAAUUAAGGUCCACUUGAUGUCUUUGAAACUAGACUUAAAUAUCUUUCUACCAUAAAAUUUUUAGAAUUUUUGGUUCAGCCAAUAAGUAUAGUAAAAUCUUCAAUCUUACCCCUAUUCUGCUGUCUGAUAGCUUCGACCUUUCUUUGCUAAAAAUUAAUUAUCUCUUAGUAAAAAUUUUUGAUGAUGUUACCAUUUGUUUCUAUUGAAAAUAGAGUCAUUAAUAAUUUAAAAAUGUAAAUUUUAACCCCUAAUUAUUUUUCUCCAAUUUUUGGUGAUUUUCCAAAGUCAGAACAGGGGAACCUGAAUUUAUUCCGACAUUGUCUCACAAAACUUAUUAUAUCUCACAAUUUACAAUCCGUUACUUACACUGUUUCUUCUAUGAGAGACUAGACUUAAUAAGAUUUAAUUCCAUAUUUUUUUCAUCCUCUAAUUCUAUUUCCAUAAUUUAUGGUGAUUUUUCAAAGUUAGUCUACUGAUGCUGUCCAAACAAGAAGCAAUUUUGGCUUUUUGUCAAAUCCCAUUUUCUGUGUUUUGGGGACACACCUGGUUUUGUUUGAUGAGAAAACAGUCCCCGAACACUCCAAAGCCUAUAAUUGAACAAAUAACACUAAUUUAAUCUCACAUAACGUGAUCCCAAAUCAAAUUUGUAUCGAGGUUUUAACCUAUAAGCGACUAAACCUUACCUUCAACCGAUGAAUAGUAAUUCCAACACAAACUAAGACUCUGAUUGGUGAUUACGAGCCCCUGAAUCCUCCCCUAAUUGGCAUAAACAAAACACUUUAGAAGAAAAUUAACAAACGGGGACAAAUCACUUAUCUAAAACUUACCGAACGAUCGCAGACAAACAUGGAGCAACACGAGGCGGAGUGGGAAAAGAAAAAUCAAGAAGAUGAAGGGUGAAAGAGAGCAGAAAUUCAGAAGCAAUGAAGAGAAAAAUGGCAAGAGGGUGGAGGGAUUUUGGGGAAAGUAAAAAAAGAAAAAAAAGAAAAAAAAUGUUUUGGUAUGAUUUUGGUAUAUGGUAUGAAUAUAUAUAUGUUUUGUGAUGUUGUAUACAUUUGUCCAAAUUAUUAGAGAUGUCUUGUUGUUUAUAUGAUUGAUAUUGCAAAAAAAGAAAUUGUAUUAUAUGUGUUAUGGUCAUUAAUGUUUAAAUGUUGCAGAUGUAUGACCGAAUGCCUUGUGAUGUGUUAAAUUAAUUAUGAUUAUUUAGCUAUAGUUUUAGAGUGUUUAAUAGCAGUAUGCUCUUUUUAAGUAUGUUGUGAGAGUAUUUUAUGAAAUUAAUUAUAAUGUGAUAAUUGUCUAUAAAUGUAUGUAUUGAACCAUGUUAUGUUCUGUAAUGCCUCGUAAGCCCUUUCCGGCAAUGGAUACGGGUUAGGGGUGUUACACUUAUUGCUAACAUAAAUUACUUAUAAUUGUGACACAUUUAUCACCACAGAUGUCGUUGAAAUUCUGCCAAAUAUUAACUUACCUUUGGGUCAAUUAAUAAACACAUGAAUCACAAAAAGCAUAUAAUCAUCUUAUUAUUUUAAAUAAACUAAUCUACAUAAAAGAUGUCACUUUGGCGGCAUUUUGUUUCAACUAAUCUAUUUAGAAUAUUAGGCAUCCUUAAUUAAAUCUCAAAGCCAAAAUCUGAAUUUAUUUAUUUCAAAAUAUUUCUCUUCAUUUCAUCUUUCAAUCUAAUUAAAAGAUAAUAGUAUAUAUGUGUAUAUAUAUUUAUCCCAAAACAACAUACAAUGAUGUUGGCAAAUAUAAUAAUAGUUGAAUAAAUAAUAAACAACCUAACAUAAGACUUCAAAUUUAAACCAAAAUAAUUUGAAUAAAGGUAAAACUCAUCUUAAAUAUCAAACACUCCUUUAAUAUUUCAUAUUUGGACAAAAUAUUAACUUGUAAGUGAUAUAUUGGUGUAAUAAUCAAACAUUGACAAUAAGAACAUGUCGAACCAUUAAUCUUCCUUUGGGCCAAUUUAUUACUCACGUGUAAAACUGAAUAACUGUCACAUGUUUAUUAUCAUAGUUGCACAUGUAAUAUUAUUAACCUUUAUUUGGGCCGAUCAAUAUUAACAUAACUUAAGUUACAUUCGCACAACCUUUUAUAUUUUAAAACAAAACAAAUUAUACAAAAAUAUCACUUUGGCGACUUAUUGCUUCAAUUAAGUUAUUUUAAAAUAUAUAUAAUUAUACCAAUACUCGAAUGUAAAAUGUUCAUAAUAGUCAAAAGUCAGAACUAAAAUUUCUGAUUGCACUACAGUUUUUGAAAUAACCCAAAGUAAGGUUGUCUAAAUCACACUAUCAAAAAUAAAUAAAUAAAUAAACCUUAAAUUUUGACUAAUAUUAUAAUUAUUUUAUCAAUAAAAUUCAAAACAAAAUUUUAUUAAACCAACCUUAAAACCAAAUUCUUUAAACAUAUAUUAUAAUUAACAUGGGUUUACUUCAAAGCACCUAAAAUUUGAAUAAAUAUCCAUACCAAACAAAUAACAACUUCAAUGAAUGUCCAUCAAACCAAUUUAACAUAAAAUCAUAAUUGAAACCAUAAAAAAAUAAUUAUCAACAAUCUUAAUAUAAAUACACACAAAAAUUAGAACCAUAAAUAUUUUAUAGAUUCAAUAAAAACCAAUUUAAACAUAUAUUUAUGCAGCCAACCAACAAAAAAGUUAUAACCUUUGAGGUAAUUGGCAGCCGCGGAACUUAAAAUGAUUGAGGUGGUUAAUUUCAACAAAUUUUUUUGUGAGCCAAACAUGACUGGAACCCGUCGAGCUCCUCUAAGUAUUUGCUGGACAAUUCUCUUAACUUGCUAUAAAAUGUCAAGGCUUUUAAACAAUAAGCAACUUAGGCCUAGUCAAAUGUAGAAUACUCAAUACAACAAAGAUUUUAGCAAGAUGCAAAACUCAUUUAACUUAGAAACUAGGCAUGUGCUAAACUGAGCCAAGUCCUAGCAACAGAUUCUGACAGUUUAAAUCUUAACACCCGAAACAUAGAUUUCAAAGGUAUUAUCAUAGAUAAUCAAAAUUUAAAAAAAAAUUGAUUCUAAUUAUUCAACACAUAUUGUCACAAUUGAAAGGUAAUAGUUAAACCAAAAUUACAAACUUUCAUGAAAUUAAGACUGCACAGAUUUCGUAAGUUACAAAAUUCAAAAAUAAUUAACUCACUUAAUUCUUUAUUAUCGAUUAACAAAAAAUGAAGGCUGAAGCAUAAAUAAAUUUAGAAAGUCAACAAAUAAUAACCGAAACUGUAUAAAUACUCAAAAUUUACAUACCUGUAAUUUUUUUAAAAUUUAUUAUAAUCGACUAAAAAAACCAGCCUGCAUUCAAUGCACUUCAAAAUCAAAUUUGAUUCUUCUUUCUUUAAUUACAAAGAAUAUAUAACACAAACGAAAAAAAAUUGAAAACAUAAAAAUAAUUCAAAACACAAUACUUUGAUUUCACCAUCGAACGAGAGACUAAACCAAAUAAAAAAAAUAUGAGACUUGGAUUUCAUUUGUGUUUUCUCUGUAACCUAUACUCAAUUUUAAAUAUUAAAAAAAUAUAUUCAUCGAUCCAAAUCUUCUAAUUUUAAUCUUUAGUCGUGAUUUUCAUAAUGAAAUCUUAACCAAAACCUUGCCUUGAAUUUAUUUUUUCGUUAAAAACAAAAAACUCUUUUAUGCAUCAUCAACGCCUAAACAAAAAUUUGAGAUUACCAUAUAAAUCAAUGAUGACAACCAAAAGCAAUUUUUUUAACACAUUAAUUCUGAUAUUUCGAUUAUACAAAUUAGAAAUAUAAAAAUAAGAAAAAAAAACCAAAAUCGUUAUUAAGAAGUUAAUAAUUUACCUUAAUCAUAAAAAUUUAAUUUAUAAAUAAUCAAUACAUAAACAUAUUAAGAUGAAUAUCAAAUAUCAACUUUUAUAUAAUCAAAAUAUCAAACCCAUGAAAUUUCAUGAACCAAUCAUUUAAAAAAUAAUAGAAAUUUAAUUAAUAUUCCCAAUGAUUUGACAUGAUAAGGCUCUGAUACUACUUGUUAGAACCGUAAAUAAUAUCUAAUAUAAAAUUAGAACUAUAAACCAGGAUUUAUCAUGUCAAAUCAUUAAAAAUAAAUCAAGAACAAAACUAGAUACGGAAGCGUACCUGAAUUCAUCGAUUUCUUGAAAUCUACGGAUCUUGGGGUUUUGAUAUUCCAAAUUAGCACACAAGUAAUUUAGAGAAGUUGGUUCUCUUUUCUAAAGAUGAGAUAUUAGAAAAGUUACAUUGUCGUGUAAUUUGGGGACCAUAACUCUAAUAUAUAUAACUUUGGCACAUUAGCCCCAAUUAAAAAUUAGUUACUAGAGUAUCUACACAUAUUCGACCCAUACUUUAUUUAAUAAUUAAAACCCAAUAAAUUUUAACAAAAUUUGAUCACUUUUAAGUUUGGGCUAACCUAUUACAAUAGUAAAUAAUAACAUGUAAUUGUCCUUAUUAUAUAUAUGAUGUCCAUAUUUUCCAACAGGCCAUGCAUACAAGGAUGAUUAAUAUGUUCUUAGUUUGUGCCAAAAUUUUGUUGGGAUCCAUGCAUUAAAAGUUAAUUGUUUGGUUUAAGAAUCAUUAGAAUCAAUGGCUACUUGAUAUUUGCUUGGGGAUGAUCUUUUUCUUUUCAUUACAAAGGAUGCUUACAAUCACUACUUCUCAUCCAUGGUAACCUAGGUAAGUCUAAUCAACUUGUUUUGAAAUUUGAUUUGAUUUCUAUUAAGAAGUUUAAUUUAUAUAAUUCUCUAUCCGUAACUCUAUGAAUUUAUAAAUCUCUUUACGCAUUUAGUUAUUGAGAUUUUUAUGUGGAGAUAAUUUUUUUAUUGGUUUAUUUUUAAUAGAAUUGAUUAGUUUAAUUUUAAUUUUGAUUAAAAUAUAUGAUUAUUGCAAAAUGGGAGUAAAAGUACUUACUUACCAUGAAUUUUGAGAUAUUCACUCUGUCUAGAUUGUUUCAUGAUUAAGGUGGAGGUUAGAAAAUGUUUAUGUUUAAACCUUUAUAACUGUAAAGUUAUUUUAAUAUGAACUUAUAAUAUUUUGCAUUUUAUUGUGUUAUAGUAUAUAUAUAAAAAUAUUAUUUAACCAUAGUGAUUUAUUAGUAAUAUGAAUUUAUUAUUUGUCAUGUUUAAUAUAUGUUUUAUUUAUACCUAUUCAUUUUAUUUUUAUAUGAGUAAUAAAGUUUUUGACUAUCAUAAAUUUUUAUCAUUCAUGUUGUAAAGAAGUGCAAAAGUGCAUAUUAUUUAAAAUAAAUUAAGCGUUCAUUAAGGUUUACACUUAUGUAUUUGUAUUAUAUAUACUCUCCGAAGAAAUACAUUACACGUAUAUGAUUGACAUAUGAGAUAGUGAAAAGAAAUUCAUAGUGUUGGUAUGACCGGCUAGAUCAUCCUAAGUCAAUGUUGAUGCAAAAUAAUUUGAUGAAAAUUUAUACGAUUUUAUUGAAGAAUUAGAAGUUAUAUUUUAAUAAUUUUCAUCAAUACUAGUUAUUUGGACAAUAUAUUGAUCUAACACUAGCUAAAGUUAGAGGUCGUUUGCAGUUUUAGAUGAUAAUCAAAUAAUAUAUGAGCUCAUGUAUCAUAUGUGUGCAACUCGAAGUUUGCGAUAUUAUUUCUUGAAAUAAUUUGAUUGUGCACAAUCUCUAUAGUAUGCAAUUUGUACUAACAACGCUGGUGCAUUAUAUCCCAAACUUGAUUUUUUGUAGCUUUAGUUGGGAUAAUAUUAAGUUGUCUAUGGCUAUAUAUGUUAUACUUAAUGGUUAGCAAAACUAUGCCUCCAUUUAAUUGCUUAACCAUUAAUAUAAUAAUAGCUUUAUAAUAAGCAUGUAAUUUUAUUUGCAUCAAGCCAACAUGUAAGAAAUAUUUGUCUAAUGAGAAUUGACUUCAUUUAUAAGCCGAUAGGUUUCAUCUAAGAAUAUUUGGAUGUGAAAUAUUCUAUUUUAUGAUCCACCAUAAUUCACUACGAUGAAUCAUCAAGUUGAGAAAAAAUAGAAUUUUCAUUAGAUGUUAAAAGUUGAAAGGAGAUAUAUUUAUAAUUUUAAAAAAAUAUUGUCUGAUGCAAAUUUUCUUAGUAUUAAGGGGAGACAAGUUGGUUAAAUAAUUAUGUCAUCACUUUUUGUGAUCCUCACUAAUAUUAUAUGCACAAAGUUUGAAGUGUAAAAUUAUUUGCCAGGUAUGUUUAGUGAUGACAUUUAAAAAUUGUAUAUACUAGUUGAUACAUAUACCAGCUAAAAUGCUCCAAAUAAUUAUAUGUCCUAAAAGGAUAAUGUGAUAAAAAUAAGUCUUAGGCAUGUUAAAAGCAUGGUAAACCACUUGAUUCCAUAAAAUGAAAAAUUCUUGAAAGAAAAGAGAAAGAAAUGAAUAUGGUCACAUGCUGAAGGAGGCGGGUACUUAUGAAGAGACCCAAGACAUAACUUUUGAUAAAACCCCAUGUUGGGGAUCAACCCGAUUAAGGGCCAGUUUUUCAUUGCUUUUGAAAAGUAAUGUGGAAAAGUGCUUUUGAGAAGUGCAUUUGAAAAGUUUGGUUUAAAAUUUGAGUGUUUAGCAUUGCUGUCAAAAAGUGUUUUUAAGAAAUAAAAUGUCCAUUUUAGACAUGUUAUUAUCAAGUAACAAAUAUGCACUUAAAUAAUAUUUAAAUUAGUUAAUAUUAUUAUAUUUUAGUAAGAAUAUAAAAAAUAUUAUAACUUGUUGUUAAUAUUUUAAGACAUAAAAUAUAAAUUUUAAAUAUUUUUAAGCAAUAAAUAUUAAUUAUUUAUAAAAUUUAAUUAGAAUAUAUAAAAUAUAUUUUAAAUAUUUAAAUAUAACCAUUAAUUAUUUGUAAUUAGUAUUUUAAAAAAUAUAUUUUUAUUUUUAAUUAAUGAUUUUAACACAUUUGUAAUUAAGCACCAAGAAGAAAAAAAAAAGGAAAAUACUAUGUUAUUGGAAGGGUGAAAAAGUAAUUAAGCACCAAAAGUGCUUUUGGGAGAGGAAAAGCUAAAAUUUUUAAUUUCUCCUUUUCAGAAGUGCUUUUCAAAAGCACUUCUGAAAAGCUAUAAAUUUUAGCCAAAAGCAGCUUAUUCUUUACAACUUUUCUUCCAAAAGUGCUUUUGGAGUCAGAAGUGCUUUUUUUAAGCAAUGAAGAACUGACCUUAAGCAACGAACAAGUAAAAAUAGCAAAAGAAAGUGAGAAAUUGAACACACAAAUUUAACAUGGAAAUACCCCUCCAAAGAGGAUAAAAAAACCACGGGCCAAGAUAAUUUUACUAUAAUGACAAAAGAACGAAGAGUACAAAAGAUGGAGAUAAAAACUAAACCCGAAAAUAAAGAAUCCUCAAAACGUAAACACAAAAUUCUCAAAAUGUGUUAUGAGUUCUAAUCUCUAAUGGGUGUGUUUUCUAAGGUUGUAAAAGAGUCUAUUUAUAGGCUAAAUUCAUAGGUCAAAUAAUAAAAAAAUAAUCUACACUAAUCAGAGCUUGAUUGAAAUAAAUAAACAGAGUUUAACUAGAAGAUUAUUUCUCAAAUUUGACUGAAAUAGGAGUCAUACUUAACAAAUCUCCACCUUGACUCAUAUUUUCUCAACGCCAUCUUUGCUAAAGCUUACCACGGGCCUAUCUUGAACUAUGCAGAGAAUUAACUGAGUUGAGUCUGUGCUUAGAAACUGGAAGUCUUCUAGCCUUCGACUUGUACACUGACAAAUCAAAAUUAACUUGGGUUUGAUUUUCACGAACACAGUGCGCCAAAUUUUCAAAACUUGCAUCCAAAAGAGAACCUCUCUUCAACGAAAUAGUCAUUCCUUUUUCCCUCCUAUAACCAAGUUGCCUCCACUCCAAACGAAUUGACUUUGACUCUGUAACGGACGAGGGACUUCCAAUUUCACAGGUCACUGUAGAACCUUCCAAAAUAUGAAGAUUUCCAGUUCUUUUACCUUUUAACAAAACGAGAGCUCCACGAGAUACUUUAAUGCUGCUCAACUCGAUGUUGAUUCUGCAUCCUUUUAAGUCUAAAAUACUUAAGGAGAUGAGAUUCUUUCGUAAAUGAGGUACAUACCUGACAUCUGAGAGUGUCCUAAACGUCCCAUUGUACAUCCUAAUUUUAACAGUACCAGUACCAAUUACCUUACUAGAUGAAUCAUUUCCCAUGUGCACAACUCCACAUUCAACUGAAUUGUAUGUGGAGAGCCAUUCUCUAUUGGGACACAUGUGGAAAGAACAUCCUGAAUCUAGGAUCCACUCAAACGUAAUCUUGGAUUUAUCGCUUGUUGACAGUAACAAGAAAUCAUCACCGCUUUCAUCGACCAAAUUAGCACCAACUAUAUCUUCCUCGUUACUCUCAGCAGUUCUUUUUUUCGCACUUUAUAACAAUCUGCUUUGAUGUGGCCUAACUUUUUACAAUAGCGACACCUUUUGUCUCAUUUCUUUGAUGCUACCAAAACGAAAGCUUGUCUAUCUGCCUCGCUAUCCAGACCAAACUCAUUUUUGAGUUUGUCUCUGCCAUAAAUCAGAGUCCCCCUGAAAGAAUUGUAUGAAGGGGUAAAGAGCACAAUAAUAGCAUAGCCUGAUCUUUAUCGUCAAUUUGAACCUCAACAUUCUUUAAAUCAUUUAAAAGAGUAAUGAAUUGACUAUGUGAUCUCUAAGAAGCUCACCUUCGUUCAUGCAAAUUGUAAAUAGACGUUGUUUUAACACUAAACGGUUAGCCAGAGACUUAGUCGCAUAAAGAGUUUCUAACCUUUUCCACAAGGUGGAUGAGGUCUUCUCCAUCAAAAUCUCCUGCAAUACUGUAUUCGCAAGGCACAACUAGAUUGUAGACAAGACCUUUCCAUCAAGCUCUUCCAAUUCUGUUUGAUUUAGAUUCUCAGGCUUUUUUCUGGUAACAACCUUUUUCAAGCUAGUUUGAACUAGAAUUGUCAUCAUUCGAACUUGCAAUAGAUUGAAAUUUGUCUCACCAUCGAACUUUUCAGUUUCAAACCUUGUUGCUGCCAUCUCUGAACUGGCUGAUCUAUGAAAAUUGAACUAGCUAUGAUAUCACUUGUUGGGAUCAACCCGAUUAAGCAACGAACAAGUAAAAUUGACAAAAGAAAUUGAAAAAUUGAACACACAAAUUUAACGUGGAAAAACCCCACUAAAGAGGAUAAAAAAACCACAGGCAAAGAUAAUAUUACUAUAAUGGAAAAAGAACAAAGAGUACAAAAGAUGGAGAUAAAAACUAAACCCCGAAAACCCAAAAAUAAAGAACCCUCAAAAUGUAAACACAAAAUUCUCAAAAUGUGUUAUGAGUUCUAAUCUCUAACGGGUGUGUUUUCUAAGGUUGUAAAAGAGCCUAUUUAUAGGCUAAAUUCAUAGGUCAAAUAAUAAUAAAAUAAUCUAGACUAAUCAGAGUUUGAUUGAAACAAAUAAACUGAGUUUAAUUAGAAGAUUAUUUCUCAAAUUUAACUGAAAUAGGAAUUAUACUUAACACCCCAGAAGAGGUUUAGGUACUUGAAAUUAUGAAUAUAAUAAGAUAUCUCAAUUAGUUAUGUCAUAACUAAAUAUGAUGGAGUUGACAAAAGGAAAUUGUUGUUGACAAUGAUAAUAUACGUAGAACACUUCAAUAUUAUGGAAAAGUGAUGAUCUUGAAUGAAAAUAUAUUUGAAAGGAUUGAUAUGGGAACAACUCAUCAAAAUAAAGAGACACUUCUAUUAUAACUUAUGAAAUGUAUCUCGGACUUAAAGUCCAAACACCUGGAAGAAGUAAAGUCAAGGGGAGUACAUGUUAGCAUAAUAACGAAAAAAAAUAUGAGUCAUAAUAUAUAGAAUUGACUUGUAACAAGAACGUUCACAAGACACUUGGUUUUUUUGUUAUGAAAAUUGAUUAAUUUGUGGUGGAUGCAAACACCAAAUAAAGUUAUUUAUUUAUGUCUAGUGAAUUUGUAUUCAGCUGAUAUAAAUUAUUUGAUAAUAUUGAUGCUUGUAGCACAAAACUCGAGUUUCGUGAGAAAAUCAUUAAAUGUAAAUAUGAUUUUGUUCAGGAGUUUUUUAUUAAUUAAUGUAUUUAUACAUAUAAGUUAUUAUCAUCAUUUUUUAUAUUAAUGUAUCAAAUAUCAUUAGAGUUCCUGAAAAUUUUUCAAGAGAAAUAAUUAUUCGAUAGAUAAACUUUAUAAUGAAAGUAUAUCUAGAAAUGAAAAUUUGUCUCGACGUGAAGAUCGAAUGUUCAAUAAGGACAAAUUGUUACACAAUGAUAUUAUAAAGAUUUGUUGUUGAGCAUCCAAUAGCAUUUAUAUAAUCAAAAUUAACCAGGCUAAUUUUUCAUGUAGAUUGAAGAUAUUGAAAUGGUCAAACAAUAAUGUUAUAAAAUGGUGGUCCUGAAGUACCAUUUCCUUAUGUGACCAAUGCACUUAUAAUAUUGGUAAUAGUGAAUGAUAAAAUACACCAUACUUUAUAAAGUUGUUGGCGACAUCUAAAGCAUGAGAAUGUAAUUGAAUUUUAUUACUAUAUUGAUAUGUAUCAACAAACUUUGUUGUAUAUGUUGAUGAUUUACUAAUUGAUAAAUAAUAUUGAAUGUCUCAGUAUUGAGUUAUAAAAUGAUAUUCAAAUAAGGGGGAGCAAAAAUAUGCACUGUUGUAACACCCCUCACCCAAUGCAAAGAAUAAUCCAGAAUUCAAUUAGGCACUCCCUACCGCUACAUUUGAGAAGUUAAUUUUCAGCAUUGGAUUGCAUUGUUUCAAAGAUCUUAAGUGAUGCUUAAAUGAGGGGGAGUAAAUUUGGACUACAUUUUUCUUUUAAGGUUGUGACAUAAUGUGUAUUAAAGGAUUAUGUACUCUUUUUUUCCUUCACUAGGUUUUUGCCCCAUAGGGUUUUUUUCCUAGUAAGGUUUUUAAUGAGACAUAUCCUUUAUACAAUGAACAUCUAAGGGGGAGUGUUAUGAAUGCUAUUAAGUGGAUGUUCAUUAUAAUAAACCUUUCAUCUUCCUCAACUUUUCACCUUUUAUCUUCUUGUAACAUCUUUCUUAUUUAUGUAUUAGAAAAUGAGGAGCCUAAUCUCCUUACAUAUAAGGUAUAUAUAUAGGAUAUAUAUAUAGGAAUAUACUACUUGUAAUGGUGGUAAAAAGAAGAAGAAAGAGAAAUGCAAUAGAAAUCUGCCUUUAUUCUCAUUUAUUAUUCUUGUGUUCUUUGCAUUAUUAUUUUAUAAAAAAUUUAUUUUAAUAAUGAAUUAGUGAAUUUUACUUUAAUAUUUAAUGAGAAUAAAAAAAGUAUUAUUUGAUUUUAAUAAAAAAUAAUGCAUAAUAGUUAAUUAAAAAUGAUUUAGGGCAUAUGUGUAGUUGGCUAUUUACAAUUUUAGAGUUGGUGCUUUCAUAUAUAGUAGGAGUAAUUAUUUAUUUUUUAAAUAUUUAUUUUCAUAAAAAUCUUUAUAUGGUAUUUAUAGAAAAAUAUUAUUGACUAUUUUAAAAAUAUUAUUUAGUAAAUCUAUUUUUAUUAUUUUAAAUAUAAAAUAUUUAUUUUUAUAUUAUAAAAUUUAAAAUAAUUUUAAAUUAAAUAAAAAGUAAAAAUUAAAUUUUGAAUAAUCAUAAUUUUCUAACUCACAUCUCAUAAAUUGUGUAAACAUCUCAAUUAAGUUAGAUUUUCAGUUUUUUUUUUUAAUUUUUCUUGCUUAGCACUGAGAACCCUGUAAAAGAAAAAUACUAAUUUCGAUAUAAUGUAAUAAGCUAAAUUUAUAAGUAAAAUAAAUUCACAAGAAGACAAAAAAUAAGUUUGGUACAAGACUAAGCAACGUGAAGAAAUGUAAUAUCUGCUGUGCUGUCUACGCGGCUGAUAAUUUUGGGUCCACAUAAAUAAUAAACAAAUUUUAUAAUUUUUUUAUUUUAGACACUAACAGCAAGUUUGGUUCACUGUAUUGGAUUAGAAGCGUAAUGGAAUAGAGGUGUAAUGGAUUAGAGGUGUAAUGGAAUAGAGGUGUAAUAGCAAAUCAACUAUUUGGUUGAAUGUAAUAGAAUAGAGGCGUAAUAGUAAUAUUGUGUUUGGUUGAAUGGAAUAGAGGCGUAAUAGUAAUGGAAAAAACUAAAAUGACUAGAAUACUCUUAGCAUAAAUUUGUUUUGGUAAAUGAUUAUUGUUAUUGUUAUUUAAAUUUUAAUAAGAUUAUUAUUAUCAAUAAUAAAUAAUUUAAUCAUAUUUAAACAUAAUUAUUAUUAAAUAUAUUAUAAUUAAAAUAUAUAAUUUAAUAAAAUUCUUAAUAAUUAAUAUUCUUAUAUGAAUUUACUCAAAUCAUAAUAUAUGAUACUGUAAAAUAUAAAUUAACAUAAUUAUUAUUAAAUAUAUUUUAAUUAAAAUAUAUGAUUUAAUAAAAUUCAAAAUAAUUAUAACUAAUAAAUUUUCUUAUAUGAAUUUGAAUAAUUUAAAAUAAUUAUUAUUACAUAUAAUUUAAUAAUAAUAUAUAAUUUCAUAAAAUUCUUGAUAAUAAAUUUGCUUAUAUGAAUUUAUACAAUUUAAAAUUAUUAAUAUUAAAUAUAAUUUAAUAAUGAUAUAUAAUUUCAUAAAAUUCUUGAUAAUAAAUUUUCUUAUAUGAAUUUAUACAAUUUAAAAUAAUUAAUAUUAAAUAUAAUUUAAUAAUGAUAUAUAAUUUCAUAAAAUUCUUAAUUAUAAAAUGUUCUUAUAUGAAUUUACUAAAAUCAAAAUAUAACUUGAAAAUUAUGUUCUACAUAAACAUAAUUAACUUAUAUUAAGAAAAGGUUAGAUGAACAUGAAAUUCUACAUCAUAAUUCAUAUGUUGUAUAGUUUUACAUCAUAAUUAACUUAUAUUCUACAUCAUAAUUAACUUAUAGAGAACGAUGUGAGCAGAUCAGCUAUAGAGAACGAUGCUCCUGUACUUGGUAAAUUACUUAUCAGUGACCUAAGCAAGGACCGCGGUUCUCAGAAAUCACCUAUUGAGGCCAUCAUAACUGUAACCAAAAGGGUGAAAAAGAGAUUCUAAAGAUAUAAAUAAGGAAUGAUUAUGAACCCUGUGUAACACAAUUACAAGGAUUUCAUUCUAUUUCUAGGAGGGUACACACUCCAUCUGCCCUACGAUGAUCCGAUUUUUCAAAUUUGUAUCACAGCAUAGGAGGAUGGAUUCACAUAUGAAACCCCUUAUUCUCCCAUUAUUCUUUUUUCUUUGCCCAAAUCAUGACCAGAGCGAAGCCCAUCAAUGACAUGAUCACAGUCUGCAUAUCCCAAAAACAAUACAGUUAAAUUACGACCAAUUCAUCUUCACCGGAACUAACUAUUUGGAACUUUGAAAUAAACAUAAAAGAAGAAACUUUGAGAAGAUGGAAUAAGGGUUGCACAUAAUUGUAACGAGCUUGUUAACUGUUAUGAACAAAAGCAAAUAUUCCAUCUUUAUAGAUUCUUCAAGCUACAACAAGCAAAUAAGAAACCAAUGCCAAAAGGAGCCCUUUUCUUGGGAGUCUCUUAUACAUAAGCAUCUUUUUAACAAUUUAUGCGAAAUGGUAUCAUAAUUUGCAUAUUAUUCCUUUGCGAAAAGGAAACUAAAAACAAUAAGGGGGAAAAGGUAAACAAAAAAGGCUUACUGAGAUAGCUGGAGGCACACUGACAAGUGGAUCCUGGAAGAACCUAUUAGCAAGUGCAAGCGCCAAAAGACUGCUUUGCAUUCCUGCCAAAGUAAAGUAAUACAUCAGCAAUAUUGCAAACUAACAAGCGGCAAAAAAAGGGGUCUCACUCUCACCUGUCUCGAAAGAUAGUGUUCUUUGCAAUGCUUUCACAUUAGGUGCUUUAUGGAAGAGUGAACCACUGAGGAAAUAACCAGCAAUGAAUGCUGAUAAAUGGAAUGCAACAAUGAGCAACGAAACAGUUAAACCAAAUGGGGACAAAACCGAAAUAAUGUUAAUAGCAAGGGGCGCUCCAACACAACAAGUUGUAUCAAGUACGAAAAGCGGCGGCAGAAAUGGUCUCAUGGCUUCACAAAGACGAGGGAACAACCUGCAGACACGUUAGACAGAUAAGAGAUUCCCAUAAAUAUCAUCAAGUUCAACAUUUGUUUGGGGUUAGAGUAUCACCGAUUCAAAAGCAAUCCUGCAGUAAUAGGAGCAAUAACAAUCUGCAGAAUGCUAGAAACCAUUCCCACUACAUCAACCGGCAGUCUUUUUCCAAUAAGCAGGAGAGACAACAUUGGUGUAACAAAAACAGCAGUAGCAGUAGAUAAAGAUGUCAUAACGAUGCUUAAUGGAGCUAGUGGUGGAUCUGUAAAAAAUGUAGCAUAAUUCGAGAGCUGGGCACCACUUACGCAGGAUACCAACAUAAUCCCUGCACCUGAUUCAUUGAUCCACAUUCUAUCAUUAUAGACUCUCCAGUUUUUAACUCAAGAUAGACAACUUCUUUGGUAGCAUUGACCACAAAGACAGAUAGACCUACCUAAAGGAGUAGGAAGACCAAACACUGUCACAACAAUUAUUCCAAAAAUAUAUCCAAGCAGGGGUUUCACAACAAAUUGACCAACAUAACCAGUAAAAAUAGCAUCUGGCCUUUUAAAUGCUUCAAUAAAAUCCUUCUCACUGGAAUUAACCCCCACUGCAAACAUCAAAAAACCCAAUGCAGGGGCAUAAUACCUACAAAGAGACCAAAUAGUUCAAACAUAAGCUAAGAUAUCAGUCCAAAAGCUCAUUACUCUCUCUUAUAUAUAGUGGGACUUAUUUUCUUUUCUUUUCUUUUCAUUGUACAUAACCUUAAUUGAUUUAUCACUUGCAUUAGGUUCUGGCCUCAAAAGCUACCCCUACUUCUUCAAAUAUCAAUUAAAACCGAAAACUUGUAAUGGAUCUUAGAUAUAAAUAAGGUAACAGGAAUGAAUGAACUAAUCCUGAUUUUAAAAGGAUACACUUGAGAAUAAAAAUUAUAGUUUACACAUCCAUUUUUCCUAAAAGAAAGGAAAAGGAUUAUAAUACAUAGUGUAGACAACCUAUUCAUAGAAAGAAUCAGCUAAUGACCUGCUGGUAAACCAUGUGAAAGAAGGCGGAUACACAAGAGCCAUAAUUGUACUAGCAAGGACUACAUGAGGAAGAAUGGAAUUUGAUUGCUUCAAAAUAUCCACUAUAGAAGCCUUCUUUUGUUUAACAAUCUGAAACAGCACAUACAACAAGAACUACUAUGAAUUUUUGCCCAAAAUAGUUGACAAUGCCACUGUCUGCAAGUACAUAUUGCAAAGAACACCAAAUACUAAAAUACAACAGGAUCAUGUUAGCAAAUAUAGGAUUUGGGUAUCAAUUAUCAAGCAUAAAGUUUUGACCUUUGACUGUUAGGUAACACAUUAUAGCACUCCAUAAGUCCAUACAGCAAACAGGACAAGUGUGAUUAUCAAACUGUAAGAAAGUACAGUUAAGCUGAAAUUUGAACACAGAUUAUGUUUAACAAAAACAUGAGCACCUGAUUUGGUUCCGGUUCAAAUUCCUGGCCUCGGUCCCUUUCAAAAGAUUCUGAAAAUUUCUCUGAUGCACAUUUACACUCCAAAAAUUUAGAGCCCCUAACUGUAAAAAAGGAACACAAACACACACACAAAGGAUGAAAAGGAAAUACUUUUAAAACAUAACCCAGAAAACCCAGAACAUCAAAUGGCUAAAAAAAACCCAAAAAUUAGAGGCCAACAAGAACAAGACUUACACUGAGAAAAGGAACUGAGUGGAACAGGAAUAUAGGAACUUUGUGGCAAAACUGAGAACUGGACUCGCUUAGGUAUAUGAAAGCUAUUGUUUUGCAAGAAAACAUGAUUGAAUCGUGGAUGUUGCAUCAAGAACUAAAAUAUCGAUGGAAGAAGAAGUAGAAAUCUAUGAGGGCAGAAAAAGGAAACGAAAAUAAGAAAUGGGUAAGGAUUUUCUAAUCGGCGCUGGAUGGGGGGAAUACCUAUUACGGGACCGGGUGUAUUAGGUAAGGAACAUAUUUGGGACGUAAUGGCAAUACAACCAACCAAACAACUUAUUAAAGGGGGAUUAAGUGGGCCCACCGAUUAGGGGUGUAUUGGCUAUGCCAAUACACCUAACCAAACAUGUUGUAAUAUUUAUAUUCGUCUUCAUUUUGGUCACUAUGAACCUAAGGACUAACGGAAAUCCAUGGUGGCAUUCCAACUCACUUUUUUAUUUUCAUUUUAGUCAUUAUCAAUAAUUUUCUUCUCUAUUAUUAACAAAAUAUAGACAAAUUCGUUCUCCCAAGUUGAAAAAAAAAAGAAAACAAAGGAAAAAAAACCAUAACUUUACCUUUUUUUUAUGUGAAAGAUCAAAUAGUAAAGAUGGAUCUUUCAUGGAUUUCACCUCAGACCUCUUUCUCUUUGUAAAGGAAAAUAGGGUUUACUUAUUUAUUUGAGUUGGAUUGGGUUGGUUUAGAAAAGGAGGAAGGCGAUGAUGUCAACCAUACUAAAAAAAAAAAGGCUGAUGAGGGACUUCAAGAGGUUACAACGGGAUCCACUUAUUGGUAUUAGUAGGGCUCCUCAAAAUAAUAAUAUUAUGCUUUGGAAUGAUAUCAUUUUUGAGCAUUUUGUUAUGGUAGGAAAUCAACAGUGAAAUUGAGUCGUUAAGUUAGUAAAGUUCUUCGUUUUAAGAAAAAUAUGUUAGUGAAACGGUGCGUUUAGAUGUGUGGUCAAUGAGGUGAUGCAUUUGAUGUUAGUAUAAAACGAUGUGUUUAGUUUUUUAAUGAAACAUUGAGUUUUUGGAUUAGGAAAUAAUAGUUGGCAUGUAACAGCUUCUUAACUAAUUCUUGUAACUGUCUUUUCCUUCUAUUUAAGUAUGGUUUUGGGAUGGUAGGCAGUUAUGAAAAGUUUGGAAUGAAUUUUUUUAUUCUCUUUUGCAUUCUCUGUUCUCUCUUCUCUUCUCCUUCACUCUAAAUCACUUUUAUCAUCCUGAAACGAAUUGUAUCAAGGGUAAUAGAGCUUUGUAUUCCUCCAUCAUCAGUGAUGAGGUUACCAACCGUUUGUAGAAAGAUGUUGGUCACCUCCAACAAGAGGUUGCCAAGCUUCAAGUUGAACUCUCUCAGUAGGAUACCAAGCUAGAUUUGUGUAAUAGCCCGAAAUUUAGGGUUAGAAGUCUUGAGUUUGUGGUUAGGGUCAUUGAAUAGGUCGAGCACUUGAGUGGGUUUUCACAUUUUAAUGUCAGAAUGAGCCUACUGGUUCAGUGGUGGUAAGUGUGUUAGUUUACUUUUGGGUUUCGGGUUUGAGUUCUCAUGUGUGUUUUGAGGAAUUAUUUUAUUUUGGUUUUGCUUUUUAAACUUUAAAGAUUUACUUUUAAAAUUUGAAAGAGGAGGUUUUUCAAUUUCACGUUCUUUUCUAUUUCUUUUUACCUUUUUUUUGUUUUGUUCCCUCUGUUAUUUUUUAGUUCUUUCCUGAAAUUUUAGUUGAUUUCUUGUUUCUUUCGUUUUACACUAACGUUGCAUGUUGUCUGUCAAGACUAAUCGUCGUCGUGUGUUUCGUUUUAUCAGAGGUGAAGUGGUAGGUUUUGUUCAUGAGGGUUUAUGAUAGAAUUGCUUUUGUUUCUAUUAUUUUUUAAUUGAAGUUCUUAUAGUUUAAGUUUAUGUAUGAAAUUGAGGUUUCUGAACAAUUUGGUGAGAGCGAAUCGAUUGACCCUUGGUGCUUGAUAUCACGUUCUAAGGUGUGUGUUCUGAAACGGUUUAACUUCGGUAUCGAAUUGUGGAGGAAUUCGAUAAUUUCUUGUGUGUUUCUAAAAUUGUUUAUUUGAAGUAUCGUAUUGUUACUGACUUGCAUGAAAUUUUGUAUGUUUUGGCAUAAUUCUAGGUUACCAAGGGUUAGGAAUCGUUUUGACAUCAAAAGCAUAAUUUUUAGGCUAUUUCAAUGUGGUUUUGUGACCACACGGGUGGCUAUACAUGCGUGUGCCACACACGAGCAGUCAACAUGGCCGUGUACAAUUGGAAUUUAAGGUUUUCGAUGAUUUUUGGUACUAUAUAGCCUGACCACACGGGCAUGUCUCCCCUCACGGACGAGUGAGAUCUCCACAUAGCCGUGUCUCCUCUGCUCUCUAUUUUUGGCACUUUUAGACAAUGAGUUACACGAGCUACUUACACAAUCAUGUAACCUGGUCACACGGGCGUGUGUCUCCUCCACACGGCCUAAACACUUCCACACGGCCGGGGUACACAGCCUUGUGGCCCUAUUUUGCAAAAUUUUUGUUUUGAGUCAUAAACUAUCUGUUUUAUGUGUCUGUGUAAUUUGACACUUAGUCAAGCCUCGGUAAGUGUGUUUGGGACUCAAUUUAGUUUGGUUCGUGUGUAUACGUGUGUUUAUGGGCUUUAAUUUUGUUACUCGUUUAUGUAAUGAAUAAGUAUGAGUUUAUUAUUGUUGUCGUAACUGAAUAUUAGAAUUCAAGUGUAAUCAAAUUUGAAUCUAUUCAGCUAGAAAUGUUAAUGUUCGUUUCUGUAUGUUGUCUGCAUAAUGGGUGUAUUGUUGCAUAGCAUGAAAACUUUGGGAUCUAGCUAUGAAGAGAAGGAAGACAGACUUAGCAGUUUUAACUGCGAUACUUUUAUACAAUGGUUUACGUAUAUCAACUCAGCUGCAUAUAGUUACUCAAGUGGCAUAGUUCCACAUUGUGGUGUGUAGGGUGGAUGAACCUAUUAUGGUUCUAUGUAGUGUGUAUGGUGGACGGGCCUACCAUAUCCUUUAUGUGGUGUGCUGGAUGGAUGAAGUGGUUUUUGGUUGGUGGGGUGGGAUUUUGACUUGUGCAUCCAUUCACAUCUGAAUAUACUUCUGUUUGUCAAGACAUUUUGACUGAUUGUGUGAACUUUUAGUUAUUGACAAUAUAGUUAAUGCCAUGUAAUAUGUUCUGAUUAUUGCGUAUGGUUGGAACACCAUUUCUGUGAUUUGAUAUUUUAUUUGACAUACCGAUUGAAACUUUCGUAAGUGAUAUUUUAAUACAUAUGCUUGUAUGAAGUAUUUAUUGUGUCACUCUGUCUUUUGCCACCUGUUCAUGUUUCGGACUCACACUGAGCUCAGAUAGCUCAUCUCUGUAGUGUUUUUCCUUUUAGGUACAUUAUGUGUUUUGGAUCUAGAAUCGACAUACCGGAGGUCUCAGAAAGAUAUGGUUUGAUUCAGUUUAAGUAAAAUCUCAUAAAUUUUAUACGGCUAAUUUUAAGUUGGUUUGUAAAACGAUUAUAUAAACUGUGGAUUUUAUUUUUGAAUGUUUGACACCGGUUUAAUAUUGUUUCAAACAUAAUGAACAAAAAGGUUUUCUUGGUUUGAAUUAAAGUUUGUAUUUUCGCCACUUUUGGUGGCCAAUGUAACCUCCAAGAUUUGAUCUAAACUUCUAGGCCGAGUUUUAGGGUGUUACAAUUUGCAAAUGAAAAAAAACUAAAAGAUGACUUUUGUGGUGAGUUAAAAUCUGAGUUGUGAUAUCUGGGUAAUCCACCUUCUGCUCAUACUAUUAAGGCUCUACAAGAUAAAGGGAAGGGCAUUUUAGGUAGCCCUCCACCUGGUUUCCCUCCUAAGGAAACCCUAAUUGUUUCUCCUAUGAUUGAUUUAGAAAGUAUGGGUAUUUCUUCUUGUUUGAGAAGCAUGGAGGGUGUAACAUCCCGUCCAAUGGAAUCUCAGCUUUUGACUACUGUUUGAAAGAAUAAGACGAGUAGAAUAAGUCUAGAAGCGAAUAGGGUUAAAGCUAUUCUAAAAGAUAAGAACUAUGUGGGUACGCUUGUGAUGCCUUGAUGUUGGCGGACAUUGGGUUUGUACAUGGCAAUUAAGAGUCAUGUCUAAUAAGUAAGGAUUCGCCCCAAAAGCCUUUGAUUGGCAUAAAUAGGAAGGGUGUAAUAUGUUAUAAGUAAUGAGGAAAUAAACCUUGUGUGAGAAGUCUAUGUCAACAAUGAGUGCACUUAGUAAGGAUGGUAUUGAGCCAGUUAAGUUAUAAGUAAACGACGGUUAAAACUUAAUUGAAGAUGAACUAAAAUAGUUAAUAACCAAAGGAAAACACUUGAUUAGUAUUAUUGAAAUUGGUAAGAUUUGGAUAAGACUGCUAAUUGAUUGAUGUGACGUGUCUCUAAUUCCAAUAUCGACUUGAGUUAAGUUAAGAACAAGAGAUAGGUUAAGAAGAAAUAUAUUCUCUCUCUUCCUCUCAUCGGUGGAGUAAGGCUAAGAGAAUAUGAGAAAACUCUAAAAUAGAUCUAAGGCCGACAACUAGGUAAGAUGAGAAAACUCUGAAAUAGAUGUUAUCUGCCCCAAUAAUGCUCUUAAGGUAAACGUAGAUGCAUGAUUGAUAUAGGAAAGAAUGCCUAGCGAAGCAUAAAGGAGACUCAAAUAAUGAGGUCGCCGUUAAGAAGGUGUGAUACACCAAAGCGUAAAUUGUUACACCACCAGAAACGCUCUGAUGAAAUGACUAUGGAUAGUGGAUGAGUUGAGACCCAAGGUUAAGUCAUGUAUGUGCUUUCAUACUCAAGUAUUCACAACUGUCCUGUAUCUAACUGGUAAUCACAUGGAUUAAUACACGUAUCAAACAUCCACUGGAAAAAAGGAAAAUAUUUAGUUGACCGGGUACGUAAAGAUAACUGUUCCCUUCCUUUCCCAAGAAGUAUUCUUUGGCUAUAUAAAGGUGAGCUGAGGGGAAAAUCCUCUCAUCCUUUAGGAUGAGCCUAGAAUGAGAAGAUCAACCCUGAGAUGCCCAUUGUAAGGUAAGUCUCCCGACCUUGCAUUUUAAGCUGCCAAAGAGCAGUUCUAUUUAGCUUGGUAGAGCUUUUCUAUGUGAUUUUGGUGUUUGAAGUAGAAGGAAAAAUGAGUUAGAUGAGUAGACCUUGAUAUGUUUCCUAUGGUUUAAGAUUUAAAGGCUGCCGCUUUACCCAAAGGAAGCUUAGAUAUGAUGUUUAAAGUUUCAAAAAGAUAAGGCUCUGUGAGGCUUUACGGGCAUUUUGUGUGAUUCCGUAAGGAUCUUGUGAGGGUUCUGUAAGUACCCUAUGAACUCUUUAAGUGUUUCUAUUUGCCUGUGCAUGUAUGUUUAUAUGCUUGUUCCUUUUAUGCUAAUGCCCUUCUAUGCUAUGGAAAUGUGAAAUAAAAUGUAAGUUAUGCAUGUGUGAUGCGCUGUUUCUGUGAAAUGUUUAUCUAAUAAGCUUGUAUGUGUGGCUUGAUGCCUAAGUGACAAUGCGCCUCUGCUAUGAAAAGAAAGCAUGAAUACGAUGAACAUGUAAAGAAAGCAUGAGCUGAAUGAUAUGUCUCUAGUUUUCUUGAAAAGUAUGUGCAUGCAUAAGCGUGCUUGAAGCGCGACUAUCUUUGCAUAAGGAGUUUGAGUUGCAUGUUUGGAAAUGUAAAUGCAUCUGCAUGUUGAAGUCUGUUGCAAUGACUCAGUCAAGCAUAAGUCUACAUGUCGAGUCUGCUUGCGUGUGUGGGUUCGUUGGGACAAUAAACACGAAUUCUGAUAUGGAAGUCCAUGGCCAUGGCAAGAGAAGACCAUAUGGUGUAAGACCUGGUAAUGGUGGCCACGACGUCACGUGGAAAAGAAUAUGAUGAAAAGGACAGUGGAGUGAGUACUAGGCUAUGAGGGGCAAACCUCAUGACGAUGAGUUUAGGAAAAUCCCUAUCAUUGAAACACCAAUUUAUCAAUAUGUUGAAGCCUUUGUGGUCAGUCUUUGUUACAUGUGAGUCAUUGUGGCGGAACUUGUCAUAUGUGGAAGCCUUUGUGGCUGUUCUCUAUUACAUAUGAGCCUUUGUGGCAAAAUCGUCAAGUGAAGCCCUUUUGGCUGCUGUUAUGAGAAGAGCUCUUGUGGUUGAUUCUAUUAAAUGCACCUUCGUGUUGAAGUCUAUUGAAUGUAUCUGGAUGUCUUUGUGGCUAUCUGCGCAAGAACUGCUUGCAUCUUAAUUUGCCACAACACGAAUUUGGAGUUGCGAUCCAACAGAGAAAUUUCAUACUUUAAAGACGCAAUUAUCGUGAUUGAGAUGAACAACCCGACCAAUUUGUAAAAAAAAUAGAAUGUCGAUAAUGACAAUGUAUCGCAAAGAAAAGAGAAAAAAAAAUAAAGAACACAGAUUUUACGUGGAAACCCUUUCGGGAAAAAACCCUUAUUCUAAAAUAAAAUAAAAAAAUGUAGUUCUAUAUAGAUUUUACUUUUAUUUUAUUUUAAUAAGAAUUCGAGUCACUCAAUUUUAACAAAAAAAUAUUAAUUAAAGAGAUGAAAAUUAUACACAAAUAUAUCAGUGGUCUGAAUUCGAAGCAUUCAAGGUGCAAUGAACACAAUUGUUUUAGGUAUGGAAACUGUAACAUUUUAAAAUUAUAUUAAUGGAAAUCCAUAGUCAAUUAGAUUGUGACAGAUGUCACACAUUUAACUAUUUUAGGAUAAAUAUUACCAUAUUUGUGUUAAUAUAUAUAAUUAAUCAUAAAUUUUCAUUACAAAAUUAUGUUUUUAUUUUUGUAUAUUUAGUACUAGUUAAUGAUGUGACUUUGAAUUUAAAAUUACUUUUAAUUUAUUUGAAUUUAUAUUUUUAACUAAAAAUAAACUUAUUAAAUUUAUGUUUUAGUUGACCCCAACAUUAAAAAACAAUAUCAUUUAAAAUAGAUUUGAUUAAUAAUAAGAUGUAACGUGGAUGAUAAAUUGUUCAAGAUUUGGAUAUCACCAGAAAAGUUGCAGAUAACUUAAAUCAUCAUCUUAAUUAAAACAAUUUGUCGAUAAUGACAUGUGUUUUAUAAGGUAUAUUUAAAAUUUCUAUUUUGUCAAAUGAUUUAAAUUUAUUAUUAUUUUUUAAUCAAAAUAAAUUUAUCAUGAUUUGGAUUUGUGUUUCUGAAUAUUACAUAGAUUACAAAUAAAUUAGGAUAUUUAAUACUUAUAAUGACUUUUUCAAAUUUAUUUUAUCUUUUCUUUAAGAGAGUGAAAAUGGGUGGUAGCAAGCAAAUCUGAACUGUUUUUAUGUAUCAAUAAUAUAAAAUUUAAUACCACAUUAUAAUUAUUAAUUUUUCGUACCAAAUUUUAAAUAGUAAAAGUUAAUAUUCAUAAGGAUGAAUUGAACAAUAUUUUCCUAAUUGCAAGUUGUCACCAAUGAGAUAUUAAUUAAAAAUAUAAAUUAAAAAAAAGUGGUUAAAAAGAAAAAGACAAAGAGGAGUUAGAUAAGGAAAGGAAAAAGACAAGAAGAAGUUAGUUAGAUGAAAAAAAAUUGAUCAUACGUGUAUGUCGUCCUACUUGCAUACUAGUGUUAUAAAAAGAUCGACCCCUUGAAUAAUGGAAUAGACAACUUUAUAGAAAUCUUCCCUUGUGUUACAAUGUGGUCGACAUCGAAAUAUUUAUUACUGGCUGCCGUGGUGGUUUGUCUCUCAGCUUGCUUCCGAUUAUAUUCACAACUCUCUAGCUUGAACAUAUCUACACUCAUCCACCACCAAUUCAAGGCGCGAGCUCCGCCACCCACGAUAAGUUUCUACAAACCUAGUCUCCAAUGGCCGCCUGCUGCAUGUCAUGGAACGUUAAGUUGCAAACCUCCUAUUCCUUCCAACUUCACAAUUCACGGUAUAUGGCCGCAAGAUCGUAAUGACGAACCAAUACCUCCUUACAAUAAAAAUAAUCCUUGUACCCCAAAGACACCCACUCCUCCCACUAAUCUGCCGGUUAGUUCAUCAUCAAUUUAAUUUUGUUUAUUUGAAUGAAUGAGUUUGUCAGUUCUCUAAUAAAAUCUUUUGUUGUUUAAAAGAUUAAAUUGCGUCCAAUUGAAGUAUAUUUAAUGUCAGAAUGGCCAAACUUGACUGAUGGUCUAAACUUGACUGCAAACUACCAAUUUUGGGAAUAUGAAUGGAAAAAGCAUGGAACUUGUUCUGAUUACCCUGACGAUCCUCUUACGUACUUCAAGUCUGCCGUAAAACUCAGGCUUGGCAUAAGCACAAGUAAUAUCUCGAUUAUACUUUGUUGUUAGCUCAUAUAUUGAAUUAAAUUGAUUUUUUUAUAUCGCUAUUACCCUAACACAUCCUGUCUCUAAUUUGCUUUUAAUUGUUGUUUUGAUGUAGUUGUGAGAUUUGGACGCCAGACAAGUUGGACGGUGAAGCAAGUUGCAGAUGAAGUUUUUGAUGUUUUAAAAGCCUAUCCUGAGAUUGCUUGCAAUCUAAACCCACGUGGCACUCAAAAACAAUUGUGGGAGAUUCGUUUAUGCUAUGAUAGGCCAAAUCCCAGACAAACCCCUCACAUUCUCAUAAAUUGUACUCAUAUAUUGCACGUAAGAAAGGGUAAAAUAAUAGGGCCCUGUAAAAGCUUGAGUGAUACAAUAUUUUUCCCCUAGUGCUCUUAUAAAAUUUCGAAUAAUUACUACUCCAAAUAAAUAUAGUUGUUGUAAAGCCCAACUUUAAAUCUUCUUGUCCCACCAAUUUGAUGUUUGAAAUAAAUAAGUAAUUGUAUUAUCUUGUUGUAAACCAUCCAACUCUAAGUCUUUAAAAUAGAUUAGUAAUUGUAUUAUCUAUUUUUAAUAUACAAGUGUUUACAUUUUGCAUGCUCGUAUUAUAAUUAUUAGAUCCCGUAACCAAAUACAGAAAGAUGAACACUAAUUAGAAUAUUUUGUUUGUAUAGUAUGAUGAAACAAUGAGACUAUAAACACAUCCUACCUUGGCCCUACAUAUCAGCAUGCAAAAACGUUUGCAAGCUGUUCGGCGAUGCUGAUAAGAAAACACAACCUUCCGCCAUGUCCUGAGCCAAACAUGCAAGGUGGUCAGCAUAGCGGUUGCCCUCCCGAAGAAUAUGUCAGACUUUCAUCACCCAACCUUUUCGGAUCAAUAGCAAGCAAUCUUCAACGAAAGUGCCCAACGGAUGAGAAGCUUCAAAAGGUCGAGAUAGCAGAUUCACCACCCAAAGCACAUCAAGUUCCAAAAUUAAACUAGUAACAUCCAGCCCUUAGCCUUCCGAAAGCCUUCCCAAACUCCCAAAAGUUCAACUUGUAGGUUGUCCGUUACUCCUAUCUUUAUCAUGAAUCCAUGCAACCACUCAACCCUAUCAUUUCGAAGGUCGCCUACCAGUCCGCACCGCACUAUCCGCAUUAAGAAUACAAUAAUCUAACGGGGGACGUUUCCAAGCUAUCUAUUUAGGCCCACGGUGAACCCUCGGAAUAACAGUCUGCCACGCCCAGAAACAUCCUAAGCAAAUUUCCUUGCAAUCAAAUGUACCUGCUACGGUGAAUCAAGCACAGCCUGUAAAUUUCUUUUAUUUCAACAUUUCCCAUGGUAAAAGAAAACCCAACGGCUCCAUAGACCGGCUGUUACCUUCCAGCCACACUAGAAAUGGGUUGGUAUAAAAAUCAAGCUGCAAAGGACACGCAUUGCUAUUCAUAUCUCUUUUGCGAAACGACAUUCACAUAAAAUAUGCUCCAUAGACUCCAUUGUAAAUCCACAUCCCGAACACGAAGCAUCAUCGGUGAUAUUCCUGCAAUUUCAUAUCUGGUCUGAAUUAAGUCAAUCCAACGAAGCCAACCAAAUAAAGAACGAAUUCGCUCCGUGAAAGGAGCUUCCAUAUCCACCCAUCACUCAAUAGACGAUAAGAAAACCUCCUUGUGAGCAAAGAAUAUGCUGACUUUACAAAGAACUUACCCGAGCAACAACAGCAAAAAUCCCAUGUAUCCCCAUUCACAAAAUACUGCAACAGAACGGCUUCAAUGGCUUGCUUAACUGAAUCAGGCAGCCCAAGCCACCAAACACUCAAGUUCCAAGUACCAUCCUGCCCUAUAAUCGACAACGCCAUAUGAAGUAGAUUAAGCCCAAUAGCCCCAUCUAAAAAAUUAUGAAUUAGCAGGGCAUCUCCCAACCACCAAUCAUGCCAAGUUUGACCUCGAAUUAAACUUAAUUACAAUGAGAAACACUUGAGUAAGAGAAUAGAAAAUAAAGCUCAAAAGUGUACGAAAGAAAAGUAUGAAAAUAUUUUGGACAAAGUUGUUUGAUUGAUGAUUUUGUUUGAAUAUUCUUUUCUUGUUAUUGUAAAACCUUAGAAGCUGGUAUUUAUACCUUUUAAUUUAUUUACAACCAUUGUGUGGUUGAGAAAAUAAAUAGAAUUGUUGGGAUGAAAACAUCAUAUCAUUAAAUUUACCUGUAAUAAAAAGUAUUGUUACUUUCUCUACAAGUAUCAAAACUAGUAGAAUUUAAUAUCUGAUUCAGUGACUAUUAAAGUUAGUUUCCAACGAUAUCAAUGAUAAUUUAUUGAUUAGUUUCCAACGAUAUCAAUGAUGAUUUAUUGAUAUCUGAUAAAAAGGUAAUGAUAUAUUUUGAUGGGUAUCGAUACUUUUUGUUAAUUUUUGAAAGAUCAUAAAACCAUAAUACAAAAAUAGUAUCACUAUCAAAUUUUGGUAUCAAUAAAAUUCAAUAGGUUUUGAUAUAUUUUUUAAAAGUAUCGAUACUUAUUGGUUUUGCUCAAUUUUUUAUUCAAGUCAAAGGGCAGUUUUGGUAUUGAUAAAAAUCAUAUUGGUAUCGGUACUUUUUGAAAAAUAUCGAUACUUCUUGUAGGGAGUAGUUUUUCAAUUGAUUUAAAAUUGUUUCAACCAAGUCUAAGAGUUUAAAAUUGUUUUUGAACUUUGUCCAAAAUAUGCUAAGUGUUCAAACCUACAUGUGGCAUAAUUUUACAAAUUGUUAAUAUAAUUUUACAAAUUAAGUGACUUAGCACAAAUACAAUCCCCGUGGAGAUGAUAACUCGAUACUUACUUAUUACUUGAUAAUGACUGUGUACACUUGCACAAACCUACGCGUUACAAGUUUUUGGCGCCGGUGCCGGGGAUUGUUAACUGUUACCAAAGUCAUUUUUUUCGUGAAAUUAUUUAUUUUCAAUUUGAUUUAUUUCUAACAUUACUAACUUAUUCUUUUUAAUUUUUGUGAUUUUCUUUUUAGGUGUUUAUGAGCAUAGAUCGAAUUAUCAAUUUACUCCUUGUAGACCCUGAAAUUGAGCGAACUUUCAAACAAAAAAGACGUGAACGAAUAGCUCAAAGACAAGUCGAGAUGGACAUUGGAAAUUAGAAUCAAGGCCAAGGUAAUGAAGCGUACAAAAUCCUAUCCUCAUUGCCCCUGAUAUGGAUCGAUGCAUCAAACAAUAUGCUGUGACACUUUUUAGUAAGUUAAACCCAGGAAUUAAAAUGCCAGAUAUUGAGGCAACCUAGUUUGAAUUGAAACCAGUGAUGUUUCAAAUGCUACAAACAAUGGGCCAAUUUAGUGGUAUGCCCACAGAAGAUCCACAUCUCCACCUUCGAUUGUUUAUGGAGGUGAGUGAUUCAUUCAAGAUUGUCGGUGUGACUAAAGAUGCACUGAAGAUGAAGUUGUUUCCGUACUCGUUGCGAGAUCGAGCACGAGCAUGGCUCAAUUCAUUGCCACCAAGUUUCAUAUCUACAUGGCAAGAAUUAGCAAAGAGAUUUUUGGUUAAGUAUUUCCUACCUAGCAAAAACGCUAAGUUAAGGAACGAGAUCACAACUUUCCAACAAUUGGAUAACGAGUCUUUGUAUAAGGCUUGGAAGUGAUUCAAGGAGUUACUUCAUAAGUGUCCUCAUCAUGGGAUUCCUCAUUGUAUCCAGUUAGAGACAUUCUGUAAUGGUCUUAACGCAAAUACAAGAUUUAUGGUAGAUGCUUCCGCGAAUGGUGCGAUUUUGUCUAAGUCUUAUAAUGAUGCUUAUGAAGAUCGCGAUUAAUAAUUAUCAAUGGCCAACAAAUCAAACAGCUUCAGAAAGACAUGUAGCCGGAGUUCAUGAAGUUGACGCCUUCACUUUGUUAUCAUCUCAAGUAUCGUCUAUUUCCUCUAUGAUAAAAUAGUUAACUGCUAAUAGUAUUAAUAAUUCUGCAGCUCAGCCACCAAGUCCGUUUGAAGUAGUUUCCUGUGUGUACUAUGUGGGAAACCAAUAUCAAAAUAGGAGUGGACAAAGACCCCAGUCCAACUUCUACAAUCCUUCAUGGUGUAAUUAUCCUAACUUUUCUUGGAGCAACUAAGGAAAUGGACCGAACAACAACUUAUUGCAGCAAAGACCCAACCAAUCUCAAGGGUUUAAUCAGCAAGCUCCAAAACCACCUCAAGCUGAGGCAUCAAACAAUUUGGAGAACUUGUUGAAAGCAUACAUGACAAAGAAUAACGCUUUGAUCUAAAGCCAAGCAGCAACAAUGAAAAAUUUAGAAAACCAAAUGGGUCAGUUAGCUAUGGAGCUAUGUAAUAGACCGCAAGGAACCUUGCCGAGCGAUACUGAGAAUCCAAGAAAUUUGGGUAAAGAGCAUAUCAAGGUAGUGGCAUUGCGAAAUGGUAAAACUCUAGAACCCAGAUUGAUUGGUGUUGAAGAUAAGCCUGUUGAGAAGAAUCAACCAGCUGUUGAAGUUCCUACACCAAAUGGAUCAAAAUUUGCAAAGUCUGACAAGGUAAACCCUAACUUAGUAAAUUUAGAUAUUUUAAUAUCUUCUUUGGAUGCAGAUUUACCUACUCAGAAAAGUUGUCCGGUUCAAUUGAAAGUUCCAUCACUCCAUAUCCGCAAAGAUUACAGUAAAACAAGCAGAAAUAGUAGGUGCAAUUUAAGAAGUUUUUGGAUAUUCUCAAGCAGUUACACAUCAAUUUUCUGUUGCUUGAACAAAUUCCAAACUAUGUAAAAUUUAUGAAGGAUAUACUGUCCAAGAAGAAAUGACUGAGUGAGUAUGAGACUGUUGCUUUGACAAAGGAGUGUAGUGCGUUCCUGUAGAACAAAUUGCCACCAAAAUUGAAAGACCUGGGAAGCUUUACUAUACCUUAUAACAUUUGUGAAUCUUACUGUGGUAAAGCUUUGUGUGACUUAGGAGCGAGUAUCAACUUGAUUUCUAAGUCUAUUUUCAAGAUGUUAGAGAUAGGUGAAGUAAGACCUACAACUGUGACGCUUCAGCUACUGGAUCGAUCUUUAGCAUUUCCCGAAGGAAAGAUCGAGGAUGUUUUGGUAAGAGUUAAUAAAUUUAUUUUUCGUGCUGAUUUCAUUGUCUUAGAUUUUGAAGCAGACAAGGAAGUGUCGAUUAUCCUUGGGAGACCUUUCUUAGCCAUAGAAAGAAUGUUAAUUGAUGUGCAGAAAGGAGAACUCAUCAUGUGAGUUCAAAACGAUCAGAUAACCUUUAAAAUUCUUAAAGCGAUGAAAUUUCUUGAUUCGACAGAGGAGUGUUCAGUUAUGGAAGAGAUAGAAACCUUGGUUUCUAUGGAAAGUAUUUUUAAAAAUGAUCCAUUAGAGAAAGCCUUAGAUCUUGACCCUUUGGAGGGUGAAGAAGGUGAAGAAAACAUGGCUUUAAUGGAAGCUAAUUCGGGUAAUUUUAUUUAAUGCACACGGUUUGAACCGUUGGAGUUGGAAGUCAGAGAAUUUGUGUAACCCAAGUUGUCAAUUGAAGAACCACCUAAACUCGAACUAAAGGUACUUCUUUCCCAUUUGAAAUAUGUUUAUUUAGGUGAUUUUUCUACUUUUCCUGUGAUUAUUUCAGCAGAACUGAUGAAAGAUUAAGAGGAGUAACUAAUUGUUGUUCUAAAGAAAUUUAAGAAAGCAAUUGGUUGGACCAUAGUUGAUAUUUGAGGUAUAAGCCCUUCUUUUUGCAUGCAUAAAAUUAUUUUAGAAAAAUAUGAAAGAGCUCGAAUUGAUGGGCAAAGGAGGCUCAAUCCUAUUAUAAAAGAAGUUGUGAGAAAGGAAGUGAUCCAAUGGUUAGAUGUAGGAAUCAUUUAUCCUAUUUCAGAUAGGUCGUGGGUAAGUCCGGUGCAGUGUGUGCCAAAGAAAGGUGGAUUCAUGAUUGUUGAAAAUAAGCAUAACAAGUUAAUUCCAACAAGAACUGUUAUCGGUUGGAGAAUUUGUAUUGAUUACAGAAAGUUGAACAAAGCCACUAGGAAGGACCAUUUUCUGUUGCCUUUUAUGGAUCAGAUGUUAGAUUGACUGGCAGGUAAUGAAUUCUAUUGUUUUUAACAUGUCUAUUCAGGAUAUAACAAAAUAGUUGUAGCCCCGGAGAACCAACAUAAAACAACCUUUACUUGUCCAUACGGUAUGUUUGCUUUUAGGCGAAUGCGUUUUGUUUUAUGCAAUACACCUGCAACUUUUCAACGAUGCAUGAUGGCAAUAUUUAUUGAUAUUGUUGAAAAUUUUGUUGAGGUUUUCAUGGAUGAUUUUUCUAUUUUUGGUAACACUUAUGAUAUCUAUUUGAGUAAUUUGGCUAAGGUGCUGAAGAGAUGCGAAGAGACGAAUCUUGUCCUUAAUUGGGAAAAAUAUCAUUUUAUGGUCAAUGAAGGGAUUGUCUUAGGUCAUAUGAUCUCCAAAAAAAAAGGAAUUGAAGUCGAUAAAGUAAAGGUGGACCUAAUUGAAAGAUUACCAGCCCCAAUGAAUUUGAAAGAAGUUAGAAGUUUUUUAGGCCAUGUCAGUUUUUAUCGAAGGUUUAUCAAAGAUUUCUCAAAAAUUUGAGAACUCACCAUGCGAGUUCAAAAUGAUCAGGUAACCUUUAACAUUCUUAAUGCAAUGAAAUUUCCUGAUCUGGCAGAUCAGUGUUCAGUUAUGGAAGAGAUAGAAACCUUGGUUUCUAUGGAAAGUAAUUUUGAAGAUGAUCAAUUGGAAGAGAUAGAAACUUUGGUUUGUUGAUAGAGAAAGACACAGUGUUUGAUUUCAACAAAGCAUGUUUGGAAGCUUUUGAAGAGCUAAAGAAGUGAUUAAUCUUAGCCCCAAUAAUCAUUACACCUGAUUGGAACUCACCUUUUGAGUUGAUGUGUGAUGCAAGUGACUAUGUUGUUAGAGCUAUGAUGGGUCAAAGAAGAAAUAAAGUGUUUCACCCUAUUUACGAUGCAAGUAGAACUUUGACAGGAGCCCAAUGCAAUUUAACGAUAACCGAAAAGGAACUCUUCACAUAGUUUUUACUUUUGACAAAUUUUCUCAUAUCUUAUAAGUACCAUAGUUACAGUAUUUACUGACCAUGCAGCCAUUAAAUACUUGCUCACAAAGAAAGAUGCAAAACCAAGGCUAAUUCAUUGGAUACUUUUACUCUAAGAAUUUGACCUUGAGAUCCAAGACAGAAAAAGUGUUGAAAAUAAAAUAGCUGAUCAUCUAUCGAGGUUGGAGCAAGAUGAGGUAACUUAGUCAUGUGUGACUAUCAACGAGAAAUUCCCAGAUGAACACUUAUUUUUGGUAAAUCGAAUUCAUGAAACACUCUGGUUUGCUGGUUUUGCCAAUUAUCUUGCAUGUGGAAUAAUUCCUCGAGAAAUGACAUACCAACAAAGGAAAAAAAUUUCUUUAUGAUAGUUGGUAUUAUCAUUGGGAGGAUUCAUUUUUGUUUAAACAAUGUGGAGAUAAUAUAAUCCAAAAGAGUAUAGCUGAAAGCGAGAUUGUUGAGAUCUUGUAUCAUUGCCAUUCAUCUCCAAGUGGGGGACACUUUGGUGGUUCACGUACUGCAUCAAAGAUUUUGCAAGUAGGUUUCUUUUGGCUUACACUACUUAAAGAUGCUUAUGCUUAUGUGAAGAACUGUGAUAAAUGUCAAAGGACUGGAAAUAUAUCAAGGAGGAAUAAAAUGCCCUUGACAAAUAUUUUGGAGAUCGAAUUGUUCGACAUAUGGGGCAUUGACUUCUUAAGCCCAUUUCCUUCUUCGUAUGGGAGCAAAUACAUCUUAGUUUCUGUGGACUAUGUAUCCAAGUGGGUUGAAGCUGAAGCAUACCCUACAAAUGAUGCUAAGGUAGUCAUGUGAUUCCUACAUAAGCAUCUGUUUACACGAUUUUGGACACUAAGUGCUAUUAUUAGUGAUGAAGGUUCUCACUUCGUGAACAAAUGGCUUAAGUGGUUGCUUGAAAAAUAUGAUGUGAAGCACAAGAUUGCUACUGCCUGUCACCCCUAGUCUAAUAGGCUAGUUGAAAGAGUGAAUCGGGAAAUCAAAGGUAUCCUUGAAAUGGUAGUACGCCCUAGCAAAAAAGAUUAGUCUCGAAGGCUCGGUGAUGCACUAUGGGCCUAUCGAACAACAUUUAAGACUCCGUUAGGAGUGACUCCUUAUCAGUUAGUCUUUGGAAAGGCAUGUCAUUUGCCAUUAGAGUCAGAGAAUAAAGCUCACUGCGCUUUGAAGCAGUUGAACUUUGAUCUUAAGCAAGCCGGUGAGAGAAGAAUGUUACAACUUUAUGAGUUGGAAGAGAUGAUGUUGUUUACAUAUAAGAAUGCCAAAAUAUGUAAAGAAAGAUCAAAGAGAAGGCAUGAUAGUCAUAUACAACCUCGCGAGUUUGAAGAAGGUUAGAAGGUUUUGUUGUUUGAUUCAAGGUGGAAGUUAUUUCCUGGGAAGCUUAAAUCCCGAUGGAAAGGACCUUAUACCAUCUACCGAGUUUAUCCUUAUGGUCUUAUUGAAUUAUAUAACAAUUAUGGUGGUACGUUUAAAGUUAAUGGUCAACGUCUAAAACACUACUGGGAUGGUGAAGUUGAGUGAGUUGAAUCUUCGCUCAAAUUAACAAACCUUUAAUUUUUCAUGAACUCAUUUUGUAAAUAAAUAAUUAAGACUUAUUUUGUUAACUUAUUAUAUUUAAUCAAUUCUGUCUAAGUAGAUUGGAACUUAAGCGGGAUCGCUGUGAUCCUUCCAACCUUUCCUGGGAAUUAAUUUAAUGUAAUUUGUUAAGAAGAAAAUUUCUAAUUAAGAAUUAACUUUUCUUUCAUUUGUUCUGUUUAAGUUUUAAAUUUUUAUGUUAAUAAAGGGGUCAAAUUUGGCCCAAGUACUAAUUAGUUUUGUUUAGUAAGAUACAAUCUGAGUUUGAGGCCCAAGAUAGCAAAAAGGAGGAAAAAUUCAAUGCCUUGCCGUCAUACCCAUUGCUUGCCACCCAAGUAACCUUAAUCUAGUAAAUUUUUUGCUACAUGGUGCACUAAUUUUUCCCUAUAUAAAUCCCUCUCCAUUCUACUAAUUUUCAUAUCCCUCAAAGUAAUUUGCUUACACCCUAAAAAUACCUAAAUCUCCAUUUUGUGCCGUCAACCUCAAAUCCCAAAAGUAACCCUAGUUUUUUUUCCCUUUUUGCCGAAAGUCCCUAUUACCGUCGCAGGAUUUUUUCCUAGCAAGUUUACCCACUUUACUGAUUUCUCUUUUCUCUUUUGCGCAGAAACUUUACCGAAUUUUCCGGAGAAGAUACCAUGUCUCGUAAAAGAACCAGAUCUUCAAAGACUACUCCUGAAAACCUGAUUUUGAUCGAUGAAGAGAUGAAAGAGAUAUUUGAUUCAAUCUUCAAGCAUCAACCUAUGAUUCCGGAAAACGGUUUUGACUUGAAGAGUAAUGAUUUGAUGGUUGUUCCUAUACCAAUUAGAAAGAAAAUCAAUGCUCUCAAGUGGGAAUGAUUUUGUGAUGCUAGUUUACUUCCCAAUGAUGAACUAGUUCGAGAAUUCUAUGCUAGUUUGACUACGCAAGAUGCUACUGAAGUCAUCGUUCGAAAGAAAAAGGUACCUCUUACUUGUAAGUCUAUCAAUGAUUUGUUUAAUUUACCUGAUGUUGAAAAAGAUGAGUACUACCCUAUGAUGAACAAUAUCAAUUGGGAUUUUCUUCAACAAGUGCUUGAUGUUGUGACAAAUCCGGGAUCCUAAUGGAUUAUAAGAAAGUAUGGGAGCCAUUCUCGUCGAAGAGAAUACUUAAAACCAGUAGCAAAGGUAUGGUUUUAUUUUGUUCGCUACAUAGUUCCACCAUCUCGAUGGAAUGGAUGCUUUUGUUAGAUGCAAUUUUGACAGAAAAGUCCAUUAAUGUUGGGAAAAUUAUCCUCAAGGAGAUUCACGAUUGUGCUAAAAUGAAGGCAGGAAGUGCUUAUUUCCCAUCAUUAGUCACUUCACUUUGCUUAAAAGCUCGUGUUAAAACAAAAGCAAAUCUGAAGAGGCGAUAUGUUCAAGGAUGUAUUACAAAGUAUGAUCUUGAAAGAUUACUAGAGAGGGUGCAUGAAAUGAAUCAAGGCCAGCAAGAAGAGCCAACUGAGUCGGAUACAGAGGAGUCAACAGAUGGAACUAAAACUGAAGCUAAUUCAGUCACAAACACUGAAGAGGAAGAAUUUGAUAAGGAACCGAACAUUCCUGAACCAAGGGUUGAGCCAGAAGAAGAACCAAUCAAGCUAAGUGUUGAACCUUAAUAUACAACUCCCAUGCCGACUUCAAGGAAAUCGGAGUUGUCAAUUUUAAUGGAUAUGUGCAAGUUCAUGCAUAAUCAACAACAAACUUACUAGAAAUAUGUAAAAAUUAGAGAUGAAUCAAUUCGAAAUACUUUUAAGAAUAUCUCUAAUACUUUUUUUCUUGAGUUCCCAGAUGCUAUCUUUGAGACAUGGACGGAAGAUACUGAUGAUACAAGUGGAGAUGAAGCUAAAGAAGACAAGGGGAAUAAGUUAGAAAAAUAAAAUGGGGGAUUCUUGUCCUGUUAUUUAUUUAAUUAUUUUUAGGUCUUUAGGAAUUUAUUUCUUUCGUAAUUAGGAUUUCAUUUUUGCAAAAUAAAACAUAGCAAGCAUGAACAAACUUAACACUUCUUUAGAAAGAAUAAGACUAAGUGAUGUGGUAAUGGGAAUGAACAUGUCUAGGAUUGGGUUAUUAGGGAAGACUUGGUAUUUAAGCAGUCUUAAUGCCUCACCUCUCUUUCUUUACAACCCUACCUGGUGUUCAUUUUUCAUUCAUUACUUUCUUCUUGCAAUGAGGACAUUGCUUCUUUUUAAAGGGGGUAAGGCAAAUAAAUUACUGAAACUUUUAAAUUUUUUUCAAGUAUGCUUCAAUUAUUUCUUUCAUAAGUAUGUUUUAAUAAAUGAAUGUUUAGAGUUUUUUUUUGUUACAGAGAUAGUUUGUAUGCAAGUAUGAAUGAUGAUUUUAUCUAAGUGAAAGUAUGUUGUCAUGAAGAAUGGAAUGCUUGUACGAUCUUAGCCUUAGUAAUGUUUGCCAUGAAAACUUAGUUUCUUUUGAGAUUAGACAUGCAUGAAGGUUUAUAUCUUUAGAAUUGACUUAGUAACUUUCUUGAGGUGAAAUCCUAGGGGACAUAAAAUCUAAAAUGAUAUAGGCACUAUUUUUUUGGACCGUUUAAGCCUUUUCAAGCCAACCCUACAAUAUUAGACCCUUGAAACUAUAAUUUUGAGCUUAAAGGCCUAUUUUUUCAAUGAACCUACAUUAUAAGUCAAUUACCAUCUUUUUAAAAUUAUCCUAAUUUUGUGCACCUAUCUUAACUAAAGUUGUCUUGGGAAUCAACAUUUGAGGAAAUUUUCAUAAAGAUGUAUGUGCUCAUGCUUAAAAAAAAUGAAGAAAAUUUCGCUCAGUCUCCAAAAAGGAAAAAUGUAUGAGCUUAAGUUCAAAAUAAGUUUGGGGGUGUUCCAAAGGAUCACUUAAAGAGAAAGGUUGUAUUACGAGAAAACCAAGAUAAAGUUAAAGGUUAAGAUUUUUAAAACCAAAAUGUCUCAUCCCUUAAAAUCCCUACCUUUAACUGAGCCCCAUUACAACAUUAUAAAAGACCUAUUGAUUUGAUGAUUAUGUCACCGACAUUAGUGGAGAGGAAGUCCUAAGUUCAACAUAUGACUAUCAUAAAUAAGCCUUGUGAUUGUUUGCUUAAUUGAUAGGAAAUUAUGUUGAAUGAAGAAUGUUAUCUAUGACUGUGACAUACAUGCAAACUAUGAUUCAUGUUGGCAUAUUUUGAAGCUUAGUAUAAUCUUAAGGAAUGUUUGCAUAUGAAUUACCUGUUAAUAAAGAAGAUCGAUAAGCAUGAAGUUAUUAAUGCAUGAUUAUGGGACAAAGAUUGAUGUUGCUUACACAAUUAGCACUUUUGCCUUAGCAAGACCUCUUGUUGUGCAUAAACAUUACUCGGGACGAGCAAUGAUUUAAGUUUGGGGAUGUGUAAAUGGAAAAAUAUAUAAGAUUUUUCCUAUGUAAUUUAUCACCUUUUUACUUAAAUCCAUUGUUAAAACUAAGUAAUUGUUUAAUAAAUUAAUGAAAUAUGAGAAAAUACGAAAUUAGGACAUAGAAAUUAUUAAAAUAUGAUUUUAUGCUUUAUUAUAUAGUUUUCAUGCAAUAAAUGACUUAUUUUAUAUUAAUUUGAAUAUAUUAUAUUUUUAAGACAUAAAGUGGGCCAUGCAUGAUUAAAUUAAAUAAUAAAAUAUAAAAUUCUAUUUAAUAUAUAAUUUUAAAAUAUUUUAUUAAUAACUUGGGUUUUAAUUAAUUAAUUAAUUAAUUCAAUUUGAUAAAUUUUAUUCUUUGGUCCUCUAACUUGUUGAUUUAUUUUGGACAGGUCUGAUAGCUUUGCUGGUUUACAAAACAGUCCAAAUUGGAGACCAAGUCAACCCAAAAUUCGGCUGCACAUGGCUGUCCAUUUAAACCAUUCUUUGGUUUAAUUUCAUAAGGUCCUUGAAGAGUUGAAGAUAUUAGAGAUUUACCUGAAGAUUUGCACUUGACUGAGUCUCAGUCCUGAGUUGUUCUGGCACUCAAAUUGACAAAAAAUCAAGGAAAAAUUACCUCAACUUGCUUAAUUUAUGGCCAGCCACCCAUGGAAGAUUCUUCAAAAGAUGAAAAAUCCUAUUUUUAGUAAACUAUCCCCCUCUCCUCACCUAUAAAUAAGACCCUUUCAUUCCUUCAUUCAUCAUCCCUCAAGCAUCAUUCUCUCUUUUCUCCUAAUUCUCUUAGCCUUUUCCAUUCCCACGCCUAGCAUCAUCUCUUCAUAGAGAUUUUAGCAAUUAAGCCUCUUAAAGAAACCUUGGUCGGCCACCUUAAAGAGCCAUUAGCAAAGGAGCAAAGUAAAGGAACGAAGGAGCCUCGUCAGUCAGAGUCUUGGGUGACAGCCACUCUGAAUUGGUUUUAAUCUUCCUUUUCUUUAAUUUAAUAUAAAGAUGUUUGCUAUGUGUUCUUUGUUCUUGUUUACAACAAUGUUAGCUUAAUUUUAUUUAAGUUAGGAUUAUUUCUUUGAUUAAAUAAUAUUUAUUUGAUUCAUGCUUAUAAUGUUUAUGCCUCAAUCGAUCAUGUUUUCAAUUAAAAUCAAGUCUGUAUUUAGUUCAUACGUGAUUAAAAUUCACCUAAAUUAGCUGAGCGAUCCUGACCAGACGACGGCUAAUGGACACAUAAUUGAAAUGUGCAUGCUUAAUUUAGAUCCUAACUCGAUUAAAUUGUAGGUUGCAUAACAACUCUGACCAUAGUUUUUAGAUUUGUGUGAUUAAAUUCUUUCAAACCUGACACGUCCCUGUUACCUCACACAAAUGCUAAGAAACCCUUAGUAAAUAAGGAGCAGUAAAAUGCGUAUUUACUAGGUAAAGGAUUCUGAAAGGACCUAAUGUGGUUUCCAAGCUCAUGAAAGAUCGAGUUGCCAUGGAAUGCUUUUUCGAAUGUUAUUAAGAAUGUUGAUAAUAAAUUGAGUUUAAUUAAAAUAAUUAUCAUAGUUUAUUUUUGUUAUAAUUGUUGCAAAUUGUGUUUAAUUUUACUAAAAUCUAUUUCAUUCAUAUAGUUUACAUACUUAGAAUAAUUUACAUUAGGGAUCAUUGCAUUUAGUUUAAUAUAUUUUUCAACUAUAUUGUGUUUUUAUUUACCAAAUUAUUAAUAUAAUUUUACAAAUUAAGUGACUUAGCACAAAUACAAUCCCUGUGGAGAUGAUGACUCGAUACUUACUUAUUGCUUGAUAAUGACUAUGUACACUUGCACAAACCUACGCAUUACAAGUUUUUGGUGUCGUUGCCGGGGAUUGUCAACUACUGCCAUUGUCAUUUUUUUGUGAAAUUAUUUAUUUUCAAUUUGAUUUAUUUCUAACAUUACUAACUUAUUCUUUCUAAUUUUUGUGAUUUUCUUUUCAGGUGUUUAUGAGUAUAGAUCGAAUUAUUGAUUUACUCCCUGUAGACCCUGAAAUUGAGCGAACUUUCAGACAAAGAAGACGUGAACGAACAGCUCAAAGAAAAGUCGAGAUGGACCUUGGAAAUCAGAAUCAAGACCAAGGUAAUGAAGCUGAUCAUGUACGAAAUCCUAUCAUUAUUGUUGAUAAUAGGGAUCGAUGCAUAAGACAAUAUGCUGUGCAACUUUUCAGUGAGUUAAACCUAGGAAUUAGAAGACCGGUUAUUGAGACAACCCAGUUUGAAUUGAAACCAAUGAUGUUUCAAACGCUACAAACGGUGGGCCAAUUUAGUGUUAUGCCCACGGAAGAUCCACAUCUCCACCUUCUAUUAUUUAUGAAGGUGAGUGAUUCAUUCAAGAUAGUCGGUGUGGCUGAAGAUGUAUUGAGGUUGAAGUUGUUUCUGUACUCGUUGCGAGAUCGAGCACGACUCAAUUCAUUGCCACCAAGUUCCACAUCUACAUGGCAAUAAUUAUCAAAGAGAUUUUUGGUUAAGUAUUUCCCACCUAGCAAAAAUGCUAAGUUAAGGAACAAGAUCACAACUUUCCAACAAUUGGAUGACGAGUCUUUGUAUGAGGCUUGGGAACGAUUCAAGGAGUUACUUCGUAAGUGUCCUCAUCAUGGGAUUCCUCAUUGUAUCUAGUUGGAGACAUUCUGUAAUGGUCUUAAUGCAAAUACAAGAUUGAUGGUAGAUGCUUCCGCGAACGGUCCAGUUUUGUCUAACUCUUAUAAUGAGGCUUAUGAGAUCAUUGAAAGUAUCGCGAGUAAUAACUAUCAAUGGCCAACAAGUCAAACAGCUUUAGGAAGACGUGUAGUCAGAUUUCAUGAAGUUGAUGCCCUCACUUCAUUAUGAGUUGAGGUCUUCUAUUUCCUCUAUGAUAAAACAAUUAACCGCUAAUAGUAUUAAUAAUUCUUUAUCUCAGCCACCAAGUCUGUUUGAAGUAGUUUCUUGUGUGUACUAAGGGGAAGGUCAUUCUUUUGAGAACUGUCCAUCAAAUCCCGAGUCAGUGUACUAUGUGGGGAACCAAUAUCAAAAUAGGAGGGGACAAUGACCCCAGUCCAACUUCUACAAUCCUUCAUGGCGUAAUCAUCCUAACUUUUCUUGGAGCAACCAAGGAAAUGGACCGAACAACAGCUUAUUGCAGCAAAGACCCAACCAAUCUCAAGGGUUUAAUCAACAAGCUCCAAAACCACCUCAAGCUGAGGCAUCAAAUAGUUUGGAAAACUUGUUGAAAGCGUACAUGACAAAGAAUAACGCUAUGAUCUAAAGCCAAGCAGUAACAAUGAAGAAUUUGGAAAACCAAAUGGCUUAGUUAGCUACGGAGCUACGUAAUAGACCGCAAGGAACCUAGCUGAGUGAUACUGAGAAUCCAAGAACAUAUCAAGGAAGUGGCAUUGCGAAAUGGUAAAAGCCUUGGACCCUGAUUGAUUGAUGUUGAAGAUAAGCCCGUUGAGAAGAAUCAACCAGCUGUUGAAGUUCCUACACCAAAGGAAUCAGAAUUUGCAAAGUCUGACAAGGUAAACCCUGACUUAGUGAAUUCAGAUAUUUUAAUAUCUUUUUUGGAUGCAUAUUUACCUACUCAAAAAAGUUGUCCGAUUCAACUGAAAGUUCCAUCACUCCAUAUCUGCAAAUAUUACAAUAAAAUAAGCAGAAAUAGUAGGUGCAGUUUAAAGUUUUUGUAUAUUCUGAAGCAGUUACACAUCAAUAUUCUGUUGGUGGAGGCAUUUGAAAAAAUGUCGAAUUAUGUAAAAUUUAUGAAGGAUAUACUGUACAAGAAGAAAUGACUGAGUAUGAGACUGUUUCUUUGACAAAGGAGUGUAGUGCGUUCCUGUAGAACAAAUUGGCUCCGAAAUUGAAAAACUCAUGAAGCUUUACUAUACCUUGUAGCAUUGGUGAAUCUUACUGUGGUAAAGCUUUGUGUGACUUAGGAGCGAGUAUCAACUUGAUGCAUAAGUCUAUUUUCAAGAUGUUAGGGAUAGGUGAAGUAAGACCUACAACUGUGACGCUUCAACUAGCGGAUUGAUCUUUAGCAUAUCCUAAAGGAAAGUUCUAGGAUGUUUUGGUAAGAGUCGAUAAAUUUAUUUUUCCUCCUGAUUCUAUUGUCUUAGAUUUUAAAGUUGACAAGGAAGUGCCGAUCAUCAUUAGGAGACCUUUCUUAGCCACGAGAAGAACAUUAAUUAAUGUGCAGAAAGGAAAACUCACCAUUCGAGUUCAAAAUGAUCAGGUAACCUUUAACAUUCCUAAAGUAAUGAAAUUUCCUGAUCCGACAGAGGAGUAUUCAGUGAUGGAAGAGAUAGAAACCUUGGUUUCUAUGGAAUGUAAUUUUCAAGAAGAUCCACUAGAAAAAGCCUUAGAUCUCGACCCUUUGGAGGAUGAAAAAGGUGAAGAAAACAUCACUUUAAUGUAAGCCAAUCCGAGAAAUUUUAUUCAAUCCACACGGUUUGAACCGUUAGAGUUGAUAGUCAGAGAAUUUGUGCAACCCAAGUUGUCAAUUAAAAAACCACCUAAACUCGAACUAAAGGUACUUCCUUCCCUUUUGAAAUAUUUUUAUUUAGGUGAUUGUUCUACUUUUCCUAUGAUUAUUUCAGCGGAAUUGACGAAAGAUCAAGAGGAGCAACUAAUUGUUGUUCUAAAGAAAUUUAAAAAAGCAAUUGGUUGGACCAUAGCUGAUAUUCGAGGUAUAACCCCUUAUUUUUAGAUGCAUAAAAUCAUUUUAGAAGAAGGUGAAAGAGCUCGAAUUGAUGAGAAAAGGAGUUUUAAUCCUAUUAUGAAAGUCGUGAGAAAGGAAGUGAUCAAAUAGUUAGAUACAGGAAUCAUCUAUCCUAUUUUAGAUAGUUCGUGGGUAAGUUCGGUGUAGUGUAUGCCGAAGAAAGGUGGAAUCGCGAUUGUUGAAAAUGAGCGUAACAAGUUAAUUCCAACAAGAACUGUUACCAGUUGAAGAAUUUGUAUUAAUUAUAGAAAGUUGAAUAAAGGCACUCAGAAGGACCAUUUUUUGUUGCCUUUUAUGUAUCAGAUGUUAGAUCAACUAGCAGGUAAUGAAUUCUAUUAUUUUUUAGAUGGCUAUUUAGGAUAUAACUAAAUAGUUGUAGCCUCGGAGGACCAACAUAAAACAACCUUUACUUGUCCAUACGAUACGUUUGCUUUUAGCCGAAUGCCUUUUGGUUUAUGCAAUGCACCUACAACUUUUCAACGAUGCAUGAUGACAAUAUUUACUGAUAUGGUUGAAAAUUUUGUUGAGGUUUUUAUGGAUGAUUUUUCUGUUUUUGGUAACACUUAUGAUAUCUGUUUGAGUAAUUUGGCUAAGGUACUGAAGAGAUGCGAAGAGACGAAUCUUGUCCUUAAUUGGGAAAAAUGUCAUUUUAUGGUCAAGGAAGGGAUUGUCUUAGGUCAUAAGAUCUCAGAAAAAGGAAUUGAAGUCGAUAAAUCAAAGGUGGACGUAAUUGAAGUAUUACUAGCCCCAAUGAAUGUAAAAGGUGUCAGAAGUUUUUUAAGCCAUGCCAAUUUUUAUCGAAGGUUUAUCAAAGAAUUUUCAAAAAUUUCUAAACUAUUGUGUUUGUUGAUAGAGAAAGAUACAGUGUUUGAUCAACAAAGCAUGUUUGGAAGCUUUUGAAGAGCUAAAGAAGCGGUUAAUCUCAGCCCUAAUAGUCGUUACACCUAAUCGAAACUCACCUUUUGAGUUCAUGUGCGAUGCAAGUGACUAUGUUGUUGGAGCUGUGAUGGGUCAAAGAAGAAAUAAAGUGUUUCACCCUGUUUACGAUGCAAGUAGAAAUUUGAUAGGAGCCCAAUGCAAUUAUACGAUAACUGAAAAAGAACUCUUCACUAUAAUUUUUGCUUUUGACAAAUUCCGCUCAUAUCUUUUAGGUACCAAAGUUACAGUAUUUACUGAUCAUGCGCCCAUUAAAUACUUGCUCACGAAGACAGAUGCAAAAUCAAGGCUAAUUCGUAGGAUACUUUUACUCCAAGAAUUUGACCUUGAGAUCCACGAUAGAAAAGGUGUUGAAAAUCAAAUAGUUGAUCAUCUGUUGAGGUUGGAGCAAGAUGAGGUAACUCAGUCAUGUGUGCCUAUCAACGAGAAAUUCCUAGAUGAACACUUAUUUGUGGUAAAUCAAAUUCAUGAAACACCCUGGUUUGCUGGUUUUGCCAAUUAUCUUGCACGUGGAAUAAUUCCUUGAGAAAUGACAUACCAACAAAGGAAAAAAUUCCUUCAUGAUAGUCGAUAUUAUCUUUGGGAGGAUCCAUUUUUGUUUAAACAAUGUGGAGAUAAUAUAAUCCAAAAGUGUAUAGCUGAAAGCGAGAUUGCUGAGAUCUUGUAUCAUUGCCAGUCAUCUCCAAGUGGGGGACACUUUGGUGGUUCACGUACUGCAUCAAAGAUUUUGCAAGUAGGUUUCUUUUGGCUUACACUAUUUAAAGAUACUUAUGCUUAUGUGAUGAACUAUGAUAGAUGUCAAAGGACUGGAAAUAUAUCAAGGAGGAAUAAAAUGCCCUUGAUAAACAUUUUGGAGAUCGAAUUGUUCAACAUAUGGGGCAUUGACUUCUUAAGCUCGUUUCCUUCUUCGUAUGGGAGCAAAUACAUCUUAGUUUCUGUGGACUAUGUAUCCAAGUGGGUUGAAGCUGAAGCAUACCCUACAGAUGAUGCUAAGGUAGUCAUGCGAUUCCUACAUAAGCGUGUGUUUACACGAUUUGGGACACCAAGAGCUAUUAUUAGUGAUGAAGGUUCUCACUUUGUGAACAAAUGGAUUAAGUGGUUGCUUGACAAAUAUGAUGUGGAGCACAAGAUUGCUACUACCUAUCACCCUUGGUUUAAUGGGCAAGUUGAAAGAGUGAAUUGUGAAAUCGAAGGUAGCACACCCUAGCAGAAAAGAUUGAUCUCAAAGGCUCGAUGAUGCAUUAUGGGCCUAUCAAACAACAUUUAAGACUCCGUCAGGAAUGACUCCUUAUUGGUUAGUCUUUGGAAAGGCAUGUCAUUUGCCAUUAAUGUUGGAGAAUAAAGCUCACUGCGCUUUGAAGCAGUUGAAGUUUUAUCUUAAGCAAGCCAGUGAGAGAAGGACGUUACAACUUGAUGAGUUGGAAGAGCUGAGGUUGUUUUCAUAUGAGAAUGCCAAUAUGUGUAAAGAAAGAUCAAGGAAAUGGCAUGAUAGUCAUAUACAACCUCACGAGUUUAAAAAAGGUUAGAAGGUUUUAUUGUUUGAUUCAUGGUUGAAGUUAUUUCCUAAGAAGCUUAAAUAUUUGAAUCUAACUAAGUUACAAAAUGCUAAUUAAAGUAACAAAACUAAAUAAAAAUAGUAGCACCAUCUUCAGCUACAACAUGCAUGGCUCGAGCUGCUUCUCUACUUCUUGGCCGCAUACCGGUCAACUUCAACAACACCCACUCGUCGCAGAGAUCUCCGGGUAAGCACACAUGAUCAAUUCGCUUUCGUUUAUUUGAAUGAAUGAAUGAUUUUUUCAGUUCUCUAAUAAAAUAUUUUGUUGUUUAAAAGAAUAAAUUGUGUCCAAUUGAAGUAUACUUAAUGUCACUAUGGCCAAAAUUGACUGAUGGUAUUAACUCGAUUGCAAACUACCAAUUUUGGGAACAUAAAUGGAAAUUGCAUGGAACCUGCUCUGAUUACCUUUACAAUCCCUUUACCUACUUUAACUCUGCCUUACAUCUCAAGCUUGGCUAAGUACAAGUAAUAUCUCAAUUAUACUUUGUUGUUAGCUCAUAUAAUGAAUUAAAUUAAAUUUUUUAUAUCGUAAGAGUAUACAAUUCAAUUUCACUCUCCAAAAUAAUUUUUUGACUCCACACUGAUUACAAUAUUGAGAGAAGGGAAAGAGGAUUUAACCCAUGUAUCUAAGACUAUCAGUAUAAUAAUGAAGUAUGAACUAAUUUUCAGUUUUUGGUUAAUCUUAAUGGUUGAAUUUUAUGAAUAUCCUAUCUUAAAAAUAACUGUUUGAAAAUAUUCAUAUUAUGUUCACCUCGUAACACAAUCUCUAAUUUCCUUUAGUUGUUAUUUUGAUCUAGUUGUUAGAUUUCAACCUAGAAUAACAAAGACAAUACAGAAGUUUGUAGAUGAAGUUUUUGAUGUUUUAAAAGCCUAUCCUGAGAUUGCUUGCAACCAAAACCUAAGUCGCACUUGAAAGCAAUUGUGGGAGAUUCGUUUAUGCUAUGAUAGCCCAAAGCCCGGAAAGGUCCAUAAUAAGCUCCUAAAUUGUACUCAUCAAUUGCCAGUAAGAAACGGUUGUAGAAUAGGCCUCUGUCAAAUAAUGACCGAUUGGAUAAUUUUUUGCCGCUAGUUUAUAAAAUCUGUGAAUAACUACUAUUUCAAAGUUAUGGUUGUUGUAAGCCCUCGAACUUGAAUUCUAGCAUUCGGUUUAUUGGUUAUAGUGUUUGCCUUACAAUUCAUGUUGUGGGUUUGAGGCACAGUGUGUGUAUAAAAAGUGUGUAAGUUGUUUGAAUUCUUUUACUUAUCUCUUUGCAUUCCCUUUCAUGGAUUCGAUUUACGAUGUGUGUAGUAGUGAUUUACCUCGACACCCUAUAAAAAUGUACGAGUUGUUUGAAAUCUUCUACUUAUCUAUUCACAUUGUUUUGUCUAACCAAUUUGAUAUGUAAAAUAAUUAAUUAAUCAUAUUAUCUAUUUUUAAUAUAGAGGUGUUCUCUACAAACAUAUUGCCAAAUAGUGACAGCCCAAUAAUCAUCACUAAAAACAAAAAAUCCAUCAAUAUAAGUUUGAAAAGUCUAUACCGACUAUCAAAAAGGCUAUUUCGACGAAGAGUAAUAGCUGAUACGAGUAACCCUAAUAGAUUUUUUUGACAAAAAAAUGCAACCGUCGAAAUAAGUCUAAAAGUUUAUAGUUUGACAAUUUACACAACACUAAAGUAGUAGUUGUUAGUACAAGUACCACUCAUAAUAGUAGGUAUUCUAAUACCUAUAGCGACGAUAAAAAAUCAUCAGCAUAAUCGAGUAAAUUUUCAAUUAUCUCCCUAAACUUUUAGUGACAAUACCAUUAUAAAUGUUCUUAUAUUUGAAAAUCCUAUUAUAUCCUAAACAUAUAACGACGAUUUUAACAUCAAUAAUACAAAUAUACCAACAAUUAGUAUAGACCAUUAGAAUCCAAUUGCUAAUAUUUGAAUUUGUGUACCAUAUUAAUUCAUUUAUAAUUUUAAUAAAAUUGACUUGAUGUAAAGUAUAUAUAAAAUAAAAAAUGUAAAUAAAAUCUAAAUAAAAUCAAGGUAAGCGCAUUACAUAAUACAAAGGUAAUUCAAAUAUAGUCCCAAUCUAAUCAAAACAUAAUAGAAAUAUAAAUCUAAUACAUAGUCCAAUACCAUUUCAUUAUUUCAUCUGUUAUUUUAUAUUUUACAAAGUUUAUAUUUUUUUCUAAUUUGAAUAAUACAAAUAUAAACCACAAAAUAAAGGUUUUACUAUAAAAAAAAUGCAUUCAUACGGUUCCUCACAAGAAUAGAUUAGGUGCUUAAUUCUCUCUUUGUACGCUUACCUAUACAAGCCUCUCAAUUAUAUAAAUUUAUUUCGCCACUUACUUACAUAUGAAGAUCUAUCUCGCUCUCACUAUUACAAUAAUAAGAUAAGUUAAAUACAUUAUAUUAAUAACAAUCAAGGUAAAUAUGGACUCUUGAUAGCUCAACAAAGUGUUAAUCCAAUCUAAUAUCCACGAUCCAAGGGAUUGACUUGGAUAAUCCAAUCCGGUCCAACCAAUCACCAAUAUACGAUUCUUCAAGUGAUAUAAUAUUUCGUAAUGGGUUAAAUAUCAUCCAUAUAUUCACCAUAGUCUAUAUAAAUUGUUUAAUAAACUUCCAACACCUUAAAUAUGAAAAGUGUUUUCUCAUAAUUUUAAUCAGUUUUAUAUUUUCAACAUAUACUGAUAAAGUCAUAAUGUAGAGCAAAAAAGUACUGAUAAAGGUCAAUUAAACCCAACGAAUUAAUCUUCAUAAGAUCAUUGCCAAGAUUCUUCAUAAUGUCCCACACACGAGCUAAAAGAAUAGGUAAAGAAAAGAAAUGGUCACUGAACUAUUGCCCGCAUUUUAUUUUUAUCAUUGAACUUUUAAAUUUUUUUUCUAUUUUGAUCACUAAGCUAUUUGAAAUCAAAAUUUUUUAUUAUUUAAAAUUUGGCCAAAGUGUUGAUGUCGACUUUUUUUAUUGGUCUAAUAACAAAUUUAACCUUCUAGUGCAUACAUAUUCUAUCAAUUUAAUCCUAAAUAUAAAAAAAAUCAAAAAAUUUACCCCCUCAAAUAUUUACAAAAUUUGGCAGUUUAGUUCUAAUUUUAAAAUUCAAUAAAUUUAACCCUCAACAUUUACAAAAAUGACAAAUUUUAAUUCAAAAACAUCAUGUAAAUUUUUAUGUCAAACAAUUUAAAUUUAAAUCAUAUUUAGUUGAGAAAGUGGAGAAAGACUUUGUAAAAAAUAGAAUGUUGCUAAUGACAAUAUAUCGCAAAGAAAGAAGAAAUAAAAAUAAAGAACACACAGAUUUUUUCAUGGAAACCCUUUCGGGAAAAAAACCACGGGCAGAGGAGAAGAAAAUUCACUAUGUCAAAUUCGAAUGAUUACAAGAGGAGUAGACUAUGUCUAUUUAUAGGCUUGUAAAAUCUUAUUCUAAUAGAAAAGUACUAAGAUUGAAACACCUUAUUCUAAUCAAUAUCAAAUAGAUGGAGUUUAAUAAGGUUUAAAAAACCUUAUUCUAAAAUAAAAUAAAAGAAAUGUAGUUCUAUAUGGAUUUUACUUUUAUUUUAUUUUACCAUUAUAUUCUAUUUAAAUGAGGAUUCAUGUCACUUAAUUCUAACAAUCUCCACCUUGACACGAAUUCCCAGUGAAAAAGUUUUUUAUCGCGAACUCUCAACGAACAAGUUCUCCACAUCUUCCCUAAAACCCCUUAAGGGUUUAACUUCAACAAUGAACACCAACCAAGUUUAGGCAAUGCUCAAAAUUGGUUAUAGGAAGUGACUUACUCAUCAUAUCUACAGGAUUUUCAUGAGUACUAAUUUUGCUCACAACAAUAUCAUCAUGAACAAUAAUAUCACGAACAAAAUGAUACUAAACAUCAAUGUGUUUUGUUCUCUCUUGAAACAUUUGAUCUUUUGUAAGGAAGAUGGCACUCUGACUGUCACAAAAUAUUGUACUGAUUUGAAGGUCUUCAUUGAGUUCACUAAAGAGUCCCUUCAACCAAAUAGCUUCUUUACAAGCCUCAGUAAUCGUAAUGUAGUCAGCUUCAGUGGUAGACAAAGCAACUGUAGUUUACAAAGUGGCUUUCCAACUGAUUGCACAACCUCCGAUUGUAAAGACAUAACCUGUAAGAGAUCUUCUUCUAUCAAGGUCUCCAACAAAAUCAGCAUCAACAUACCUAAUGACUCCAUCUCUAGAUCUUCCAAACUAUAAGCAAACAUCAAUAGUACCUCGUAAGUAUCUCAAAAUCCACUGAACUGUCUUCCAAUGUUCUUUACCAGGAUUCGCCAUGUGUCUGCUAACUGCAUUGACUACAUAUGAUAAAUUUGGACAUGACCAAACCAUAGCAUACGUAAGAGAUCCCACUGUAGUAGAGUAUGGAACAUGUGACAUGUACUCAAUCUCAUCAUCUAAUUGUGGAGACAAAGCCGAUGAAAGUCUGAAAUGGGCUGCUAAAGGAGUACACAUGGGCUUAGCACUUUGCAUAUUGAAACUGCAAAGAACUUUCUCAAUGUACCCCUUCUGACUUAGGGACAAUAUAUUUUCUUUUCUAUCUCUGAGAAUCUCCAUACUAAGUAUCUUUUUUGCUGAUCCCAAAUCUUUCAUCUCAAAUUCUUCACUUAGUUUGGCUUUGACAUUUCUUAUCUUUCAUUUAUCUUUCGUUGCUAUCAACAUGUCAUCAACAUAAAUGAGUAGAUACACAAAAGAGCCAUCACUGUUUUCCUUAAAGUAAACACAACUUUCAAAGCUACUUCUUUUGAAAUCUUGAGAAGUCAUAAAGGAAUCAAACCUCUUGUACCACUGUCCUAGUGACUGUGUCAAACCGUAAAGGGACUUUUUCAGCAAGAAAACAUAGUCUUCUUUUUCUGAGAUUGUAAAACUCUCUAAUUGUUGCAUAUAAAUAUCCUCCUCAAGUUAUCCAUGCAAAAAUUUAGUUUUUACAUCUAACUGCUCAAGCUCUGAAUCAUGCAUGGCCACAAUACCAAGCAAAGCUGAAAUCGAACUAUGCUUCACAACUGGGGAGAACACAUCUGUAAAGUCCACUACUGGAAUUUGACUGUAACCCUUUGCAACAAGCCUUGCUUUAUAUCUGGGUUCUUCAACUCCUGGAGUCCCUUCUUUCUUUUUAAACACCUAUUUACAAUGAGCAGCCCUUUUACUUUUAGGAAGUUUCACAAGAUCCCAUGUUCUGUUUUUGUGGAGUGAUUCCAUCUCCUAUUGCAUAGCAAACAUCCACUUUUCUGAGUCUUCAUAGCUAACCGCCUCAGUAUAAUUAGAUGGCUCUUGGUUUGCAUCUAUAUCUUCAGCCGCAUUUAAAGCAUAAGCAACCAGAUCAGCCUCAGCAUACUUCUUUGGCGAUUUAAUUUCUCUUUUAGUUCUGUUUUUGGAAAUAGAGUAUUGUGGUGAAGAAGCAACUCUAUUCUAAAUUUUUGUACUGGCUUGAGGAGUCGACUUUGUUGUAGAUUCUAUGCUCCAUCUGCUUUUGAUUUUAUUUAUUGGAAAAGUCUUUACGAGAUAAGUUAGGUAGCAUAAUAGUUUCAUCAAAAACAAUAUCUCUGCUAAGCACAACUUUUCUAUUUUCAAGACACAUAAAUUAUACCCUUUUACACUAGCUUUAUAACCAAGAAAAACACAUUUAAUGGAUCUCGGUUCCAAUUUUCCAUUAUUAACAUGAGUAUACGCAGAACACCCAAAGAUCUUUAAAUCAAAAUAGUCAGCAGGAUUACCAGACCAUGCCUCUUGUGGAAUCUUUUUCUCAAUAGCAACGGAUGAAAAUCAGUUGAUCAAAAAACAUGUAGCAGAGGCUGCUUCGGCCCAAAAUGACUUUGGUAAGUUAGCAUUCGACAACAUACAUCUAACUUUCCCUAUGAUCAUUUUGUUCAUUCGUUUUGCAAUGUCAUUUUGUUGUGGAGUAUGAUGAACUGUCAAGUGUCUCACAAUCUCUUCUGAGUUGCAUAGUUCAUUAAACUCAUCAGAACAAAACUCUAAGCCAUUGUUUGUGCGAAGGUGUUUUAUUUAUUUUCUCGUCUAGUUUUCAAUCAUAGUUUUCCAACUUUCCUAAAAACACAUUGCUUUUCUACUUUAAGAAGAACGCCCAAACUUUUCUAAAAAAAUCAUCAAUAAAAGUUAGCAUAUAAUUAGCUCCACCUCUCGAAGGCACUCUAGGUGACCCCUACAGAUCAGAAUGAAUAUACUCCAACUUUCCUUUCGAUUUAUGGAUUCCUCUAGUGAACUGAACUCUCUUUUGCUUUCCAAAAAUGCAGUACUCAUAGAAAUUUAUUUUACAAAUUCCUUGCCCAUCAAGAAGACAUUUUUUGCUCAAUUCUGCCAUGCCAUUCUCACUCAUAUGCCCUAGGCACAUAUGCCAAAUUUUAGUAAUAUCAUCAUCUGACAAGGAAGAAGAAGUGACAACUGCAUCACCAAUAACAGUAGAAUCCUACAAAAAAUAUAACUUGGCAGUCUUUCUCUGCCCUUUCAUCACAACGAGGGAACCUUUAGAAAUCUUCAAAACCCACUUUCAGUGUAUCUAUACCCUUUUGAAUCAAGAGUACUCAAUGAAAUUAAAUUUCUCUUCAAUUCUGGAACAUGUCGUACAUCACUAAGUGCUCUGAUAACUCUGUCAAACAUCUUUACUUUAAUCAUUCCAACACCUAUAAUUUUACACCAAGUAUUAUUUCCCAUAAAAAAACACCUUCAGACACUGUUUCUAAAGUUGUAAACCAAUCUCGAUUAGGAAUCAUGUGAAAGGUGCAGCCCGAAUCAAGGAUCCACUCCUUGCUCACUUUAGAAUUGUUGAUAGAAGCGACUAGAAUAUCACCAUCGUUGUAGUCUUCUAUAACAUUAGCUUCACUAGAAUCUUUUGGUUGUUUUCCUUUUUGAUUCGCAGUCUUCCUUUUGAUCUUGUUCUGUAGUUUAUAGCACUCAGAUUUAAUGUGCCUUUUUUUUUUGCAGAAGUUACAAGUUUUACCUUUGUUUGAGGACUUCGAUCUACCCAUAGAAUUACUGAAAAGAUUCUGUUCUUGUGUCCUUCCAUGAUCAUCAUUAGCAUUUUGACCUUGUCUCUCACGAAUAAUGAGACCAUCUCCCUAAGAGUCGAUUUUAACCACAAGAUGCUUCAUCUUAUCGUACGAGGUUAAAGAAGCAUAAACCUCAUCAACUAUGAGAGACUCGCGACUAUAUAAAAUUGUGUCUCUAAAGGUUGAAUAAGAUGGGGGAAACGAACAAAAUAGAAUUAAAUCAAGUUCUUCCUUAUCAUACUGAACGUUUAUGGCCUCCAAGUUUGAGAGAAUUUCUUUAAACACUGUUAAGUGUUCAUGCACAAACACACCUUCCUCCAAAUGAUAAGCAUAAAGAUGCUGCUUCAUAUGCAACAUGCUGGUUAGAGUUUUCGACAUACAUAUUUGUUCUAACCUUUUCCAUAAUGCAGCGACGGUCUUCUCAUUCAUCACAUCUUGCAAAAUUUUGUUAGACAAAUGCAGAUGUAUUUGUGUUGAUGGCUUUUGAUCCUUACACUUCUUCUCUUCAUCCAUUAAUGUCAAAGGCAUCUUAUCUAUACUUAGCAGACAUCCUUUAGAUCUAUCUAUGCAAGAACUGGUUGCGUCUUAAUUUGCCACAACGCAAAUUUGGUGUUGUGAUCCAACAGUGAAUUUUUAUACUUUAAAAACGUCAUUAUUGUGAUCGAGAUAAACAACCCAGAAGCUCGGAUACCAAUUUGUAAAAAUAUAGAGUGUUGGUAAUGACAAUAUAGCGAAAAGAAAAGUGAAAUAAAAAUAAAGAACACACUAAUUUGUUUAAUAUGACUCUUAUUUUUGUCAAAUUUGAGAAAUAAUCUUUCAGUUAAACUCUGUUUACUUGUUUCAAUCAAACUCUGAUUUGUAUAGAUUAUUUUAUUAUUAUUCGACCUAUGAAUUCAUCCUAUAAAUAGGCUAUUUUACAAUCUUAGAAAACACACCCAUUAGAGAUUAAAACUCAUAACACAUUUAGAGAAUUUUGUGUUUACGUUUUGAGGGUUCUUUGUUUUCGGGCUUUCGAGGUUUAGUUUUUAUCUCCAUCUUUUGUACUAUUCAUUCUUUUGCCAUUAUAGUAAAAUUAUCUUUGCCUGUAGUUUUUUAUCUUCGUUGGAGGGGGUUUUCCACAUUAAAUUUGUGUGUUCAAUUUCUCAAUUGAUUCUGCUAUUUUUUUACUUGUUGCUUAAUCGGUUCGAUCCUAACAAGUGAUAUCAAAGCUAGUCAAAUUUUCAUAGAUCAUCCCAUUUAGAGAUGGCAGCAACAAGGUUUGAAAUUGAGAUGUUUGAUAGUGAGACAAAUUUCAAUCUGUGGCAAGUUUGGAUGAUAGCAAUUCUAGCUCAAACCGGUUUAAAAAAGGUUGUUAUCAGGAAAAAGCCUGAAAAUCCAAAUCAAACAGAAUGGGAAGAGAUUGAUGAAAAGGCCUUGUCUACAAUCUAGUUGUGCCUCGUAAAUUCAAUAUUAUAGGAGGUAUUGAUGGAGAAGACCUCAUCCGUCUUGUGGAAAAGGUUAGAAACUCUUUAUGAAACUAAGUCUCUCGCUAAUCGUUUAGUGUUGAAACAACAUCUAUUUACGUUUCACGUGAACGAAUGUGAGCUUCUUAGAGAUCACAUCAGUCAAUUCAUUACUCUUUUAAAUGAUUUUAAAAACGUUGAGGUUUAGAUUGACGAUGAAGAUCAGGCUAUACUAUUAUUGUGGUCUUUACCCCCUUCAUACUAGUCUUUCAGAGAGACCCUAAUUUAUGGUAGAGACAAACUCUUGUUCGAAUAUGUGAAGGGUCAUUUGUUAAGUAGAGACAAACUCGACAAUGAGUUUGGUUUGGGUAGCAAGGCAAAUAGGCUGGCUUUUGUUUUGGUAGCAUCAAAGAAACGAGACAAAAGGUGUCGCUAUUGUAAAAAGUUAGGUCACGUCAAAGUAGAUUGUUAUAAAGUGCAACAUAAAAAAGUUGCUGAGAGUAACGAGGAAAAUGUAGCUAGUUCUAAUUUGGCCGAUGAAACUGGUGAUGAUUUCUUGUUAGUGUCAACAAGCGAUAACUCUAAGCUGACGUUCGAUUGGAUCCUAGAUUCGGGAUGUUCUUUCCACAUGUGUCCCAAUAGAAAAUGGUUCUCUACAUACAGUUCGGUUGAAAGUAUAGUUGUGCAUAUGGGAAAUGAUUCAUCUAGUAAGGUAACUGGUAUUGGCACUAUUAAAAUUAAGAUGUACAAUGGAACGAUUAGGAUGCUUUCAGAUGUCAGGUAUGUACUUGAUUUACACAAGAAUCUCAUCUCCUUGAGUAUUUUAGACUUUAAAGGAUGCAGAAUCAACAUUGAGUCGAGCAGCAUUAAAGUAUCUCGUGGAGCUCUCAUUUUGUUAAAAGGUAAAACAAUCGAUAGUCUUUAUAUUCUGAAAGGUUCUACAGUGAUCGGUGAAAUCGAACGUCCCUUGCCGGUUAUAGAGUCGAAGUCAACUUGUUUGGAGCGAAGGCAACUUGGUAAUAGGAGGGAAAAAUGUAUGUCCAUUUUGUUGAAGAGAGAUUCUCUUUUGGGUGCAGGUUUUGAAAAGUUAGGGCAUUGUGUUUGUGAAAAUUAGACCCGGGUUAGUUUUAAUUUGGCAGUGUACAAGUCGAAGGCUAGAAAGUCUUCUAGUUUCUAAGCACAGAUUCAACUCAGUUAAUUCCCUGCAUAGUUCAAGAUAGGCUUGUGACGGGCUUUGGCAAAUUUGACAUUAUGAAAAUAUGAGUCAAGGUGGAGAUUUGUUUAGUAUGACUCCUAUUUCAGUCAAAUUUGAGAAAUAAUCUUUCAGUUAAACUCUAUUUAUUUGUUUCAAUCAAACUCUGAUUAGUCUAGAUUAUUUUAUUAUUAUUUGACCUAUGAAUUUAGCCUAUAAAUAGGCUCUUUUACAACCUUAGAAAACACACCCAUUAGAUAUUAGAACUCAUAACACAUUUGGAGAAUUUUGUGUUUACGUUUUAAGGGUUCUUUAUUUUUAGGUUUUUGGGGUUUAGUUUUUAUCUCCAUCUUUUGUACUAUUCGUUCUUUUGCCAUUAUAGUAAAAUUAUCUUUGCCCGUGAUUUUUAUCCUCUUUGGAGGGGUUUUUCCACGUUAAAUUUGUGUGUUCAAUUUCUCAAUUUAUUCAGCUAUUUUUUUUACUUGUUGCUUAAUCAGGUUGAUCCUAACAAACUUGAUAGGUUGAAUUACAAGCUCAUUUAUCAAUUGGUCCAAAAUCUUUAGUAAUAUCUUCAAGUUGUUGAUUGUUAUAGUAAGACUAGCUUGCUUUAGCUACCUCAAUUUCAUGAGGUUUGAUAAUAAAAUAUAUACAUUAUAUAUCUUGUGUGUGAGUCCUCAACAUAAUUCACAAGUUGUUUACUUUAAGUAUUAAUUUCUCAUUCAUUACUCAACCAUUUUGAGCAUAUAAUAUACCGUUGUAAAUGUCUCAUGGAAUAGAAUAUAAAAUCAUGAUUUUAUUAUUCAAAUCUCUACAUUUACCAAUAAAAAUAUGCCUCAAUGUUUCCAAAAAUCAAUUUUUUUCAAACAAAUUUGAACACUAUAAAUUAUCAAACAAUUGUAGGCAUUUAGGUUAUCUUGACUCGAGGAUGAGCAUAAAUGCUAACAAAAUUUUAACCCUUUUGUUAUAUUUAAAGGAUUAUUUGUUUAUACUUUUGUCUAAAUAUAUGUUUAAUAAAAUAUAGAUAUUUAAAGGAUUAGGUGUGAGUUCAGUCUUUGAUGCUAAGCUUCAAACGAUUGCCAAUAGGUUAAAAAUGGCUUGGAAUAAAGGAGUGCGGCAGCUGCUGGUCGAGUGUGAUUGCAAAAUAAUGAUAGAUUUGAUACUUAGGCCGAAGAAGGUGGGUUAUCGAAAUUGAGCUUGGAAAUCUGGAAUUGGAAGGUAGAAAUAAGACAAGUUCCAAGAAUGGAAAAUAUGGCUACUGAUGCAAUGACUAAAUGGGUUUGAUGUUGCACGACUGGAUUUCAUGUUUUUGACAACAUGCUCCAAGUGGUUAUGGAUGUUAUGGAGUGAGACAAAGGGUAAAAAACUGAAGUCGACAGUUUGAUUGAGUAUUGAGUCUCAACUUCUUAUAUUGUAACAAAAAAAUACAAAUAUUUUAAAAAAGUGAAAGGUAUGAGUAAUAUAACUGAACAUCGACUGUAUAAAUCAAAUAUAUUCUUAUUUCUUUUAAAAUUUCUUACCAUAUUGAGAGUUAUGCAAUAAAGUAUUAAAACUCUUAUCUUAACUCCCAACAUAUCUUCUAAAUACAACAUAUUCAAGCUAAUAUAAAGUAAUCUAUGUAUAAAAGGAAGGCAUUCUAUCUUUGACCACAAUGGUUAGUUUUUAGUUUUAUUCUUUUUACUUUUUAAUUAUAUAAAAAUGGUUAAAUUUUAAUUUUUGUCGAGAUUUGAUCUUUAUAAUCAAUUUUUUUAUAUAAUUAGUACUUUAACAUUUAUAAUGUCAUUAGUUAGUCUAAAUAUUUUAUUCUAACCAAACUGCUAACGUAAAUUUAAAUAAUUGUUAACAUCAUUAAAUUUUUUUGUUAAAUUCAAGUCCAUUAUAAUGCUAUUUUUUGUGGCAUGAUUAUCAGGUGAGUACUUUUUUUAAAAUUUUAGAAUGUCACACCAACAAAUUUAACAAAAGAAUUUUAACGGUGUUAACAAUUGGACCUAAAUCUUUAAAUUCGAAAAAGAGAGGGAGUAGCUUCUUAAAAACAAAAAAUUGAAAAUUAAAUUCCAAAUAUAUAUAGAGUACAAAAACUUAAAGCAUAUUAUAAGCUUUAAAUUUUAACUAUUUAGUUCAAAAUAAUUAACCCAACGAGAAAUGUGAUUUGAAAACCAUACUACUAAUAAUAAUUUUAUUUCGAAAUUGAUUCCACUUGAUAAAAAAUACAUUUAAUUUGAUAAAAUGUAGUAAAUAAUUAAUUAAUAAAAAGUCUGUUGGGGACCGACCCGAUUAAGCAAUGAACAAGUAAAAAUAGUGGAAGAAAUUGAGAAAUUGAACACAAAUUUAAUGUGGAGAAACCCCUCCAAAGAGGAUAAAAAACCACGGGCAAAGAUAAUUUUACUACAACGGAAGAAGAACGAAGAGUAGAAAAGAUGGAGAUAAAAACUAAACCCUGAAACCCAAAGACAAAUAACCCUCGAAGCAUAAACGCAAAAUUCUCCAAAAGUGUUACGAUUUCUAAUCUUUAAUAGAUGUAUUUUCUAAGGUUCUACAAUAUCCUAUUUAUAGGCUAAAUUCAUAGGUCAAAUAAUAAUAAAAUAAUCUAGACUAAUUAGAGUUUGACUAAAAUAAAUAAAUAGAGUUUAACUGGGACAUUAUUUUCAAAUUUGACUGAAAUAUGAGGCAUACUCAACAAAUCUCCACCUUGACUCGUAUUUCCACAACGCCAUCUUUGCCAAAGCCCGCCAUCUUGAACUAUGCAAGGAAUUAACUGAGUCGAAUAUGGGCCUAGAAGCUAGAAGACUUCUAGCCUUCGACUUGUGCACUGCCAAAUCAAAACUAACCCGUGUUUGAUUUUCACGAACACAGUGCCCUAACUUUUCAAAACCUAUAUUCAAAAGAGAAGCACUCUUCCACAAAAUAGUCAUACAUUUUUCCAUCAUAUGACCAAGUUGCCUUCACUCCAAACGAGUUUACUUUGACUCUGUAAUAGAUAAGGGACGUCCGAUUUCACCAGUCACUUUAGAACCUUCUAGAAUAUAAAUACUUUCAAUCCUUUUACCUUUCAUCAAAAUGAGAGCACCAUGAGAUACCUUAAUGUCGCUCGGCUCAAUGUUGAUUUUGCAACCUUUCGAGUCUAAAAUACUCAAGGAGACGAGAUUCAUUCGUAAAUCAAGUACAUACUUGCCAUCUGAAAGUGUCCUAAUCGUCCCAUCAUGCAUCCUGAUUUUAAAAGUACCAAUAUCGAUUAUCUUACUCGAUGAAUCAUUUCCCAUGCGCACAAAUCCACCUUCAAUUGAACUGUAUGUGGAGAAUAAUUCUUUUUUAUGACAGACAUGGAAAGAAAAUCUCGACUCUAGGAUCCACUUAGACGUAAGCUCGGAGUUUUCGCUCGUUGACACCAACAAGAAAUUAUCACCGCUUUCGUCGGCAAAGUUAGCACCAGCUACAUCUUCCUCAUUACUCUCAGUAGUCCAUUUAUAAUGAUAUGCUUUGAUGGUAAUUGCUAAAAGUAACAUGUUUUAAUCCCAUUCUUAAGCAUUUUUGGAUGAUUAUUUGAUGUUAAAUGGUGAAUUUUAUGCUCCUAAGCCUUUAAAUUCAUGCUUCUAUACUUAGGAGAGCAUUUGGGAUCAAAAUGAGUGAAAAACGAGUGAAAAAUAAAAAAUUAGAGAAAGGUACAGGGGCUACACGGGCUGGGCACACACCUAUGCGAGCCAAAUGGGAUGCCACAAGGCCAUGUGCCAAACCGUGUGAAAAUCACAAAUUGCACUCCAAACACGCGAAAAAGUGUAAUUUUUAGGUUUUUUAAGCAUUCUAAGACCUAUAUACACCAAAUAUAUGAAGAGGGGAGUGAGCCGUCAUAGAAUACUCAAGAAAACAACUCAAAAACCACCAUUGAAGCGGAUUCUGAAAUAGAUUUCCAUCAAGAUUGAAGAUCUCCUUUUGAUUUCUUUGAAGAGUUUUAUGAGUAUCUUUGUUUCUUAUGGUUAUAUUGUCUUUUGGAUGUUUUUAUUUGCAAUUAUGAACUAACUUUACAAAUACCUAGGGGAGAUGAACCCUAUGAUGAAUUCUGUCUUUUGAUUUUUGUUUUAUGCAAUAAAUACUUAGAUCUUAUUCUCAAUUAUGUGUGCUUAAUCCUUGGCUUAAUAUUUCUAGGCUAUUAAUCUAUGUUUGAAGUACUUAAAUUAGAGGAGGAAUAGACCUUGUUUAAGAGUAGAUCUAGCAUAAUUGAGUGGACUUGCAUGCAAUCCUAGAAAAUAAGACAACAUAAAUGUACCGAAUUAGAGUCAAAUCUAAUAGGGGGAUCCAAAGAUCUUGUUAAUACGACAAUAAGGGUUUUAAUUAAAAAGAAAUUUCAAUUAAUCAACCUAGAGACAGUUGCUCUUUGUAACACCCCAAACCCGGCCUAGGAGUUAUGGCCGAAUCUGGCGAUGUUACAUUAAGGUGUUUAGCGUAAAACUUGUUGUUGUUGAAAUCUUUAAAAUUAAUUAAUCAUUUUAUUAUUAAAUGGUGAUUCCAAAACGGGUUGUUCAUUUCCAAGCGUGCAUCAUUAAAAACUAAUCACUUUUAAAAUGUUAUAAAUUUUCCAAAAUCUUAUUUAUUACGAAAACGUGGUGUCUUUGAAAACUUUUACCUUUUGAAAACCCGUCUUAUUCUACAACUAUCAGUUUAUAUCAAACUAAAUAAAUAAAAACCCCAAUUUAAAGUUUAUAACUUUAAAGAAGCCUUUUUACAUAAAAAUACCCAAAUCCAGUUACUUAUAAAUUAAAAGCUAAAAAUAAAAACUGAUGCAGUUGUGUGGCCACCUCCGAGUCCCUCGCAGCACCGAAUCAACUAUGGCUGAGGAUUACCCACACAGUUAAGAGGAGAGGGUGAGUUUACAAAAACUUAGUGUGUAAUCCCCUUAUUAAAGAAACAGUCAGUAAACAGAAACAACACAGUCUAGGCCUGAGCCCUUUAAUAGUAACAGUACAGUGUGGGUCUUAGCCCAUUAUAGUAACGGUGACGAUUGGGCCUUAGCCCUUAUCAGCCUCGGUUGGGCCUGAGCCCAUAUCAAAUGGCACAUAUCACAUAUAUCUGGGCGUAAGCCCAUCUCAAUAUUAGAAUCAGUAUAUCCAAUGCAUAAAUACCCAUACCAACCCUUCAUUCCGUCUCUUGUCAAACCCUACACUUCUGUGGGGAUUAAAACGACCCACCCAUCCCUACACUCCUUAUGUAGCACCAGUUGCGGCACUAACUAAUAUCGUAGCAAAGUUGCCAGUAACCAGAAUGGUUAAGAGCCCUAAACAGGAUAGCUAUAAGUUAUAAACAGAAUGGCUACAAGCCAUAAGUACAGUAAUAUGAUUGGCACAAAGCCAUCAGUAGUAGUAAUAUGAUCGGCACACUGCCAUCAGUAAUGGUAAUAUGAUUGGCACACAACCAUCAGUAAUGGUAAUAUGAUCGGCACAAAGCCAUCAAUAGCAUCGCAGCAAAGCUGCCAGCAACAGUAUCACAACAAAGCUGCCAGUAACAGUAUAUGUGGCCAAGCCACCAGUAACAAUGAUUGUGGCAGAGACACUAGUAUAGUAUUUCCUCCAUAACAGAAUCCCCACCCCAUGCAGUAUGUCGUGUAUGCAGAAUUCCAUACACGGAAUCAGUCAUACAAAUCACAGACAAAUCAGUCAUUUACAUCUCGGACAAAUCAUUCAUUUACAUCAUAGGCAAAUCAAUCAUUUAACCACGAGGGGCAAAAUAGUCACUUUACCCUACAGGGGCAUUAUGGUCAUUUCACCCUACAGGGGCAAUACGACCAUUUUACCCUAUAGGGGCAAUACGACCAUUUUACCCUAUAGGGGCAUUAUGGUCAUUUUACCCUACAAGGGCAUUACAGUCAUUUUACCCUAUAGGUGCAUUACGGUCAUUUUACCCUAUAGGGGCAUUACGGUUAUUUUACCUUACAGGGGCAUUACAGUCAUCUUACCCAUCGAGGGUAUUUCGAUUAUUUUACCUUUCGGGGUAUUUUGAUCAUUUUACCCUUCGAGGGUAUUCUAGUAAUUUUAUCAUUCGAGGGUAUUUCAGUAAUUUUACCCUUCAAGGGUAUUUCGGUCCAACCUUACACACCAUCUCUGUCCAACCCUACACACCAUGUGGGGAUUAAAUCAACCCACUCAUCGCUACACACCAUGCUGUACCGAAAUGCUGCACAUAAUCAGAUCCUUGCAGCUGAGCUGGCAGAUAACAGGCUUAAUAGCCUUUCAGACACUUCCUCCAAAUAUCAUCAACUCACCCCGAUACCAUGCAACAUACAAAAUAUGUCACGCCAUUAUGCAAAUAAUAGUACAUACAUUCAGAUAUCAUAAGUCAUGAUCGGUAUAGAAAUCAUUCAGAUAGAUCACACAUAUAGGGGUCUAAGUAAAGCUUAUCGACCCUACAGUAGGUCCACAAUCAACUUGGGCGACAUGUGCAACCUUACAGAACUUUUCAAAAAAAUGGGCUCACACGCCCAUAUGGCCCACUCGGCCCAAAUUGGCCUUGGCCGCGUGAUCCAUUUUUAAUGUAACCCGUGCUAGAUAAAUAUUCAUAUAUGUUUUCACUAUUUACUUAUGUGUUCCUUCAAAGUUGUCUACUUGAGUCAUUGUUACUAAAUUAUUUAUAUCUUGACAUACAGAAUUCUGAAUUAAAAUAUGCUUAAUGUUUUUGAAACUAGACUCAAAUACCUUUCCACCAUAAAAUUUUCAGAAUUUUUGGUUCAGCCAAUAAGUAUAGUAAAAUCUUCAAACUUACCCCUGUUCUACUGUCUGACAGCUUCAACCUUUAUUUGUUAAAAAUUAAUUAUCUCUUAGUACAAAAUUUGGAUGAAUUUUUUAUUUGUUUCUAUUGAAAAUAGACCCACUAAUAAUUUUAAACAUGUAAAUUUUAACCCCUAAUUAUUUUUAUCCCAUUUUUGAUGAUUUUUCAAAGUCAGAACAGGGGAACCUAGAUUCAUUUUGACCUUGUCUCACAAAGUUUAUUAUAUCUCAUGAUUUACAAUUCCAUUUCUUACAUCGUUUCUUCUAUGAGAAACUAGACUCAAUAAGAUUUAAUUCCAUAUUUUUUAUCCUCUAAUUCAAUUUCCACAAUUUAUGGUGAUGUUACAAAAUUAGCCUACUGCCGCUGUCCAAACAGGAAGCAAUUUCAGCUUUUCGCCGAAUCCCAUUUUUUUUGUAUGUUUUAGGUACACACAUGGUUUUUUUAUGCUAAAACAGUCCUUGAGCACUCCAAAGCCUAUAAUCAAUAUACUCAAAAUCAAUUUAAUGGAUUUACAAGUGAAUUGACAACCAAGAAUGAACAGAAACCCAAGUUACCACCAACGAUAACCCCCCGUUUAACUACUGUUAAGACGAGAACACUAAAUUCACCAGUCCGACCCUCCUUCUACGCACAAAUCGCAGAUAAAAAAUAUUACCACUUUAGUCACUAAGAGAUUCAUGAUAGAAACGAAGAGAAACACUUCCCAAAACUAAACGAGCACAGACCUCGUGCGAAAAUGAAGGAAAAUAAAUGGAUUAGGGAAAAAUCAAGAAGAAGAAAAAGAAGAGAAAGAUGGAAAAGCUCAGAGAAUUUCGGCAAGAGGAGAGGGAGAAGAAUAAAUGGCAGAUUUUUUUUGGAAAAGAGAGUCAAAAUUUGGUUAUGGAAAAAAAUAAAAUAAAAUCUCGAUAACACCUAAAAUCCCUUAAUCUUCUCCCCUAAUUCCCACUUCACAUCCACUACUCAGAAUCCCCCUAUUAUACAAAUCUAUCCCAGAAUCUAAGCAAAAAAAAAAUAAUACCCUUGCCUGCAUAGGGAUUCAAACACCAGACCUCCACAAUAAUAACAAACCAUUUAACCACCAGACCAGCAAACUCAUUCUAGUGUAAUUUACCCAACAAUCAAAUAAAACCCUAUUGAACAAGAGUAGGGCCUAAUUCAUUCAAAAUACCAAAAUUUGCCCAAGCGAAGGCUUGAACUUGGGACCUCCCAAACACUCCCAGAACACAUAACCCGUAAAGUUGAAAGAUAUUUGUGUCAUAUUUUCACAAUAACAAAAUUAGAAAUUUUGGGGCGUUACACUCUUAGUCUUGAAGAGCGAUAUUUGCAUAAUUUAGGUAUUUCUACGGAUUAAAAUACUAAGUGAAGAAAUUGUGUAAUUUGGAUUGAUAAUGACAGAUGAAAUAUAGGUGGAUUCUUUCCUAGGUAUUGUCUCGCUUCUUAGUUGUUAUGUGUUCUUUAGUUAAUUUUAGUUCAAUCAAUUACUCCAAUUUAUCGGUUAAAUAAUAGAAAGACAGUAAAUACUAGUACUUUUAGCCCCCGUGGGAACGAUAUCUUCGCUCACUAUAGCUAUACUAAUAAUUGAUAGGUGCACUUGCCUUGGUGAGAUUUUUAGUUGGUUUACGAUUGCAUCAACCUUUUGGCGCCAUUGUCGGGGACGAAAAUAUUAAGAAAACUUUAUUUCUAUUAAUUUGACCAUUUUUAUUUUUAAUUUUAUUUUAAUUUUUACAUUCUAGUUUUUGAUUUGUUUGGUUUUGGCAAGUUCUUUUGGUUUAUGAUUAGAGGACACCCGUUGGAUCCAUUACUUUUUGACAGUGAGAUUGAAAAGUUAGCUAGCAGAAAUCAUAGAGAGGUUCGAGAAACAAUGCAAAGUCAGCAAAAUAUAGUAGACGAUCAAAAGGAAAAGGAUAUUACUGUAGAGAUGGGUGAUAAUCAAAAUAACCAGCUACCUCCUACAAGUCAUAAUCCUCAUACUAUGUAUGAUUAUGCUAAGCCUACUUUAAUCGGGACUGAAUCAAGUAUUGUGAGACCUACCAAUGUUGCAAACAAUUUUGAGUUGAAGUUGAACACAAUUCAGAUGGUACAACAGUAUGUUCAGUUUGAUGAUUUGCAAGAUGAAGAUCUAAAUACUCAUUUGGCUAACUUUCUAGAAAUUUGUAACACAUUUAAGAUAAAUGGUGUUUCUGAUGAUGCCAUACACUUACGGUUAUUCCUAUUCUCUUUGAGGAGUAAGGAAAUCAAUGGUUGAAUUCAAUUCCACGAGGUUUUAUCAUGACUUGGGAUCAAAUGACUGAAAAGUUUCUAUUAAAGUACUUCCCACUGACCAAAACAACUAAGUUAAGAAACGACAAAUGAUACAUGGGAGAGAUUUAAAGAUCUUUAGAAAAUGUUCCCUCAUCAUGGGUUACCUUUGUGGUUACAAUUUCAAACCUUCUAUAACGAUUUAAAUCCCUUGACUCGGUAACUAAUUGAUGCAACAACUGUUGGAACACUGAAUAAUAAAACACCCGAGGCAGCUCAAGAGUUUAUUGAGGAAAAAACAAUGAAUAACUAUAAGUAGCAAGUCAUGAGAACAAAAUUGAUAAAAUCAGCCAGUGUUUUUAAUAUAGAUGCAGUUGCUAUGUUGGAAGUCAAGUGGAAACACUGAAUAAAAAAUUUAAUGGUUUGAAUUUUUCUAAGCAGGUAAAUCCGGUGAUGCAAUGCGAUGCAAAUGAAAUUGAGAUGAUUAAUCUAGAAUAUUCGCCCUUCAAGUCUAACAUGGAGCAUAAGCAAGUUGACUUUUUGGUAAUAAUUCUAGACCUCAAAAUAACCCGUAUAGUAAUAAUUAUAAUGCAGGAUAGAGGAAUCAUCUAAUCUUUUCUUUGGGUGGUCAAGGAAACAAAAGUUCACAAUCCCCUCCGGGUUUUCAAAAACCUUAUCAGCAAGAAAAGAAACCAAACCUUGAAGAAAUGCUUGCCAAAUUUAUUUCAAUUUCAGAAACUCAAUUUCAAAACACUAAGACAGCUUUGAAAAAUCAGCAAGCAGUGAUUCGAAGGCUUGAAAGACUACAAGUUAUCUUACCUAGUAACACUAAAACAAACCUAAAUUAGAAAAUCUAUGCAAUCACUGUUUGAAGCGUGGAAGGGUUUGUCGAGCCUGACUAGAAGUAAAAGUUAGAAGUUGUUGUGAAAAAUGAUUAGGUUGAGGAAAGCAAGAAACAGCAUAAACUGGUGUUUAGAGAAUACAAACCUUAAUUCCAUAUCCAGCAGCAUUAACGAGAGACCACAUAAAAGAACAAUAUGAUAAAUUUCUUGAACUUUUGAAAAAAUUUCAUAUUAACUUACCAUUUGUUGAAGCCCUUUCACAGAUACUAAAGUAUGCAAAAUUCUUAAAGACGUGGAUAAUGAAUAAAAAGAGGUUAGACAACUUGUCACAUGUGGAGCUUAAUAAAGAUUGUUCGAACAUUCUCCAAAACAAACUACCCAAUAAGCUUAAAGAUCCAGGGAGUUUUUGUAAGGCCCCGAAUUUUGGGCCUAGAAGAAAUAGGUUUUGAACAAGGGAACAGUUAGAAGACUGCACAUAAAUAUUUAGUUCUGCGAGAAAGUGAUAUAAAUAAAUGUCUGCUUUAGUGGUUAAGUGAGUUAGGAGUGUUUGGAAGUGUCUGAGAAGUCAGGGGUUCAAGUAUUGGCUUCUGCAGAAUUUUUGGUUUUGCUCUUAAUUGAAUCUAGACAGUAGAGUUUAGGCCUUAUAAAUAUUAGUGUCUGUUUUAUGACACAAAAAGAGCCUGUGGUCUAGUGGCAAGGUAGCAUGUUGUGUAACUGUGAGGUAAGGUUCAAGUCCUGGGUUGGGUAAUGGGGUAUUUAUUUUACUGCUUGAGCCGUGUAAAUGGCAGAGUUGGAGUGAAAUACUGCCAAAGGAAGUUUGAACUGGUCAUAGAGGGAGUUGAGGAGAAAUCAGUGGGUGAUAAGGGAUGAGAUUUGAGGAGAAAAUAUUAGGAUUUGGGAAGGUUGUUGUUGUGGAGUGUUAUAUAUAUCAUCUCAUUUGUUCCUUGUUCUCGAUGGGAGAUCUGCAAGGUUUUCAAAGUUUUCAUCGCUUUCUCCAACCUACAUUGCUUACAUUCCUAACUGGUGGUGGUCGAGGUUGAUUGGCACUUUGCCUGGGAACCAAGGGUGCGAUGAUCAUUGAUUUCCGGAAUAAGAGUGUUCAGAACGAAGGGAAUCUGUAAAUCGCAUCAGGUGUGUAAUCACACUGUUUGUUCUGUGAAUCGACAAAAGCCGAAAAGCCAAAAAUACGACGAUUGAGGCCACAUAGGCGUGUGAACACUCUUGUGGUGAAUUGAGCCCACGAAUAUGGGCGUUAUACUGUUAAGGCCACCACGAGCAUUCUCGUGCCCUUGGGCCGUUAUGGGCCUCAUUGGGCUAAAAUGGGUCGUGUGGGCCCAAUGGGCUUGUGGGCCCCACACGGAUAAAAUCCACGUUAAGUGGCAAAUACUGGAAUGGGCUAUGUAGUUCGCGUAGCCGUGACUGAAUUUAGGCUAAAUGGGCCACACGAGCGUGUGGGCCUACGUGGGCCUUGGGCCAUUUACACUGUUAUGACCAUUUAGGUUAUCCGUCACUUGAUGCGACUGUAGACCUUCGAAAUGUUUGUCAAAUGACCGAAAUACCCUCAUAGGGUAGAAUGAUUGAAAUACCCCUAUAGGGAAAAUGACUGAAAUACCCCCAUAAGGUAAAAUAAUAGAAAUACCCCCAUAGGGUAAAAUGACCAAAAUACCCCUAUAGGGUAAAAUGACCAAAAUACCCCCAUAGGGUAAAAUUAUCGAAAUACCCUCAUAGGGUAAAAUGACCGUAAUACCCCCAUAAGGUUAAAUAAUCGAAAUACCCCUAUAAGGUAAAAUAAUCGUAAUGUCCUUGGAGGGUAAAUAACUAUUUUGUCCAUCGAGUGUAAAUGAUUGAUUUGUCUGUGAUGUAAAUGACUAAUUUGUCUGUGAUUUAAAUGACUGAUUUGUCUGUGAUUUGUAUGAAUGAUUCUGAGCAUGGCAUUCUGCAUACACGACAUAUUGCAUGGGGUUGGGAUAUAAUUAUAGAGGAAGUAAUGUACUGGUGGCUCUACUACAAUCACUGUUACUAGUGGCUUGGCGACAUAUACUAUUACUGGCAGCUUUGUUGCAAUACUAUUGCUGGCAGCUUUACUGCGAUGCUACUGAUGGCUUUGUGCUGAUCAUAUUACCGUUACUGAUGGCUUUAUGCCGAUCAUAUUACCGUUACUGAUGGAUUUAUGCCGAUCAUAUUACUGUUACUGAUGGCUGUGUGCCGAUCAUAUCACUGCUACUGAUGGCUUUGUGCCAAUCAUAUUACUGUACUUAUGGCUUGUAGCCAUUCUGUUUAUAGCUUAUAGCUAUCUUGUUUACCGCUCUUAACCAUUCUGGUUAUUGGCAACUUUGCUGUGAUGCUGAUUAGUGCCACAACUAGUGCUGAUAUUGCUGUGUUGGCUGGGUGGGUCGAUUUUAUCCCCACAUAGUGUGUUGGUUGGAUUGGGAUGGGUUGCAUGAUUGCGUUGUUGCAUUUUUAUUACUGAUUCUGUCACUGUAUUGGGCUUAAGCCCACAUGUAUUCUGUUUUUGAUUCUGAUACUAUAAUAGGCAAAGGCCCACACUACACUUUUACUGUAUUGGGUUAAAGCCACAUUGUUCUGUUACUGAAAUGGGCUCAGACCCAGAAUGUUACUACUUAUAUUACUGACUGAAUGAUAGGGGAUUACACAUUGAGUUUUUGUAAACUCAUCUCGUUUUUAACCUUUCAGGUAAUCCCCAGUGUUAGACGGUUCGGAGCUGCAAAGGACUCGAAGAGGGCCACACAACUGCACAAGUUUGAUUCUGUUUUGCUCAUUUUCUAAAGCACUUUGAUUUUGAUUUGGGUUGUAAUAAAGCCUUUAAAAUUCUGGAUUUUAAAUUUGAGAUAUUAUUGAUUGUGAUUCUUAUCUGCUAGAAGGAGAACCCCAUUUUCCAAAACAAUAACUAUUUUGAAACGCUACUUUUUUGCAACUUAAUUUUUAAAUAAUACGUUUUUGUAAAUCAUUUUUUUAAAAUUAAGCUUCCACAACAAUAAUGUUUUGAAGGUAACAACGUUUCUUAGGUAAACCUUGAUUGAAAAUAAGCAAAUGCAAACUGAGGUUUUGUACAAGUUUGAAAUGGCAAGAAGUUUGAAAUUUCAAGAAAGGUUUUUCAAUGAAAACAUCGUUUUCAAAAAACACUUAAAUGUGCCACACCAGAUACGGCCAUAACUCCUAGGCCAGGUUUGGGGUGUUACAAUUUUACUAUUUAUCUUUUCAUUGGUAGUUUAAAUGUUGGAAAAGCUUUGGCUAAUUUGGGGGCUAGCAUAAAUGUUAUGCCUUAUAAAAUGUUCAAACAACUUGGUCUUUGGGAACCAAAACCCACUAGGAUAAGUGUUCAAUUAGCUGGUAGAUCAAUCAGAUUUCCUAGGGGUAUUAUUGAAGAUGUACUUGUGAAAGUAGAUAAAUUUAUUUUCCCUAUUGAUUUUGUUGUAUUGGACAUGGAUGAGGAUAUUGAGGUACCCAUGAUUUUAGGUAGACCCUUUUUAGCUAUUGCUAGAACUAUCAUUGAUGUGGGUAAUGCUAAACUUGUGCUGAGUGUAGGUGAUGAAAAGGUUAGUCUUCAAGCACAUGAUUUUGUUAGAGUCUCUAAUAAGCAAAAUGAUGCUAAUUAUUUUGCUAAAGUUAGUAAUCAUGUUGUUCAACAUUCUUUGUAGGAAAUCACUCAUGAAAACAUGUCGGAACCAUAUUUUAUUCAAAGUAAUAGAACUCGAGGGAAAAAUGAAGAGCGAAUGGUGUUGCUCAACGAACUACAUGAAUGUCGAACAAAGGCUAAUGUGAAACCGAAAAAACAUAAGGUAGAAACAAAGAAACGUUAUGAUGUGCAUGUGAAGAGAAUGAACCAAUUCAAAGUUGGGGACAAAGUGUUAGUAGACAAAUUGGAUCCACAAAUUUUUCCUUUAGAGUUUAAGUCAAGAGGAUUCAACCCAUGUGUGGUAAAAACCAUUUUUCCAUACGGUACAGUUGAGGUAACACAUCUUGAUUAUGGCACAUUCAAAGUAAACAAUCAUCAUCUCAAAUUUUAUUGUGUUGGUAAUACUGAUAAUGAGAUAGAGUAGCUUUUGCUCAAAGUUCCGUCUUAUCCAUGAGCUUAAAAAGAAAAAAGUCGAGCUUAAACUCUAAAUAAGAGCUUCUCGAAAGGCAACCCAAGUAUUUUUAUUUUUAUUUAUGUAUUUUACUUUCAUGUUAUUUUUUAAAAAUAUUAAAAAAAUUCAAAAAUAAUAUGAAAAAAUUAGUACUUUUAUUUUUAUUACUUUAGAAAAAGAUAAAAAGUGAAAAAAAAUUAAAACAAAGUGGUUCACAUGGUCUGGGGUAUCCACACAGCCUGGGAACACGGCUAUGGGAGAAGGGUGAUCGCACACGGCCUGGCACACGAUCGUGUGUCACACACGGCUUGGUUGCACGAGUGUGUUCUAGGCCGUGUGGCUACUAGGCAUAGUUUUUCCUCUUUUUUGAAGCAUCACACGAGCUAAAAUGUACCACACGACCUAUUAACACGGUCAUAUCGGACAUAUGGCCUAGGCCUAGGCUGUAUGGAAAUUGGGCUUAAGUUUUUCAAAUUUUUGAAUCACACACAGGUUGUCCCCCUCCACACAGCUGUGUGGCGCACACGGUCUGGCCACACCACAUAGCCAUGUAUCAUCUUUAAAGCUAGUUUUUUUUCUUUUGAUAUUUUUUUUCUUGUUUUUGUUUCCAUCCUACCGUAACCAAAGUGAUUUCAUUUAGUUUUAUAUUUUAUUUUAUUUUAUUAUGCACUGUAUUUUUAUUGUUUUGUCAACUAUUUUUCUAUUUUGUUAACUCUUUAUCUUCUUAUUCAUUUUUGUUUAUUUUCUUAUUAGUUUGCUCCAAAAAUGUACUUCAUUUACAAUCGUCCACGAUUCUGGUUUUCACUAUUCUAGAAAAAUAAUUCAAAUUCAAGGUAAUUUCAGUUCUCUUCCUUCCUUAUGGUAUUUUGCAUAUUGGUUUAUAUUUGUUUGUGUUGAGUAUACCUCAUAUUUUAGUUAAAUUUGAGAAAUAAUCUUCUAGUUAUACUCUAUUUAUUUGUUUCAAUCAAACUCCGAUUAGUCUAGAUUAUUUUAUUAUUGUUGAAAUCUUUUUUUUAAAUCGACUAUUAUUUUUUAAAAAAGAAAAUAGAGUCGCCACCAAUCCUUUUUAUGAUGUGUGAUCAGGUCAUCUCGUAAUUUGAUCGUUUUAAUAAAGGUCUCAUUUACUAAAACAAUGAUUUGUUGUCUACAAAAUUCAGGAAAUGGGUUCAGGAGUCGGCUACGCACGAGGAAGGAUUAGCACCCUCGUGACGCCCAAAAGUGGUACCUAGUUGAUUACUUGAUGUCUUAGUGUCAAGAAUUGAAAAUUUGAAGGGAGUUUAAAACACGAUUCCUUUUUGUAUUAGGGCAUUACUGAAUUAAUUUUCAUGAAAAGGGAUUAUUUCAAGUUAAUCGAGAAGGAAGGAUCAUGUCCUAUAAGUUAGGGCACUAUGCCUUAAAUCGUCGAAAUCAAUAAUAAAAGUCAAUUAAUUGUUACUUGAAUCUCGUUUUUAUAUUUUUGAAAUGGAUAUUCGAUUAUUUCGAUUUUAGAAAGAAGCCAUAUCCUGUAAGUUAGAACAUGACUCUUCUAAUUUCAAAAAUAAUGAACAUUACAUUGAUUUAAAAAUUUCCUUUCUUAUGCAUUAUGCAAAAAAGAAUGUAAUGUUUAAAUUGAUGUGUGCUUAACCUAUUUGGGCAUAGUACGAAAACGAUCAAAUAUAUUUAAACAUAAUGCAUAAUAUAGUGAUAGCGAAAUAAUAUAAGAUGGUCAUGUGGGUAGAACAUCUAUAUUAUAAUUAUAAAUAAUAAAUAAAUGGAUAAUUACUAUAAUAAUAAUGUAACUAUAGCAAUAAUAAGAAUAUUAAUUCAUGGCAUUAAUAAAAAAAUAAAAAAAUAAAUUAACUUAAAAUAAAAAAUAAAAAUAAAAAUGCUAGAUGUUUAAUGACGAAUGUAAACAUAAAUAAUGUGAGAAUGAUAAAAGAAAUGAAAAAUUAGUAAAAAUAAGAUAAAAAUAAAAUAAUAAGAAAAAUAAUAAUAAAUGAGAAAAAGGGUACAAAUAAAAAAAAGUAACAAUCUUAUUUUUAAAUAUGUAAAAAAAUAAACAAGUAAUAAAUAAAUUUGUAAAAAGUUAAAGUUAAAUGAAUGAAGGACUAAAUUAAAAUUAUGAUGAAAUUUAAAGAUUAAUUGUGAAGAAUCCCAAAAUAAAGGAUAAAUUAAAAAUAAAAUAUAAAAUACAGGGACUUAGAGGGAAAUUAUCCCAACAAGCACACCUAUGUCACAUCUGACGUCAUUGUCAAUGGCUAAAGGGGACUAAAUUGAAAACAUGAUGAAACUUAAGGAAUAAAUAAAAAAAUAGAAAAGCAGAAUGUAAAUGACUAGAUUGAAAUAAAACAAAAAGUAUAGGGACUCAACAAAUAAUUUCCCCAACCCCAACACACGUGUCCUUCACCUAGAGGGUCAAUACUAAGCCUAAUGACUAAAUUGCACAAGGAUGAAAUAAAAGGAUCAAAAUAUAAGAAAAUAAAUAUGAACUAGGAUCAGAUUAAAAAGAACAGAAAAAGGGGUAGGGCUGAAAUAGAAAUUAUCCCCUCCAUGCAAAAAUAUGCGGAUCCUAGGGGAUGUUCGGGUCGGUCUCAAAGCGACGUUGUUUUGGGUGUUUAUUUCUCAAACAAGGCUAAGGACCAAAAUGAAAUAAAAUAAAAUAAAGUGGUAAAAUUAAAAGGUAAAAAUGACUACAUUGUAAAUCGCCUAGAAAGCGGAGAGACCAAAGGCAGAUCAUGUCGGGUCUCGGGUCGGCCCCAAAAUGAUGUCGUUUUGGGGCAUUUCAGACUAGCCUAAAACGGUGUCGUUUAGCACCUUUAUAUAUAUAAAAAAAUUUCAAAACAAUUCAUUUUCGAAAUAGUUUAAAAAAAACCUUAAAACCCUUCCCUUUUCUCUAAAAUCGACCCUUGGGACCGACUAUCAAGGCCGCCACGAAUCCACUAUGGCCACCGAUCAUCAGCGAGCCAACGCCGAUGACUAGUGGCUAGAAUCGUAAAAAAAGGGUCCUCUUUAUAUCCGUUUCACGGGGAUCUUAGAUCUCAAGCCGGAGACUCCUAAAAUUAAAAAAAAACGCAAAGGAACCAUUCGGUUCAAGCCUCCUUCUUCGACGUGGCCUCUGAUGAAUCGAAGGCAAUUCAGUGGCCUCACGCCAGACAAACCAUCCUUCAUCGGAGACGGCGUCUUCGUCCCCUCGCGACGGUGGAGCAUGUAACGGUCCGGUGAGUUUUUUACCUUCUCUUAUUUCUUUUAUAUUUUUAUAAAAAUAAAAGAAAAAUAAUAUAUCUAGAAGAUAAAAAAGUCACCUUUGAUUUCUUUUGUAUUUUGUUUUUCGAUUUUUUUUGAGUUUUUUGUUUGAUUUUUAUUUCUUCAAAAAAAUUUCCCUAGAAUACAAUUUGUUCUUUGGCUUUUAUAGCUAAUUUACAAUAUUAUUUUUUUUAUAUUUUUCUACUGUGGCAGAGGUAGUUAACGGUACUGGCGUGGAGUGCGGCGUGCUGACAUGGGGUAUGGCGCCAGAAACCCUAGGAUUUUUGGUUUUCUAAAACUAGUUAAGGUUUUAAGCCUGUUGGGAAUUGGGUUAAUGUGCUUGUAAUAUGGGUAGUGCAUUGGGCCCAUAAUUUGGGUCUUGAUAUUUUGUAAAUGGACUAGGCUAUUUUUUGGAGUUUUAUUUAUUUUGGUUUUGCUUAUUAUUUUUUUUGUUUAAUGGGCCGGGCAGAAUUAGCCUGUUACAGCUGCCCCUCUUUGCUCGUUGUCGCGUAACGGGAAUGGAGCAAAGACUUUAAGAAGGACCAAUUUUGUCUUGCCUUGCCGAAUCUCGACCUCUUUGGUGCUCCUCUUUUUCAAGUAACUUUAUUGUAACUCACUGUAACUUUAGAGGCAUAGGAUUUGUUUCUUUAAUCUGCUCCAUUGCAACUUUAGGGAGAUAAGACUUGUAGCUUCAAUUGUUCCACUGUAACUUCAAGGAGAUAAGAUUUGUGACUUGAUUUAAUCCGACCCACUGUAACUUCAGAGGUAUAGGAUUUGUCACUUUAAUCUGCUCUACCGCAACUUCAGGGAGAUUAGAUUUAUAACUUUAAUCUGCUCCACUGUAACUUCAGGGAGAUGAAACUCGUAUCUUCAAUCUACUCCACGACAACCUCAGGGAGAUAAGAUUUGUAACUUCAAUCUACUCCACAGCAACCUCAGGGAGAUAAGAUUUGUAACUUCAAUAUACUCCACGGCAAUUUCAGGGAGAUAGAUUUGUAAUUUCAAUCUGCUUCACUGUAACUUUAGGGAGAUAAGAUUCACUACGGUGACCUCAAUCCAUCCCAGUACAACUUUAGGGAGAUAAGAUUCACUACAGUGACUUCAAUUCAUCCCACUGCAACUUUAGGGUUAUAGGAUUUGUGGUUUUGUAACACCCCUUACCUGAGACCAUCGCCGGAAUCGAGUACGAGAUGUCAUCCAACUUAACUUACCAAUUCGGAGUAUAAAAAUUUUCUUUUAAAAUUAAAUUCACUGUUCACAACAAAACUGUCCACCUGCGCGACUAUCACUAAUUUAAUUAUAUCUCGAGUUACGAAACUCAAAAUUUAAAUCUGUAAAUUUUCCCUGAAACUAGACUCAUAUACCUUCUUAACUUAAAAUAUUUAGAAUUUUUGGUUUAGCCAAUUAGUACAGUUUAUUCGUUAAAUUCUCCCCUGUUUCACUACUCGAUAGUUCUGCCCUCUUGGUACUAAAAAUCAAUUAUCUCAUUUUACAAAAUUCAUAUAAUGUUAUAGUUUGUUUCUUUUGAAAAUAGACUCACUAAGGAAUCUAGACAUAUAAAUUAUGACCCAUAAUUCUUUCUGUAAAAUUUAUAAUGAUUUUCUAAAGUCACAACAGGAGACUUCAAAAACCAUUCUAACCCUGUCUCACUAAAAUUCAAAUAUCUCAAAAUAUAAAAUUCCUUUACCUACAUCGUUUCUUUCAUGUAAAAAUAGACUUGAUAAGAUUUAAUUCUAUAUAUUCUAAUUCCAUUUCUACUAUUUAUGGUGAUUUUUCACAUUCACAUCACUGCUAUUUUCAACGAAACUGCUUCUUUGUAUUAGUUACCAUUUAAACAUACAUAACACCAAAACAUAAUCUUUACUAACCAUUUCAAUAGCUAAUAUUAGCCAUAUCAUAUGAACAUACUCAAAAUGAUUAAGACUCUAUACAUGCCAUAUUUUUAAACAUUUUGAAAACACAUAAUACCGAGAUGGUUAUGAUAGUGUGAUACGAGCUCCGACGAUCCCCAAUUCGAACAAGCUCAAAUCACUAUAAAACAAAGUAGAAAAUGUGUAAGCUACAAACAGCUUAGUAAGUUACAUGUAAACAAUAAGUACUCAUUUAAUAAUUGACAUCUCUCACAUAUAACUAAUCAAACAUUUCUUAGCAAUUUCAAUCACUUACACAUGCAUAAUCUUACCCAUUUCACUUGCACAUGCACUUAUACACUUAACAUUUAUCACAUAUGCUCAUUCUUUUAAAUGUACCUGUACACACACUUCAUUUCAUAUUCACUUUAACUCAUUAUUAAUCCAGUUGAACACUCGGAAUAUACACGGAUACGUAGAGAAUUAGCACAUAACCGCCACACUGAUAUGUAGCCGAAGCUACCACUGAAAUGUAGCCGAAGCUACCCCUGAUCAAUAACCAUGGAAAUGUCCACGGGCCUGCUCACACAAGCUGUCAGGUGUCUACAACACAUGCUAGAUCACCCAGCGCCCGGGGCUCACUGUAACACUGUAUCAUUGAUCUCUAGUGACAUGUUACUUGUAUCCACUUCUAUUCCUAAGUUCAACCGGGAAUUUACACUUAACAUUUUAUUUUCAACACUUUAUCACUUGAAUAAUUCAUGAGCAAUUUUCCUUCCACAUUCAAUAUUGAUUCACAUAUCAAAUAAAAUUCACAAUUUAUAAAAAUAUAUUGCUAUUAUUUACAGAUAACUUACCUCGGAUGCAAAACGACUAUUUUUGUAAUUUAGUCGAUAACCUUCUUUUUUCCCCGAUCACUUCCACUAUUUCUUCUUUCUUGAUCUAUAUUAACACAAUUUAAUGCAUUUUAUCAAUAUUUCUUUCAAAUAUGAUUCAUACACAAUAUUUUGGCAAACUUACAUUUUUUCCCAUAACUUUUCAAAAAUUCCACUUUUGUCCCAAAGCUCGUAAAAAUAAAAUUCACUAAAUUCUUAAAUUUCAAACUUCACUAAAUCAUAUUUCAUGCUCAUAACAGCCCUCAAUUUCACAAAAUCACAACUUUAUGCACAUUUUACUAUCUUUCACAAUUUAGUCCUUUUUCAACAAUUUCUUCGAAAUUCAUCUAGUAAAACUUGUAAUUACCACUUCAAACAUUCAUUAUCUAACAUCGCUAAUCAAUUUACAAUUAUAUCAUAAAUGGGUCAAUUUUUAAACUUUAAUUUUAUUUAAAUUAAAUGGUAGAAACAUGAAAUUCAAGCUUCAAUAAGCAUAAAAAUAUGAAAAUAAUUAAAAACGGGGAAAGAAAUCACUUACAAUUGAGCUUAGAAAAAUCAAGAACCCUAGCCUAUAGAACAUGAAAGUUUCGCCAGCAACUCUUCAAUUUUGAAGAAGAUGGACACUUAUUUUCUCUAUAUUUUGUCUUUUAUUCAAUUUGGACAAAAAUGCCCUUGACCCAUUACUUAGAUAUUUUUCUAGAAUUACUCUUUUGUGUCCAUAAAACUAAUUUAUGGUCUAAUUGCCACAUAAACACUUCCAACUUCAUGCAAUAAUUCAAUUAAGUCAUUUAAUCACUAAUUAGACACACUUUGCAUUUUUCUCAAUUUAGUCCUAAAAAUUCAAUUAGGCACUAAAUCAUUAAAAUUUCCUAUCCAUAUUUCACAUAAUAUUUCAUUCAACCAGUAAUUAAUAAAAUUUAAAAAAUUAAACUAUUUCACUUCGAAUUUGUGGUUACGAAACCACAUUCCGAUUAGGCCUUAUUUCGGGCUAUCACAAUUCUCCCCCCUUAGGGAUUUUCGUCCCCGAAAAUCUUACCAGUGAAUAAGUUGGGAUACUGUUUUGUCCUAGCCUCCUCGGUUUCCCGUGUUGCCUCAUCCACUCCAUGUCGUUGCCAUAACACUUUCACUAAAUCAAUGUCUUUGUUUCUCAACUGUUUUACUUCUCGUGCUAAGAUUCGAAUCGGCUCUUCUUCGUAUGUCAUAUCCGAUUGAAUUUCCACUUCAGCCGGUCAAAUCACAUGCGAUGGGUUCGAUCGAUAUCGCCUCAACACAGAAACAUGAAACACAUUAUGAAUUCUUUCCAACUCCGGUGGUAAAGACAAUCGGUAAGCUACUGGACCGAUUCUUUAUAUCACUUCAUACGGACCAAUAAAUCUUGGACUUAAUUUACCUUUAUGGAAAAAUCUCAAAAUUUUCUUCCAUGGAGACACUUUCAAAAAUACUUUAUCACCCACUUGAAAUUCAAUCUCUUUUCUUUUCAAGUCCGCAUAUGACUUCUGUCGAUCCGAUGCAGCUUUCAAACAAUCACGGAUUAUCUUCACUUUUUCUUUGGUUUCUUUUACCAAAUCGACUCCAUGUAAUUGAUUUUCAUUAAGUUCAUUCCAAUAUAAUGGAGUCCUACACUUUUGUCCAUACAACGCUUCAUAAGGUGCCAUUUUUAUGCUCGAUUGAUAACUAUUAUUAUAUGCAAAUUCCACCAAAGGUAGAUAUCUUUCCCAAUUACCUUCAAAUUUCGAUACAUAACAUCUCAACAUAUCUUCGAGUACUUGAAUUACUCUUUCAGACUGUCCAUUGGUUUGGGGAUGGAAUGUUGUACUAAAAUUCAAUUUAGUACCCAAUGCCUCUUGUAAUUUCUUCCAAAACCUUGAAGUAAACCGUGGAUCUCUAUCAGAUAUAAUAGACAUAGGCACACCAUGUAACCGGACUAUCUCAACAAUAUACAAUUCAACUAACUUGUCAAGUGAAAAACUCAUUCGUACAGGAAUGAAAUGAGCCGACUUAGUCAAUCGAUCAACUAUCAGCCAAAUUAAGUCUUUCUUUUUCGGUGACAAUGACAAUCCGGAAACAAAAUCCAUAGUAAUUCUAUCCCCCUUCCACUCCGGCACCAUAAUAGGUUGAAGUAACCCUGAACGUACUUGGUGUUCAACUUUUACUUAUUGGCACACUAAACAUUUUGUCACAUACUCGGAGAUAUCUCGUUUCAUACCUGGCUACCAAUAUAAUUUCUUCAAAUCAUUGUACAUUUUUACACUACCGGGGUGAACUGCCAAACGACUAUCAUGUGCUUCUUGCAAAAAUUUUUGAAUUAAAUCAAUAUUUUUUGGAACACAUAUUCUGUCACGAAACAUUAAACGUCCAUCUGAAUCAAUCCGAAAAUCAAAAUUAUCAUCCGCUGCACACUGAGUCUUUUUUCUUUGCAAUUCAUUAUUUACUUUUUGAGCCUCAUAAAUUUCUUGAAGAAACAAUGAUCUAGCUUUUAACUCUGCAAAUAAUGAUCCAUCUUCAGUCAAUGUUAAUCUCGUAUUCAAAGCUCUCAAAGCAAAGAAAGACUUUCUACUUAAAGUAUCAGCAACUAUAUUGGCUUUUCCCGGGUGAUAAUCUAUCACAAGUUCAUAAUCUUUCAACAAUUGCAACCAUCUUCGUUGCCACAAAUUCAGAUCUUUUUGUGUCAUAACAUAUUUCAAACUUUUAUGAUCUGUAAAAACACGACAUUUCUCACCAUUUAAAUAAUGACACCAAAUCUUCAAAGCAAAGACAAUAGCAGCCAGCUCUAAACAUGGGUAGGAUAAUUUCGUUCAUGCGGUUUCAAAUGUCGAGAAGCAUGCGCUAUCACUUUUCCUUCUUGCAUCAAUACACAUCCGAGCCCAUUUAACGACGUGUCACUAAAAACAACAAAUUCUUUUCCUGACUCAGGUUGCACUAACACUGGUGCCUCAGUUAAACACUUCUUUAAUUUCUCAAAACUUUGUUGACACUCCUCGGUCCAGUCAAACUUAACAUCUUUUUGCAACAAUUUUGUCAUCGGUGAAGCUAUCAUCGAAAAACCUUCUACGAAUCGAUGGUAAUAUCCCGCCAAACUCAGAAAACUCUUAACUUCAGAUACAUUUCUUGGAGGCUUCCAUUCAACUAUUGCCGAUAUCUUAUUCGGAUCCACUCGGAUGCCAUCUCCCGAGACAAUAUGUCCCAAAAAUCCAACUUCACCGAGCCAAAAUUCACUCUUGCUAAAUUUAGCAAACAAUUUCUUUUCUCGCAGAGUCUGUAGUACAAUUCUUAAAUGUUCGGCAUGCUUAGCUUCACUUCAGGAAUAAAUAAGAAUAUCAUCUAUAAACACCACCACAAAUUUAUCCAAAUAGGGCCAAAAAAUCCGAUUCAUCAAAUCCAUAAAAAUAGCUGGAGCAUUAGUCAGACCAAAAGGCAUUACAAGAAACUCAUAGUGGCCAUACUGGGUUCUAAAAGUAGUCUUUGACACAUUUGACUCUUUAACUCGUAAUUGGUAAUAUCCGGUUCUCAAAUCAAUUUUGGAAAACACUGUGGCAUCAUUUAACUGAUCAAACAAGUCAUCUAUUCAGGGCAAUGUAUACUUAUUCUUCACUAUCACUUUGUUAAGUUGACGAUAAUCAAUACACAAUAUCAAUGUCCCAUCCUUUUUCUUCACAAAUAGCACGGGAGCACCCCGCGGCGAGUAACUUGGUCUUACGAAUCCUUUAUCCGUCAACUCUUGUAAUUGCAAUUUUAACUCUUUCAGUUCAGUUGGUGCCGUUCUGUAGGGAGCAAUCGAUAUUGGAGCAGUACUUGGCAUUACUUCAAUACCAAACUCUACUUCUCUAAUCGGAGGCAAACCUGACAACUCUUCUGGGAACACAUCUAAAUAUUCACAUACCACUGGCACUGAUUCGAUCUUUGUUUCAGACACUUUUGUAUUCAACAUAUAAGCAAGAUAUGCUUCACAACCAUUUUUCAAACAUUUCUUAGCAGACAUGGCAGAAAUCACAAUUGGCAUCACAUUUGACUUAUCUGUUUCAACCCGAAGAACUUUACCACUACUACACUUCACUCAAGAAUUUUCUGACUAAUCUAUCUUGGCCUUAUGUAAUGUCAACCAAUCAAUUCCCGAAAUAACAUCAAAUGACAACAACAUCAAGUUGGCAGGGAAACACUGACCUUGUAUCAUCAAAGGAAAAUUUUUACAUAUUUUAUCAACUAUCACAUGUUUGCCUAAAGGAUUAAUACUUUAACCACAUACUAAGUCAAUUCAACACACAAAUUCUUAUCAGACACUAAAUUCAUGCAUACAUACGAGUGAGUAGAACCAGGAUCAAUCAAUGCAAGAACAUUAAUGUCGUAAAGAGAAAAUAUACCAGUGAUCACAUCAGGGGAAGAUGCUUCCUCUCUAGCUUGGAUGGUAUAAGCUCUCACUGGAGCUCCCGCUUCGAAUCUUACGGUAGUGUCUUUUGUUACACCUUUACCACUAGUUCCAGUCCCCACAUUUCUCGGUGGUCUUCCUCUAGUAGUCACACUGCUCGAUCUCACAUUCUGAAACUUUUCUAUCUCUUCUCUUUCUGGACAAUCUUUCACAAAAUGAUCUUGAGAUCCACAUUUAAAACAUUCUCAGCUGAUUAAAUAACAUUCUCCCAAAUGUCGUUUUCCAUAAUGUUGACAUUCUGGUCUAGUAGGUUUAACACUUCCUACACUUGCUAUGGAGGUCGCCUGAGCUUUAGAACUUGAAUAUUGCUUCCUCGAUCUCUUUGAAAAUUCACACUAGAAGCAUUCGAUCGAGUAUUCAUUUCUCUAGACUUCUUUUCUUGAGACUGAAAUGACUUGCCCAUUGAUCUUUUUCUUGCAUCUCUUGUUUCACUUUCCACCUUUCUUUUCUCCUUACACAAUUCUUCAGCCUUGAUAACUCUUUCAACUAAUACCACUAACUUUUUAAUUUCAAGGAUUCCCACUAACAAUCGGAUAUCCUCGUUUAAUCCAUCUUCAAGCCUUGUUCAUAUUCAGCAUACUUACUUAAUUUGACAAAUUCUCGUUCAUAUUCGGCUACCGUCAUUCGCCCUUGUUUCAAUUCAAGAAACUAUUUUCUCUUUUGAUCAAUAAAACGCUGACUUACAUGCUUCUUCCGAAAUUCCUCUUGAAAGAAAUCCCAUGUAAGUUUUUCUUUAGGCACCACUGACACUAAAGUUUUCCACCAAUUAUAAGCUGAAUCCCUCAACAAUGAGAUAGCACAUUUGAGACUUUCUUCUAAAGUACAAGAUAAUUCAUCCAACACUCUGAUGGUAUUUUCAAGUCAGAACUUUGCUCUUUCAGGAUCAUCAUUUAUAUUGGCUUGGAACUCUUCGGCUCCAUACUUUCGAAUUUUGUCUACUGGAGGCUUUGACAAUCUUAACACUUCAGUUUUUUGAUGAGUUAUGGGAACAGAUUGAGGAAUAGGAGGGGGCGAAAGAGGUUGAGCAUUAGUAUUAGUUCUAACAAAUUUAGUGUACCAAUUGUUCAUCAUAGGAAGAAAAGCUUCUCGAGCCUCAUCUCCUUGACCAUGAGUCUUAGGUCGACUUUCAACUAACGUCGUCCCUUGCACGAAAGUAGGCGCAUUAUUUUAAUCAUCAUCAACUGUAUCUCGAUUAGGAUCCAUUACUAUAAAAAACAUUUUAAGAUGUCAGGAGUUGUCACACUAUCAUUAUUCAAUUAUGGCAUGUAUAGAUAAUCUAUUACAUUCUCUACGUUAGUCUGAGAAUCGACUAAACCGUAGCUCUGAUACCAAUAAAUGUAACACCCCUUACUCGAGACUAUCGUCGGAAUCGAGUAUGAGAUGUCAUCCAACUUAACUUACCAAUUCUGAGCAUAAAAAUUUGUUUUUAAAAUUAAAAUCAUUCUUCACUAAUUUAAUUAUAUCUCGAGUUACGAAACUCAAAAUUUGAAUCCGUAAUUUUCCCCAAAACUAGACUCAUAUAGCUUCUUACCAUAAAAUUUUUAAAAUUUUUGGUCUAGCCAAUUAGUACAGUUUAUUCAUUAAAGUCUCCCCUGCUUCACUACUCGGCAGUUCUGACCUCUUGGCACUAAAAAUCAAUUAUCCCAUUGUAUAGAAUUCAUAUAAUGUAAUAGUUUGUUUAUUUUGAAAAUAUACUUACUAAGGAAUCUAGACAUAUAAAUUAUGACCCAUAAUUCUUUCUGUACAAUUUAUUAUGAUUUUCUAAAGUCAGAACAGGGGACUUCAAAAACCAUUCUGACCAUGUCUCACUAAAAUUCAAAUAUCUCAACAUAUAAAAUUCCUUUGCCUACACCGUUUCUUUCUUGUAAAAAUAGACUUGAUAAGCUUUAAUUCUAUAUAUCUCUAAUUCCAUUUAUACUAUUUAUGGUGAUUUUUCACAUUCACAUCACUACUGCUGUCAAAGAAACUGCUUCUUUGUAUUAGUUACUAUUUAAACAUACAUAACACUCUUGGGCAUACUUACUUAAUUUGACAAAUUCUUGGUCCAUAACACUAAUUUAUGGUCUAAUUGCCACAUAAACACUUCCAAUUUCAUGCAAUAAUUCAAUUAAGUCAUUUAAUCACUAAUUAGACACACUUUGCAUUUUUCUCAAUUUAGUCCUAAAAAUUCAAUUAGGCACUAAAUCAUUAAAAUUUCCUAUCCAUAUUUCACACAAUAUUUCAUUCAACCAGUAAUUAAUAAAAUUUAAAAAAUUAAACUAUUUCACUUUGAAUUUGUGGUUACGAAACCACUAUUCUGAUUAGGCCCUAUUUCGGGCUUUCAUAGGUUUCACUGAUCUGUUACACGGUUCUCUAAGGAACAUGACCUGUAGAAUCCAUUUCAUGGGCCUAUAUUUAUGCCGAACGAUUAGGAUGCUAUGAUCAGAAUGAAUCAAAUGCUCUUAACUAGAUGUGUAUGAAUGAUAUUUGCAUGAAUGCACAAUGUUAUUUUUCGAGAAUGAUCCCAUUUUUAAUGCUUAGGUUGACAUUACUUGUUGUUCAUCAAGGCUCCAUCACUAAUAUGUUACCAUGCCUUCUUGUUCAGAUAUGAUAUAUUUGACAAAAAAUCAGAAGAAAUAAUCACAAUUUAAACUAUUCAUUCCCAAACAUUUCCAACUCUUAGAUUUGGUCAAUUCUGACCAGUGGUCCUGUUUUAGGUCCUUAUACUAUUUAGAAAACCUUUCAGAGCAAUAUACAGAAAUCCUUUUACUUGAAUAUUAUUAGUCCGUUAAUCAUUAUUUUAUUGAAAAAUGCUUGAAAAAGAUUGUAACAAUGGACAAUGUUGAAAUUUACUAGGAGCAAAGCUCGAAAUGAAUAUAUUAAUCAAAAUAACAAACGUUGCUAAAAUACAAAAUGAAUAAGAUGAAAAAAGGUACCCCAGAUAUCGUAGCAUGAGCUUCUCCGUACAAACUUCUCGAGGACCAUUUUGAGCUUGAUAUGUAUUUAAGAGAUCUAGAGUAUUCUGUUGAUGCCCCAAGAUGUAAUGUUUUUUCUUCUAAUAGGACACAACUACCACAUGUUCAAUAUUCAAUCUAAAUCUGAGUUGCCCUUUCCCUGGUUUUCAACUCAAAUCCCCUUUGGUCUCAAGGCACCCUUUUACGGGUUUUCACCUUGGCCUCUCCUCUUUUUUUUAGAUGAAGUAUUUCUCAACCGAAUCCUAAUUCACAGGAUUAGGCAGUUUUUUUUGUCCAUCUUGGUCAGAAUCAGUGCUCCUCCAGAAAAGGCCUUCUUUACCCAUAAGGUCCUUCCUAGUUCGGCAUCCAUUUCCCUCUGAAGUCCUUUUGUAUAGGCAAGAUCUUUUUCAAUACUAGGUCUCCCUUAUGGAAUUCCCUAGGGUGAACCUUUUUAUCAUAAGCUUGCAUCAUUUAUUUUUGGUACAUCUGACCAUGACAAAUAGUUUUCAACCUGUUCUCUUCAAUCAAGUUCAACUAAUCAUAUUGAGAUUGAAUUUAUUCUGCUUCAUCUAAUUUUAACUCUGAAAAAACUCAGAGAGAAUGAAUCUCGGCUUCAAUGGGCAACACCGCCUCCAUUCCAUAAACCAAUGAGAAGGGCGUUGCCCCGGUGGAGGUCCUGACAGACGUUCGAUAAACGUAGAGGGCAAAUGGUAACUUCUCUUAUCAAUCUUUAUAAGUCUCAAUCAUUUUCCCCACGAUCUUCUUAAUGUUCUUAUUGGCUGCCUCCACCGGACCAUUCAUUUUUGGGCGAUAUAGUGACGAGUUGUGGUGUUUGAUCUUGAAUUGACUAUAGACCUCCGCUAUCGUACUGUUGUUCAAGUUCAAUGCAUUGUCAGAUAUAAUCCUUUCUGGGAUCCCAUACUGACAUAUGAUCUCUUUCUUCAAGAAUUUGCUGACUGCUGACUUCGUGACAUUGGCGUAAGAACUGGCCUCUACCCACUUGGUGAAGUAAUCAAUGACUACAAAGAUGAACCGAUGCCCAUUUGAAGCUUUUGGGGAGAUCAGCCCAAUGACAUCCAUGCCUGACAUAGAGAAAGGCCAUGGAGACGUCAAAGCAUGAAUAGGUGAAGAAGGCACGUGAAUUUUGUCUCCAUAAAUUUGGCACUUAUGACAUCUAUUGGCAUAACUGAUAUAAUAUUCUUCCAUGGUAGACUAAUAUCCAAAUCUCAUGUUUGUCUAGCCAUUGUAAAAGCAUUAGCAUGUGUUCCACAGACACCGUCAUGGGCUUCUUCCAAGAUUUUCUUAGCCUCAACAGCGUUCACACAUCUUAGUAGCACUUGAUCUUUUCUUCUUGUGUAUAGGAUCUCCCCAUUUAAAACAUAGUCAUUAACCGGUCUUAUUAACGUCCUUUCAUCAUUCUCGGUUGCCUGAUUAGGGUAUUCACAAUUCUUCAUAUAUCGCAGUAUAUUGUGAUACCAAGGGUGAUCAUCCUUUUCUUUUUCCUCCAUUUUUUAACAAUAGGUCAGAGCCUUAUAAAUGCUCAUCUGGAUAAGUUUGACAUCCUCUUGUUUGUUCACUUUGAUGUGAGGCAACGAGAAAUUAUUUUUGGGGCUGGCUUUGUUUAAAUCCUUGUAGUCUACACACAUUUGUACUUUCCCAUCUUUCUUAGGCAUGGGGACUAUAUUAGCUACCCACUCCAAAUAUCUAACCACUUGUAGGAAACCAGCGUCAAAUUUCUUCUUGACCUCUUUUCUUAUUUUCAGCAGGACGUUGAGCCUUAUCCUUCGGAGUUUCUGUUGAACUGGCUCGCAUUCUUCCUUUAUGGGGAGCUGGUGUACCACAAUAUCAGUACUUAUCCCAAGCAUGUCUUGAUACGACCUUGCAAAGACAUAUUUGAAUUCUUAAAGUAACUCAAUGAGGUCUCACUUAGUCUCUGCGGUGAUGCUAGCUCCGAUCUUCACCUCUUUCUUUUCUUGUUUGUUACCUAAGCUCACAACUUCUACUAACUCUUUGUGAGGUAAAAUCUAUUUCUCUUCUUGUUCUACCAUCCUUAACAAAUCAAGAGAUAGGUUACAAUCUCAAUCAUCUUCAAAGUCCUAGACACAUGUCUUGCUCAAAAGGAGAUUUUGAGUUAGUAACAACGUCACUCAUAUCAUUGAUAUCUAAAGACCUGUUAUAGGAACGAAGGAAGACCCAAAGAAAAAAUGAAUCUAAGAAUAAUUAUCUAUGUGGUAUGAGUAUGAAUGAAAUGAAAAGAAUAAAAAAAUAUUUUCCAAAAUAAGAUACAAAGAUGUAUUUUAUUGAAAUAAAAAUAACGACCAUAUGAAUUUUUCACAAAAAGAUUCUUAUUGCUCUCAGGCUUGGAGCAAUAAGUGUGUUUUGAACAUUACUCUGAAUUAGUUCUAAAUAUUAUAGAGAUCUCUUCGGCAUUCAAAUUUUUCAAAACACUUCCGAGGAUAUAAGAAUGAAUGCCUGACAGGUUUUCCUUAAUUCCUUAUUCGGUACGGCAUUGAUGCUCAAUUUUCCAUACAUUCCUUUUGGGAUUUCUUUUUCUGCCAAUCUUUAUCCAGGAUAAAUGAUUUCUCCUGACACAAAUGUUUUGGAUAUAUGAGGAAAGGACAUCGGUUCCCAUUUGACUUCUCCCCCAUUUAGUCACGCUCUUUUUCUAUCUUAUCUCUUUUCCAUCUCAUUCUUAUUUUGCUUCACAUUUGGCUUGUUUGUCUACCAACAUGGGUGCCCUGACCCUUCCUUGUAGGUAUUUUGUGAGUCUCUUCCUAGGUAAGGCUCAUUUCUCAACCGUCAACUGUAGGCCCAUCCUCGUAGUUUUGGAUAUUUUAGGCACUGGGAUCUUGCUUCCUUCAAUAAUGAAAGUUGCUUUAAAAAAUUCUAGUGAUUGAAAGGAACAUUCUAUUGCCUAUUCAUCCGCUCCUAUGUAUGGUGCAUCAAUAGUUACGGAUGCGAUGAUAUCCUCUUUAGCAUUUAUUGUCACCAGUUGACCCUUCGUUACCAACUUUUAUAUUUGGUGUAAUGACGAUGGCACUGCCCCAGUUGAGUGAAUCCAAGGUCUACCCAACAAGCAAUUAUAAGAGGGCUUGAUAUCCAUCACCAAAAAGUCUACCUCAUAUGCAUUUGUACCAAUUAGGAAAGGUAUUUCAAUCCUUCCAGUACCCUUCUUUCUGUACCAUCGAAUGCUCUCACUAUAUUUUGACACGUCUUCAUGUGAGAGCUAUCCACUGGUAAUAUGUUUAGUGUGGAUAGAGGUAAGAUGUUCAGCGUAGAUCCAUUAUCGAUUAACACCCCUGACAAUGUAUAUCCUUUGCAGCGGUUAGUGAUAUGUAAGGCAUUCGUUGAUCCCAUGGCCCUCGGAAGUAUUUCAUUAUCAUUAAAAAAUAUGAAGUUUUCGGCACUUAUAUUGUUAACCAAAAGUUCUAGCUUGUUCACAAAGAUAUCAUUAGCGACAUAAGUUUUAUUCAGCACCUUCAUCAAAGUGCUACGAUGUGUCUCUAAGCUCAAGAGCAAGGUUGUGUAGCUGUUCUACAACAUUAUACUCGUUAUGCUUCAAGAAUUUUAGGAAUUCCUUAGCCUCAUUCUCAUUUACUGGCUCGUUAAUAGGUGAUUCAAACCUAACUUUCUUUUCUUUCUUAUGCUCAACUGUCAGGGUUUUUCCUUUAACGGGCCCGGUUCUUACACUUGCAGGGUCAUAGGGCCUCCCACUGCGUGUGUAGAAAUUGAUAUCCUGGCCCUCUUCUGAAGUGCCAACCAAAUUCUCCUCUACUAGUAUCAUCACGUUGUAGUCAUAAUUUUAUGGAACCCUUCUGCUAUCCUUAUAAGGAAAAGCCACAGGUUUCUGAAUUAUAACUCUUGGCAUAACUUGUGCUCCCACCUUAUUGCUUCUUUGUUGUGAAAUAAUCACUAUUAGGUGGUUGACCUUGUGGAUCUUCUUUGUUGAUCCUUCCUCUAAGGCAUAGAUGUCCCCUCCUUCCGAGCCUUUGACAUUUUUAAAAAAUUUCAGCUCAUUGUUAUCCAUCAAACUUUGCACCAAAGCUCUGAAUACAGUGCACUCUUGGAUCUCAAAACCUUCUUCUGCGUGGAACUCACAUUAACUCCUCACCCCUUUAGGUAUCCCCUCAGAAUCUUGAACAAUUAAUCCUACGUUUAUCAUCAUUUGCCAAACCCAUUUUAGUAGGGUUUUUACUUCUACCAUAUCUGUUUUAGUCAUAUUUCCUCCACUCUUAAUUAUCGCGUUUACCCCUUCAUCUGAAUGAUUGGGUAACGAAUUUCCUGCCGCAUUAGAUGUCGAUGGAUCAUCGAACAUUACGAUCCCUAUCUUGAUGAACCUUUCAAUCAACUUUUUAAAUACAGUACAGUUCUUAUUGAGUGUCUCGUUAUUCCUGCGUGGUACUCGCAUUGAGCAUUUGCUUCAUACCAUUUUGGGAAUAGAGGUUACAUAGGUUUUAAGUAAAAUAAAGAUACCACAUACGCAUCGAAAAAAUUUUAAUACAACUCCUUAUAUGUCAUCGGGAUGGGAGUGAAUUGGAGUUUUUCAGUGUUUGGCCUUGAGAUAAAUUCUUGCCUUAAAGGGCCUUGAUGGCUGGUUGUUACAGUCCUUGGUUGGCCCACAGUGACUGGUUUUGAAUAUCCCAUAUUAUGCACACUCGCGGUGUUCACUUUAUUUUUCUUUUUUUCUCGGGGCUAAUCUUUUAAUAUUUUCCUCUGCUUCUAUUUUCCCACUCCUUACUGCAUUUUCAAUCAUCUCUCUGAACAUUACUAUAUCUGAGAAGCUCUUAGUAGCACUUCCCAACAUAUGCUUAAUGAGCGGGGCUUUUAGAAUGUUUAUUAAAAGUAUUGUUGUCUCUUUCUCUAGAAGAGGUGGUUGGACUUGCGUUGCCACCUCUCUCCACCUCUGAGCGUACUUCCUAAAGCUUUCACUUUUCUUCUUCUCCAUAUUUUGCAGCAUAAUUCUAUCAUGUUUCAUGUCAGUCACAUGGCUAUGUUGUUUCAUGAAGCCUGUGCCAGGUUUUUCCAUGAGUUGAUUUUGGCACAGCUUAACUGCUUGUACCACUUGACGACUGACUCGAUCAAACUAUCCUGGAAGUAGUGAAUUAAUAAUUGGUCGUUAUUGAUGUAUCUCGUCAUUCCUCGGUAGAACAUUGUGAUAUGGGCUUUAGAACAACUAUUCCUAUUAUAUUUUUCAAAUUCUAGAGUUUUGAAUUUUGACAGGAGCACUAGAUCAGGGACUAAGCUCAACUCCUUAGCACCAACCCCACAAAGGUAAUCGACAUUAUCCAUAGCUCUGAAUUUCUCUUCUAACCACUUGCACUGAACUUCUAGCUGUUUUGGCAAUUCCACCUUUGUUCUAUCCAUUUCGGCCAUGUCAUCCAAAUCUAAAAUGACGAGGUUGGUUGGAUUAUCCCCGGGAUUGGAACCUGAACCUAUAGGGUAAUUCAACGGUGUCGAAGUAUCGGCUUGGUAUUAUUGUGGUCCUAUGGUUACGAGUGCCCUUCGUGGAUAUGUAUCUGGUUAGGCUUGGACAUUUACUAGGGUAAAGCCUGGGGGGAAUAUAGGGUUUUCAUUAUCAUCCCUAGAGUUAUUUACAGUACUUUUCCCUUUUUUAGUCCCUCCGGUCAGUAACUGGGUCAACUGGCUGAUCAUGCUUCGUUGGGACUCUUGUAUUUGAUCCAUCAUGUCUUGCUAUAUUUUAGCUAAUUGUUCCUGCAGGUGCGCUUGCAACUGAUCCUGCAUGUCUUUCUACAUUUGUUCUAAUCUUUCUAACCUUUGAUCUAUGGCUCUGGUUUACCACAGGUACCGUAACGAUAUUCAGUUGGCAAAUUCUUGUUGGUCUCCAGGGUAACUAUCAUAAUUUUGAUUAAUUAGGGUUUUUUAUGAAACUUAAUGCAUAUGAUGAAAUGUAAUGCUGAUCAAUGAAAAAUGAAUGCAAAAAGAGGCAUUGAUUCUGAUUCAAUUCUAUUAGAAUAACUUUACUAGAAAACGAAUCUCUUUACAUAAAAUGGAUACAUUUUACACAUAUGGCCUUGCGCUAAUACUCAAAGCCUUGACCUUCCUAAGAAGCCAAGCUAACUCUUGGCCCCGAUCUGAUUCUGAUUCAUAUUUAUAUUUUAAGCUCAGCAUGUCAGCUUAAACCGCUACGGUUUGCAAAUGGUCGGCUACUUCUCAUACUUGAGUCACGACUUCGCCCAUGAUGUGAUCCCUAUCCUUAAUCUGACUUUGAGAGCAUUGGAGUUGCUCUUUCCAGUGUUCAUUUUUUUUUCCAGAAGCUCAACUCGAAGUUCAUAAUUUUUGCAAUGAGACCUCGAGCUCUUCUAUCUUUCCCUUCAACUCUUCAAUCUUAUUCAGGCUUGCUUUUAACUCAAUUGCGGAGUUGUGACUUUGAUAUUGAUUGAGUGACCUUUCCAAUUCUGCUACCUGGGCUCUUAAUCUAACUUUUUCAUUUUGGCUUUCUAACAAAUCCCUUUCUAUAGCAUUUUCUUGAACUCGAGUAUCUUGGAAUUCCUUUUCCCACUUAUCGGUUUUAAUUUUUUCUUUUUUUAUUUCUUGCCGCCAUUGUUCUGAUAUUUUACCCAAUUUUGCAGUCCUUAUCAAAAACUGCAGCUUUUUUAAUCUAUUUUUAAACUUUCCAAGUCUUCUUUAGCCUUAUUCUUUCCUUUUCCCAUUUUAUUAGCCUCUAACUUCUGCACAUCGAUAUCUAACCCUAGUUGCAUAUUUUCCUCUUCCAAUUGUUCUAUCUUUUUUCUAUAUCCGAACUCUCCUUUUCAAAUUAUUGCUUUACGAUAUCUAGCUCAAUCGGGAACACUUGUAAGUGUUCUUCUAUUGGCCGAGUGUUUUUCUAACUUGACAUAGAGACAUUUCAAUGACUCUUUUACCCCACCACCAAUAAUAUUCAAAGGUUGUCAUGGGAUUUGCAGCAAAUAUUUUCAUUCUAUGGGUUUGGUUCCAAGCGUUCGAUAUUUCACGAACCUUCUCCUUGUAAUUAUCACCUUUAUACGCAAACUCACACUGAGCCAACCCUUGCAUUACCGGUAUAAACUGCCUUGGCCUAUACUGCCUCAAUACAAGUAAAGGGGCAUAUACAAUAGCUCCUCAUAUCCCUCGUAGAGGGACCUAGUCGAAGUCUCCACAUCGGUAUAAAAUCUCAUCAAGGAUCAUCCAAGGGGCCAUCCAUUCGGCGUCUUUAUCUUAGAGACUCUUGAGGAUUGCCAUCCACUUUUCUUCAGAAAUGCUGUCUCGUCUUAGCGUAGCCACGAAUUCUUUCAAUGGAGAGUAGCUCUCAGAGAAUACUCAAUAAAAGACAUUUUCUACCUUCCAAAAAUGGCUGUAAAACCAAGCUAGCAAGAGUUGUGCACACCCGAUAAAUCUUCCUUCACCCACUCUCCAGCAUGCAUUCAAAGAUCUGAAAGUUUCAACCAAAAUUUUCGGGACGAGCGUGACCCUUUUGUCAAGCCGGUCGAAUAGAUUUGAAACUGCAUCAUCCAUGUGCCCUAGCACUUUGGGAAAGAUGACCAACCCAUAAAUACUCAAGACGAAGACAUCAACUCUUUUCUUUAUAUUCAGAUGUGCCAAGAUCAAAUCCCGUAAACUUUUCUAAGGGAUGCAUUUACUAUCUCCCUUUUGUUUAAUCCAAGCCGCGACCCAUUGCUCACUUAUUCCCGUUAUGCUCAUUAGCCUCUUCAAGAAAGUCGGGACAUUGGCGGCUUUAGAAUAAGCUUUGUCAGCUUGGAUCCUCGGGGAACGGAGCAGAGUUGUAUACUCUUCAACGGUGGGUAACAAAUCUACCUUCCCAAAAGUAAAGCAGCUAUUGGCAGGAUUCCAAUACUGGGAAAUAGCUCAGAAUAAAUGUUUAUCUACUUUGACAUUGAGUAGAUAAGGCAAAUCACCAUCAGUGGAAUAACUACUUGGUUUCGUCAUCCCAUUGGCCCCAUAUUUCUUUCAACUCUUAGAGAUUAUUCUGAUCCACACUGAUGCUAGUGAAAAUCGAUAAUUCUGAUAUAUAUCCCUUCGUUAGGCUAUCACCCUUCUCUUGCUGUAUCUUCUCGGACCAUACCCGGACGACCACAUUGUCUUUCACUUUAUCAAGAAAUCCCUUUUCCAUGACAAGCUCUCUAUUUAGCAACUAAACGUGAAUCAAUGUCCUUUUCUAUGACGAAAAUGCAAUGCAAUCACAGCUAAAACAAAAUGAAACAAGUCAGUAUAUUUCAUAUAAAGCAAGCAAUAAUAAAUAGAGUACCUAUUCGGGUGACCACUAGAGGUUCGAUAUGGUUCUAUCUAGGGUAGGUUCUUAGGGCCCAUUAUAUGUGGUUCGGUUCUAAAGUAAGUCUACUUAAAACAACAGAUUCCUCGUUUCUCACCCAUUAUAGGCUCAUACGAACCAAGUUCAAUUUAGGGGAAUACAUUUCCCUAUGGCUAUACGGAGAUGAAGAUCUCACGAAGACAUAUGUACGGAUGAAUCUCGAAAGCGAUCCACUAUCCUAUACGGAGGUGAAGACCUCAUGAAGGAAUAGCUUCUUACUCCCACUUAAGAAGGGAAAAAUUGAACGAUUAUGCAAUGCCAUGUACGGAAAACACACAAAAAGAAACUUCCAAAUCAAUAAAACAGAUAUAUUAGAUCGCUAUAUAACCUGAAAGAUCAAAGACAAAACAUAAAGGAUGAAAUGAAAUAAAGAGAUCGUUAAUUUAAACCAAAUUAUCAAUUUUCAACAAAAAUACCAAAAGUAUCAACUCGUGGCUUAACUCUCUUAUCACUUCCCCAGUGGAGUUGCCAAGCAGUCGAAACCUCUAUUUUUAAAAUCGACUUUAUUUUUAAAAAUUAAAAAUGGAGUUUCCACCAAUCCUUUUUAUGAGGUGUGAUCGGAUCACCUCGUAAUAUGAUCAUUCUAAUAAAAUGUUUCAUUUACUAAAAUAAUGAUUUUGUCUACAAAAUUCAAAAAAUGGGUUCGGGAGUUGGUUACGCACAAGGAAGGAUUAGCACCCUCGUGACGCCUAAAAUUGGUACCUAGUUGAUUACUUGAUGUCUUAGUGUCAAGAAUUGAAAAUUUGAGGGAGAUUAAAACAAGAUUCCUUUUUGUAUUAGGGCAUUACUGAAUUAAUUUUCAUGAAAAAGGCUUAUUUCAAGUUAAUCGAGAAGCAAUGAUCAUGUCCCAUAAGUUAGGACACAAUGCCUUAAAUUCUCAAAAUCAAUAAUAAAUGCCAUUUGAUUGUUACUUGAAUCUCGUUUUUAUAUUUUUGAAUUGGAUGUUCGAUUAUUUCAGUUUUAGAAAGAAGCCAUAGCCUAUAAGUUAGGAACACGACUCUUCUAAUUCCAAAAAUAAUGAACAUUACCUCGAUUUAAAAAUUUAUUGUCUUAUGCAUCAUGCAAAAACGAAUGUAACGUUUAACUUGAUGUUCGCUUAACCUAUUUGGGCAUAGUACGAAAAUGGUCAAAUAUAUUUAAACAUAAUGCAUAAUAUAGUGAUAGCGAAAUAAUAUAAGAUGGCCAUGUAGGUAGAAUAUCUUAGAAUGAUAAAUAACAAAUAAAUGGAUAAAUACAAUAAUAAUAAUGUAACUAUAGAAAUAAUAAGAAUAUUAAUUCAUGGUAUUAAUAAUAAAAUAAAUAAAUUAACUUAAAAUAAAAAUGCUAUAUGCUUAAUGACGAAUGUAAACAUAAAUAAUGUGAGAAUGAUAAAAGAAAUGACAAAAUAGUAAAAAUAAGAUAAAAAUAAAAUAAUAACAAUAGUAAUAAUUAAUGAGAAAAAAUGUACAAAAAAUCUUAUUUUUAAAUAUGUAAAAAAAUAAACAAGUAAUCAAUAAAUGAAUAAAUAAAUAAAUAAAAUUUGUAAAACGUUGAAGUUAAAUGAAUGAAGGACUAAAUUAAAAUUAUGACGAAAUUUAAAGAUUAAAAUGUGAAGAAUUCCAAAAUGAAGGAUUAAAUUAAAAAUAAAAUAUACAAUACAGGGACUUAGAGUGAAAUUAUCCCAACAAGCACACCUAUGUCACAUCCGACGUCAUUGCCAAUGACUAAAGGGGACUAAAUUGUAAAUAUGAUGAAACUUGAGGUAUAAAUAAAAAAACACAAAAGCAGAAGGUAGAUGACUAGAUUAAAAUGAAACAAAAAGUAUAGUGACUCAGUGAAUAAUUUCCCCAACCUCAACACACGUGUCCUUCCCCUGGAAGGUCAAUAGUAAGCUUAGGGACUAAGUUGCACAAGGACGAAAUAAAAGGAUAAAAAUAUAAAAAAUAAAUAUGAAAUAGGAUCAGAUUAAAAAGAACAGAAAAAGUAGAAGGGCCGAAAUAGAAAUUAUCCCCUCCAUGCGAAAACAUGCGGAUCCUAUGGAUGUUCUGGUCGGAUCUCGGGUCGGCCCCAAAAUGACGUUGUUUUGGGUUCCUAUUUCCCAAAAAAGGCCUAAGGACCAAAAUGAAAUAAAAUAAAAUUAAAUGGUAAAAUUAAAAGGUAAAAAGGACUACGUUGUAAAUCGCCUAGAAAGUGGAGGGACCAAAGGAACAAAUAGACCCCAGUAUCAAAAACACGCGGAUCCUAAGGCGGAUCAGGUCGGGUCUUGGGUCGGCCCCAAAAUGACGUUGUUUUGGGAUAUUUUAGACUAGCCUAAAACAGUGUCGUUUAGCACCCCCUAUAUAUAUAUAUAUAUAUAUAUAAUCUCUAAAAAAUUCAUUUCUGAAAUAUUUAAAAAAAACCUUAAAACCCUUCUUUUUUUCUGAAAUCGGCCCUAGAAACUGGCCAUCGGGGCCGCUGUGUAUCCGCCAUGGCCACUGGUCAUCGGCGACAAUGGCCGCCACCUCCGGUGGUCGGAAUCGUAAAAAAGGGUCCUCUUUAUCCCCGUUUCACAGGAAUUUCAAAUAUCAGGCCGAAGCCUCUUAAAAUCUAACCAAAAAUAGAAAAAAUGCAAAGGAACCCUUUCGUUCCAGCCUCCUUCUCUGACGUGGCCUCUGAUGAAUCAAAGGCAUUCAAUGGCUUCACACCAAGCAAAUCGUCCUUCAUCGGAGAUGGUGUCCUCGUCCCUUCGCAACGGUGGAGCAUGAAAUGCUUCGGUGAGUUUUUAACUUUUUCUUUUUUUCUUUUAUAUUUUAUAAAAUAAAAGAAAAUUAAUAUAUCUAAAAUAUAAAAGAGUCGCAUUUUAUUUCUUUUGUAUUCUGUUUUUCGAUUUCUUUUUUCGGGUUUUUUGUUCGAUUUUUAUUUUUUCAAAAAAAUUAACCCUAGAAUACAAUUUGUUCUCUAGCUUUUAUAGCAUAUUUAUAAUAUUAUUUUUUUCUAUUUUUCUACUAUUUUGUACUACUUGCAUUGUUUCUACGUGUUUGGUUUUUGUCUGUUCAUUCUUUUUUGCAGGUGGUGGUUGAUGGUGGCGGUGGCAGAGGCAAUUGGCGGUGCUAAUGUAGAGUGCAACGUGCUGACAUGGGGUGCGGCGCUAGAAACCCUAGGGUUUCUAGCUUUCUGAAACUAGUUAAGGUUUUAGGCCUAUCGGGCGUUGGGUUAUUAGGCUUGUAAUAUGGAUAGUGCAUUGGGCCUGUAAUUUGGGUCUUGAUAUUUUGUAAAUGGACUGGCCUAUUUUUUGGACUUUUCUUUUGUUCUAUGGGCCGGGCAUAAUUGACCUGUUACAAUUAUUAUUUGACCUAUGAAUUUAGACUAUAAAUAGGCUCUUUUAUAACAUUAGAAAAUACACCCAUUAGAGAUUAGAACUCAUAACACUUUAAAAGAAUUUUGUGUUUAGGUUUUGAUGGUUCUUUAUUAUUAGGGUUUUAGGGUUUAGUUUUUAUCUUCAUCUUUUUUACUCUUCGUUCUUUUUCCAUUAUAGUAAAAUUAUCUUUGCUUAUGGUUUUUUAUCCUCUUUCGAGAGUUUUUCCACAAUAAAUUUGUGUGUUCAUUUUUUUAAUUUCUUUCGCUAUUUUUACUUUUUCGUUACUUAAUCGGUCGAUCCCCAACAAGUGCUAUCAGAGCUAGUUCAAUUUUUGCAGAUAAACUUGUUCAGAUAUGGUAGCAACAAGGUUUAACAUUGAAGAGUUCUAUGGUGUUACAAAUUUCAACCUGUGACAAGUUUGGAUGAUGGGAAUUCUAGUUCAGAUCGGCUUGGAAAAGGUUGUUAUUAGAAAAAAAAGCUUGGAAAUCUAGAUUAGUCAUAAUGAGGAGAUCUUGAUGAAAAUAUCUUGUUUGCAGUCUAGUUGUGCCUCCCGAUUAGGGUAUUGUAGGAGGUAUUGAUGGAGAAGACCUCAUCCGCCUUGUGGAAAAGGUUAAAAAUCUUUAUAUGACUAUGUCUCUGGCUAGCCGUUUAGUGUUGAAACAAUUUCUAUUUACAUUUUACAUGAAUGAAGUUGAGCUUCUUAGAGAUCACAUCAUUCAAUUCAUUACUCUUUUAAAUCAUUUAAAUAACAUUGAGGUUUAGAUUGACGAUGACGAUUAGGUUAUGCUAUUGUUGUGCUCUUCACCCCCUUCAUACAAGUCUUUCUGGGAGACCAUGAUUUAAAAGAGAGAUAAUCUCUCAUUCGAGGAUGUGAAGGGUCAUUUGUUGAGCAAAGACAAACUCGAAAAUAAGUUUGGUUCGAAUAGUAGGACAGAUGGGCAAGUUUCCAUUUUCAUAGCAUCAAAGAAGCAAGACAAAAAGUUUCAUUAUUGUAAGAAGUUAGGUCACGUCAAAGCAUAUUGUUAUAAACUGUGAAAUAAAAGGGUUGCUGAGAGAAACAAGGAAGAUGUAGUUGGUGCUAAUUUGGCUUACAAAAGCAUUGAUGAUUUCUUCGUAGUGUCAACGAGCGAUAGCUCUGAGUUCACGUCCAAGUGGAUCCUAGAUUCGGGAUGUUCUUCUGGAUGUGUCCCAACAGAAAAUGGUUCUCCACAUACAGUUUGGAUGAAGGUAGGGUUACGUACAUGGGAAACGAUUCAUCCAGUAAGGUAAUUGGUAUUGGUACUAUUAAAAUUAGGGUGCAUGAUGGAACGAUUAGGACACUCUUAGAUGUCUGGUAUGUACAUGAUUUACGAAAUAAUCUCAUCUCCUUGAGUAUUUUAGACUCGAAAGGUUGCAAGAUCAACAUCGAGUCGAACGACAUUAACGUAUCUUGUAAGGCUCUCAUUUUGUUAAAAGGUAAAAAGACCGACAGUCUUUAUAACCUAGAAGGUUCUAUAGUGAUCGAAAAAACUGAAUGUCCGUCAUCCAUUAUAGAGUCAAAGUCAACUCGUUUGGAGUUGAGGCUACAUGGUCAUAGGAGGGAAAAAGGUAUGACUGUUUCGUUUAAGAGAGGUUUUCUUUUGGAUGCAGGUUUUGAAAAGUUAGGGCACUGUUUGUAAUAGCCCUUUUUCAAUGAAAUCAGAAUAGUGGUUUUGGGACCUCAAAUCUGAUGAGUAAAAAUUUGUUUUAUUAUUAUUUUAAUGUCCACGGUAUAUUAGUAAGGUCGCAUAAAAAUUUCGUUAAGAAAUUUUGAUGUUUGCAUACUUAAUUAAGUGAAAAUAACUAAAUUUAAAAAGGUGCAAAAGUAUAGCUCUAUUAACUAAAGGUGUUAAAUUGCUAUGGAAUUUUAAUGUGAGUGACUUAAAUGGUAAUUAAACCAUUUAAUUAGUAGGUGGACAAUUAUGGAAAUAGUAUUAAGUAAUUUUAAAGUUUAUAACCAAGGUCAAUUUUGUAAAUUAAUAAUUUAACAUAAAACAAAUUAAAGAAAAUUAAGGCAUUAAUUUGGUGUUCAUCUUCUCCACUAAAAUUAGGAAGAAGAAAACCCUCCAUUUUUGGACCUUGAGCAUUUGUUUAUAUCUCUCUUGCAUGUAAGUGUGUUUUCAUCUCGUUUUUAAUUAUUUCUAUGUUUUUGAAGUCAUUGUAGCAAAAUAUAACUAGCCUAAGGACUAAUUUGCAAAACUAUUAAAGGUUUAGGGUUUUUAUAUGAAUGUUCUUACAUGAUUUAUGAAUUUUGGCGAAAGAGUAUGAGUCCUUGUUGUUAAAUAAACUUUUGUAAAGUGAUUUUUGAUAAAAUUAUCAUUUAGAGACUUAUUUGUAAAAGUAUUAAAAUAUCUUGAUAAAAUUGUGAAUUGUUGAGUUAUAUGAGGUUGUAUGAGUCCUUAAGUAAAUUGGCUAGCAUGGUAUGUGGAUGAAAUUGCAUAAAUUUUCAUUUACGAGCUUAAGGACUAAAUUAUAAAGAAGUUCAAAUAUUAAGGGCAAAAGUGUAAUUUUUCAAAAGUAUGAAUUUUGGAAUAAAAUGAAUAGAAUGAAUAUUAAAUGGAUUAAAUUUGCAUAUUUAGAUCAAGUUAAGCCUCGUACGGAUCUAGAUCGAGGGAAAGAUAAAGCCUUAGAUUAGUUGAUUCUAUUUUGACAUCUUUAAAAUCGAGGUAAGUUCAUAUGUUUAAAUAAUAUUUUAAUGUUAUUUGAUUUAUAUGCUAUUAUGCUAUUUAUCAUGUCAUGUUACGAUAGAAAUUCAACGACGUUACGACGACUAUUGAGUCCCGUUUGAACCUUAGGAAUAUAUAGGAUACAAAUGACAUGUCAUUAGAGUUACCAUAUUUCGAGUGCUGGUCUUGAAUGUCCAAUCAAUUGUUGAGUUCUGACAUUUGUUGCGGUUACUCAUCAGCUUGUGUGAGCGGCAUCGUGUAGCUACAUUCAGACCUUCAGCUUGUAUGAGCAAACCCAUUUAUGGCCCGAUUGAGCAUCGAUGUAAAGGAAAAGGAAUUGUUUCAACCAUAUGUUUAGCACACUUUGUGUAACCUUCCCGCAUAUCUGAUAUUAUUCUAAAUGGUUCAACAGGCAUGAAAAGGGAAGGAACGAUAAGUGUUCCUAUGGCUAAGUUAUGAACUUAUGGAAAGAUAUGAAUUGACGAUGAUCAAAUUAUGUAUAACCAUGUUUAUAGAAAGUAUGAUGUUCAUGAAAUAUAUCUUACCAGGUGAUGAUUUUGUUAAAUUAUGUGUUUAAGCACUAACUUGUGUUGUUGAUGAUGCUUAGGCUUGUGCUAAGCUUAUGUUGGAUUGGUUCAUGUAUAAUUUUAAAAUUUAUGCAUUGAAAUGGUAAGUUAUGUUCAUGUUAUACGAACUUACUAAUCAUUAUAUGCUUACGUUGUUUUCUUUCUUAUGUUUUUUUUUAUAUUAUCAGAAGCUCGAUCGGUUUGGAAGCUCGUCGAAGACUUGUCAAACUAUCCAACGAUUAUAUCGGUAGAUUUUGAUGUUUUGGUCAAGGUUAUAAUGACAUGUAUAGGUGAAUUUAUGUUUAAUGGCUAGUUGAUGAUUUUGGCAUGUAAAUUUUGUUUUAAAUAUAUGGUACUUUUGGUACCUUAUGGUUUGGAUGUUAAUCUGGUCAAGUUGAUGCAUAGUUAAUGACCAAAGUGGUAAGUGUUGGUAUGUUUGCAAUGUGGUCAAUUAUGGUAUUCUUUGAUAUUGUAACACCCCUAACCCGUAUUCUUCGCCUAAUUAGGGUUACAAGGCAUUACCAAACAAAAACAGAUCAGUAUAGUCAUUUAUCAUUUUUUUACACAUAGAACACGUAACCAGAUAAAACUUGUCAUGAUUUAUUACUUAUGACACAUAUACAAACUAUGCUUCAAAUUUCAACCUUAUUAAUAUAAUCUAUAUAACCACAUAUUCGAAUUUAACUAAUAUGCAACAAAACCAAAUUUCAUGUAUUUAAUACAGUUUAAUGUCCAAACCACAUAACCUUAAUACUAAUGGCAUUCGUUUAUUUCAUUAGUUAAAUAUCAACAUAACCUUGCAUAACCUCUGUACAUGCAAACACUAAAGUCAUUCGAACUAAAUUAUUAUAAUUAUUAUGCAAUCUCAUAUGCAACUUUAGUAACAAUGCAACCUGGUCAAACAUAUUAUGGAUGUAUAUGUAUAUGUAUAUGUAUAUGUAUAUGUAUAUGUAUAUGUAUAUGUAUAUGUAUAUGUAUAUGUAUAAUACACAUCUUUCCCUAAAAACAAAAACCACAUAUCAAAACGGAAUUUACAAGUACACAUAUGAGCAUACCUAUUUUUUUAAAAUUUAACAUUAACUUGAUACUUUCAAUCUAUCCGUUUAAGCUACCCAAAACAUACUUAAAUCUAAUCCUCACUUACCAUUUAGAUCUGUACCAAAACAAUUAGUAAAACAAUCAUGAAACAUAUUCAAUACUUAUCAUUUAACAACCAAACUUACAUGAUUAAACAUUCAAAUAUAAUAUAUGUAUAUAUUUGACACCACAAAUCGAAUCCAAAUAACUAAGCCUCAAUGAACAUAUCAAUAGUAUCCCACAUUCACAUAAACUAAAAUCAACCAAAUAACAUAUGUUCAACCAUUUCAUUAUUUAUAUAUUCGACUCCUGAAUUCAAACUCAUAAGACCAAACCAUACUACCAAAUAACAUAACCAUAAUUUAACCUGUGUUUCAUAUGCCAUAAACACACCUUUAAAGUGAGCUAUUUUCAUAGCCAAUUAUAGACCAAGCUAUUCAUUGUCCAAUACCGAAUUAUAUUUCAAAACAUCACAAGCACAUAUACAAUGGGACAUUUUUCCAUAAUUAGUUCAAGUAAUAAGCAAAUACCAAAGUGAACAAAUAAUAAACCACGUAAUUUAUACCAUGACCGAAAAUGCAUUAACAUGAACAUCAUUAAAAUUCAAAACACAUUUAUAUAUAAAGAUUACUACACGCAUAUAUCAUGACCAAAAUUACUUAAACAUUAGAUCAUUAGUAUAAAGAUUGAGCCAUUUUUGCAUGGCUAAAUAUAUACAAAUUUCAAGACCAACCAAAACAAGUGCUAUCCUAUACAUGCCAUAUGUUCUAAGUUUCAAGCUUUCAAAAUACCAAAAUUGUGUUCGGUAGUGUGAUGGAUUUCCUCAACGAUCCCCGAGCUCGUAACUAGCUUCCAAAAUCUAUAAAACACCGAGUGAACACACAAAGUAAGCUUAAAAAGCUUCGUAAGUCAUAGAAAUUAAAUUAUUUUGAGAUUGUUAACAAUUCAAUUCAAAUAAGCCGAAUACCAACCAUUUCAAAAAUAUAUAUAUUCACUUACUACAUAGGCAUCAUUCAUUGUCAUGUAAUUCAAUAUAGUCAUUUAAAUCAUACUCACUUUUCAUUUCUGAAUUUUAUUAACAAACCGAACGUACCUGAAUCGGAUACAUUUAUUGCAUUAUCAUUCAUUUCUCAAUAUUGCUCGCUGAACCAUUCAAAGUCAAUAAGGAUAUUCGAAUAACUUGGAAAGCUCGUACAAUGCCAACGUCCCAGACGUGGUCUUACAUGUAAUCAAACAUUGAUGCCACUGUCCCAGACAGGGUCUUACACGUAAAUCUCAAAUAGAUGCCAACGUACCAGACGUGGUCUUACACAAUAACUCGUAUCAAAAUUUUAUGUCAUGACAUAUAUUUAUCCCCAUUAUUCCUAUGGUUCGUACAGGGCUUUCGGACAUCGUAAAUCCAUCGAUUCAAGCUCAUAAUCACUUCUCCCAUACUUAAAUCAAUUUGACAUACACAUAUAUAAUUACAAUAAUUCAAUUUGGCACAAUUAAAUACAUUUCUAUAUGGAUUUAACAACAAUUAAUUGCUAUGAACUUACCUCAGACGAAGAAAAACGGAUGGAAUCGACUACUCGACCACUUUCGACUUUCCCCGUUCUAAUUCCGUUUUCUUUUGUUCUUGAUCUAAAUAAAUUCUAAUUUAGCUAUUUAAUAUCACAUUUUAUUCAAUUCAAGAAAUAAACACAUAAUUAGGGCAACUUACACUUUAGCCCCUAAAAUUCGCAUUUUUCACAAUUUAGCCUUUAUUUCAUAAAAUUAUAAAUUCAUGAAAUUUAGAGACAACCCAUGCUAGCAGAAUUUUGUAUAGCUUCCUAGAAGCCCAUAUUUUCAUUUAUUUCACACUUUUAACCACAACAUUUCACAUUUUCUCAAUUUAAUUCCUAACUAAUAUUUUCAUCAAAAAUCACUUUACAAAACUUAGAUAUCUAUCACUAAGCUUUCAUAAUUCAUCAUCAAAUAUCCAAAAACACAUGCAUUCAUCAAUGGCAACUUUCAAAAUCAUCAACACUUUCAAAAAUUAAAGCAUGGGUUAGCUAGAACACAAAGCAACGAUCAUAAAAACGUAGAAAUUAUCAAAAAUUGAAACAAAAACAUGCCUUGAUUAAGCUUGAAUAAGGUCGAAUGAAUGAAAGCUUUAAAACUCUUAUUUUCUUUCUAGUUUUGGUGGAAGAACACUUGGAAAUGAUGAGCAUUUUGGUUUUAUUUACUUUAUUCAUUUUGAUUUAAUGAAUUACUACUUUAACCUUAAUGAUAUAUUAAUAUAAAUUACUUAAAUCAUGGACAUAAAUAUCCACUAACCUUAUAAUGGCAUAAUAAGCUUUUAAGGACUUCCCAUAAAUUAAAAUAUAACAAAUUAGCAUAUUAACAAUGAGAAUGUCACUUUUACUUUUUAUGCGAUUUAGCCCUUUUCACAAAUUAAGCACGCAAACAGAUAAAUUAAAUCACAAAAAUUUCACACAUAUCACUUCACAUGCUAUAAGCACGAAAAAUAAUAUUAAAAUAUUUUUCUGACUCGAAUUUAUGGUCCUAAAACCACUGUCCGACUAGGGUCUAAACCGGGUUGUUACAGAUAUGGAAUUGGACUAAAUAUGUUUGGAUGAGAUAUGACCAAUUAGCCAUAAGUUUAGGUAUAAUUGCUUGGUUGUAAUUGAGGUGCCUAUAUGGCAUAUUGGUUGGAUGGAUAAAUUCCCUAUUGAAUGGGUCUUAUUAUGCAUGUUUUGGUAUGUUUUGGUGCCUUGAUUAUAUGUGCAUAUUGCUUGUAGGUACAUGCAUAAAUGAGUGAAGGAAAUGGCUUGAUUUUGGCCACUUUCUUGUUCACACGGCCUAAGACAUGAGCGUGUGUCUCGGUCGUGUACGACACACGCCAUGCGACAUGGGCGUGUGUCUCGUCCGGGUGCGACACACAGCAUGCGACAUGGUCGUGUGUCCCUUGUAGGUUUUAAAGAUUGUAAGUCAGGUAGUUACACGACCUAACACACGGCUUGGAACACGGGUGUGUAAGGCCAUUUCAAAUGUUACACGACCUGAGACACGGUCGUGUGUCUCAGCCAUGUGACAGCUGCAGUUUAAAUUUUUCUAACUCUUUCCUCAAUGUUUCAAAUGUUUUUGAUUUAGUCUCGAAUCAUUUCUAAAGUGUUUCUAAGACCUUGAGGGCUCGAAUAAAGGAUGACAUGCAUGAAUAUAAAUUGAUUAUGCUAUGUCUAAUGAAAGGUUUGGAAAUGUAUGCUUUUAUGUUAUGAUUUUUCGGUAAUGCUCUGUAACCCUAUUCUGGCAACGGAUACGGGUUAGGGGUGUUAUAUUUAGUGGUAUUAGAGCUAUGGUUUACUCGAUUCUCGGACUGAACGUAGCGUGUAUGAGUCUAGAAAUACAUGUCAUUCUAUAACUUGUGAUAGUGUGAUAACUCCUGUCUCGAUUUGAACCAUGUUUUCAUAUAGAUAAUGUCAUCCAACAUAGCAAAUUUUGAUGACGUUGAAACUGACACGCAAGCCUCCGUUCACAGGGCAGCAUCGAGUGGCAGUAAGGCUAUAUCUGAGGGCUGGGAACGAGAGGCUAAGGAAGCCUUAUUCUAAAUGAUAAAUGAAUGGUUUACCGAGUUCGUACGAACAAACCCGAUGGCUUAACCACCUCUAUCCCCACUUGUUCCCCAACUGGUCCCCGUAGUUCCUUAUCGUUUGGAACCAGUAUGGUUGAGCAAGCCUCUGGUUCAUAAAAUUUAUAAAUAUGGGGUUGAAAAGUUUAGAGCUACAACUGAAGAUGAUCUAGAGAGGGCCGAGUUCUAGUUAAAAACAAGAUUGGGUUUUUUAAUGAAUUAUCUUGUACACCGGUAGAAUGUGUGAAAUGUGUUGUUUCCUUAUUGAAAGACUCAACUUAUUAGUGGUGGAACACCCUCGUUUCAGUUGUGCCGAGAGAGCGAGUAGAUUGGGAAUUUUUUCAAACUGAGUUCUAAAAGAAAUAUGUGAGGGAGAGGUUCCUCGAUAAGAAACGCAAAGAGUUUCUCGAGCUUAAACAGGGCCGAAUGAUGAUUUUUUAUUAUGAGAGGGAAUUUGUUCGAUUGAGCAAGUAUGCUCGAGAAUGUAUUUUGAUCGAGAUUUCCAUGUGUAAACAGUUUAAAGAUGGGUUAAAUGAAGACAUAAAGUCAUUAGUUGGGAUUGUAAAAAUAAAAGUGUAACGCCCCGAAUUUUAGGCCUAGAAGAAAUAGGUUUUGAACAAAGGAAAAGUUAGAAAACUGUACAUAAAUAUUUAGUUGCGUAAGGAAGUGACACAAAUUUCUUGUUUGCUUUAAUGGAUAAGUGAUUUGGGUGUGUAUGAGAGUGUUUGAGAGGCUUGGGUUCAAGUCUUGGCUUUUGCAGAAUUUUUAGUUUUACUCUUAAAUGAAUCUGGACACUGGCAUAUAGGCCUUAUAAGUAAUAGUGUUUGUUUUAUAUCACAAAAAGAGUCUGUGGUCAAGUGGCAAGGUGGUGUGUUGUGUAACUGUAAGGUCUGAGGUUCAAGUCCUAGGGUGUGCAAUGAAGUAUUUAUUAUGUUGCUUGAGCUGGGUAGGUGGUGGAGUUGGACUGAAACACAGCUAAGGGGGAGUUUGAAUGGAGUUUGAACUGGUCAUAGAGAGAAUUGACGAGGGAUAUUUGGAGAGAUUUGAGGAGAGAAUAUUGGGAUUUAGGGAGGUUGUUGUUGUGGAGAGCUAUAUAUCAUCUCAUUUUUUCCUUGUUCUGAAUGGGGGAGAUCAGCGAGGCUUUCAAGGUAUUCGUCGCAUUCUCCAACCUGGAUUGCUUCCAUUCCUAACUGGUGGUGGUCGAGGUUGAUUGGCACAUUGCUUGGGAACCAAGGGUGCGAUGAUCAUUGAUUUGUGGAAUAAGAGUGUUCGAAUCGAAGGGAAUCUGUAACAAAUUGCAUCAGGAGUGUAAACUCCCCACUGUAACUGUAGAACGGCAAAAGCCAAAAAGCUGAAAUACGACGUAUGAGACUGCAUGAGAGUGCGAUUGCUCGUGUGGAAAGUCGAACCUGCGAAUCAUGGGCGAUAAACUGUGGAGGCCUCCAUGAGCAUUUUCAUGGGCUUAGGCCGUAAUGGGCCACGUUGGGUCGUGUGGGCUCAAUGGGCUUGUGGGUCUCACAUGGAUGAAACCCAUUAUUUAUGGCAAAUACUGGACUAGGCUAUGUAGAUCUCAGAGCCGUGGUGAAAUCUGGGCUAAACAGGCUACACGACUGUGUGGGCCCACUUGGGUCGAGUAAUGGGCCUUGGGCCCAUUUACAUUGUUAUGACCAAUUAGGUUACCUAAGUCGCUCGAGGCGACUGUGGACUUUUCGAGAGGUCCAUAUCUGGACUAAAAUACCCUCGAAGGGUAAAAUGACUGAAAUACCCUUGAUGGGUAAAAUGACUGAAAUGCCCACAUAGGGUAAAAUGAUCGUAAUGCCUCUAUAAGGUAAAAUGACCAUAAUACCCCUAUAGGGUAAAUGACCGUAAUGCCCCUGUAGUGUAAAAUGACCAUAAUACCCCUUGUAGGGUAAAAUAGUCGUAAUGCCCUUGUAGGGUAAAUGACGGUAAUGCCCUUAUAGGGUAAAACGACUGUAAUGCCCCUGUAAGGUAAAAUAACCGUAAUGCUCUGAUGGGUAAAUGACUAUUUUUACCCCUCGAGGUCAAAUGAUUGUUUUGUUUGUGGUUAAAUGACUGAUUUAUCUGUGUUUGGUAUGACUGAUUUGUCUAUGAUUUGAACGACUAAUGCUGAGCAUGGCAUUCUACAUACACGACAUACUGCAUGGCGUUGGGAUACUAUUAUGAAUGAAGUAUUGUACUAGUGGCUCUGCCACAAUCACUGUUACUGGUGGCUUAGCCACAUAUACUAUUACUGGCAGCUUUGUCGGGAUACUAUUGCUGGCAAUUUUGCUGCGAUACUACUGAUGGCUUUCUGCUGAUCAUAGUACCGUUACUGAUGGCUUCGUGCUGAUCACAGUACCAUUACUGAUGGCUUUGUGUCGAUCAUAUUAUCAUUAUCGAUGGUUGUCUACCGAUCAUUUCACUGUUACUGAUGGCUGUGUGCCAAUCAUAUCACUGCUAUUGAUGGCUUUGUGCUAAUCAUGUUACCGUUACUGAUGGCUGUGUGCCGAUCAUAUCACUGCUACUGAUGGCUUUGUGAUAAUCACAUUACUGUACUUAUGGCUUGUAGUCAUUCUGUUUAUAGCUUAUAGCUAUCCUGUUUACGGCUCUUAGCCAUUCGACUACUGGCAGCUCUGCUGCAUUAUUAUUACUGGCAGCUAUGCUUCGAUAUUGGUGUGAGGGUUGGGUGGGUCGACUCUGUCCCUACAUGGUGUGUUGGAUUGGUACGAGUGUUGUGUUGGCUGGAUUAGGAUGGGUUUGCAUACUUGUACCAUACUAAUACUGUAUCGAGCUUAAGCCCACACUGAUUCUGUAUUAGGCUAAGGCCCACACCGUACUAUUACUGUUAAAGGGCUCUAGCCUAGACUGAUUAUGUUCUAUAUGCCGGCUGUUUGACAAGGGAUUACAUAUUGAGUUUUCGUAAACUCACCCUCUCCUCUUAACUGUGCAGGUAAACCUCAGCCAUAGUUGAUUCGGUGUUGCGAGGGACUCAAAGGUGGCCACACAACCGCAUCAGCUUUCGUUUUUAGCUUUUGGUUUAUAAGUAACUGAAUUUGGGUAUUUUUAUGUAAAAAUGGCUCUUUAAAGUUAUAAAAUUUAUAUUGGGUUUUUAUUUAUUUAGUUUGAUAUAAACUGAUAGUUGUAGAAUAAGACAGGUUUUCAAAAGGUAACAUUUUUCAAAGACACCAAGUUUUCGCAAUAAAUGAGAUUUUGGAAAAUUUAUAACGUUUUAAAAGUGAUUAGUUUUUAAUGAUGCACGCUUGGAAAUGAACAACCCAUUUUGGAAUCACCGUUUAAUAACGAAAUGAUUAAUUGAUUUUAAAGAUUUCAACAACAAUAAGUUUUACGCUAAACACCUCAUUGUGACACUACCAGAUUCGACCAUAACUCCUAGGCUGGGUUUGGGGUGUUACAAAAAGGAUUUCUUGUUCUAGUUGACCAAGCACACAAAGCUGAAGAAUUGAGCAAAGCUAAAAGAAAAGCUGAUUAUGAGGCUCAUGAUUUGGGUAAGAGAUCAAUAGGGAAAUCAUAUUAAUCGCUACCAAAGAAGUCAAAAGAAUAUCAUAACCGUUCGUCAGCUUCAGUGGGUUAUUCUAGUAGAAUUCAAAACCUCAGGCUACGUCUGCAGUGAGCGUAGGCAAUGUUAAGAGUAACAAGCUUGAACGUCAACAAUGUAGGUUUCAAAAAUUUGGUGAGUGUAAGAUGAAAGACGGAGCUUGUUUUACAUGUGGUUCAUAUGAACAUUUUAUCUGAGAUUUCCUAGAGAAGCUCGAAAAAGAAAAGGCUCAAACUGUUCGAUUGAGCAACACAGCUGCGAGAGAUAGACUACCUCGAAACAUAGGAAAUGCGAGAAAUAACUGCAGUAGGACAAAAGAUUCUACUUUGAGAUUCGGGCACCGACUAGAGCUUAUGCGAUCCGUGCUAGAGAGGAAGCUUCAGCGCCAGAUGUUAUCACCGGUACAUUCCCUCUUUGAUGUUAGUGUUACUACUUUAAUUGACCCGGGGUCAACAUAUUCAUAGGUAUGAACGAAUUUAAUGUCAGACAAGAAAUUACCUAUUUAGUCCAUUGAAUUUGUGGUUAAAGUAACGAACCCCCUAGGUCAGUAUGUGUUAGUUGAUAAAGUAUGUAAAAAUUGUCCUUUGAUGAUUCGGGGUUACAACUUUUCGACCGUUUUGAUGCUACUACCCUUUGAUGAGUUUGACGUGAUUUUGGGGAUGGAUUGGUUGACUCUGAAUGAUGUUGUAAUGAAUUGUAGAUGAAAGCUUAUUGUAUUAAAAUGUCAGAAUGGUGAAAAGCAUCAGAUUGAAUAAGAUAGACUAGACUGUAUGUCUAAUAUUAUUCUGGCUAUAUCAGCACAAAAAUAUGCUAGAAAAGGUGGUGAAAUGUAUCUCACAUACAUAUUUGAUUCUAGAGUUUCUAAGUUGAAGCUAGAAUUGGUCCCAGUGGUAUGUGAGUAUUCGAGGUGUUUCUAGAAGAGUUACUCGGGUUACAGCUGACUAGAGAGGUUGAGUUUGCUAUUGAGUUAGUGCCAAGAACAUCUCCGAUAUUGAUAGCACCUUACAGAAUGGCACCUACAGAGUUGAAAGAAUUGAAAGAACAGUUGCAAGAUUUGAUAGAUACGGGUUUUGCUUGACUUAGUUUUUCUCCUUGGGGUUCUCUGGAAUUAUUUGUUAAGAAAAAAGACGGGUCCAUACAAUUAUGUAUUGAUUAUCGACAGCUCAACAAAGUUACGAUCAAGAAUAAGUAUCCAUUGCCACGUAUUGACGAUCUAUUUGAUCAGUUGAAAGGUGCGACCGUAUUCUCAAAGAUUGAUAUUCAUUCAGGUUAAUAUCAGUAAUGAGUUAAAGACUCAAAUGUACCAAAAACUGCGUUCAAGACUAUUGUACCUACAGUAUUUAUGGAUUUGAUGAACAAAAUUUUUAGACAGUAUUUAGAUAGAUUCGUGGUGGUAUUCAUUGAUGAUAUUUUAAUCUAUUCACGAGAUGAGACUAAACAUGUCGAGCAUUUGAGGACUGUUUUGCAAAAUUUGUGUGAAAAGCAAUUAUUCGCUAAGUUUAGCAAAUGUGAAUUCUAGCUUUAGGACGUCAGAUUUCUAGGACAUGUUGUAUCAGCCGGUGGCAUUAAAGUUUAUUCGAGCAAAAUUUCAGCUGUUGUAAAUUAAAAGCUUCCAAGAAAUGUAUCAGAAGUUAGAAGUUUUUUGGGUUUAGCCGGAUAUUACAGAAGAUUCGUUAAAUGAUUCUCGAUAAUUGCUACACCGUUGACGAGAUUGUUGCAAAAAUAUGUUAAGUUUGAGUGGUCUGAGUUUAAUCAAUUGAAAGCAUUGUUAACCGAGGCACCGGUGUUAGUUCAGCCAAAGUCGAGUAUAGAAUUUGUGAUCUAUAGUGAUGCCUCAUUAAAUAGAUUGGCUAUAUUUUAAUGCAAGAGGGUAAAGUAAAAGCGUAUGCUUCUAGGCAGUUGAAACCGCACGAAAAGAAUUAUCUGACACAUGAUUUAUAACUUGCAGCGAUUUAAUUUGCUUUGAAGAUUUGGCGACACCAUUUGUAUGGAGAAAAAUUCCAUAUCUUUACGGAUCAUAAAAGUCUAAAGUACUUAAUGUCACAGAAAGAUUUGAAUUUGAGGCAGCGCAAAUGGCUUGAGUUAUUAAAAGACUAUGAUUUGAUCAUUGAUUAUCAUUCGGGAAAGGGUAACAUUGUUGCUGAUGCUUUGAGUAGAAAGUCUUUGUUUGCUUUACGAGCUUUGAACACGCUGUUGACAUUAAUUGAUGAUGUAACUAUUUUAGCUGAAUUGAAAGAUUGACCGAUGUUUUUGCAAUAAAUUUGUGAAGCUCAGAAAAGUGAUGAUGUGUUGAAAUAUAAACGAAAAUGGAUUGAGACGAUUCCUGAUUUAGACUUUCAGAUUAGGAUUGAUGAUAGUUUGUAUUUUAAAGGCAGAAUUUGCAUUUUGAGAGAUAUUGAUCUCGUCUAGAAGAUUUUACAAGAAGCUCACAGUAAGUAGCUUGUCUAUUCAUCCUGGUAGCAAUAAAAUAUAUGAUGAUUUGAAAUAGAUGUACUGGUGGCCAGGUAUGAAACGAGAAAUUUUUGAGUUCGUAUCGAGAUGUUUAGUUUGUCAGCAAGUUAAAGCCAAACAUCAAGUACCUUCCAGUUUGUUACAGCCAAUGAUGAUUCCAGAGUGGAAAUGAGAACGUGUCACAAUGGAUUUUAUAUCGAGACUGCCUCUAUCUCCGAGAAAGAAAGACGUUGUUUGGGUCAUUGUUGAUCGUUUGACGAAAUAUGUACAUUUCAUUCCAGUGUGUACAGAUUAUUCACUUGAGAGAUUAGCAAAGUUAUAUGUUGCUGAGAUUGUCAGAUUACACAGAGUGUCAGUUUCUAUUAUUUCUGAUAGCGAUCCACAGUUUACAUCUCAAUUAUGGAGAAAGUUACAUGAGGCUCUAGGUACUCGUUUACAUUUUAGUACCACGUUUCAUCCUCAAACUGAUGGUCAGUUUGAGCGAGUGAUUCAGAUACUCGAGGAUAUGCUUCGAUGCUGUGUUUUAGAGUCCGAUUGUCAAACUCUAAUUAGUCUAGAUUAUUUUAUUAUUAUUUUACCUAUUAAUUUAUCCUAUAAAUAAGCUCUUUUCCAACCUUGGAAAAUACACUCAUUAGAUAUUAGAAUUCAUAACACUUUUGGAGAAUUUUGUGUUUAUGUUCUAAAGGUUCUUUGUUUUCGGCGUUUUAGGGUUUAGUUUUAUCUCCAUAUUUUAUAUUUUUAUUUCUUUUUGCAUUAUAGUAAAAUUAUGUUACCCAUGGUUUUUUUAUUCUCUUUGGAGUGAUUUUUCCACGUUAAAUUUGUGUGUUCAAUUUCUCCAUUUCUUCCACUAUUUUUACUUGUUUGUUGCUUAAUCAUGUCGAUCCCCAAUAGUUAGUACAUUGAAGGCAAUGUACAUCUUCAGUGUAGGGAGGAUUUUAAUACUUAUGCGAUAUAACCCUUGAAUUAUUGUUUGUGUUUAAGUAAUUUUUUCGUACCUAAAAUUAAAGUAAUUUCUUUUAAUUUUGAGUUUUUGUUGAUUUUGUUUUGGGAUUUAUUUGUGGAUAUUUAUGUAUUGGUUGAUUUAUACUUUAAGACAUGAGAGAUUCAAGCAUGAUAAGUUGUUUUUCAGAAAUAAAUAUUUUAGGUUAUCUCCCUGAACUGAAUUAUUAUCUUGAAAUUUUGAAAUUAUAGGUUUGACACCAAAACCAUAAUUUUUUGUUUACUUUUGAGCCUAUAGAGCAUACAUUUUAUUUCAUACUCUUUUUUUAUAUAUAUAUGUCAACUUGAUUUUUUAUUCUAGAACUUGCUUCGGUUAUACAUGUCAAGACCACAUUAUUAAUUUGAUAUACUAAGAUGAUAGAGGCACUUAGGAUUUAACCCAUGUCACUUGUAAAAAGCUUACCUAUUGAAUUAACCCUAGUAAAUCCCAUUGAUCCUAACACAGUUUUUUAACCCGUUAAUAUUAACCCCUGACCCAUAUGUAUGUUGUAAAACUAUCCUUUUUAUUGACUCCCUUUUUUUGUUGAAAUUUGAUUUGGUUAGUUGCGUAAUUAUGUUUCAUUAUUUGAAUUGUAGAAUUAUAUUUUGUUCAAAAAAAUCAAAAUGAAAAAUAAAAAAUGAAAAAAAAUUGAUUGAGCUUGAAUAAUUAGUUUCAUAUUAUGUUGAUAAGCUCGUUUCCAUUCUUUGUUUCGUGUUGAUGUAAUUUAUCUUAAUUUAGCAACUAAUUUUAUUCUAGUUUGGUAACUUAUCAACCCGAUCUUGAUUAUAAUAGACUUUUCUGACCUUUUCUAUAUCCUUAACCUAAGCCCUGUUACAGCCUUUUAAUUUGAAUUAAACAAUUUUUUCACUUAGCAUCUUGAUCUGUAGAAAUCCCUAAACUAUGCUAAUAUCUCUCUUCAGGACUAAUCGCAACUGUCUCUAGGUUGAUUAAUUGAAAUUUCUUUCUAAUUAAAAUGCCAAUUAUCGCAUUAACUCGAUCUUUGGAUCCUCCUAUUAGAUUCGACUCUAAUCCAGUAGAUUUAUGUCGUCCUAUGUCUAGGAUUGCAUGCAACUCCACUCAAUUAUGCUAGAUCUACUCCUAAACAGAGUUUAUUCCUCCUCUGAUUUAAACAUAUCAAACAUGGAUUAAUAACAUAGAAAUAUUAAAACCAAGGAUUAAGCACACAUAAUUAAGAACAAGGUCUAAGUAUUUAUUGCGUAAAACAUAUAUCAAAAGAUAGAAUUCAUCAUAGGGUUCAUUUCCCCUAGGUAUUUGGAAAGUUAGUUCAUAAUCACAAAUAAAAACAUCCGAAAGAUAAUAUAACCACAAGAAACAAAUAAACUCAUAAUAAUUUUCAAAGAAAUCAAAAGAAGAUCUUCAAUCUUGAUGGAAAUCUUCUUCAAAGUCGACUUCAACGGUGUUUUCAAAAUUGUUUUCUUGAAUAUUCUCUGACGGCUUACUCCUCUCUUCUUACUACUAUAUAUAGGUCUUAUGAUGCCCAAAAAACCUAAAAAUUGCAUUUUUCUGCGUGUUUUGAGUGCAAUUUGUGAUUUUCACAUGGUCUGCGACAUGGCCAUGUGCCAGGCCUUGUGGUAGCCUAUGUGGCUCAUAUGACCGUGUGUCCAACCCGCAUGGCUCCUAAAACUUGCUCCAAUUUUCUGAUUUUCAGUCCUCUUGCUCUGAAAUGCUCAUCUAAGUAUAGAAACAUGAAGUUAAAAGAUUAGGAGCAUAAAAGUCACCAUUUUAUAUCAAAUAAUCAUCCAAACACGCCUUAAGAACGGGAUUCAAACAUGUUACUUUUAGCACUUAUCAUGAACACACAAAUUUAACAUGGAAAAACCCUCCAAAGAGGAUAAAAAAACCACGAGCAAAGAUAAUUUUACUAUAAUGGCAAAGGAGCGAAUAGUACAAAAGAUGGAAAUAAAAACUAAACUCCAAAACCCGAAAAUAAAGAACCCUCAAAAAAUAAACGCAAAAUUCUCCAGAAGUGUUAUGAGUUCUAAUCUUUAAUGGAUGUAUUUUCUAAGGUUGUAAAAUAGUCUAUUUAUAGGCUAAAUUAGUAGGCCAAAUAAUAAUAAAAUAAUCUAGACUAAUCAGAGUUGGACUGAAACAAAUAAAUAGAGUUUAACUGAGAGAUUAUCUCUCAAAAUUGACUAAAAUAUGAGGCAUACUCAACAAAGUCAAAACUAUGUUUGGUAGAGAAUAAGCAAUCGUUGACACGAUUAGAUUAAUAUUUGUUACGGUUGAUAAUAAAAGGAUUAAAUGAAAAAUUAUCUUCUUAAGUCUAUACUAUAUUGUUUCUAUAUUUUAAUUUGCAUGGAGUGAUAGUUGAAGUGUUUUUUUUUAAAUACCAAUUGGGUAUGGGUUUAAAUAGUGUUACUCCAUCCUAUAUCCUUGAUAUUGUAUUAAAAAAAUUAUAUUAUUUCUCUCUUUUAUGUAGUUAACUUUUUUUGUUCAAAAGUAGUAUCUAAAUUAUGAUCCUGUUAUAAUAAUCACACCAAUCGUUUGCUUCAUUAAAUUUAUAUAAUAGUCGAACCUUAAGUUGUAGUCUAUUGAUCGGGUAUUCACCUUAAACAAGAAUGGCUUGGGUUUGAAUCAUAAUUGUAGCAAAAAAAAAUAUUAUCCAAUCAUAUUGUGACACAUAACAUCUUUUUUAAAAUUAAAUUAAAAAUUUAAUUGUAUAUUUUAUAAUUAAAUUUAAAAGAUAAAGUUAAAUCUUUUACUUUCUAUUUAUUUUGUUUAUCUUUUUCUCCCUCUCCUUCCUUUUUGUUAUUUCUCAAUUAUUUUAGAUUUUCUCAACAACUAAACAUUUUUAUUCCUUUCUUAAAAUAGAGUCAUGGAUAAAAGAAUUUCUUAAAUCUAUUUAUUUAUUUUUGGUACAUAAAACCUAAAAAAAUAGGUUUAAGAGAUCAUUUAAAAAACAAUUCAAAAUAUCUAACUUAAAGUAAUAUUGUUAAACCUAAAUUAAUUUAAAACAUAAAUUAAGAAAAAAGAAAAAGAUUCCAUUAAAUAAAAAAAGAAGAUGGUGAUGAUAAUCAUGAAUAAGAUUAAAUCCUGGAGUGGAGAGGGAAAGAAUAGGAAGAAGAAGACAAAAAAGGAAUGAGUUUUUAGUUACCAUUUAUUACUGGAAUUAUGUGCACUAGCCAAUAAAAUUAGUGUCACAGCCCACACCUAACCCAAUUGUUGGAUCUAAAUGUGUGAUGUCACAUUUCAUUAUCGAAGCAAUUCAAACUAUCUUACUAGAUAAUCACAAGGUUCAAAAAAUAGAUGUCAUAUUAAACCUUUUAUUCAUCCAACAAUUUCAUAGACAUUUAUUCUUAAUGUCUAAGAACUUAAUUUAUCUAGUUAUGGAAUUACAAGGUCGAGUUAAGAGUUAGGAAUCAAAUCCAAACUCAAAUUCCAAAUUCUAACAUUAUGUCUCGAGGUAAGGAUCUCCACAUCUUGGACAGGCCAUAAUUAUUUGUACUAAUUUUCAUUUCAAAAAUUAACAUGUCACGAGACAUUCGAAUAUAUGUCUCGGAGCAAGGUCUUUUAUGUCUUUAGACUUAGUCUCGAGAUAGGCCUCAUUUAUUUCCUUAUUUCUACUUCAAUGUUUAGAUGUCUUGAGACAAGGGGUUCUUCUCUCGCGACUUGGAACAAAGCAUCUCUUAUUUAGGUUUGAUGUUUCCUUGUCCUGAGACAAAGGUCACUCUAUCUUGAGACGCACAUCUAAUUUUCUUGAGACUUAAAUGAGUAGUCUCGAGACCUAGGCUAUUUUCAACAAAUCAAAUAGUAUUAUUUCAUUCUUCAGGUCUUGAGACAUGAUCUUCUUGUCUCAAGACUUGAAGGUUAAAUGACCCGAAAUGCUCAAUUUCAAAAAUUCAAAACGUAUCAAUCACGUAUCUUAAAUAUACCUAAACUUUACCUCAAUCUCCAAUUCUUAAUUUGACACAAAUACAUACAAUCAAACACCACCAAAUUACAGAACUUCAUGUAUAUAUAUUCAUGCAACCUAUUACUACUUUCAAACUCAUAUUAACUAACAUAACUAGUUACUAAUUAAAUGAUGAGAUUCAACUUUAUAAACCAUUUAAACCAAGUUACCAAACAUGCCAAAAUGCAUACUCAAAUCCAUGUCUUAAAUGCCUUAGGUACAUGUCAUAUAACUCAAACUCGUAUACACAUACAAAAGAGGUAGUAAAUGGAUACCAAGUUGAGCCGUUAAGUUGGAUGCUUGACUAUUCAAAAUCUAAGUCUACUCAUGUCUGAGACUUGCACAUCAAAAAAAAAAACAUAACUACACGAGAAGUAUUGAAUACUUAGUGGUGCUAAUACAAUUCAAAUUUAAUAAGUUAAAUUAAACUAAAGCAAACAUGUAAAAUAAAGUAUCAACUAAUCUAUUUAAAAUACUAGACAUCCUUAAUUAAAACCUAAAGCCAAAGUCUGAAUUUAUUUGUUUCAAAAUAUUUCUCUUAAUUUCAUCUUUCAAUCAAAUUAAAAGAUAAAAGUACAUAUAUGUAUAUAUAUUUAUCCCAAAACAACAUACAAUGAUGUUGGCAAAUAUAAUAAUGGUUGAAUAAAUCAUAAACCAUAAACAAUCUCACAUAAGACUUCAAAUUUAAACCAAAAUAAUUUGAAUAAAGGUAAACCUCAUCUCAAGAUAUUGGGCACUCCAUCAAUAUUUUAUCUUUGGACAAAAUAUUAACUUGUAAGUGAUAUAUUGGUGUAAUAAUCAAACAUUGGCAAUAAGAACUUGUCGAACAAUAAAUCUUCCUUUGGGCCAAUUUAUUUCUCACAUGUAAAACUUAAUAAUUGUCACAUGUUUACUAUUAUAGUUGCACAUGUAAUAUUAUUAACCUUCAUUUGGGCCGAUCAAUAUUAACCUAACUUAAGUUACAUGCAAACAACCUUUUAUAUUUUAAACCAAAAUAAUUUAUGCAAAAAAAUCACUUUGGUAACUUAUUGCUUCAAUUAAUUUAAUUUAAAAUAUAUAUAAACAUACCAAUAUUCAAAUUUAAAAUUUACGCAAUAUUCAAAUGUCAAAACUAAAAUUUCUUAUUGCACUACAGUUUCCAGAGUAACCCAAAAUAAGGUUAUCUAAAUAGCACAAUAAAAAGAAUGAAAACCUUAAUCUUUGACUCAAUUUAAAAAAAAAACACCAUAUAUGUCAAAACCAAACAUAAAUAAUGUAGUGGUUCAAGGUCAAAUAACUAACAAGCACAUGUAUUCAUAAUUUUGGCAUUGACCAAAACACCAAAGCAAUUCACGCAUCUAUAUGUAUUCAUAAUCAAAUAGAAAAGCUUACUUUGAAUUUACGAUGUAAAUCCAAAGUUGUAUUUAUAAUUAAAUAGAAUACUUGAAAAAUAUUUUCAAGCCAAUAAAUCUCAAAAACAAAAUCAUAAUAGUUGGCAUAUACCACACUUCAUACAAUAAACCUUAUCAUCAUAAUUAAACCAAAUAUUUGGAACCAUAAAAUGCCAAAACCUAAUAUUAUAGAACCAAACUUAAAACCAAAUUAUUUAAAUAUGUAUAUAUUUGAGAUGAAUUUGCACCAAAGUACCCAUAAAAUUGAAUAUAUAACCUUAGCGGAAAAAAAGAUUAACAACUUCAACGAUAUCCAUCAAAACUUAAUUUCACCAAUUAAACUAUAAAAGAUAUCUUAUUGAAUAAUGAUUAUAAACACAUAUUCACACAAACUAUAAUCAUACAUUAAUCUUAAAAAUCAUUGAUAUGCAUCUAAUAUAUAUACACAAUUAUAAUAACAGAAAAAAUAAUACUGGCUUACAUUAAAUAUUUCAUGUAAACUCAAAUUCAUAUUCAUGACUAAAGACAUUAUCAUAAAACUUAUUUAUAUACACAAAUGCUUUAAAAAAAACCCAUAACCAUCAAAUAUAAAAAAUAAUCCCAAAUUGUAUAAAAGCUUUCAUAUGCACAACUGGAAACACAAAAAUUUACACAUUUUUACAUACCCUUUUUAACUUAAAAUCAUACAGUUUCCAUAAAAUUCUUGUCGAAAAAAUAAUAAAUUUUUAAAAAAUAAUUAAAGUGCACUUAAAAUAUGAACAUGUUUAAUUUUAGUUAAUUUUAUAAGUAAUUUUUAUGAAUUUUGGUUAUUUUCGACAGAUUUGCACAAAGGGCGAAAAAUGGCUCGGCAGACACUGCUAGAAGCACAAAAUCGAGAAGUAAUUUGAAAUAUCGAGGCGAACUAAAUUUUAGCCUAAGACGGUCCAAAAUUAUAUGUAUUAAUUCAUAAUAUAAUUAAUUUUAAUUUAUAUCCAGUUUAAUUUGGGUUAAUAAAUUAUUAUUAAUUAAUUAUGAAAAAGUGGUCCAGUUGAACUGAACCGAGUGAACCGAACCGACCAAGAAAUGGACAACCCAAAAACCGUCCCAAGAGCUGACCCAAAUAAGUUUAUUAGCUGAUUAUUUAAGCUUGCAAAGAGGCCCUUGAAGACUUGUUCAAGUUGCAUUCAAACCCAUCCACAAUUUGUGGUUUUAUAGAUUUGCCCCAAGCCUAAAUUAGCAAAGUUGAAACUAUCAACCUUGCAACAUGUGUGGCCGGCCAAGGGAGGGCUCUUUGGCUGAUAAUUUUAGCUAUUUUUAGUACCCCUUCUUGGCUAUAAAAGCCCCUUAGGCUGGUCAUUUUAAAAACUUACCUCAAGCAUUCACAUCUUUCCUCUCUUCUCUCCACUUUCCCUCUUCUUUCCAUUCCAAAAUUCCCUUGCUCUUUUUUCGAUUUAUCCUCUUAGAAAAUGGGCAUUCAUCAGCUAUUUGGAGCAGCAACUAAGUGUUCAUAGCAGCCUUGGUCGAAGAGGACAACAAAGAAGGAAGAACGGAGCAACUAUUUAAGGCACAGAAAAACACCGGAUUUGAUUCUUGUUCCCUAUCUCUUUAAUUUUUGUUGUUAUUAUGCUGAACAUAUAUAUGAAUAUUUAUGUUGUUGGAAUGGUUAAUUUAAUCAAUUUAGCUUGAAUUUAAUUUGUGUUAGGUUGAUUGCAUUUCAUUUGUUAAAAUUAUUAAAAUUGUGUUUAUGUUGUUAUAGGCCUCGGUAAGAUGCUUGAUUAAGUAAAAUCAUGACUAAGUUAUUCUUGCAUUACAAUUGUUAGGAAACUAAUGAAUUAAUUAUUUAAACGAAUUGAAAUUGUAAUUAAUGGACACAUUACUUAAUCAAUGCAUGUUUAAUCAUAUAAGGUAGCUGAGGGUUAGAUUAGCAACGCUAUCUGACAAUACAUUUGCCUUGCAUAACUUGCAAGAUUAUUGUGAUUAAAUUGUUUCAAGGUAAGGAUACUUUGUUACCUCACAUAGUCUUUUAUGUGCUUAUUAAAUCGAGUUAAUUGUUUGAAUUGACAUUGGGAUAUGUACAAGAGAUUAUUUUGAUUUGAUAAGUAUGUAUGUGCAAUAACAUAUUUUCCUAUUAAGAUUUGUUUAAUCGGUUGAAUUGACAUAGGGAUAUAGUCAAGAGAUGAAUGGAUUUUGGUAGGUGAGUAUGUUCAUAAGUUAGCAAAUUAACGAGUUGCUGUGAACUUAUUCGUAACAAUAUAAACAUGAGUUUAAUACUUCUGAGUUAAGUGCUUGGUUGAACUUAUUACCACCAAACUCAAUUUCAACAUGGCAAGAGUCAGUAGAAAAAUUCUUUAUGAAGUAUUUCCCGCCUAGUAAGAAUGCUAAGUUGAGGAACGAGCUCAAUGCUUUCCAAAAAAUGGAUGAUGAGUCAUUGUAUGAGGCAUAGGAAAGGUACAAAGAAUUAUUACGGAAGUGCCCUCAUCACGGAAUCCCACAUUGCAUAAAACUUGAGACAUUUUAUAAUGGUCUCAAUGCUCACACGAGGAUGGUAGUGGACGCUUCUGCUAAUGGUGCUCCCCUUUUUAAGUCUUAUAAGAUUGCCAGCAACAAUUAUCAAUGGUCAAUCAAUCGAGUAGCGUCAGGAAGACAAGUCACUAGAAUACAUGAAGUAGACGCUCUUACUCACUUGCAUCUCAAGUAUCAUCAAUAUCCUUAAUGUUAAAAAAUCUUACUACUAAUGGGUGUAAUAGUUCUGCAGCACAGCUACGGAAUCAAUUUGAAAAUGUAGCCUAUGUUUAUUAUGGGGAAGGACAUUUGUUUAAAGAAUGUCUAUCGAACUCAAAAUUUUUGUAUUACAUGGGUAACCAUAAUGAAAAUUGAGGAUGGCAAGGGCUACAAUCCAAUUUCUAUAACCCAUCAUGGUGAAAUCACCCAAAUUUUUCAUGGAGUAACCAAGGGGCAAGAACCAGUAACAAUUAUGUCCAACCUAGAUCGACCCAGCCACCUAAUUUUUCCCAACAUGGUGAAAAAUGAUGCCUCUUUAAGGAAUUUGGAGAAUCAAGUGGGCCAACUUGCAACUAAACUCAGAAAUCGACCACAAGGUGCUUUACCUAGUGAUACAGAGAAUCUGAGGAAUCCAGGGAAGGAGCAUUGUAAAGCAUUAACAUUGAGAAGUGGAAAGACUUUAGAGACCAAUAUUAAUGCUUCUUCUAAACUGGAAUUGGGCUCUAAAUUCUUUCCGAUUCUCAAUGUUAAGUUGAGAAACUAGAAUUUAAGUUGAGAAGGAGCCAGCUGAUGCUCAAGACUCAGAGGAAGUUCAACCGAGUGUUGAAAUUCCAAUUUCACCAGAAAUUGAAUCUGAAAAAUCUGACAAGGUAACUUCUGAACCAGCUAAUUCUAAUCAAAUAAUAACUCUGUUAAAUACAGAAUUGCCACAGAAAACAAAUCAACCAGUUCCAGUAAAGAAACCUCCACCACCCUACCCUUAAAGACUUCAGAAGCAGAAGUAGGAAAUUCAAUUUAAGAAGUUCCUAGACGUACUCAAGCAAUUUCAUAUCAACAUCCCGUUAGUUAAAGGACUUGAACAAAUGUCGAACUACGGCAAAUUCAUGAAGGAUAUCCUGUCUAAAAAACAAAGGCUUGGAGAAUUUGAUAGGUAGCCCUAACGAAGGAAUGCAGUGCAUAUCUUUAAGACAAACUACCCCUAAAAUUGAAGGAUCCUAGAUGUUUUACCAUACCUUGUAAUAUUGGAGCAACAUAUUGUGGUAAGGCACUAUGUGACCUGGGUGCGAGUAUCAACUUGAUGCCUAUGUCAAUAUUUAGGAAGCUGGGGAUAGGUGAAGUUAGACCUCCUACAGUUACACUUCAAUUAGUAGAUCGAUCUUUAGCACAUCCAGAAGGAAAAAUCAAGGAUGUAUUGGUACGUGUAGACAAAUUUAUCUUUCCUGCUGACUUUGUGAUUCUAGACUUUGAAGCAGACAAAGAGGUGCCAGUCAUCCUAGGAAGACCAUUCUUAGCAACUGGAAGGACCCUUAUUGAUGUGCAGAAGGGCGAGCUUACUAUGCGUGUUCAGGAUGAUUAGUUAACAUUUAACGUUUUUAAGUCCAUACGAUUUCCUAACACAAUUGAUGAUUGUUCUGCAGUGUCUGAUUUAGAGGAUUUAAUUGAGGAGAAGGAACUCAACUAUGUUGAGGACCCAUUGGAACAAAAUUUGACAUCAGAUCCUCCAAAUGAUGAAAAGAAGGAUGAAGACUUAGCUUGGUUAGAAGCUAAUCAACAGGGAUUUAAUCCACAAUCUCGCUUUGAAUCUUUGGAGUUAGAGAAAAGGGAUUAUGCCCAACCAAAAGCGUCAAUCGAGGAGCCACCUAAAUUAGAACUGAAGGUAUUUCCCUCACAUUUGAAAUAUGUUUAUUUAGGUAACUUUUCUAUUCUGUGAUUGUUUCAGCAGAAUUAACUACUGAGCAAGAAGAGAAAUUCAUCUUGGUGUUGAAACAAUUCAAGAAGGCUAUUGGAUAGACCAUAGUCGAUAUUUGCAGAAUUAGUCCAUCUGUAUACAUGCACAAGAUUAUCUUAGAAGAUGGCGAAAAAGGGACGAUAGAUGGAUAACGAAGACUGAACCCCAUCAUGAAGGAUGUAGUCAAGAAAGAAAUCAUCAAGUGGUUAGAUGCCCCAUCUUAGAUAGUUUAUGGGUAAGUCUGGUCAAGUGUGUGCCAAAAAAAAGGAGGUACCACAGUCAUUGAAAACGAGAAUAACAAGUUGACACUGACUAGAAUGGUUACAGGAUGAAGAAUUUGCAUCGAUUACCGGAAGUUGAAUAAGGCAACUAGGAAAGAUCACUUUCCUUUGCUGUUUUUGGACCAGAUGGUGGAUAGACUCAUAGGGCAAGACUACUACUAUUUUCUCGAUGGAUACUCAGGGUAUAAUCAGAUUACAGUAGCACUAGAAGAUCAGCACAAGACAGCAUUCACCUGUCCGUACGGUACAUUUGCAUUUAGGCGCAUGCCAUUUGGUUUAUGUAAUGCACCUGCUACAUUUCAAAUAUGUAUGAUGUCUAUUUUUACUAACAUGGUUGAGAAAUAUUUGGAAGUUUUUGUGGAUGAUUUUUCAGUAUUCGGAGAUACAUAUGAUGAUUGCCUAGCCAAUCUAGCUAAGGUACUAAGGCGAUGCGAAGAAACAAACCUUGUACUUAACUGGGAAAAGUGUCAUUUCAUGGUACGAGAAGGUAUUGUUCUAGGGCAUCGGAUAACAAGACAUGGAAUCGAGGUAGAUAAAGCAAAGGUAGAUGUUAUUGAGAAACUCCCACCUCUAAAAUCUAUAAAGGGUGUUAGGAGUUUUUUGGGCCACGCCGGUUUCCAUCGAAGAUUCAUCAAGGACUUUUCCAAAGUUGCUAAACCCUUAUGCAAAUUAUUGGAGAAGGACACGACGUUUAAAUUUGAUGAGGAGUGCUUAAGAGCUUUCAACAAUUUGAAGAGUCGGUUAGUCACCCAUAAUAGUCACACCAGACUGGGAUUUUCCAUUUGAAUUGAUGUGUGAUGCAAGUGACUUUGCAAUCGGAGCUGUCAAGGGUCAAAAAAGGAACAAAGUUUUUCAUCCCACCUACUAUGCGAGUCAGACUCUGACAAGAGCUCAACUGAAUUACACGGUAAUAGAAAAAGAGUUACUUCCUAUUGUGUUUGCUUUUGACAAGUUUCGAUCUUAUCUUGUAGGUACCAAAGUGACUGUUUAUACGAACCACUCGGCAAUUAAGUAUUCACUUGCCAAGAAAGAUGCUAAACCAAAACUGAUCUGAUGGGUACUUCUACUUCCAGAGUUCAAUCUAGAAAUUCAAGAUCGAAAGGGAGUGGAAAACCAAGUAGCAGACCACUUAUCCAGAUUGGAGCCGCAAGAAGGGAACUCUCCUCUUAUACCAAUUCGAGAGACGUUUCCAGAUGAACACAUACUGAAGGUAAAUCGUGUCCAUAAUACCCCUUGGUUUGCUGAUAUUGCUAACUUUUUAGCUUAUGGUUUGAUGCCGAUUGAUAAAACGUAUUUUCAAAAGAAAAUUUUUCUUCACAAUGUGAAGUACUAUUUCUGGGAAGAACCGUAUUUGUUUAAAAAGUGUGCAGAUCAAAUGAUCAGGAGAUGCGUGGUAGAAGAUGAAGUACAUAAGAUUUUAUACCAUUGUCACUCAGCUCCGAGUGGGGGACACUUUGGAGGUACACGUACUACAGCCAAGGUAUUGCAAGCUGGAUUAUUUUGGCCAACACUAUUCAAAGAUGCAUAUGCUUACGUAAAGAAUUGUGCUCGAUGUCAAAGGUUCAGAAAUGUCACCAACAGAAAUGAAAUGUCUCAAACAAACAUCAUUGAGGUAGAAUUAUUCAAUGUUUGGGGUAUUAACUUUCUCGGUCCUUUCCCUCCGUCUUUUGGUCACAAGUACAUAUUAAUAGCAGUAGACUAUGUGUCUAAGUGGGUUGAAGUAGAGGCAUAGGCAUAUCUGACAAAACGUUGCUAAGGUUGUAAUGAAGUUUUUACAGAAACAUGUGUUCACCAGGUUUAGAAACCCCAAGAGCCAUCAUCAGUGAUGAAGGGUCCCAUUUUGUGAACAAGUGGUUGAAAUGGUUAUUAGAUAAACAUGAAGUGAAACACAAGGUCGCUACAGCUCACCGUCCGUAGACGAAUGGGCAAGAUGAAAUGGCAAACAAUGAGAUCAAAGGCAUACUUAAGAAGGUAGUUUGCUCGAACUGACGAGAUUGGUCUAAAAGACUGGAUGAUGCUCUAUGGACUUACAGGACAGCAUAUAACACACCUUUAGGGAUGUCACCUUAUAGGUUAGUAUUUGGGAAAGCCUGCCAUCUACCAUUGGUGUAACGCCUCAAAAAUCCCUUAUAUAUUUAUUUUCAUAUGUUUGUGACACAAAUAUCUGACAGCUCUAGUGGUUAUGUGUUCUGGGAGUAUUUGGGAGGUCCCAAGUUCAAGCCUUAGCUUGGGAAAAUUUUGGUUUUUAAAUAAAUAAACCUCUAUCUCUAUUCAGUAGGCUUAUAAAUAAAUAUUAGUAAAAUAUGUCAGAAUGGGUCUGCUGGUCUUGUGGUUAAGUGGAGUGUAAUUGAGCAGGAGGUUUGGAGUUCGAGUCCUUGGGCAAACAUAAGAUUUAUUUUUACUGCUUAUCCCAUGAGGGUGUUGUAGUUUGACCAAAAUUCUGAAGAGUUUGAGUGGGGUUUGAAUUUGGUGGUUGAGGGGAUUGUGGUGGACGGUUGGGGAUUGAAAUUAGGGAUAGGAGGAUUUAAUUAAGGGAUUUAGGGGGUACUAGUGAUUGAGUAGAAUUCUGUGCUUCCCAACUUUUUACUUUUCAGAGAAAAAGAUGAGCAAACGUCCCCCCUCCUCUCCUAGCCGAAUAUUCUCCUUCUUUUCAUCCUUCCCCCUCAAUUUACCCUUACAGCCAACUGUUUUUCCUCCUCUAUUUUUUUUCUUCCUGGCUAUUAAUCUCUCUGCGAAUUGUGCCCUUGGCCUUUCUUUUCUCCUCUUUUUGUUUGUUGUCGACUAAUAUUGAAAAUUUUCUUCUCUCUCUACUUUCAUUUUUCUUGUAGUCCAUUUCUUUUUCAAAUCCUUGUUGUCGUAAUUUGUCAUCUCCGUUUUGCCUUUGCGCGUUGGUGGUAAGUUUUGUAACUGUGGUGUUAUAUGGUUUAUGGAUUUUUGGUGAUAGGUCAACUAUUUCAUUGAUGAAGGUUAAGGAGUAGAAUGAUUCUGUUAGCAUUGGAGUGGUGUUGUUCUGCUGUUACUCGUUUAGUAGGUAAGGUGAUUGUUUUGGUGAAUUAGGGGAAGCUUUUCUAUUCUUUUAAGCUUUGAAGCUGUGAAUUGUUGUCUUAUUGGGUCUUUCAGAUUUGUCAGCGAGUGGUGACCUAUCUCAUUUGGAUCUGUAGUUGGAGGUUGCUCGAUUUUGAAGGUAAGUAACGAAUGGAUUGAACGAAUCAUUGUCAAUAUUUUGGUUUCGAGUUAACUAGGAAUUAGGACUGAUUGUGGGGUUUGGUAGUUGACCAUAGGUGCUGGGGAUCUCGAAUGUGUUUUUACAUCACAAAAAAACCAAGUGUGUAAUCACAUCACUGAAAAUGCUAGUUUUUUGGGCUGACAUACAGGACACCUUGAGGGAUGUCACCCUAUAGUAUGGGACUACUCAUGUGGUAGGCCGUGUUAUCGACAAGGCUGGCCAUGUGCGAUUCAUGGGCCGAGCUGAAUUGGGCCGUGUGGGCCACACGGGUACGUGAGCCCCACACAAGCAUGUGAGAAUAUUGGGCCAGCCGUGAGAUCCACACGGCCAAGGCCAUUUUAAGCCGUGUGGGCCAUACGAGCAUGUGGGCCCACAUAGGCAUGCAACAUCGGCCGUAGGCCCAUUUUCACUGUUUGACUGCUAAGGUUGCACAGGUCGCCCGAGUCGACUGUGGAACUACUGUAGGGUCGAUAGGCUUACCUAGACCCCUAAUUGAUUGAAAUGACUGAUACGAUUAUGCAUGUUAUUAAACAUAAGAAUGUCCCACUGGUUUGAUACUGUAUGCCCUGAUUUUAUGCAUGAUAUUAUGUUUAAGAAUGUCAUAUUUGUAUAUUGCAUUGCAUUAGGGUAGGGUUAUAUUGUUCGGAGGAAGUGUACUGAAAAGCCUCAAGCCUAAAUUACUGACAGCUCAGCUACAAACUACUGCCUAGUGCCGCAUUUGGUGCUACUUGGAGUGUAGGGAUGGGUGGGUUGAUUAUAUCCCCGCAUGGAGUGUAGGGUUGGACGGAGUUGGAGUGUAGAGGCUGGCUGGGUAGGAUUUGAUAUUGCAUAUCUGUAACUGUACUGAGUAUUGAUACUGUAAUGGGCCAAGGCCUAAAUGUAUGACAGCUUAUGUAUUGUAAUAGGCUAAGGCCCUAACUGACACUAAAAUUGUUACCGAAUUGGGCUUAGGCCCAGACUAUGAUUGCAUACUGUUUACUUAUUUAUGCGGGGAUUCCACACUGAGUUUUCGUAAACUCACCCUUCUGAUUCAUCUGUUCAGGUAAUCCCCAGACUUAGGCAGAUCGGAGCGGCGGAGGAAUCAGCUGUGGCCACAUGACACCUUUUUACUAUUUCGUAUUUAAUUAGGUUUAUUUUUUAAAGCUUUAUUUGGGGUAUUUUUCUGUAAUAAUGGCCGCUAUGAGGUUUUCCUUAAAAUUUGGAUUUUAUACUGCAUUAUGUUUUAUAUUUGUUAGAGGUAGAUAAAACACGGGUUUUUAAAAGAAAUGCAUGUGUUUUAGCAAAAUACCCACAAGAACACAAAUUGUUUUAAAAAAUUUUCGCAACGUAUAACAUUUUGCAAAUUAACAACUGAAUAAAAAUCACUAAUUUAGGAUUAAUAAAAGAUAAUGACGAGAUCUAAACGAAAAUUUUUUAAACAAAGUUACGAUUUUUUAACACAAGUAUCGGUUUUCAAACACACUAUCAUAUGACAUCGCCAGAUUCGGCCAUAACGUCCAGACCGAGUUUGGGGUGUUACAUUUAGUGGUAUCAGAUUCAGGUUACAGUUGUAGAUUUGGGUUUUAAAUUUUAGUUUUUAAAGCAUUGAUUUUUGAAUGAUUUGAAACAUUUUUACUGAAUAUGUGGUACACAGAGUCUCCGACGCCGAUCUUGUAAGUUCUCUGAAGCCUUUAUGUGUUUUAAACUAAAAUUAACUUGAUACUGAAACUACUAUAGAUAGUACAAACUGAGACUACUAUAGGUAGAUUGUACGGAAAACACUCAAGUUAGUGUAUAAUAAUAUUAUAGUAAAACCGAUAGACACUGAUAGACACUGCAUUGGGCGAAAACAAAUCUUACACUUCUGAUACUACCUCUCAUAAGAUAUAUGUUAAUAAAUACUGAAAUUGUAAACUGAUGCAUAAAAAUUUUAAUAUGGAUUAAACGCAAAUAGACAAUGAGCACAAGAGGUACUCGCAGACGGGGUACUAGAGGCUCUGGUAGAGGCUGUAGAGGUGCUCGAGCUGGGUUUUCAUCAUCUGGCAAUCUGCCUAAUUUGGAAACUAGUGAGACACAGGCUUCACCUAUGACUGAAACUGGGUCUCAUAAUCAUGAAGCUGGGGACGACGCACUGUCCCAAGCCAUGUUAAGGACUUUAGAGAGGGUGGCUAGGCCCAAUACUGGAGCUAGAGGCCGUGGGUCGGUUACAGAACAAUUCCGAUCUAACAGAGCUGAGCUUUUUAGGGGUGUUGCUGGAGUUGCCCCUAAUGUGGUUGAGUACUAGAUAGAGGCCACAGAGAGGAUUAUAGACGAUUUGGAAUGCACUCCCGAGUAGAAAUUAAAGGGUGUUGUAUCGCUGCUACGAGAUUAUGCAUAUUAGUGGUGACUCACGGUUAAUGAGGGCACUCAGCCCGAUUGACUGACUUGGGAGUUCUUUCAGACCGCUUUCCAGGGAAAUAUGUGGGGGCCAGUUACAUGGAUUCCUGUAAGAGAGAGUUCUUGAAUUUGACUCAGGGGGAUAGAUCGGUGGCCGAGUAUGAGGUCAAAUUUCUGAGAUUAAGUCGCUAUACGUGAGGUAUGGUGGCGAAUGAGAACGAGUGAUGUGUUCACUUCGAGGAUGGCCUCAGGGAUAAUCUGAGGCUUCUGAUAGCUCCACAGAGGGUGAAAGACUUUACUGCAUUGGUUGAUAAGGCGAAGAUCACCGAGAAAGUAAAGUACACUGAGUGCCAAAAUCGUGACAGGGAGAGAGGUAGGAAUAAGAGGGAUUCAAAUCCCUCGAGUUCCAUUCAGAGGCCUAAGAAAAAUGUCAGAAUUGACGGGCCGAUCAGAAUUGGGGCUCCCAUUACUGCUACUGGAUAGCCGUUAUGUACUGACUGUGGUAGGCACCAUCAGGAUGAGUGUUGGAAAAGAACUGGGGCAUCUUUGAGGUACGGUUCUCUAGAGCACCGUAUUAGAGAGUGUCCACAGAAAUCCGAUCAGAUGCAAGCUUCGAGUAAUAAUACUGCAUAGCCACUAAAAGUAGUUCAUCAACUACCGAGAGGUCGGGGUCAGGCCAGAGGUGGUAAUAGUUUGGGCCAUGGUCAGAGAGCACCGGGCAAAUGUGUUGGACAUAUUGAAGUGAGGCAACUGGCUCUAGUUUAUGCUGCGCGUCACUGAGAGGAUGGUGAUGCUCCAGACGUCAUUACAGGUACGUUCUUUAUUUAUAAUGUACCUUAUAUUGCACUGAUAGAUAUAAGAUCCACUCACUCCUAGAUAGCUUGUACUCUGUCUGAGAACUUGGGUAUCCUGGUUGAGAGCACUACGAGUGAGGUCACUGUACUGAGUCCGCUGGGGCAGUCAAUAAGGGUUAAAAAACUAUUUAAAGAUGUUUCUGUAGAGGUUCAAGGAGCUAUCUUUUUAGCUGAUCUUAUAGAACUACCUUUUGAAGAAUUUGAUCUGAUACUGGGAAUGGACUGGUUGGUUAAACACUGGUGAGCUUAGAUUGUUCCACGAAAAGGGUUGUACUGAGAACUGCAGAAGAUAGCGAGGUAGUCAUAAUUGGGGAGCGCCAAAACUACUUAUCGAAUGUGAUUUUAGCAUUGAGGGCCGAAAAGUUAGUUUGUAAGGGAUAUGAGGCGUAUCUGGUUUGCAUUAGUGUUUCCAAUUCAGGGGUUUCUUCGGUUAAGGAUAUCAGGAUAGUUAAGGAAUUUUUAGAUAUUUUUCCUGAAGAGCUACCUGGGUUACCUCCAAAUCGUGAAGUAGAGUUUGGGAUUAAGCUCCUUCUUAGUACAGCUCCGGUGUCCACUGCCCCUUAUAGAAUGGCACCGAAAGAGCUUGUGGAGCUUAAAGCCCAGAUUCAAGAGUUACAGGAUCAUGGGUUAUUCCGUCCUAGUGUGUCUCCGUGAGAAGCACCAGUAUUGUUUGUGAAAAAGAAGGAUGGAUCCAUGCGUAUGUGUAUUGACUACCGUUAACUAAACAAGCUGGCCAUCAAGAAUAAAUACCCCCUACCGAGGAUAGAUGAUCUGUUUGACCAAUUCUGAGAGGCUUCAAUUUUCUUCAAGAUUGAUCUCCGAUCAGGGUAUCAUCAGUUGAGGGUUAAGAAGAUUGAUGUAUUCAAGACAACAUUUAGGACUCGGUACGGUCAUUACUAGUUCCUAGUGAUGCCACUUGGGCUGACAAAUACACCAGCAGCUUUUAUGGAUCUGAUGAACCGAGUGCUCUAGCCCUAUCUAGAUCAGUUUGUAGUGGUAUUUAUUGAUGAUAUACUAGUGUAUUCGAAAACUGAGGAUGAACACUAUGAACAGCUUAAAGUGGUUCUACAGAUUCUACGAGAGAAACAAUUGUAAGCCAAGUUUAGUAAAUGUGAGUUCUGGUUACAUGAAGUAACGUUUUUAGGACAUGUGGUUUCUGCUGAGUGGAUUAGAGUCAAUCCUCGAAAGAUUGUGGCUGUAUUGGAUUGGAAACAGCUUAAGAUUGUAUCUGAGAUCUGCAGUUUUCUAGGACUGGCAGGGUAUUAUCAACAAUUUGUGGAAGGGUUUUCUCUGAUUGCCGCACCCUUGACAAAGCUGCUACAUAAGGGUAUGUCAUUUAACUAGACUGAUUCUCAAUAAGAGAGCUUUGAGAAGCUCAAGACUGUACUGACGAAGGCCCCUAUUCUAAUACAGCUAGAGUAUGGAAAGGAGUUUACUAUGUACAGCGAUGCAUCACAUAUCAGUUUGGGAUGUGUAUUGAUGCAAGAGGGUAAGCUGGUAGCGUAUGCGUCUUGUCAGCUUAAGACUCAAGAGGUGAAUUAUCUAAUGCAUGACUUAGAGUUGGUCGCAGUAGUGAUCACAAGAGCCUCAAGUACCUCCUCACUCAGAAUGAGCUGAAUCUUAGGCAGUAUAGAUAGAUUAGCUGCUUAAGGACUACGACUGUACUAUUGAAUACCACCCUGGUAAGGGUAAUGUGGUGGCACUCUACGAGGCCUUAUAUGGUCGUAGGUGUCGCACACCUUCAUGUUGGACUGAGUUUGGCGAGCAACGUGUUCUGGGCCCUAAACUAGUUUCUGAUACUGAGGAUAAGGUUAGACUGAUUCAGGACCGACUGAAAGUGGCAUCUGAUAGGCAGAAGUCCUACGCCAACCUGAAGCAUCAAGAGAUUGAGUAUUCUAUAGGAGACUUCAUUUUUUUCACUGUGUCGCCAUGAAAGAAGGUAUUGAGGUUUGGUCGUAAGGGCAAGUUGAGCCCUAGGUUUAUUGGGUCUGAUCGCAUACUGAAACAUGUGGGACCGGUUACCUACCAGUUGGAGUUACCUCCAGAGUUAGGUCAAAUUCAUGACGUGUUCCACAUCUCUAUGUUGAGGCGCUACCGCUCUGAUUCCACGCAUAUUGUUCCUAUUGAGGAUAUCGAGGUUAGGCCAAAUCUAACCUUUGAGGAGGAGCCAGUUUAAAUUUUAGAGCGUGAUGUAAAGGUUCUAAGAAGAAAAUCUAUUCCACUAGUUAAGGUGCUUUGGCGUAAUCAUAGCUCUGAGGAGGCCACGUGGGAGCCUGAGGGUGUGAUGUGACCGUAAUAUCCUUAUAUGUUCUGAUCAGGUAAAAUUUUGAAGCCGAAAUUUUCUUUUAGGUGGGUAGAGUUGUAACGCCCUAAAAAUCCCUUAUAUAUUUAUUUUCGUAUGUUUGUAACACAAAUAUCUGUCAGCUCUAGUGGUUAUGUGUUCUGGGAGUGUUUGGGAGGUCCCAAAUUCAAGCCAUAGCUUGGGAAAAUUUUGGUUUUUAAAUGAAUAAACCUCUAUCUCUAGUCAGUAGGCUUAUAAAUAACUACUGGUAAAAUAUGUCAGAAUGGGCCUGCUAGUCUAGUGGUUAAAUGGAGUGUAAUUGAGCAGGAGGUUUUGAGUCCAGGUCCUUGCGCAAACAUAGGAUUUAUUUUUACUGCUUGUGCCAUGAGGGUGUUGUAGUUUGACCGAAAUUCUGAGGAGUUUGAGUGGGGUUUGAUUUGGUGGUUGAGGGGAUUGUGGUGGACGGUUGGGGAGUGAAAUGAGGGAUAGGGGAGUUAAUUAAGGGAACUAGGGGGUAGUGGUGAUUGAGUAGAAUUCUAUGCUUCCCAAAUUUUUACUUUUCAGAGAAAAGGUGAGCAAACGUCCCCCCUCCUCUCCUAGCUGAAUCUUCUGCCUGUUUUCAUCCUUCCCCUUCUUUUUUUCUUUGCCGAUUCUUUUCUAUCCCUUGCAGCCAACUGUUUUUCCUCUUCUUUUUUUUCUUCUUGGCUAUUAUUCUUUUUGCGAAUUAUGCCCUUGGCCUUUCUUUUCUCCUCUUUUUGUUUAUUGUCGACUACUACUGAAAAUUUUCUUCUCUCAUUGCUUUGGUUUUUCUAGUAGUCCAUUUCCUUCUCAAAUCCUUGUUGCCGCAAUUUGUCAUCUUCGUUUUGCCUUUGCGCGUUGGUGGUAAGUUUUGUAACUGUGGUGUUAUUUGGUUUAUGGAUUUUUUGUGAUAGGUCGACUAUUUCAUUGAUGAAGGUUAAGGACUAAAACAAUUCGGUUAGCAUUGGAGCGGUGUUGUUCUGCCGUUACUCAUUUAAUAGGUAAGGUGAUUGUGUUUGGUGAAUUAGAGGAAGCUUUUCUAGUCUUUUAAGCUUUGAAGAUGUGAAUUGUUGUCUUAUUAGGUCUUUCAGAUUUGUCAGCAGCAAAUUGUGAGAAUGGUGACCUAUCUCGUUUAAAUCUGUAGUUGGGGGUUGCUCGAUUUUGAAGGUAAGUAACGAAUGGAUUGAACGAAUCAUUGUCAAUAUUUUGAUUUUGAGUUAACUAGGAAUUAGGACUGAUUGUGGGGUUUGGUUGUUGACCAUAGGUGUUGGGCAUCUCGGAAGUUUUUUUACGUCACAAACAAAUCAGGUGUGUAAUCACAUCACUGAAAACGCUAGUCGGCAAAAAAGCCAACAAAUGGGACUGAUGACACCACACGAGCAUGGGACUGCUCGUGUGGUAGGCUGUGUGAUCGACAAGGGUGGCUAUAUGCGAUUCAUGGGCCGGGCCGAAUUGGGUCGUGUGGGUCACAAGGGCGUGUGGGCCCCACACAGGUGAACCACACGAACACGUGGGAAUAUUGGGCCAGGCCGUGAGAUCCACACGGCCAAGGCCAUUUUGGAUCGUGUGGGCUACACAGGCAUGUGGGUAAAAAUUGAGGUUCAAUUGUUAAUAUUGGUAAAAAUUUUCUAUCAAAUUUAGGUUUAUUACAAUAUUUUUCUUUGUUGCAUGACUAUCUAGUGAGUAUUUUGUUAUUUUAAAAUGUCAAACUAAUGGAUUUCACUGAAGAAUUUUAAUGGUGUUAAUAAUUGAACAUGAAUUUUAAAAUUUGAAAGAUAAAGAGAUUAAAUUUUUAAAAAUAUAUAUAAAAAUUUUAAAUUCUCAAAAAUACAAAAAGUACAAAGAGUACAAAUGUAUUUUAACCCUUUCGAAAAUGAGUAGAGGCUUAUGCUCUCUAGCUGGCUUGAGUUGAAUUCAAAAUGGGUCGAAGCAAAAUUCAUUCAUUUAUUGAUGGGUAAUUCAAACUAGUUUUACUCUAUCACUAUUCCUUUAUUUUUCUAUAUUUUGUAAUUUUAAUAUUUUCUUAUAUUAUUUUAAAAUGCAAAUAGUGCUUUUUUUUAAAAAAAUUUACACUAUAAAUAUAAAUCUAAGAUUAUUAUAUAUAGAAAAAUAACACAAAUCGGUUUAAAUAUUUAGGGGGUGUUAAUGACUUUUGGAAAACUUCUUUUGCAUUUUUUUAUUUGAGUUUGUUUUGAAAAAAAUAGUUUGGUAGAAAAUGAUUUAGUAGUUGACAAAAAUUAGCUCACGUUAAAAAUUAACUCGAAUUUAGUCAAAUACUAAUAUAUUAAUAAUAUUUUUAAUAUUUUUAAAAAUAUUUAACAUAUUUGAUCAUAAAUAUUGUAAUUUUCAGUAUCAUUAAAUAUAUAUAAUGUAACAAUUUAUUUUAAUAAUAAAUAAGGAAAUAUUAAUAACCAAUGAAACUUAUUAUUUUAAUAAAAUAUUAUUUAAUUUUAUAAUAUAUUAUUUUAGCAAUAGAUUCUAACAUUACUAAUUAUUCUAAAUUUUAGAUAACAUUCUAACAUUUUAUUGAAAAAUGUUUUAUAUUAAUAUUUUAAUAAUAAAUAUGUAGAUUAUAAUUUAUAAAUAUUUAGUAAUAAAUACUUUUAUAAUAUAAAAAUUUUGGAACUUUAAUUGUAUAAAAUAUUAAUAUGAAUAAUAUUUAAUAACUACUAUAACAUUUCUAGAUUUUAAAAUAUUUAUAUGUAAUGUAAAGGGCGUACAAGUUUAAAUUGUUCUCAUGUUUCCUAUUAGAAGCAAAAUAAGGAAUAUAAAUUUAAACUAAUAUAUUUCUAUGAUUAUAGAUUGCCUGAAUUUACUUUUCAUGGGAAUGCAAAAAAGGCUGGACACUCUAUUUUUAGGAAGAAAGAUGUUGAUGGUACAAAAAGUAGUAUACCAUUCAAAUCUUCUAGGUUUUAGCAUCAAAGUUGUAGUUAAUUUCCUUCGAAUUCUUUGUUUUUCGGUGUUAAAGAAGUUAACUAUUCUCUUAUAGAUGAUCCAGGAUUACGUCAACCAAUUUGGAAUAUUCAGUUAAUCAAUGAGAUGAAGUUCAACGAGCUUACCUAAAAGCAGGUCCAUAUCAAAUUCAUCUAUCUAGAAGUUUGAAAAGGUUAAUUAUAGGAAGAAAUGUGCAUUUCUUAAUCACAUUGGAGAUGAUCUUUGUUCACGACAUGAUAAUGCCAUGAAAUCUUGUGUGGAUUUGAUGAAGAAAUCUAGGCUGAUAAAGUAAUGCAUCAACAAAUUUUGAAUAAUAGGUUACAAGUUAAGACUUCUAUCGUGGUAAUUUUAUUAAGUUGAUUCAACUUUUAGCUUCUUAUAAUGGUGAUGUCACUACAGUAAAAUAGGUUUUUAGCAUUGAUAUUUAAGCUUUUUGCAGUGUUUAAAAAUGUCACAAAAUAUAUAGUGGCGCGUAGGAAAAGCAUUGCAAAAAAACACCACUAUAACCAAUGACGUGAAAAGUGAUGGCGUUUACAAGACCUUUUGUGGUGUUUUUCUUUACAAAUGUCGCAUCAUGUAAGGACUUUUUGUGGCAUUUCAUACACAAGCAUCACUGAAUAUAAGACCUUUAACGACAGCUUUCUUUCCAAACACCACCAAAACUAAUAUCUUUUUUGCGGUGUUUCCUCCAUAAUCGCUACAGAAUGUAAUUCCUUUAGUGGUGGCUUUUUUUCGAAACGCCACAAAAUGGAAGAUCUUUUGCGGCAUCUCCUCCACAAAUUCCCCUAAUUUGCCCAAUUUUGUUUUUUUUAAUUAUGAUGUUGAUUACAGUCUUUAAAAUGAUUUAACAUUAUAAUACAAACCAAAUGGAUAUAACUUCACAUUAUUAUAUAUAAUACUAUAUAAUUCAUAAAUUAGAAAAGAAAAUUAUAUACAAAGUCAAUUAAGUUCUAAUAUAGUUGUAACCUCUCCAAACUAACUUGACGUAAGACCCGAAUUCGAAAGACUACAUUAGCCACCGAAAUGACCUGGUAAGCUAUCAAAAUUUUUAAAAAUUGGUCAUAUUAAAACAUUUAUUUUUAGAAGAAAACUUAGUCUAUUUUCAGAAAAACCCAUGAGCUACCAGAGACUGGUUUAGUUUAACAUUUUUCCAGUAACGAUGAUCACCUUAAAAACUUAGCUAUUUCCCCUUUUAUUUAAAUUUUAAUUAUAUUUUUAGAACCGGAGAAGUCAUAUCUAACUCAGUCUUAAUUAAGCUAAAUCGAAAUUAUUUAAUGCACAACAACUUAAAUUUCCUCCUAAAAAAUUUUCCUGAUAACGUCUGCUAUGACCCAGGCAUCCAUUUUUUCUCUCAACUUUCAACUGAACAAGGCCAAAACUUUUCGGUAAAACACAACAUUCUCUUACCCUUUUCCGCAUCUUGUCUGUAUCAUCCUCUAGUUUCUGUAUAACGCCCUUCCUCUAUCAACAAUCCAAUGUCUUCCAGCAGCACUUAACCCUAGUUUUGGUUGCCUUCGUGAUAACUGCUAAAAGUAACAUGUUUUAUUCCCGUUCUUAAAGCGUUUUUGGAUGAUUAGUCGAUGGAAAAUGAUGGUUUUUAUGCUCAUAAUCUUUUAAAUUCAUGUUUCUAUACUUAGGAGAGCAUUUGAAAAGAAAAGUAGAGAAAAACGAGUGAAAAUAGGAAGAAUUGCACAAGUUACAAGGACCAUACAAACUACACUCAUGCUGCAGAGGUUGGGUACAUAAGCAUGUGCCAGGCCAUGUGGAUUUUGCAAUCUGGACUCCAAAACACGUGGAAAAUUCAAUUUUUAGGUUUUUUGGGUAUUCUAAGAUGUAUAAAUACCAAAUAUAAAAAGAAGGGAAAAAGUCGUCAUAGAAUAUUAAAGAAAACAACUGAGAAAACACCAUUGAAGCCAUCUUUGAAGCAGAUUUCCAUCAAGAUUGAAGACUUCUUUUUAAUCUCUUUGGAUUUUAUUAUGAGUUUUUCUAUGUCUUGUGGUUAUAUUGUCUUUAAAAUGUUCACAUUUGCUAUUAUGAACUCAUUUUCUAAAUACUUAUGGGAGAUGACCUAUGAUGAAUUCUGUCAUUUGAUUUUUGUUUUACGUAAUAAAUACUUAGAUCUUAUUCUCAAUUGUGUGCGCUUGAUUCUUGAUUUAAAAUUUUCAGGAUAUUAAUUCUUGUUUGAUGUGCUUAAAUCGGAGGAGGAAUAGACCCUGUUUAAGAGUAGAUCUAGCAUAGUUGAGUGGAGUUGCAUGCAAUCCUAGAAAUAGGACGACAUAAAUCUACCGGAUUAGAGUCAAAUCUAAUAGGGGGAUCCAUAGAUUGAGUUAAUGCGACAGUAGGGAUUUUAAUUAGAAAGAAAUUUCAAUUAAUCAACCUAGAGUCAAUUAUUUUUAUGCUUGAAUAGAGGUAUUAGCAUAAUUUAGGGAUUUCUAAAAAUCAAGAUGCUAAGUGAAUAAAUUGUUUAAUUCAGAUUGAUAAUGACAGAUGAAAUCUAGGUGGAUUCUUUCCUGGGUAUUGCCUCGCUUCUUAGUUGUUAUUCGCUUGCUUUCUUGCUUUGUUUUUUUGUCAUAUUCUUUAGUUUAUUAAUUUAGUUAAUUUUAAUUUUAAACAAUCACUCCAAUUUUUCGAUUAAAUAAUAGGAAGACAAUAAUUACUAGUACUUUUAGUCUUCGUGGGAACGAUAUCUGUACUCAUUGUAACUAUACUAUUAAUUGAUAGGUGCAAUUGCCUUAGUCAUAUUUUUAGUUAGUUUUGACUGCAUUAAGUUUUUGGCGCCGUUGCUAGGGACUGAAAUAUUAGGAAAACUUUAUUUCUAUUAAUUUGGCCAUUUUUAUUUUUUUUAAUUUUUUGAUUUUUGAUUUUAUUCCUUAUAUUCUAAUUUUUUUGGUUUUUUUUAAUUCUGACAGGUCUUUUUGGUUUAUAACUAGAGGAAACCCGUCAGAUCCAUUAACUUACGAUAGUGAGAUUGAAUAGACUGCUCACGGAAAUCAUAGAAAGGUUAGAGAAGAAAGGCAAAGUCAGCAGAAAAUAGUAAAUGAACAAGAGGAAAAGGAUAUUACUAUAGGGAUGGGUGCUAAUCAAAAUAACCUGCUACCUCCUGCGCAUCCUGCUCCUCGAACUAUGUAUGAUUAUGCUAAGCCUACUCUAAUUGGGGCUAAAUCGAGUAUUGUCAGACCGAUUGUUAAUGCAAACAAUUUUGAGAUCAAGUCAAACAUAAUUCAGAUGGUACAACAGUAUGUUCAGUUUGAUGGAUUGUAAGAUGAAGAUCCGAAUACUCAUUUGGCUAACUUUCUUGAGAUUUAUGACACAUUUAAUAUCAAUGGCACUACUGAUGACGCCAUACGUUUACGGUUGUUCCCAUUCUCGUUGAGGAGCAAGGCAAAAUAGUGGCUAAAUUUUUUGUCACGAGGUUCUAUCACUACUUGGGAUCAAAUGACUGAGAAAUUCAGUUGAAGUAUUUCCCAUCGGCUAAAACAACUAAGUUGAGGAAUAACAUCUCUUAUUUUGCUCAAAUUGAUAUGGAGACAUUAUAUGAUGCCCUCAUCAUGGAUUACCUUUAUGGUGGCAAGUUCAAACCUUCUACAAUGAUUUAAAUCCCUUUACUCAUCAAUUAAUUGAUGCAACAGCUAGUGGAACAUUGAAUAAUAAAACACCUGAGGCAGCUCAAGAGUUUAUUGAGGAAAUGACACUAAAUAACUAUCAGUGGCAAGUCAUGAGAAUGAAACCAAUUAAAGCAGUCGGUGUCUUUAAUAUGGAUGCAGUUGCUAUGUUGGCAAGUCAAGUGGAAGCACUGAAUAAAAAAUUUGAUGGUUUGAAUUUUUCUUCGCAGGUAAAUUUGGCGAUGCAAGGUAAUGCAAAUGAAGCUGGGAUAAUUAAUCUAGAAUAUUCACCCUUCAAGUCUAACACAGAGCAUGAGCAACUCAACUAACCCCUACAGCAAUUAUAAUGCAGAAUUGAGGAAUCAUCCAAACUUUUCAUGGGAUGGUCACGGAAAUCAAAGGUUACAACCCCCUCUGGGUUUUCAGCAGCCUUAUUAGCAAGAGAAAAAAAUCGAACCUUAAAGAGAUGCUUGCUAAAUUUAUUUCAGUUUCUGAAACUAGAUUUCAAAACAAUGAGACAGUCUUGAAAAAUUAGCAAACAUCAUUUUACGAGCUUGACAAUCAAAUUGGACAACUUGAAAAACUCAUUUCAAGAAGACCACAAGGUAGUUUACCUAGUAACACUAAAACUAACCCAAAAGAAGAAAUCCACACAAUCACUAUUCGAAGCAUGGAAGUGUUAGUCGAACCUGAACAAAAAUUGAAGCUAGGAACUACUGUGGGAAAAGAUGAGGUUGAGGAAAAUAAGAAUGAGCAUAAACCAGUGCUUAGAGAAUACAAACCUUGAAUUCCAUAUCCAGUAGCAUUGAAGAGAGACUAUAGAAAGGAAAAAUAUGGUAAAUUUCUUAAACUCUUAAAGAAAUUGCAUAUUAACUUACCUUUUGUUGAAGCCUUUUCAAAGAUGUCAAGGUAUUUAAAAUUCUUAAAGGAGCUGUUAAAAAAUAAGAGAAAGUUAGACGACUUGCUGAUUGUGGAGCUCAAUGUAGUUUGCUCGACCAUCCUCCAAAACAAACUACGUAACAAACUUAAAAAUCUAGGGAGUUUUAUUGUUCCUUAUCCUAUUCAUAGUUUAAAUGUUGAAAGAGCUUUGGCUGGUUUGGGGGUUAGCAUUAAUGUUAUGCCUUAUAAAUUGUUCAAACAACUUGGUCUUAGGGAACCAAAACCUACUAGGAUGAGUAUUUAGUUAGCUGACAGGUCAAUUAGAUAUCCUAGGGGUAUUAUUGAGGAUGUACUUGUAAAAGUUGAUAAAUUUAUGUUCUCUAUUGAUUUUGUUGUAUUGGACAUGGAUGAGGAUAUUGAGGUACCUGCGAUCUUAGGUAGACCCUUUUUAGCCACUGCUAGAAUUGUCAUUGAUAUGAGUACUGGUGAACUUGUGCUUCGUGUAGGUGAUAAUAAUAUUACUCUUCAAGUACAUAAUUUUGUUAGAGUUCCUAACGACCAAAAUGAUGUUAAUUAUUCUGUUAAUGUUAGUAACCAUGUGGCUCAACAUUCCUUGCAGGAAACCCCUUAUGAAAACGUGUUAGAGCCAUAUUAUAUUCAAAGUGAUAGAACUCGAGGGACAAAUGAAGAGUGAAUUGUGCAACUCGAUGAACUAGAUACAUGGCGAAAAAAGGCUGAUGAGAAACUGAGAAAACACAAGAAAGAAACAAAGCAAAGCCAUGAUGUGCAUGAGAAGAGAAUGAACCAUUUUAAAGUUGGGGACAAAGUGUUAUUAGACCAAUUGGAUCCACGAAUUGUUCCUUCGGAGUUUAAGGUAAGUGGAUCUGAUCUAUUUUUGGUAAAAAUCAUUUUUUCGUAAGGUACAAUUGAGGUAACACAUCCUAAUUAUGGCACAUUCAAGGUAAAUCAUCAUUGUCUCAAAUUUUAUUGUGAUGGUAAUGCUGAUAAUGAGAGAAAGGGGAGUCAGCCCUAAAAUCCACUGCAACCGUGAGCUUGAAAGGGAAGUCAAGCUUAGAUUCUAAAUAAGCGCUUCUUGGAAGGCAACCCAAAUGUUUUUAUUUCCUUUUAUUAUUUUACUUUCAUAAAAAAAUUGAAAAAAGAAUUUUGCAUGUACUUUUUUGUUUUAUUACUUCAUAAUAAAAUUUUAAAAAAAUCACACGGGCUGAUGGUGAGCCACACGGCCGUGUAAGCCACAUGGCCUAGCCACACAGGCGUGUGUUAGGCGUGUACAUACUGGAGUGAAUUUUUUUCAAUUUUAUCUUGAGUCAGUGAGUUAUAUGGGCUAAACACACGGUUAUGUGAGACAACGUCCUAUCACACGGGCGUGAGUGAGACUGUGUGUCCCACACACCUUGUACACGGGUAAGGGAGAAGCAAAGGGUGCACACACAUAGCCUGGCAGAUGGUCGUGUAUGACACAUAGCAUGGACACACGGGAAUGUCUCAGGUCAUGUAGCUACUAGGCGUGUUUUUAAUGUAUUUUGAAGCAACACAAUGGCUGGAAAGAACACACACGGGUAUAGGACACGGUCGUGUGGCACGUAUAGGCUUCACAUGACUGUGUCCCCAAUUUAACCCCAAAACCCUAAUUUUUUUAGCUUUUACUUCUUCCCCCUUUUCUUUUUCUUGCUCCAUUUCACUCACACACCUCAAGUGCCCCCUCAUUGUUAUUCCUUCAAUGGUUUGAACUACAACAUUAUUCGACUGUCCUUAUUCCCAUUCUUGUCAUCGGUCUGAACUAAAGCAACUCGCACCAGCUCCCUCUCCCCAUUUGAAAACGUAGCUCCACCAUGCGCAACCCCCUUUUUCCAUUAUUUCAUAGCUCUGCCCUCCCCCACCUCUGCACAUCUCGCGCACUUCGACGACUUUGAUUACUCCUUGACCAAACCGAGCCUGUUCGGAUUCCUUUUUCCUUUUUUUAUGCCUCCGUCUCUAAGCUUCCCUCCCCUAGAACGUUUUCUCCUCUGAUCUGUCCUCUCUUCCACACAACUCUACAAAUCACACCAGCACCACCUUUUUUACCAAUCAUUUGCACCACCACAUCGCGCCAACCAUCGCGCCUCUGCCGCCCAAAACCCUACCGUUUGGCCCAUUUUAUUAUUAUGGUUAUUGAUGGUUAUUAGUCUUAAUUAUUUUUGUUGAUUUUACGAUAUUUUCUUAUUAUUGUCUUAUUAUUGUUACUAGUAAUAUUAUAUUUAUUUUUGUUUUGAUUCUUACAUCUAUUGUUAUUCUGGUUGCAGUUAUUCUAUUAGAUUAGAUUUAUUUUAUUUUAUUAUUUUGUCACUAUGAAUUAGUUAGACUUUAGUUUGUGAUUCAGAUUUCAUUGUGAGAUUGUUUGCUCAUCGAGAUAUUAGCUUAUAUUCUAUUCUAUUUUGUUGAGAGAUUCGUAUUGAUUUAUGUUGUUUUAUUGCUUGUUGAUAUUGGGCUUUGAUAUUUUAUUGCAUGUACAUUAUGAUGAACACUUGUAAAGGUAAAUCUAAAGUUGUCGUAGACUCCAGGCUCAACCUCGUCUACAGGCCUCACCUCUGAUGCAUGUCAUCCAUGCCUUCGACUUCCACCAGGUCUGCACGAGGUCCUAUAUUAGCAUUUACAGCAGUGUCCCUUCGGUUUGGGUCAAUGUAUUUAUUGGACGGCCUUAGAGGAGAUACAACUGGCCGAUAGCGUGUGUGCACUGAUCGAGACAGCGCUUUAGGAUCAACUCUUUAUGAUUGUUGAGCCUACAUAUUUGGAGCUUACUUUAGAGUUUUUCUCUAUACUUCAUCUACAGUAUGCAAUGGCGAGUCACAGUGAGCCGUACACUAUUUCAUUUCGGUUGGGUGACACGAUCAGAUAUAUGAGCGUCCCAGACUUUAGCGCGACCCUUGAUAUAUAUAUCGAGGAAUUCAUGGACACCUCAGAUUUAUCUACUCUUCAUCGCCAUAUUCAUCAUCAACCACAUGACUAUUAGGCUGUUAUAGUAUUGACACCAGUACCGUAUAACCCGAGCAGGUCGAAGACUACUUCCUUACCUCUUGUGCUUCGAUACAUUCAUGCUCUCCUCGCACAUACACUAAAAGGACGUAGAGAGAGUACCGGGGUAGUAGGGACAACCGAUGUGUAUUUUCUAUAGUGUAUGGCGACACGACACUUUAUAGACGUUGUCUAUUUUGUCGCCUUAGCAUGCCGCCACCAGACAGAUUGUACUAGGCGGGGUUAUAUCUGCUUGGGCCCUUAUGUGACUUGUUCGGCAUGACAUUUUGGAUUGCUCGACACACCAGAGCAGAUAUCCUCCUUCACCUUGGUUGGCUAGGUGGUCGCGCAAGGAUUAUUUAUUAUAGGACAUAUGAGGAUGAUUUGAAACUAGGAGGGAUGAGGUCAUACUCAUUGCACCCUACUUCGUCACGACCCUCACGACGAGCCAGAUGACUUUCAUGAUGAUGAUACGCGUCGACACGAGUAGCCCCGUCGUCCUCCUUCUCUACCGAAGCAUACUACUUCCGGGCCCUAUGUCUCUUACGAUCAGUUUAAGCAGUUCGAGCAGCGAUAUUUAGAAUAGCUGAAGUGCUAUGCACAGCAGUAGAAUGAGAAUAUCGAUCUUUUUUUUACAAUUACACCAUGAGAAUUUUGCACAAUAAAGAGCCCACUUUGAUAGUAUUAAUGCUUAGUUGCAGGGGAUGCAGAUCUCUUAUUCCAAUGAUGCGUCGCACGACCCCACCGCCUCGCAUGAUGACGAUCACUGAUCUAUAGUCAUUUUAGUCGCUUUAUUCAUCUUUAUUUUUAGUUGUACUUUUAUUUUAUUUUUGGUUGUUUUAUUUUUAUUUGUGAGACUUAUUUCUUUGAUCUUGAACUAUGUUGCUAUUAUUGUUAUUAUUUUUAUGGUUGUUAUAUUCUAGUUGCCAACUCCCUUUUUAAUAAUGUUUGUUAUUCUUUUUAUUUUGCUCAGAAAGCACUUCCUUUAGACUCGCUACAUUUCUGAUUUUUCCAACUUAGACGAAAUCAUCCUAAUUUAAGGAAGUUUCAGUUCCCUUCCUCCUUAUAAUAUUAUGCUUAUUCUAUUUAUAGUUGUUUGUACAUUUAGGAUAAUGUACAUCUUAAGUGUGAAGAGGUUGAUUGUGCAUAUUUGUGAUAAAAUUCCUAAAUUAUUUGUUAUGUUUAAGUAAUUUUCUCACACCCCAUUAGAGUGAAUUUUUGCUAUUUGGAAUUUUUAUUGAUGUUGCUUUGGAUUAAUUUGUGAAUUUUUAUAUAUUGGUUGGUGUAUACAUUAAGACACGAGAGAGUCAAGCAUGACAAGCUGUUUUCAGAAUUAAAUAUGUUAGGUUGUCUCCUUGAAUUGGAUUAUUAUCUUGAAAUUUUGAAAUUGCAGGUUUGACUUCAAAACCUUUUUUUUUGUGAGCUUUUGAGCCUAUAGAGCAUACAUUUUUCAUGCUCAUUUCACUUUUGGUUAUGUGUAUGUCAAUUUGAUUUGUUAUUCUAGAACUUGCUAUGAUUAUGAAUGUUGAGACCACAUUGUUGAUUCGAUAUACUAAAAUGAUAGAGGCACUUAGGUUUAACCCAUUUUACCUUUAAAAAAUUGACCUGCUAAAUUAACCCCUAGUGAACUGUAAUAGCUUGAAUUUUCAGUGAUGUCGGAAUACUUAUUCGAGAUCACUAAAUCUGAAAAAUGAGUAGAAACUAUUAUUAAUUUAGUGAGUAUAAGUUAAAUGUGAAGUUAGGAAAAUUUUUGAAAUAGUGAAUAGUGUACUAGGAAUAAAUAUUAAAAUAAUUAGAAUCAAAAAAUGAGGUAUCGAAACCUCAAACUCAUAAAUCGAGCCAUAAAUAUUUUUAGAAACAUUUAUAGAGUGUCAAUGAGUUGGUAUUAGAGUUUCGUUAGAAAAUUUUAACGUUUGGAUAGUCAAUUAACUAAAAAGGACUAAAUUGAAAAUAGUGUAAAUUUGUUAAAUUGUGAUUAAAUAGCUUAAGUGACUAAUGAGGAGGGAUUUCAAAGGCAAUUAGACCCAAAUUAUAUUGGUUGGACGGUUGGGUACGAAAAAUCAGAAAGAAAGUAAGGAGAAACAAGGGCAAAAUUAGAAACUUGACAAAUUAAAUAUAUAAAACAAAGACAAAAGUGAAAAAUCUAGAGAUCUCUUCACAAUUUAUCAGAAAAAAUGCCAUAGGAGGUCUGAAACAACCUGGUUUUUCAUAUAUUUGACUCAUGUAAGUUUAAUUCUUGAUUAUUUCUUCUAAUUUUUGAGAUUUUGAUACUUUUACAAUUAGGUCCAACUAAUUAUUUUAUUAGUUUUUGAUUUCAUGUCUGAUUUUGAAAGUUACCAUUGAUAAGUGCUGGAUUUUUAUAAUGAAUAAACAUGGAAUUAAAGCUUUAAUUUUGUUAUAUGAUGAUUUUAUUAAGUAAUUUUGAUAGAAAUUGAUUUUAGGGACCUAAUUGUGAAAAAGUUGGGAAUUAAGGUUUGGUGUUGCGGUUUUGAAUAUGAAAGGCUAUGUAGUAGUCUAAAAUAGUUGGAAAAGGUGUUAAUUGAUAAAAAUUAGAUCAAUUGAGAGGUUAAUUGAGUAGGGACCAAAUUGUAAAAACUAUAAAGUUUAGGGUAAAAGUGUAAUUUCAAAAAUUAAAGGGCAUAAAUUGUGAAAUGAAUUAGAAUAGAAUUAGAUGCUGAUAAAUGAAUAAAUUUUCAUUUUAGAUCGAGAACCCGAAGCAAGUCGAGGAAAAGAAAAAGUAGUUGAUUAGUCCCUGAACUUUUACAAAUUCAGCAAAUCGACCCAGGUAAGUUCAUAUGGCUGAAAUUUAAUGAUUAAAUCUUAAUUUCAUGAAUUAUAUAAUGUAUGAUGAAAUAUAUAUUUAUUGUUGAAAUGAGAAUAAAAUAAAAAUGCGAAAAUUGAAUAAAUGAUCAAAUUGAGCGAUCGCCGGAUUUGAGUACUUUUGAUCAAGUGACAAAGUGAUAAGUGGUAACUUUAGCUACACUUAUCUGAUCAAGUGACAAAGUGAUAAGUGGUAGCUUUAGUUACACUUAUCUGAUCAAGUGACAAAGUGAAAAGUGGUAGCCUAGCUACACUUAUCUGAUCAGGGACAAGUGAUAAGUGAUCAUAUGUAAGACCAUAGUUAAACUAUGGCAAAGUGGAAGUGAAGUACUCAAUUUUCCGUAACCGUUCCUUAAUUUUGAUCAAGGAUGGUAAGUGACAAAUGGGUCCAAAGGAAUUAUGGUAAAAGAAUAAGUAGUAGUGAGUUUAUACCAAGGAACUCACCAAAGAUUGUGGUUGACAGGUAAAUUUAGUAAUAGUGUAUAAUGUAUAAGUGUAUAAAUGUUUGGUAAGGUUUAUGUUUUGUGCCUAUGAACUUACUAAGCUUUCUAUAAGCUUACUUGUGUGUGUUCAUUGUUUCAUGUAGAUUGACGUAUUUAUACAUUCGGAGGAUCGGAUCUACAUCAAGAAUCACACUAUCCAGAUUUACUCCGGUAGAUUUUAUUAAACAACUUUUUGGAUUUAUAUGGCAUGUAUAGGGAAUUGAAGUAAAAAGUAAUAGAAUGAAUGAUUAAGUAUGCAAAAUAAAUUUGAAUGUGAUGGUUGUGUUAGACAUUGAAAUAUACAUGUUUUUAGUUUGAAAUGGUUAAUUGGUUGAACUUCAUUAGUAUUCAAAUGAAGUAGUUGAAAUACUGGAAUUGGUUGUGAUUUGAAAUUUGCAGGGAAUGUUAGAUAAUUAUAAAGGGGUUAUAUUGAAUUUUUAAAAAAAAAUUGCAAUGAAACAGUUUUUGGACAGUAGCAUUGAUGUAACUUUGAAAAACCACCAAAAAUGGUGGAAAUUGAAUUAGAAGUUGAGUGAGAUAUGAAAUUAAAUCUGAAUGCAUCUACUUUCACAUGAAAGAAAUAGAGUAAGAAAAAGAGUUAUAUAUUUUUAGAUAUUUUAAUUUUAGUGAGAGAGGGUAAGAAUAGUUUCUGAGGUCCCCUGUUCUGACUUUAGAAAUUCAUUAAAAAUUGUACAGAAGGAAUUAUGAGUUAUAAUUUAUAUGUAUAGAUUCAUUUAAUGAGUAUAUUUUCAGUAGAAAUAAGUGGAAGCACCAUAUAAAGUCUGUGCAAAGAGAAAAUUUAAUUUUAGUGACAAGAGGUCAGAAAGUCAGUCACUGAAACAGGAGAGACUUUAACUAAUAAAAUGUAUUAAUUGGCUGAACCAAAAAUUCUGAAAAUUUUAUGGUAAAAAUAUAUAUGAGCCUAGUUUCAGGUAAAAUUUACGGAUCUAAAUUUUGAGUUCCGUAGCUUGAGUUUUAAUUAAUUUAGUGACUGCUGUGCAGGUGGACAGUAUUAUUAGGAACAGUGAAGUAACUUUUAAAAGUAAAUUUUUAUGCCUUGAACUUUUAAAUUAAGUCAAGUAACGCCUCAUGCUCUACUCCGGCAACGGUCUCGGGUAAGGAGUGUUACAUGAACCCCAUUGAUCCUAACACCAUUUUAUUGAUUAACUCGUAAUAUUAACCCAUGGCCCAUACGUUUGUUCUAUAUUUAUCCUUUUUAUUUACUAUAUUUUUGUCGAGAUUUGAUUUGGUUAGUUGCCUAACUAUGUUCCCUUAUUGAAGUUGCUAAAUUUUAUUUUGUUUCAAAAAAAUCAAAAAAAUGAAAAAAAAAUAUAUUUGUUUGAGCUAGAAUCGUUAGUUUCAAAUGCUAUUGAAAAGCUCAUGUUUGUUCUUUAUCAUUUGUGUUGAUGCACUUUUUUCAAUUCAGGAACUAAUUAUUUUUCUAGUUUGGUAACUUGUAAACUUGAUUUUGAUUUUAACCAACUUUUCUGAUGUUUUCCAUACCCUUAACCUAAGCCCCGUUACAACCUUUAAAAGACCUCUUGAUUGGUGUGUCACCUCAUUUUAUAGUGGUGGAGAUUUGAUUUUCAAGCAAGCUUAUGGUAAUGACAUUUCUUGUUCGACUAUUGAGUGCAUAUUGCUUGAACCUUAAACACUUUAAGUGCUUUGACUGAAUCUUCAGUGAGGAUGUCAAUGAUUGUUGAUAUUGAAUUUAAGGUAGUUGUUUAGAUAAGGGGAGACACCUACAUUUUUGUGCUUAAAAAAUUUAGCUUAGAUUGCCUAGAUCUUUAGUCUCUUUUGGUUGAAUUUCCAAUGCAUGAUUGUUUGCAAAUUAUUGUGGGACAUUAUUGAUGAAAAUGAAAAAUUGAGAAAGUUAAUUUGAAUGUGGGUUGAGGAUUUUUCUUGAGGAUAAGAAAAUGCUUAAGUGUGGGGAUAUUUGAUAAGUGCUAAAAGUAACAUGUUUUAAUCUCAUUCUUAAUGUGUUUUUGGAUGAUUAUUCAAUGGAAAAUGAUGAAUUUUAUGCUCUUAAUCUUUUAAAUUUAUGUUUCUAUACUUAGGAGAGCAUUUGGGAGCAAAAAGAGUGAAAAACGAGCAAAAAUUAGAAGAAUUGCACAAGGUACAGGGAACAAACGGGCAUGUGUUAGGUCGUGUCGAUUUCGCAAUAUGGACUCCAAAAAACACAGAAAACGUAAUUUUUAGGUUUUUCAGGCAUUCUAAGGCGUAUAAAUACCAAAUAUAGGAACAAGAAAAAAAUUCGUCAUAGAAUAUUGAAGAAAACAACUAAGAAAACACCAUUGAAUCCAUCUUUCAAGUAGAUUUCCAUCAAUAUUAAAGAUUUCUUUUUAAUCUCUUUGGAUUUUAUUAUGAGUUUUUUUUAUGUCUUCUGGUAAUACUAUCUUUAAGAUGUUUUUAUUUGCUAUUAUGAACUAAUUUUCUAAAUAUCUAUGGGAGAUGAACCCUAUGAUGAAUUUUGUCAUUUGAUUUCUGUUUUACGCAAUAAAUACUUAGAUCUUAUUAUUAAUUGUGUGUGCUUGAUUCUUAUUUAAUAUUUCCGGGAUAUUAAUUCUUGUUUGAUGUGCUUAAAUUGAAGGAGGAAUAGACCCUAUUUAAUAGUAGAUCUAGCAUAAUUGAGUGGAGUUGCAUGCAAUCCUAGAAAUAGGACAACAUAAAUCUACCGGAUUAAGUCAAAUCUAAUAGGUGGGAUCUAUAGAUCGAAUUAAUAUGACAAUAGGGGUUUUAAUUAGAAAGAAAUUUCAAUUAAUCAACCUAGAGUCAGUUGUUUUUAUGCUUGAAUAGAGGUAUUAGCAUAAUUUAGGGAUUUCUACGGAUCAAGAUACUAAGUAAAUAAAUUGUUUAAUUCAAAUUGAUAAUGAUAGAUGAAAUCUAAAAGGAUUCUUUCCUGAGUAUUGCCUCGCUUCUUGGUUUUUAUUCGCUUGCUUUCUUGCUUUGUUCUUUGUCUUAUUUUUAAGUUUAUUAAUUUAGUUAAUUUUAAUUUUAAACAAUCACUCUAAUUUGUCGGUUAAAUAAUAGGAAGACAGUAAUUACAAGUACUUUUAGUCCUUGUGGAAACGAUAUAUGUGUUCACCGUAACUAUAGUAUUAAUUGAUAGGUGCACUUGCCUUAGUCAUAUUUUUAUUUAGUUUCGAUUGCAUUACUUGGUUUUGGGUAUGAUUCUCAACUGAUGACUACAAAGUUGUAAGAUAUGUUACUUGGUAUAUUGAAGAUGGAACCCGCAUUAUGGCUGAUUAUGAACAUAUGCACCGAAUUGAGUUAUAUCUCUUAAAAGUAAUCCAUGGAAGAGAAUUUCAGCUCCUGAGUAUUGUCUGAAUUAUUCUCAUUUGCUUAAUAAUUACAUAAAUGGGUUCUAUUAUUGGCGAGCAAAAGGGUUUACUUCCAGUGACCGUAUUCUUUCCUUUGAUAUGGUUAACGAAAAGUUUUCGUCUCUGCCAUUGCCUCUAGUGCCAAAAUCUAGUCAGCUUUACUUUUUAUCACAAUAUCAUUUCCACCUUUUGGACAUUAGUGGAUUGAUUGGUGCUAUUGUUUACCCGAAGAAAGGAACCCACAAGUCUUUUGAUGUAUGGUUAUGAAUGGAUGAUGGACUAAAUAAUUCAGUAUUGGAUCUAUUUCCGGAGUUGAGAGGCCAUUGGGGUUUUUUUAAAAAUGGGGAACUGUUUCUUGAGACCUCGGAUAAUGAACUCUUGUUGUUUGACCCUUCCACAGGAGAGCUUAAAAAUCUUGGUAUCCAUCCUAAUAAAGGACCAGUUCAUAUUCUUACUUAUGUCGAGAGCUUGGUUCCAAUCAGUGAAAGAUCAGAGGAGGAGGAAGCUAUAAUACGUCUACCACCUGGAGAUACAACAAAUCGGUAUUAUGGAUAGGGAAGUGCAACAAAGGGGGUAUGGAUUCUUAGGGUUUGUUCUCUUGAUAGGUCUCCAAUAAUGCAUGCCAUUAUUGUUUGUAAAUCUGGAGAAAUGUGUUGGUUUAAUGAAUUUACAAGAUUGCGGCACAGAUAAUCAAUUAGUUCUUACUUGUACGAUUUGGCUUGUAGUUGUGUUAACCGAACAGAAUCGUUAUUGACACUACUCUUAAGGGAAUUUAAAGAGAUAAAAGGGUGGCUAUAAUUUAUCCUUGGAAGUGCCUUCUUCAAUUAUUUUCCUUUGUGGAAUGUUUGGGAUUCUUUCUUUGGUGUGCUUUCUUAUAAUGUUUGAUUUUGCAUGUGUACAAUUUCAGAAGAUGGAUUUCAUUCCUGAAGAAGAGAUGUGCACAAGUGUGGUUAACAAAUUAAUGCUCAUUGAAUUGAAGUGAUAGUCUUUGUGUUUGUAUAUUUUACUGCUCUCUGUGAACUUUCAGACUUGUUUGAGUUGAUUUUCAUUUUAAAAGUUAAAAAUUCGAUUCUUCUACUUUUUUUAAUUUAAAAAUGUUAGUUCAAUCAUUAUCGUUGUUAAUUAUUUAUAAAAAAAAGUAAUUAAAUAUAAUAUUAACCCAUUAAAUUACUUAAAAAUUAAAACACAAAAACAUCACAAUCUUACUCUAAGUCUUCAAAAGUGAUGAUAGCUUCUCUAUAAACCCUAAGAAAAUAACAAAAAUUGGUUAAAGAUAUUCUUCUUUGGUUUCCCAUUCGUAAGUAAUCAUUUUUGCCUCAUCAUAAGAAUUGAUUAAUUUUGCAUGUAAGAAAGGUUGACUUAACAUGAUAAUAUAUUUUUAAUGAGCCUCAUUUCUCUGUAUAUAUACCCAGAAAAAACCCACUCUAAAAGAUUAUCAAAUUAGGAGAAAGAGUCAUUGUCUCCACACAUUUUAAUCUUAAAAACUUCACGUGUCUCCACACUCCACGGUUCAUACAACAACAUAAAUAUAACUAAAACUAAAACAAUCAUAAAUAUUAAUUAAAAUUCUUAAAUAAUAUAUUAAAUAAAUUAUUUGAAGCUUAAUGAAAUCGUCUGAUUUUUAAUUUCACCUUGAUAAUUUAAAUUCAAUUAUUAUUAUUAUUAUUAUUAUUAUUAUUGAAAUUAAUAAAAAAAUAUCGAUUAAUAUUUUUGUUACAUUAUUUCAUCAAAGUUCUUAUUAAUUUGUAAUUCUCAUAAAUAAAUAUUUACAUUAAAUUAAAUAUUAAAUAUUUUUAUUUUUAAGCUUACAUAUUAAAUAUUAAAUUCUUCUUUGCCUCCCAAGUGAAUUUUACGUUGAUCCAUUUUUUUUAUUUUGAUUAAAAUUUUAUAAAAUAUAAAUUAAUUUUUUGGGUCUUAUUAUUUCAUUAAAGUUCUUAUUAAUGUAAUUUUUUCUAAUAAGUAGUUAUAUUAUUUUACAAUAUUAAGUAAUUAAAAAAUAAAUUCUUCUUUGUUUCUCAAGUGGAUUUUAAGCCGUUAAAUUUUCUAUUUAAUUAUUUUAAUUUUAAUUUUUAUUGAGGCUAAAUUAAAUUAAAAUUAUUAUUUAAUUAAAUAUAUAUUAAAUAAAUUGUUUGAAACUUAAUGAAAUCGUGCACAUAUUAUCUUCAUAACUAUGCUCGUUUUUUAUAAAGACAAGAAAAUCAAAAGAGUAUUAUCUUCUUGAAAAUAUUAGAUUGGUGAUUGGAAUGUUUGGUUUUCAUGUUGUAAUAGCUUUUGUGAUAAUUGUAUUGUUUAACUAAAACUACUAUUCUGUUGCUUUUAAAUAGAAUAGUUUGACUGAAGCAGCAAAAAAAAAAUUAUCUUCUCGAAAAAUUGAUAAAUUUAUUUUAACUUUUUUGUUAGGACAUUAUUAUGGGAUAUUAUCUUUUAAAAAUAUAUAAAUAUAUUAUAUAUUAUUUUAUAUCUUUUAGGCAUAUAUUUAGGAAUAUAUUAUAUAUCUUUCAUAUUCCUACAUGACUAUUGUUGUAUAAAUAUUAUGUAUACUCUUGAUGUCUAUCAAUAAAACUGAAAGGGAUUACUCUAUUCUUGUCAUGGUAUUUGAGCUUAGUGUUUAACACAAAUUCUUUUUCAUCGCUCACAAUGACUAGCGGCAGUUUUACUUCUCCACCACCACCAUCACUAAGGGGGCGACAUUUCCUAGUUUUACUGUUGAGUAAUGAUAGUCUUUUCUGAUGGUGUUCGGUAAUACACAAUCCACUACCAAUUUGAAUGUUAAAUCCAAGAAUAAUUGGAUUAUUGAUACAUAGUGUUCAAAUCAUGUUACGGAUGAUCUUAUGUGUUUGACAAAUGUUAGAGAAGUUGUAGCAUGUUCCAUAAGACUCCCUGAUGGCCAAACAGUGGUGGCUACCCAAGAAGGAAUGAUUAAAUUGACAAGAAAAAUUCACUUAAAACAUGUUCUUUACGUUCCUAAAUUAAACUGCAAUUUAAUUUCGAUUUCACAAUUGAAUGAUGAUAUGAAUUGUUUUGUCCAAUUUUCUACUAACAUAUUGAUAAAUGAUAAAAACUAAUAUAUUUUAAUCUCAUUCUUAAUGCAUUUUUGGAUGAUUAUUUAUGCAAAUUGGUGAAUUUGAUGCUCCUAAUCCCUUUAAUUGAUGUUAUUACACUUAGGCGAGCAUUUGGGAGCAAAAGGAGCGAAAAUAAGAGAAAAAGAGCAGAUUUUAGGAGCCACACAGGCUGGGCACACGCCCUUUCUUUUCUUUUGUUUUGUCUUCUUCCCCAACUAUCCCCAACCUAGCCGCCGCUUGCUUAAAUCAUUCCCCCAUUCCGGCCAUCGUCAUCAUCGCACGUCUGACCGUCGCACAUCUAUCCCCUUCCCUUUCCCUCGUGACUUCCCCUCUCUUUCCCCAUAGAAUCCCACGCCUUCUUCCCCCUUCUUUUUCUUCUUCUUCCUUCCCACUCUCCUCCUCUUUCCCCUAACCGUCCCUCAUAGCCCCCACCUACACACACCAACCUCACCCCAUUUCUCCUGUCAUCCACCACGCGCACCAUCCCCGCGACUAGUCCCUACCCGGCGCUCAUCUCUUCCCCUUUUCCCUUACCCCCUCCUCUUCUAAGAUGCACCACCAUGAGCCCCCCUUCCGCGCUAACCGCCGCCCGUCAACUUUGACCACUGUCUCACCAUUGGUCCUCCCUAUUUACCAUAUUUUUAUUCAUUUAUUUAUUAUUUAAUUAUUUUUUUAAUUUAUUUAUUAAUUUCCUUAUUUUUUUCUUCUACUUAUUUUAAUUUAUUUUUUUCCAUUUAGUAAUUUUAUAAUUAUUUUUUUAUUAUUAUUAUUUUGCAUGAUACUUUAGUUUUAUGUUCUUUUUCUUCUGUUAUUAUUAUUAAUAUUACUCUUUUUAUUUUUCUUAUGUUGAUAAUGUCUUUUUUUAUUCUUAUCCUUAUUUUUAUUGGUUGUUUCAUCUUGCUUCAUUUAUUUUCAUCAUCUUAUUAUUAUUAUUCUUUACUCUUAGUUUACUUAGUUUAGUUAUUUUUUAUUAUCAUUUGUCUUCUUUGAUUUUUAACUUAGUAUUAUUAUUAACCUUCCACUGAGUUUAUUCUUAUUAUUUUUUUUAAUUUUGUUUUUCUUUUGCGUAGUUUGCAUUCUUAGUAGAUUUAGUACCUAAUUUUUGCAUGCUUAGGUAUCAGUGCAUAUUGUUUUAGGAUUAGAUUUUCUAUUUAGGAAGAUUGCAUUUUGAUGAGAGAAUUUGCUAGUCCCGUAUUUUAAUUGCACAUUAAUUUGUCAGCCCCUUUGCUUGUUUAAUUGGUGCUAUUAAUGUUAUUGUUUUUUCUAAUAUUAGGUUAUUCUAUUUUCUUGCAAGGACAUAAUGAUGAACACAUGCAGUAAAUUUAAGGUCGCCGUCCCCGCUUCAAAAAAGCGGAAGACUCCUAGCGUGACCUCCUCUUCUGGAGCUUUCGCCAAUGCUCGCCAUACAUUCUUACGAUUACUACAAGGUUCCUAGGAGGACCUAUUUCAACAGCUCCAAAAAAGGUCAUUCGGCUUAGGCUGUUGCAUUGAUUGGGCUGCUUUGGAACGGGUCUAGUUAGUUGAUCGAGUCCAUGCCAUCAUUGCUAUAGCUCUAUGAGACAGGUUCUUUUCCAUUAUCGAGCCCACCUACUUGGAGCUGACUUUGGAGUUUUGUUCGACAUUUCUCCUACAACAGGUGAUGACAACCCAUGAUGAGCUGAGCACCAUUACUUUCCGACUCGGUGGUAUGGCACGACAUAUGAGUGUCCCAGAGUUCGGAGUUGCAUUGAGACUUUUCGCUGCAUAAUUCAUAAGUAUCGAAAGGUUCCUUCGAUUAUACCAGCACAUCCAAUACUUGCCAUCUCUUUGCUGGGUAGAUCUUACGGCAAGCAUAAUGCCUUAUGACCUGAGUCAGUCGAAGGUGACUUCACUACUUCCGGCUUUAAGAUAUAUUCAUGUCAUUUUGGCUCACACGUUGACCAGACAGAAGGAGAGCACCGAAGUCGUCGGUACCACCGAUGCUUAUAUUCUAUAGAGUAUGGCCACAGGGUGUAUUUUCGAUUUAGCCUACUUCAUCGCUCUCGUCUUUUGCCAUCAAACAGAGCGUAGUAGGAAGGGUCUUAUCUGUUUAGGCCUUUAUGUGACUCGACUCACACGUUACUUCAGUCUCCUCAACACACCUAAACAGUCCUCCUCACUUACACUAGUAGGACAGAUGUCCCCGUAGGGAUUAUCGAGCAUGAUUCAGUUGAGGAUGAUCGAGCGACUGCAUGGAGUGGAUCCUCCUCAAUAUCGAUUAUUUCAUUCUACUCUUCAGGAUGAACGUGAGAACUUUGUUGAUGGUGUCCCUGUCCACCACGAGUUUUCACCUUUGAGUCACUGCACUGCUUCUUUUGCUGCUACCUUAGAGGACCUUUCCAAGCAGUUCACUUGAUUCAAGCAGCACUGCUUUGGGCGAUUCGACAGUAUCGAUACGACGUUGCAAUAGAUUUGUUAGUACAUCCACAUAUCCUUUUCAGCAUCGACGACUCACAAUAUCGAUGCCUCUGACGAUGGGGAUCAUUGAGUUUAUUUCUUUUAUUUUUAUUUUUAUUUUUAUUUUUAUUUUUAUUUUUAUUUUUAUUUUUAUUUUUAUUUUUAUUUUUAUUUUUAUUUUUAGUUAAUUUAUUUUUAUGUUCCUAAACUUCUUUCAUUUAUUUUCUUUUGAACUAUAUUUUUAAUCUUUAGGUUGUUUCUAAUUGAGUUGUAACCUCUUAAUAUUCUUCACUAUUUGCAUUUAUUUUCUUAUUAGUUUGCAUUGAAUCAUGCACUUCACUUUCAAUUGCCUAUAAUUUCAGUUUUCACCAUUCUGGCAAUUUUAUCCAUAUUUAGGGCAGUUUCAAGUUUCUCCCUCUCUUAUGGUAUUCUGCUAAUUCUAUGUUUAUAUGUCUUUGUACAUUGAGGACAAUGUAGAUCUUAAGUGUGGGGAGGUUAUUUAUAUAAUUAUUAGAAAAUCCCUGAAUUUUUUAUGUUUAAGUAAUUUUCUCAUACGACUAUUAGAGUGAACUUUUGUCGAUUUGAAUUUUUUAUUGAUGUUGAUUUGGAUUAAUUUGUAGGUAUUUGUGCAUUGGUUGAUUUAAACUUUAAGACAUGAGAGAAUCAAGCAUGAUAAGUUAUUUUUCAAAUAUUAAAAUUUUUUAGGUUGUUUCCCUAAAUUGAGGUAUUAUCUUGAAGUUUUAAAUUUGCAAGUUUGACAUCAAAACCAUAAUUUUUUUUGUGAGAUUUUGAGCCUUUAGAGCAUACAUUUUUCAUGUUCAUUCUAUCAUGUUCAUUCUAUUAUUGAUUAUGAGUGUGUCAACUUGAUUUGUUAUUCUAGAACUUGCUUCGAUUAUGCAUGUCGAGACCACACCUUUGAUUUGAUAUAUUGAGAUGACAAAGACACUUAGGUUUUAACCCACUUAUCCCAUAAAAAGCCUACCUUUUUAAUUAACCCUUAGUGAAUCCUAUUGAACCUAACACACCUUUUCUUGAUUGACCCGUUAAUGUUAACCCAUAAUCCACUUUCUUCGUUGUGAUUCUUUCCUGUUUUAUUAACUCUCUUUUUGUUGAGAUUCGAUUUGUUUAGUUGUCUAACUAUGCUCUUUUGUUUGAUUUGCUGAAUUAUUUUUGAUUGUUCUAGAUAGAAAAGAAAAGAAAAGAAAAGAAUCAAAAAAAAUAUUUAUUUAUCGAUUAUUAUUUAGUUCUAUAUUGAUUGAGCUUGAACAGUUAAAUUCAUAUUUUGAGAAAAAGCUCAUUUUUAUUCUUGAAUAGUUAUUGAUUGAUGCAAUUGUUUUUAAUUUAACAUUUGUUUAUUUUUUUCUAAUUUGGUAAUUAUCAACUCAAUCUCGAUUAUAACCAACGUUUCUGGCCUUUUUUCACACCCUUAACCUAAGCCCCAUUACAACCUCUUAAAGACAUUUUCAUUAGUAUGUCAUAUCAUUUUAUAGUGGUGGAGAUUUGAUUUUUUUCAAGCAAGCUUAUUGUAAUGACAUUUCUUGUUCGAUUGUUGAGUGCUUAUUCUUAAACCUUAAACACUUUGAGUGAUUUGAAUUAAUCUUUAGUGAGGAAGUCAAUUCUUGUAGAUUUUGAAUUAAAGGUGAUUGCUUAGAUAAGGGAAGAUAUCUAUGCUUUCAUGCUUUAAAAAUCUUGAGUUGGAUUGUUUGAAUCUUUAGUGCCCUUUUAGUUGAAUUGUCAAUGCAUGAUUAUUUGCGAGUUAUUUUGAAACAUUAUUAAUGAGAAUUAUAAGUUGAGAAGGAUUAUUUUUAAUGUGAGUUAAGGAUUUUGCUUGAGGACAAGCAAAUACUUAAGUGUAGGGAUAUUUGAUAAGUGAUAAAACUAACAUAUUUUAAUCUCAUUCUUAAUGCAUUUUUGGAUUAUUAUUUAUGCAAAUUGGUGAAUUUGAUGCUCAUAAUCCCUAUAAUUCAUGUUCUAACAUGUAGGUGAGAAUUUGGGAGAAAAAGGAGUAAAAAUCAGAGAAAAAAGUAGAUUUUAGGAGCCACACGGGCUAGGCACACGCCCGUGUGAAACACGCAGGCUAGACACAUGCCCAUGUGCCAACCAGUUUCAAUUUCGCACCUUGCUUCCCAAACACUCGAAAAAACACAAUUUUUAGGUUUUCUGAGCAUUCUAAAGUCUAUAAAUACUAAGUAGAAGAAGAGAUAGUGGAGCCAUUAAAGAAGAUCGAAGAAAACACUCAAGGAACACCAUUGGAGCCACUUUUAAAGCAUAUUUCCCUCAAGAUCGAAGACCUCCUUUUAAUUUCUUCUAAAGUUUUUAUGAUUUUCUUUGUUUUUUGUGGUUUUUCUGACUUUGAGAUGUUUUAUUUCAAAAUUAUGAACUAAUUCCCUAGAUACCUUGGGAGGAUGAAACCUAUGACGAAUCCUAUUAUUUAAUUUCUGUUUUACGUGAUAAAUACUUGAUUCUUGUUCUCAAUUAUGUGUGCUUAUUUCCUGUUUUAAUAUUUUUGGAAUAUUAAUUCAUGUUUACUGUGCUUAAUUCAAUGGAGCAAAAGUCCCAAUUUAAGAGUAAAUCUAGCAUAAUUGAGUGGAGUUGCAUGCAAUCCUAGAAAUAGGACGACAUAAAUCUAUCGGAUUAGAGUCAAAUCUAAUGGGGGAAUCCAUAGAUCGAGUUAAUGCGACAAUGGGGGUUUUAAUUAGAACAAGAUUUUAAUUAAUCAACCUAGAGUCAGUUGCUUCUACUCUCGAAAGAUAUAUUAACAUAAUUUAGGGAUUUUUACGGAUCAAGACACCAAGUGCAUAAAUCGUUUAAAUCAUAUUAAUAAUAAAAUGAGUCUACGUGGAUUCUUUCCUGGGUAUUGUCUCUCUUAUUGGUUAAUAAGAAAACGGUGAUUACUAAUACUUUUAGUCCUCGUGGAUACAAUAUCUCUACUCACCGUAGCUAUACUAUUGUUCGAUAGGUGCACUUACCUUUGUUGUAAAUUUUAGUUAGUACAGAAAACACACAUCACAUAUAUACUAUUUAGGACCUUAAUUGGAGGGAGCUGAUUGGAGCGGGUAAGAGACAUGUUUAACUUUACUACUUUUGACAGGUAUCGACGAUCAAUGUGGUUUCAAUUGAAGCUUCAUUCUCUUUGGAACUUUGUCAUAGAAGAUUGGGUCACCCUUUUGGGAAAAUAGUGAAUUUACUUCCUAUGUUAGUAACUCUAGAGAUCAUUUGAAUAAAGCAUGUGAAAUUUUUCAUUGUGCUAAGUAAAUUAGAAAUAGAUUUCAAAUAGUGAACAGAAAGUCACUCAUAUUUUUAAGUUAGUUCAUUGUGAUUUAUGGGAUUUUCAUGGCACUCAUUCAUCUUUGAUCUCAUUAUUAUUUUUACAUUGAUUGAUGACUUCUUCUGUGUUAUUUGGGUAUAUCUAUUGGUUAAUAAGAAGGAGAUUUUCAAGAUUUUCAUGUCAUUUAUUGCUAUGAUUGAUCAUCAAAUUUCUCAACAGAUAAAGUUUGUUGGAAGUGAUAAUGAGACAGAAUUUAAUUUUCUCUAGGAUUAUUUUCUUACAAAUGACAUUAUUUUUCAAACAUCUUGUGUUGGUACUCCUCAUCAAAAUGGGAGAGUGGAGAAGAAACAUCAGCAUAUUUUAAAUGUGGUUCAUGCUUUACAUUUCAAGGAAAUAUGUCUAUAUUUUUUUGGGGUAAGUGUGUUUUGGAAACUUCUCAUCUUAUCAAUUGAACUCCUUCACUUGUUCUUCAUGGUAAAACACCUUAUAAAAUGUUGUUUGGUAGACCUCAUUUUGCUUGAUGAUCUUCAUGUGUUUGGUUGCUUAUAUUUUUUCUCAUAGUCAACGUUUGGAGUCAAAAGCAUAUUUUUGUUGAGUAUCUUUUUGUCAAAAAGGGUUGUCAAAAAGUAUAGAAGAAAGUGGGUUUUUCAAUUGAUGAUUAACCUAAUUCAAAUUGAAGAGAGGGAGUUUUGAAGAUACACACUUUCCAGUUUAGUUUUACUAUCUUUUAUGUGGUGUCACUUCUACAUAAAAAUAGUUUUUUGGAGUGUUCAAGACUUGGAGGUUCCAUUAAGAGUGCAUAUUCAUAUUCACAUUCAUUUUAUCCAAGAAACCAAGUUAUAGUCUGAUUAUGGUUUUUUGGGGCUCUAUCUACUUCCAUUGGUUGCUCAAUGGUUUUUCUAUGAUUUAAUUGAUGAUUGGUUUCAAUAGGUUGAACAAAUUUGUAAUCAGUUUUCUAAAGAGAUUAUCAUAAUUUGGGUGAUGUCUUAGUUUCAAGGAGUAUUCAUGAGUUAUGGAUUUGUUAUUUGUGAGUAUGGUGAUUAGAAGUGACUUUUUAUUGUUUUAGUGGUGCUUGGUUAGUUUUUGAAUUUGUUGAAGGGAUUUUCAUUUUUUGUCAAUAUGGGAUGAUGUCCUAAUUUCAAGGAGUUUUCAUAAAUUAUGGAUGGUUUCAUUAUACUUGAUAUGAGAGGUUGUUUAAAUCAUAUUUUAACUUUUUGUCAUGGUUGUAUUUUCUGUUUAUCAAAAACCAUGUUUAAUACUAUCAAGUUAGUGAUAUCGAUCGAUUGGGUCUUAACUCGAUUGGUAUGAGCAUUGUUCUAAUGCAGAAGGAUGUGUGUUUAAAUUCAGUGAAGCGUGUUAUCCUCCUAUUUAUGGGUUGGGUUGGGGAGUGGCUAUGAAUAAUUCUAAAUGUUGUGUUAUAAAGAGCAGAUAUAAUCAAAACAUAUAAUUGAAUUGUUAAAAAAAGGUUUAGUGGUCAUCAAAUUAAGUGUUAUUUUUGUAUUUUUCAACUAUUGUUUAAUAAUAUUUUUGAUGAAUUUUGAUUUAGUUAUUUGCUCUUCGAGGAUUACUAUGUAAUUUAUGGUAUCCUCUUUUUAUAUCCCUAUUCUUGAAGUCCUUUUUAUUCAUAUUUUUUUAGUUUAGUAAAAAAUAAAAGACAAGCCCUGCAUAGUUGGGUUACAUUCCUAGUACAUUAGAUGACCAGUAAUUUGAGAUUUUUAAUUGGUUAAAAUAUGAUGUUAGUUCUUGAAUUUUUUUCAAAAUUUGUAAUUUAAUCCAUGUACUAAAAAAAUUAAAAAUUAAGUCCUCAUAUUUAUUUAUUUAAAAAUCUCAGUCCAAUCAUUAAAAUCUUAAGCAUUUUCUGUCAAAAUUUGUCAACUUAGAAUUUUGAUUAGGCUGUCUUUAUAUGACAUGGCAUAUGAUUGAUUUUAAAUAAACAUGUUAAAUUGAUAGUGUCGAAACCAUUUUUUGAAAAAAACAAAAAUUUUAGGUUGUCGACUUUAAAAAAUGAAAAUUGGGAGUCGCCACCAAUCUUUUAUUAAGGUGUGAUUGGGUCACCUAAAAAUGACUUUGGUCUACAAAUUUUAGAAAAACGGGUCCGGGAGUCGGUUACGUAUGAGGAAGGAUUAGCACCCUCAUUACGCCCAAAAAUUGGUACCUAGUUAAUUAAUUAAUGUCUUAAUGUCGAAAAUUUGAAAAUUGUAAUCCUUAGCAAAAACUUAAAACGUUACGUAUUAAGACCCUUAUCAUUUCAGAGAAAUAAAAUACCACACCCAAUACGUUAGGCAAGACAUUCUAAUUUUCCCCAAAAAUGAAUUAGGGCAAAAUACUAGUGCAAUAAAAAAUGUAAAAGAAUAUCCAUUUAUUCAAGAUUUAAGAAAUCGCGGCCCAAUACGUUAGGGCACAAUUCCUCUAAGAUCCCAAACUCGGAAUAUUCAUUUUUUAUUUUUUUUAAAAAUANNNNNNNNNNNNNNNNNNNNNNNNNNNNNNNNNNNNNNNNNNNNNNNNNNNNNNNNNNNNNNNNNNNNNNNNNNNNNNNNNNNNNNNNNNNNNNNNNNNNAAAUCCUCGAUUGUUAGAUUUUCAAAAAAAUCGGAACCCAAUACGUUAGGGCUCAAUUUCCUUGAGAAAUCCUAAAUACGAGUAUUACCUCUAUUUUGAAGCGUUUUAUUUUAAAAUUAAAUAAGAGAUAGGGUAAUGUUAUGUUGAAUAUGUGAAUGAAUGCCCUUUAAACAAAUAUCAAUAAUAAAUACAACAAUUUCAUAGAAAUAAUAUGAAUAAACAAAUAAAUAAACAAAAUAAUGACGUGCAAAAUAUCAAAUAAAUAGGCAAGAUAAUAAUAAAAAUAUGCAAACAUAAAUUAAUAAGCGAAUAAAAAAAUAUACCUGUACACAUAAAAAAUACAUAAGUUUUAAACAAUUAAUAUAAUAUUAAAAUUAAUUAAAUAAAUUAAACAUGUGUAUAUAAAAUAUAAGUAUGCGAAAAAAAAAACAUAAAUACAUGCUUAAAUAUACAUAUAAAAAUAAUAAUAAUAAUAAUAAUUGCAUAUGAGAAUUAUAAAAUAAAAAUUAAAAGAAUACAAUUGCAUUAUCAAAAAUAUUGAUUUUUAAAGAAAAUAUGAAAAUGGAGUAAAUUGGAUCGCCAGUAAAGAUCCGGGGUAAAUUCGCAAAUAAAUAAAGUCUGGAGGACUUAAUUGAACACUCGAAUUACAUAGAGGGGCUGGAAGGGUAAUUUUCCCUUCUCCUCUAAACGACGCCGUUCAAAUUAGACCAAAUUGAAAUAAAAAUAAAUAAAAGGGUAAAUUAAAAAAACUUAAUUGCAAAAACAUUAAAAGGCGGAGGGGCUAAAUAAAAUAAAUAAAAUUCGCAGUGGUAUCACCUUUUCCCAUUUUUUAAAAUCGUAAAUAAGUAAAAAAUAAUCAAAAGAGAAAAAAUAGUAAGCCACCUAUAAAAAACUGCCAAUCGUUCUCUUUUUUUAUUCCUCCUCUUUUUUUUUUCAAUUUACAAUGAAGGGAGAGGCCUCUAUUUAUAGUUGAGCCUCCCCAAAUCCAACGGUACAGAUCAAUUACAUCAACGGCUGAGAUUAAAGGGUAUCUACAAAUUAAAUGUCUAAGAUUACAAAAUCAUAUCUUCUAAGAUUGCAUAUCAUAUCUAAGAUUAUAUAUCAUAUCUAAGAUUGCAUAUCAUAUCUAAGAUUAUAUAUUAUAUCUAAGAUUGCAUAUCAUAUCUAAGAUUGCAUAUCCCUGAAGAUUAUGUUUCCAUAAGCUUGUAGAUGGACCUUCAACCUUUUCAAGUAAUGGACAAUACCGAUCGGGCCAAAUGAUAUUAUUUUGGGUUUUUUUUUUUGUGAGCCCGGGCUAAAAUUGGGUAUUACAGAUAGAUUUUGACAGAAAAUACAAUAGCGAUAAUGAAUAGACUAAGAUUCUUAAAUUAAAAAAGUAGGAAGAUUGAAUUUUUAACUUUUAAAAUAGAAGUGUAAAAUCUCAAAUUAUAUAAAUAAAGGACUAACAACAUAUUUUAACCUUUUUAAUUUACUCUGAAUUUAAUAUAUGCAUUUUUAUACAGAUAUGGCCAUUAUUGUGCUAAUCUUACCCAGGAUAAGCUCUUGGGUUUUGAGAAUUACCAGAGGGCUCGGCCAUGCCGGGCCAUCAUUGUAGUCCAACAACAUUGACUGUAGUUCAACUUUAAGUUAAAUUUAGUUAUUAGUCCUUAUACUUUACAAAUGUUGUGGAUUUAGUCACUAUAAUUUAAUUUGGUCAUUUUUAACCCUUUUACUUUUCAAAUUUAAAAAUUUCAGUCCUCAUCAAAUGAUAACUGUUAAAUUUAUUAAGUUAUGUUAUUUCCAAAAUAUGAUGUGACAAACAUAUUAUCUUAUGCAUAAUGCUAUGUCAAAUAGUUAUUUCCAUAUAUUAUUCACUAAAAAUAUAAUUAAUGAAUGUAUUUUGCGUAAAGAUUGAAAUUUCAAAUUUUAAAAAGUAUAGAGACUUAAAAUUAUCAAAUUUGAGAAUAUGGACUAAAUAUAUAAAUGUAUACAUAGUACAUGACUAGCAAUUGAAUUUAACCAAACGAAUUUAAUUGCUACUGUUUGGGUUAGAACUAAAAUUUUAAAAUUCGAAAAGUAAAAAAAUUAAAAUUGAUCAAUUCAAAAGAUAUAGAAACUAAAAUUGAUUAAAUUAAAGUUUAAUAACUGAAACCAUAACUUUCACAAAGUACAAAGACUAUAAUAACAAAAUUUAACCUCCACUUUCUUUCACAUCUUCAACAUUGUUUUGUUAUUGCUAUAUACCAACUAAGAAAAACGUGUAAUGCUACUUUUUAUUAGAGGUGCGCAUGAAUUUAUAUUAACAUAUUUUAUAUUUCUUGAAGUCCGAUCCAACUUGAAAUUUGGGCUUAAAGUUUUAUCCAAAUCUGUCUAUAUUUACAAAAGAUUAACCGAAACUCAUUUUAGGCCAGUUUAUAUUACUUUUUAAAUUUUUUUAAAAAAAUAUUUAUAUUAUAUUAUUUUAAUAUUUAAUAAUCUUAUGCAUUUUUUAUAUAUUGAAAUUUUUUAUAUAGUCAUCUUAACAUUAUUUUAAUAUUUAUAUUAGAGUAGUAUUAUAUAUUUAGUAUAAAUUUUUUUCUGUAUUUUAAAUUACAUAAUAUAUAAAAAUAACAUAAUAUAAAGUAUUAUAAACUUAAAAAAAAUUAGGCCGGGCCAAACUUGAACAUUCAAAUUUGAACCCAACUCAUAUUUUAAAAGAAGUUAAAUUUUUUGUUUAAAUUCUCCCAAAUUUUGAAUUUGUUAUAAUUUUGUCUUUUCCUUCUGUUUUUUGUUUUUUAUUUUUUAUUUUUUAUUUUUUCUAUUUUAGUUCCCAUUGUCUUCCCCCAAGAGAAAUCAUUCAUCAAAAUAUAGAGGAAAUAGAUAAGAUAGAGAGGGAAGAUGCCCGAAACUAGAGUUGAGGUACCAGAAAUGGUGAUGUUGGAGAUUCUGUCAAAGCUUCCAGUUAAAUCCUUGACACGUUUCAGGUGCGUAUGUAAGCCUUGGUGUUCAUCUUUUCAAACCCCUCAUUUCAUUACCAAACAUCAUCGAAACAACCUCCACAACAACAACCUUAAUCUCCUCCUCAAACGUUGUCAGGGUAACACCCGUGAUGACAUCUACUAUUUCUCUCAACUUUCAAUUGAGAAAGGCCAAAACUUUUCGGCACAACACAACAUCCACUUACCCUUUUUCGAGGAUUGUUGGUAUGCUCCUGUGGUUUCAGGUCCUUGUAAUGGAUUAUUGUGUUUACAUGAUGCUGAUAAGGUUGCCCUUUGGAACCCAUCAACUAGAGAGUUUAAAUCCCUCCCUCAAUCCACAGUCCAACGCCCUCCUUCAGUAGAUUCCACUAGUUUUGAUUGCUUCGGUAUUGGGUUUGAUUCUCAAAGUGGUGACUACAAAGUGGUAAAUUUUGUUAGUAAUUUUUUUGAAGAGAAUGAAGAUGAAGGGUUAAUGGGACCACCAAGUUGAGCUAUAUUCACUUAAAACCGAUUCAUGGAAGGAGAUUUCAGUUCCUGGGGUUGAACCCUAUGGAUCUCCUUUGUUUAAUAAUUACGUAAAUGGGUUUUAUUAUUGGCGGGCAACUGGGGACUCUGAUCGCCUUAUUCUCUCAUUUGAUAUGGUCAAUGAAAAGUUUUCUACUUUACCAUUGCCUGAAUUUGGUGGGUCUUUAGCUGAAUACUAUUUGGAACUUUUGGACUUCAAUGGACUGCUUGGUGCUAUUGUCUACCCAAGGGGAGGGGCUG
rnacentral:lncRNA from 1 species